rnacentral:lncRNA from 1 species
AAAUAAAAUAUUUUUCUAAAGUUACUUAAAACAAUAAUUUAUCUGUAGAGUUGUCGAUAAAUCAUUGAAUAUUAUUUUAUAGAAAUUACACACAAAGAAAAAUAUUAAAGAGAAUGGAAAUAUUUUAAACUUUUAAUUUAGAUGCAUUUUCAUAUUUCUAAUCAUACGUUAUUGCUGAAGAGUUAUCUAGCUUUUGAAUUAAACACUAACUUAAGAUCUCUUUGUUGGGGAAAGAUCAGUUUUUUAAAUUUUUUAUAAAACCUUUUUAAGAUCGCUCUCAUAUAAUAUAUAAGAAUUUGUAAUCUAGAAAUCGUACCUUGAAAAUCCGAUUUGACUUUUUCCGCUGAAAUGAUUUAGACUCCCAGAUCACGAUCCGUCACCACCACUCCUGUUAGAUCACGAUCCGUCACCACCACGCUUGUUAGAACACGAACUAGCACCAAUAAUCUUCCAGGUUAUGACUCAGGUUUUAUCUGCACUUGACGUGUGGGCGCCUUUAUCACUACCAAAGCAACUAACACGAGAAAAUUUUUCUCUCAACAAUAGAGAGAAAAAAUCUUUUUCUCUGAUCUGUAUAAAGUGGCUACUGUCUUUUUCUUUAGAGAAAAUAAGCCUAUUUAUAUCUUCCUUUAGUGAAAACCCUAGCCUCCAAAUCAUGAAAAACAAAACUCACUUUACUUGCUUUUUCUAUAGGGGACCCGCCUUGUAAAAUAACAUAAGGCCCCUUAUACACAAGCUAAUUAAAUGGAGCCUCCCACUAAAUGAUAUAUUUAGGCUUUUGACCCAAAUAGCUAGUUAUCUUGCUUAUUAAUCCAGUAGUGGUGUAGUUAAUUAAAUGAGCUAACCCGGGGAUCAUUUGGGAACAUACAAUAGUGGCUACAAUAAUUAGGCAUGUAAUUAAACUAGUCCAAUUAUUUAAUUCCAAAUCUACUCCACUAAAAGAUUGAAACUGAUUUCCAUAAUUGUAUGCUCGAAUAAUAAUUCGUCCCAAGCCACAUUAAUUUCUUUACUGCACAAUCCUUUGUACCACAUCGUUAAUUAAAUUGAUAUCUCAACUGUCCAAUCAAUUUAAUAACAUAUUAUUCCUUGAUACUUACUGGUAUUCUCUAAUGAUCAUUUUCAACUUACUAAAUAUGUUGACACACUCUGGCCAAAGAAUUCUAUGAUCAACUGCCGAAAACCCAUCAAGAGAUGUGUUGUACAAAUUCUAUAUUGUUAAUCUAUAACUCCAAUACUCAUAAAUGCUCCCACCAAGAUACCGGAUAAUCUAGACUACAAGUAUGUGUCAUGCCCAUUGGUAACUCAAAUGGAAUAACAAUUACAAUCAUGAAAUCAUAAUUAACUCAAGAUUAAGAUUACAGUAAAAUCAAUGCCUAUGAGAUUUAAUAAGUCUGACAGUUAUUACAAAGUUAAUUAAAUCUCAUAUGUGAUCAUGUUCAAUGUAGUCGUACUACAUCAAUAAAUUCAUACAUGAUUAAGACAAAUCAUUCAAUGAGUUUAUUACAGUCUAUACCUAAAUAAAGUGUCCAACUUUAUUUAUCAACUGCGAACUGAAUUUAUUUAAUCAUAAGAUAACUUGUAUUUAUGUCUUCUGUAAAUCCACGUGGUGAUCACAUAAAUACAUAUAAUAUGAUUAAAUGGACUUUAAUAAAAAUAUUAAUGCAAUUAAGAUAUUUGAAUAAAAUACCUCAUUAAUUUUAUUAAUCAGAAAAAAUGUUUAUUACAAUUAAAUAAACACAUAAGCUUUUAAAGAGCAUAUUUUCCCAACAAUCUCCCACUAGCUCUCAAAGCAUAUUUGGCAUCUCACGCAUGCCCAUGCAUUCUAAGUGCAAGUUAAAAGGUUUCCCAGGUAUAGCCUUAGUAAAAGGAUCUGCCAAGUUUUGCUGUGAUGCAAUUUGAGUAACCUCCACAUCACCUCUCUGCACUAUAUCCUUAAUAAGAUGAUACUUCCUCUCAAUAUGUUUUUGUUUCUUGUGGUUCCUUGGUUCCUUAGAUUGAGCUACCGCACCACUAUUAUCACAAAAUAGUUGAAGGGGUGUAGUUACAGCAGGUACCACCUCAAGAUCUUGUAGGAACUUGCGGAGCCAUAUAGCUUCUUUUGUAGCUUCGGAUGCAGUCACAUAUUCAGCUUCAGUUGUGGAGUCUGCGAUACAAGAUUGUUUCACACUCCUCCAACUAAUAACUCCACUUCCCAAUGUACACACAUAGCCGAAAGUUGAUUUUCUGGAAUCUCUAUAUGACAUAAAGUCAGAAUCAGUAUAACCCACUGGAAUGAGUUCAUCACCAGAAUAUACAAGCAUAUAAUUUUUAGUUCUUUUCAGAUACUUCAUUAUAUGCUUGACCGCAGUCCAGUGUUCAGGUCCAGGAUUAGAUUGAUAUCUACUAACCAUCCCUACCGCAAAACAGAUGUCUGGCCUAGUGCAAAGCAUAGCAUACAUGAGACUUCCCACAGUUUCUGCAUAGGGAACUCGUCUCAUUCUCUCUAUCUCUUCAGAUAUUUUAAGUGAUUGAUCCUUAGAGAAUGUAAUUCCAUGUCUGAAUGGUAAUAAACCAGUCUUGGAAUUUUCCAUGCUAAAUCUAGCCAAUAUCUUAUCGAUAUAGACUGCUUGAGACAAAGCUAAAGUUUUAUUCUUCCGGUCUCGUAGUAACUUGAUACCAAGAAUAUAACUUGUCUCUCCCAGGUCUUUCAUAUCAAAUUGUUUUGCUAACCAACUUUUUAUUGUAGUCAAUACUCCUAUAUCGUUUCCAAUUAGGAGUAUAUCGUCUACAUAAAGAAUUAGGAAGGCUACAAGUUUUUCUUGAAUUUUCUUGUACACACAUGGUUCAUCAAUGUUCUGAAUGAAUCCAAACGAUUUAAUCGCUUGAUCAAAUCUGAUGUUCCAUGACCGGGAUGCUUGCUUCAAUCCAUAAAUGGAUCUCUGCAACUUACAUACCAUGUGUUAUUGGCCUUUUUGUAUAAAUCCAUCUGGUUGCUGCAUGUAGAUGUUUUCUUCAAGAUGCCCGUUAAGAAAGGCAGUCUUGACAUCCAUUUGCCAAAUUUCAUAAUCAAGCACUACAACAAUGAAGAGCAGAAUCCUGAUGGAUUUAAGCAUAGCAACCAGAGAAAAAGUUUCCUCAUAAUCGAUUCCCUCUUUCUGAGUAAACCAUUUGGCUACUAAUCUUGCUUUAAAUGUUUCCACCCUUCCAUCUACUUCUUUUUUUCUCUUGUAGAUCCACUUGCACCCUAUAGGUUUUACCCCAUUUGGUGCCUCCACAAGUUCCCAGACUUUAUUGGAAUAGAUAGAUUCCAUUUCUUGAUUUAUGGCAUUUUUCCAAAAUUCAACAUCUCUAUCUAUUAGAGCUUCGUUGUAACUAGUGGGAUCUUGUACAUGUUCAUCUGAGAUAGCCAUAUAGGUUUCUCCCAAAAGCAUGUAUUUCGCAGGUAACCUAAUUACCCUCCCACUACGACGAGGUUCUAAAAGUGAUGGUUGUUCAGGGAUAAUCUUGUGUUGAUCAUCUAGCUGUUGCUGUUCUUCCUGUUCUGUAACAGGCGUUGAAAGCUGAGCAUCAACCUAAUCACCUGACAAUUCUUCAAGUAUUACCUUACUCUUGGGUUUGAAGUUAUUCAUAUAGUCUUCCACGAGGGAAGAGAAAUGUGUGCUCACGAUUACUUUCCUAUCUUGAGGACUAUAAAAUAAACCUCCCCUUGUUCCUUUGGGAUACCCCACAAACUUACAAACCUCAGAACGUGAAUUCAUUUUGUCUGCCUUUGGUUCCAGCACAUGUGCUGGUGAUCCCCAAAUACGGACAUGUCGUAAACUUGGUUUGCGACCUGACCAUAAUUUUAUUGAGGUUUUAGGCACUGACUUAGAUAAAACUAAGUUCAAGAGGUAAACUGCAGUUUCCAGUGCUAGUCCCCAAAAAGAGAUUGGUAAUGACGAAUAACUAAGCAUAGAUCUCAUCAUAUCCAAAAGAGUUUUAUUUCUUCUUUCAGUUACCCCAUUUUGUUGUGGUGUUCCCGGGGCAGUCAAUUGAGAUAUAAUCCCAUUUUCAACCAGAUACUCUUUGAAAUCUCCUGAGAGAAAUUCACCACCUCGAUCAGAUCGAAGUUUCUUUAUGUUCUUAUCUAAUUGCUUUUCUGUCUCAGCCCUAUACUCUUUGAAUUUCUCAAGGGCUUCAAACUUAUGAUGCAUCAGAUAAACAUAACCGUAUAUUGAGUAAUCAUCAGUGAAAGUGAUGAAAUACUCAUAACCUCAUCGAGCUUGUACAUUGAUUGGUCCACAUACAUCUGUAUGUACCAAUUCAAGUGGUACUGUUGCACGUACUCCUUUGGUCGAGAAUGGCCUUUUGGUCAUUUUUCCUUGUAAACAGGAUUCACAGAGUGGCAAUGAUUCAUUUUCUAAUGGACCCAAGAGCCCAUCUUUGAUCAUUCUCUGUAUCCUAUUUUGGUUUAUAUGACCCAAGCGUAAAUGCCAGAGGUAACAUUGGUUGGAAGAAAUAUUUCUUUUCUUAGAUAAAUGUGUAUGCUCAUCAUUAUUGAUCACUGUUUCAUGCAUAGAAUGGAUCAUUGGACUUAAAUGAUAUAAAUUAUCUUCCAAUGUACCAGAACAAAUACGUCUUUUAUUAUAAAAAAUAGAAACAAAGGAUCCAAAAUUUACAGUGUACCCUUGCUUUGACAAACAAGCUACUGAAAUUAAAUUCCUCUUAAUGUCUGGAACAUAAAGACAAUUAUUCAAAACUAAAGUAUCAUUAUUAAAAGAUAAUAAAACAGAUCCAGUCUUCACUGCUGACACGAACUGUCCUGUUCCUAACUGCAGCUUGACGCUUCCUUCACUUAUUUUCCUGGUUUCCUAAAACUAAUAAAGUGAAUUACAAAUAUGAUUAGUUGCUCCUGAAUCCAACACCCAAGUGUCAAUAGGAUUCUGAACUAAACAUACCUCAAUUACAAAAAGAUUUCCCAUACCUGAUUUCACAAUCUUAGGGCAAUCCUUUUUCCAAUGACCUUUCUGUCCACACUUGAAGCAUUUGCCUUUCGGCUUGCCAUCUUGCUUGGUAGACGGUCUCUUUUUCCCAGCUUUCUUCUUACCUUUGUUUCGGCUUAGGCCCAAAAGAUGAACUUUUUUCAAUAAUAUUCAUGCUUCCCAGAGAUUUCUCAGCACGAUAGAUCUCUUCAGCAGAAUGGAGUUCGUUCAUCAAUUCAGUUAAGGUCAUGUUUAUUUUGUUCAUGUUAUAAUUGACCUUAAACUCCUUGAAUGUUUCUGGCAAAGAUUCUAACACCAUGUAAAUCUUUGAGUUAUCAUCGAUUUGUGCUCCCUGAAUCUCAGCCUCAUUCAAAUAGUCCAUCAUUUUGAGGACAUGAUCAAGAACUCUUGUGCCCUUCAUCAUUUUACUGUUCAUAAUUCCUUUCAGCGUUGCUUGUCUCGCGGAGCGAGUACUCUGCUCGAACAUUUGUUGGAGACUAUCCAUUAUUUCAGUGGCAGUCUCCAAGUUCUGAUGUUUGGUCUGUAGAAUAUUAGAAAUCGAGGCUAAAAUGUAGCAUUUUGCCAUUUCAUUGGCCUUUUGCCAUUUCUCAUAAAGCCUCCUCUGAUUUCUAUGAGCAUCAUCCGCUGGAACUGGAGGGCAUAGCUGAGUUAAGAUAUAUUUAUAAUUUUCAGCAGUCAGGACAAUGAAUAGAUUUCUUUUCCAAUCUAUAUAGUUCUCUCCAGUGAGUUUGUUUUUACUCAGAAUAAUAGUAAGUGGGCUCAAGGAAGACAUUUUCUGAAAAAUAAAACAUCCAUGCAUAAAUAAUUUGAAAUAAUAUUCACAAUAAAUGACAAAAAUACAUAAAACCAUAAAUGCAUUUUAAUUUAUUGUAACGAUAAUCUAGUUCCGCUUUGACAAGCUAUCCGUUGGGGAAGUCAUGUCUAUACUUACUAGACCCAAUUACCCAUUGGAUUAUUUACUUUCACAUAGAGACAUGAUAAAUAAUUAUCGUUAUCCUUUUUGGGUCUAAAUUUGUUAACAGAGCUUCGUUGGGAUGGUUAAUAACAAAUUUUAGUUGAGUGUAUAACCAUUGUUUCAAUCUGCGUAUUUUUCAUAUCAAUAGUCACCGUUGGGGUGAACAAUCGAUUGAAAAAUAUUUCAAUUUUAUCUUUAAAGAAGUUCAUCAAAUAAAAUAUCUAAUAUAUAUACCCUCCGAAGGGAGCAUCACCGUAUCAUGAAGUCGAGGUAUAUAUAUAAUUUUAUUAUUGAAUUAACAAUGAAGCCCGUGGAAAAAUUAUCUUGAAUUUUUCCUCUCCCACUCAAUAUUUUAAAAUUAGUUUUUCCUUUUUAAAACAUACAUAUUGUUAAUUGCAUGCUUCCUAUAAUAUUAUCUAGAUGAUAUCAAAUAUUAUUAAGCAUAUGCAAAUUUCAAACAAUAUAAUGAAAUUCAUUAUUAAUGAAUGACAUGUAUCAUUAUGCAUAGAGUGUCACUACCUAUUCUAUAUGACAUGUUAUCAUGGCAUGUUAUCAUUCAAAACAUAACAUAUAGAAAAAUAAUUAAAUAAUCUUAAUUCAUGGCUUUCCUAAUAAUGAAAAAUACAUUAACCCUAAGUCUAAUCUUCAUUGGGCUUCUUGUCAAUGUCCAUCUUCCAUAAGCUUGUCUUUGUUAAUGGACUAGGGGAAAUUGAGCUUUUAAAUUUAUAAAUGGUCCAAUUUUAAUUUUGAAAGGAAAUAAAUAAAUAAUUAAAAUAAAAUUUAUUAAAAUAAAACUUUUGGACCAAAAAUAAAUUUAAUAUAUUUAAUUUUAUCUAUGCAUUUUAAUCCAUUAAGCUCAACUGAGAUUGGACCUAAAACUAGGAUUCAUUAAGCCCAAAACUGUUUUUGAACUUAAAUACAAAAAAUUAAAACUUAUCAUCCCAAAGAAAAAACUAUGGAACUAUAGGGAUCGUAAUGAUAAAAACCAUUAAAACCCUAAAUCCAUCUUUUUCUCUCCCCAGCCGCCAUCAUCACAAAGGGCAGCCACUGUUCACGCAUCUCCGACGCCGAUUUGACCAUCACCGCCACGCUGGGAAGCCACCAAACGACGCCCUCCGCCAGCUGCAAACAUCUGCAAGCUUCCAGCCCCCACUCGCGCUGCUGGUCGCGUGCUGCAGCUGCCAGUGGCUGCUGGCUUGCAGCGUGUGCUGCUGGCCGCGUGUGCUGCGAGCCGCGCGCUGCUGGCCACUGCACGUGCAGUGCGCGCUUGCUGGCAGCAUGUGCUUUUGGCCGCGCGCUGCUUGCUGCUGGUUGCCGCUGAAAUUUCCAGCCUUCAUUCUCUUUGAGCUCGUUUUCCAGUGAUGAUUCUUUAGUGAUUUACAAAUUUUCUAUGCCAAUUUUGGCUAACAAAAUUUCCAUUACAAUAAAAUAAAUCAAGAGAGAAACAUGGUGAUGAAAAGCCACCCCUCUUGUUACAGAUCCAAACAAAAAAUACAGCAAAAAAUCUAACCAUGAAUUAAGACAAACCAUAAACAUACUUUAUUCAUAUAUUAAACAAAUAAUAUAUAUCUGAAUAAAUUGUGCCACUCUAAUACAUAAAUAUCAAGAUUAAUUUCAUACGAAAUUCUUAUAUACUAAUAUGAGAUGGCUCUGAUACCAAUUGUUGGGGAAAGAUUACUUUUUUAAAUUUUUUAUAAAACAUUUUUAAGAUCGCUCUCAUAUAAUAUAUAAGAAUUUGUAAUCUAGAAAUCGUACCUUGAAAAUCCGAUUUGACUUGUUUUCGCUGAAGUGAUUUAGGCUUAACGAUCCGUCACCACCACUCCUGUUAGAUUACGAUCCGUCACCACCACACUUGUUAGAACACGAACUAGCACCAAUGACCUUCUAGGUUAUGACUCAGGUUUGAUCUGCACUUGACGUGUGGGCGCCUUUAUCACUACCAAAGCAACUAACACGAGAAAAUUUUUCUCUCAACAAUAGAGAGAAAAAAUCUUUUUCUCUGAUCUGUAUAAAGUGGCUACUGUCUUUUUCUUUAGAGAAAAUAAGCCUAUUUAUAUCUUCCUUUAGUGAAAACCCUAGCCUCCAAAUCAUGAAAAACAAAACUCACUUUACUUGCUUUUUCUAUAGGGGACCCGCCUUGUAAAAUAACAUAAGGCCCCUUAUACACAAGCUAAUUAAAUGGAGCCUCCCACUAAAUGAUAUAUUUAGGCUUUUGACCCAAAUAGCUAGUUAUCUUGCUUAUUAAUUCAGUAGUGGUGCAGUCAAUUAAAUGAGCUAACCCAGGGAUCAUUUGGGAACAUACAAUAGUGGCUACAAUAAUUAGGCCUGUAAUUAAACUAGCCCAAUUAUUUAAUUCCAAAUCUACUCCACUAAAAGAUUGGAACUGACUUCCAUAAUUGUAUGCUCGAAUAAUAAUUCGUCUCAAGCCACAUUAAUUUCUUUACUGCACAAUCCUUUGCACCACAUCGUUAAUUAAAUUGAUAUCUCAACUGUCCAAUCAAUUUAAUAACAUCUUAUUCCUUGAUAUUUACUGGUUUUCUCUAAUGAUCAUUUUCAACAUACUAAAUAUGUUGACACACUCUGGCCAGAGAAUUCUAUGAUCAAGUGCCGAAAACCCAUCAAGAGAUGUGUUGUACAAAUUCUAUAUUGUUAAUCUAUAACUCCAAUACUCAUAAAUGCUCUCACCAAGAUACCGGGUAAUCUAGACUACAAGUAUAUGUCAUGCCCAUUGGUAAUUCAAAUGGAAUAACAAUUACAAUCAUGAAAUCAUAAUUAACUCAAGAUUAAGAUUACAGUAAAAUCAAUGCCUAUGAGAUUUAAUAAGUCUGACAGUUAUUACAAAGUUAAUUAAAUCUUAUAUGUGAUCAUGUUCAAUGUAGUCGUACUACAUCAAUAAAUUCAUACAUGAUUAAGACAAAUCAUUCAAUGAAUUUAUUACAGUCUAUACCUAAAUAAAAUGUCCAACUUUAUUUAUCAACUGCGAACUGAAUUUAUUUAAUCAUAAGAUAACUUGUAUUUAUGUCUUCUGUGAAUCCUCAUGGUGAUCACAUAAAUACAUAUAAUAUGAUUAAAUAGACUUUAAUGAAAAUAUUAAUGCAAUUAAGAUAUUUGAAUAAAAUACCUCAUUAAUUUUAUUAAUCAGAAAAAGUAUUUAUUACAAUUAAAUAAACACAUAUGCUUUUAAAGAGCAUAUUUCCCCAACACUCUUAACCUAAAAUGGGCUUGUUAUCUUAAAACCAAGCUAAACAUUUAAAGUAUAAUGAGUCCUCUUUAUAGCCAAUCAUCAUGGAAGAGAUAAGGAUAGUUAUUCCAUUCCAAAAUUUUUGAAUGAGAUGGAUAUAAUUCUUUCUAGGAAAUUGUUAUGUUGGAGGUGCUCCAAGAUAAAGCAUCUAUCAUUCCUAUAAUCAUUCUAUGAGAUUUUUUUAUAUAUAUUUAACUUACAAAAUUACUGACCACAAAGUUAAUUAGGAUCAAAAAGAGGGAAAAAAAAGAUACUAGAUGAUAUUACUUUUCUUAAAGUGAUAUAUAACAAAUGAUGUGACACAUUCGUCUCACAAAAAAAUUUUUUGUUCUCAGAAAGAGAGAGAGAGAGAAGUGAUGUGAUUAUUUAUGCAGUUAGCCAUGUGUUGGUGUGCGAGCAUGAAAAGGACCAACUUUAUGAGGAAUACGACUAUAUGAGACAUACAAUAAGGCAGCACUCUUAGAAGAAGAUAAUUGAAUUACAAGGCUUCAAUAAUGAUACUAAAGUCAUAUAUCAUUAACAAAUAUUUUUGGUACAAUGAUGACUCAGCUUAUGGGGGCACCUUAACAAUUUAAAAUAGGGUUCAACUACAGUGGAGAUACUCCGCUGUAGAACAUUCCUACAUAAUUAUACAAUCAAAAUUAUAACGUGACUUUUUCUAUUUAUCAUUUUAAUCAUACGGUUAUGAAAGAGUGCUCUAUAAUUGAGCAUUUCCAACAUAGCUAUUGCCUUAAAAAUAUAUCUAAAACCACAUAAAGAUAAAAUACAAGCUACAAGUACAUUCACUUGAGUCUUUUAGUAUAUAAGAAAGUUUUACUAAAAUGAGCCUAUUAUCUUAAAAUUUACUGAGUCUAUUAUUUUUAAUUUAUAAGCUAGCUAAUUUCGUGGACCCUAUUUAUUUUUGGAGUUGGGAGUGAGACUCUCACUCUUACCUCUUCUUUUUUUUAUCCUUAUUUUAUUAAAUUUAAUAUAAUUAUAUCUAGUAAAAUGAAAUAAAUAAGAUCAUAUUUAUUUAAAUAAUAAUAUUAUAUUAUUUUAUAAAAUUGUUCAUUGAUACUAUUCGUAAAAUACUAUCCAUUGCACUGUUCACCUAGCAACAACUAUAAAUUUGUCAAGGCGUGCAAAGUAUUGUUCUUAAGACCAAAUUUCAUGCCGGAAAGGAAGAUUUCCCAAUGCAAGAAGGAUAAACAAGCCAAUUUGAUUUCCGAGAUAUAAUGACACUGCUCCGAGAUUACACUCGCAAGCAUAAUAGUUUGGAAUAAUAAAAGUAAAUUGAUGAAGAAAUAUGAGAUAGUAAUAGAGAGUGAUAAUUAGAACAAUUGGAUUAUUCUAUUCUAUUUUUAUUGUUGCAAUAGGCAUUCCUAAAGGGCUUAUAUGUAUCUUUUAUAUUGAGAAACCCUCUAUAGACCCUUUCCUAAUUCAAUUUAAAUCAAUCACCCACUUUCUUCAUUUUAUCUAAAUAAUUAUUUAUGUGUCUCAUAAUUUAAUUCAACUAAUAAUUUAAAUCACAUAUAGAUUUAACUUAUUUAACUUUAACCCGUAAUUAAAUUAAACACAUAACUAAUUUCAAAUUAACAAAAAAAUAAUUGCCUUCACUUCCCUCCAAUGUAGGAUAUUAGUAUUUUAAAAUAUCCAUAAAAUUCCAAUGACUUGAGCACACUUGCUUUUCAGAUUUUUGCACUAAGGCGUAACAUAAGGACUUCAUAGUCUUUAUCAAUGAUGAUAUAAUAAUUCUAUAAAUUUGUAUCAAAAUUUUACAUUAAAACAUUAAGUAAAUAACCUCGCCUUUAAUGAAUGUGCUUAUGAUAAAUACAAUAAUAUUAAAUAUCUAAAAUCUAAUAAUCUAAUGAUAUAAAUUUAUUAAAAGUUCAAUAAGAAUAAGUCUUGUUUGGAAUUGUGGUUGAAAUAUUAAAAGCGCUAUUCAUAAGUUUUUAUACAAAUCAUGUGCUGUAAGUUUUUUAAAAGAUGUUUAUUCAUAAGUUUCUGGAUUUUGAUAGUAACUUUUAGAAGUAAAUAGAAAGUUGCAUUUUAAAAGCAGCUUUAUUAAAUAAUUAAUCCAUCGUAUAAUUUUAAAGUUUCGAUUGUAUCCUUAUUAUUUCAACAAAAAGACAAUUAUAUCAUAUCUUUCCAUAAACUAUAUGAUAAAAAUCAUAACUCUAAACUAUCAUUAUACUGCAAUUGCAUGUUUGAUUUCAUUUUAUAAUUAUGUUAUAAAUUUUAUCAUAUUUCACAAGAUAAUUGCUUGUUUAGUGCUUAUUUUGGGUUGAGAGCUUGCAUGUUUAGUCUAUAGAUUUUUAAAAAAAUCCUCCAAGACAUGCCAAUUGCUAAUUAUGAUACUUGUACCCUUCCUCUCUCUUAGUUACAAUAAUAACCUAGCAAAAAUCUUAAGGUAAAAAAUAGCAAUUCACCAAAUUAAUCAUAAAAAAAGGAAAAUUAUCAGCCAUAUACCCUUAAAUGACACCCGUAUCAAACGUGUGUGAACACUUUUCAAGUGUAUCACUCGUAUACCCUAAAUUGACAAAAUACUUUUACCGUCCACCAAUCCGUUAACUUCCAUUAGAAAAUUAACAAAAUUGUGACAAAUUGACUAUUUUGCCCUUGAAACUCAAAAUGAGGUAAAAAGAUAAAUUUAUCCCAAAAAUUAACGUAAAUUUUCAAUACACAAUUUUUAUUUAUUAAAAAAAUGAAUUAUUAAUGGUACAUAAUAUUAACAAUUAUCCAUAAAAAAAUAUUCAUAUUAUACCAUAAAAAAUUAUUAACUACAUAUUAUUUACAAUUAUACAUAUUAUACCAUAAACAUUUCUAGUUGGAGCUUGGAAGAGUAGAUCUUCAAAAAUUUAGGUUAAAUUUUGGAGGAGUAGAUUCGGUUGUAAAGUAGUACUUUUAGCAAUUAUUAACAAUUAUCCGAUAAAUGGGAUGACAUGUCAUUUUUAUCAAUAUAUAUCAUAUGACAUGUCAUUUUUUACUAGAUAAAUAGGAUGACAUGUCGGUUUUUUAAUCAAAGUUUCGUCAGUCUUAAAAGACUAAAUUACCCUUAUGAUGUCAGCGCUUGCAAACAGAAGUUAAUGGAUUGGUGGACGGCAGAAAUGUUUUAUCAACUUAGGGUAUACGAGUGAUACACUUAAAAAAUGUUCACACAUGUUUGAUACGGGUGUCAUUUAAGGGUAUAUGACUGAUAAUUUUCCUAAAAAAAUAAUAACAAAAAAAAUUAUAUUAAAUUAGGAUUGACAGAAAAGUCCGGGCCGGGCCGACCUAGCCCGUGACUUUAAUUUUUAUUUUACUUUUAAAAUUAAUUUGAUAAAUAUUACUUUUUUUUCUAUCAAUAAAAUCGCCUUGCAAGGAUAUUAAUACGAACCCAUUGCUGUUAUUUUUAAAAAUAAUAAUAAUAACCCAUUGCCAUCCAUUGAAUCUAUGAUUUUUUUGUGUCCAAUUAACCUUAACAAUCGCUGCUAAUGUCCAAUUAAUUGUUUCUAACGCAGAAAUUGAUUCAUAAUCAUAGAAAUUUUGCUCCACCAGCGACAUCAUCACUGCUAGUAGUGUUAACCAUAAAUGAACCAAUUUCUCGUUCUUUUUGUAACCACAAUCUUGAUUUAAAAUCGUAUAGCUUUUCUUGACCGACAUACCCAAUGAUAACUUAUGAUUUGCUAUGUUUGAUGGGUCUUUUGUCAAAUUUUUUAUUUUAAAUCUUAUAUGAUGGAAUAAGGAGCUUGCUUUGUUACGAUUUUUUGUUAGUAAUAUAUGAAAUGGGAAGGUCACACGCGUCUAAGAGGAGAGAGGAAAAAUAUGCAGGUGUAAGUUGAUAUAUGGUAUUAAAUAUAGAUCUAUUAUUUACAUAAAUUGUAAAUUAUCCAACUCUGAUGGAACAAUAUUUAACUCUCAUAAUUUAUAUAUAUAUAUUUUAUCUACCACUUCUAUCUAAUAAAAAUAAAUUACAAAAAUUUAGAAUAAUCUAUUGUGCUUUUCCUAUUUCUUAUUAAUUAAGAACUUUUAUACUUAUGAUUGCUUUCAAAUUAUAAUUUAAACUAUUGUAAUUUAACUUAAAGAUAGACAUUCAAAAAUGCAUCACUCAUAAAAAAUUUUAAUUUAUGUGUAGGGUGACAAUAAAAUUACAAAAGAAAAGAAAAGUAAAAAAAAAAUACUUUGAGUUUGAAUAAUAAAAAAUUAAUUAAAUUAAAAAAUUAGAAGGGAGUAUUUAAAAGAACAAAAUGACGUUUUUGAAGAUAAAAUAAAAAUAACUGACGAGGGGGUUUUAUGAGGAGUUUAGAGGGGGGUGUGUAUGAUACCAACUCUUUAAGAAUCCAACACUACCGUAGCUGGAUGACAAAAAUGGGCCGGGCUUAGCCAAGCCAAUGAAUUUAUUGGGAAGUCCAGGCCCACUUUUAGAGCGAAAUAUUUCCCCACAUUUUUUAAUCAAAAUAUUUGGACAAAACAAAAUAUCGCCAAAUGUUUGUGUGGCCCGCCCUCGUCAUCUGCUUGACCCGCCCUUGUCUUUAUUUUAUUAUUAUUAUUUUUUCCAUCCACCUGAAAAUUUGCACAAUUGCGCACGAGUAGUGAAAAGUACAUACAAUACAGUAUCUCUUUUAGAUCCUCCGCGGCAGCUCUGACUGUUUGUUUCCACUGAGCAUCAUCAGCAUCACGUCACAUUAACCCCUUCUUCUUUUGUACUCUCUCAUUCCUUUGUCUAGGGUUUAUUCAAUCAACAACGAACAAUAAAACCUUCCGUGGGUAAUAUGAUUUAAAUUUAAAAUUAAAAAAUAAAAAAAAUGAAGCGCGAAUACGCCGAAAUCUCGGAAAUCUCGGACGAGGAGUGGGAGCCGCACUCCGAGUCAUUCAAGCCCUCUCGAGUCCUCAAAAUCAACACUCGAUCACCGAAACCGAAACCGAAACCAAAGCCACCUCCUCCAAUAGAAUCUUUCGCUUACAACAAGGACGAAAAUCUCGAGGACGACGAUGUCGAGGAGGUGGUGGGACCCACGGCCGCCACGAACAAUCGUGGCCGUCGAUUCAUCGUCGAUGAUGAUGAAGAGGAGGAGGAGGAGGAGGAGGGAGAGGAGGAGCAGGAGCAGGAGCACGGAGAUUUCGUUGAGGUUUAUGACAUAAAGUCUUCGAGUCAAGAAGAAGAAGAGGAGGAACUUUUAAUCUUAGAAGAUGAAAUUGAAAAUGAUGACGUGGUAGGGAAGGCGCUGCAAAAGUGUGCCAAGAUAUCAGCUGAGCUUAAGAGAGAGCUGUACGGUACUACUACUUCUGCUGCUUGUGAUCGAUACGCCGAAGUGGAAGCCUCUUCCGUGAGAAUUGUGACUCAGAGUGAUAUUGAUGAUGCAUGUGGAGAUGAGGAUUCUGAUUUUCAGCCUGUUCUUAAGCCUUAUCAGCUCGUCGGCGUCAACUUUCUUCUAUUGUUGUACAGAAAGGGCAUUGCGGGAGGUAAGAAUGCUUUGAUUAAUAGUUGUUCAAGAAUUUAAUUCAUUCAGCUGAUUGAUUUGUGUUGACAUUUUAUUCUCUAUCUGCAUAACUUUCUUCUAUUGUUGUACAGAAAAGGCAUUGACGGAGGUAAGAAUGCUUUGAUUAAUAGUUUGUCAAGAAUCUAGUUUAUUAUGCUGAUUGAUUCGUGAUGACAUUUUACUUUCUAUGAGUGAACUCUGACAAUAUCAUACAUUAGAAAAUUUUGGAUUUUGUGCUCAGACGGUUGUGAGGAUAGAAAAUUGGAAUGAUUCUACAAAAUUUACUGUGAAUAUUUUUUUUCUUAUUCUUAGUUUUGAUUAUUGAUAUUUUGAAUCGCCAAAGAAGCCUUGUUAUUGAAAGUUUAAUUUACAUUAGCUGUAUACGGAUAAAGCUUGCUUUCUUGUCAUGAUAAAUAGAGAUGAUGUGCAUGUUAUCGGGCGUAUAUCCUAUCUUUAUUCUCAUUUUAAAAAGUGCAAUGUCCGAUCACCAUACAAUCCAUGCUUGAUUAGAUGACUUGCAAGUCUGUAUAAAAAUUGGUUCUCAAAACAUCUCCUAAAUGGAUUGCUUUGUUUUUGAGAAAUGAGAGCUACUCUUGAGGUGCAAGAUUUAUUUAAAUUCCGCUCUCAUAGGUUUCCAACUAUGAUAUUUUAUUAUUUUUUUCUCAUUCCAUUUUUUUUGUUGUUUUUCCUAAUUAUUUAUAGUGGAUGAGUUCCAAUGAACUUGGAAAAUCCUAAGUGUGCUCUAGAACAGCUAUAAAAGGAACCAGUACGGAUGUGAAAUUGUUGUACUAAAGUGAGCUGUUGUCUAUUGUACUAUGUUCAGCUCUUGAACCUCUGAUAAUUUAAGUUUGAUUAUUGUGAUCCUACUAUGUCAACAAUUGCAUUGUUUUUAAGUUUCAAUAUAUUGUUAUCGGAAUAGUUCUCAAUACUAGGUGUAAUUUGAAAUGAUCGUUGCUGACUUUCUUUUGCAUCUAAUGCAGCCAUAUUGGCAGACGAGAUGGGUCUUGGGAAGACCAUUCAGGUACUUUAAGCGAUGUCAAUUUUCCUAUGCUGUACUAGUUAUAGUUAUAAUUUUUUAUGGUUUCCAGAGUAAUGAUGCUGUUUGUAACAGGCUAUAACAUAUCUAAUGUUGCUGAAACACUUGAACAAUGACCCUGGUCCUCAUUUAAUUGUAUGUCCUGCCUCUGUUUUGGAGAAUUGGGAAAGAGAACUUAAGAAGUGGUGUCCAUCGUUUUCUGUACUCCAGUAUCAUGGGGCAGGGCGAACAGCCUAUUCCAGAGAACUGAGCUCUUUAGCAAAAGCUGGAUUGCCACCUCCUUUUAAUGUGCUUCUUGUGUGCUAUUCGCUUUUUGAACGUCACAGGUUUGUUUAUUGUGGAGCAUGUAACAUUUGCAUAUUCCACUGCAUGUUAAGUUUAAUUCUGAUCAUUGAUGGUCUUUACAGUGUGCAGCAGAAAGAUGACCGUAAAAUUUUGAAACGUUGGCGUUGGAGCUGUGUGCUUAUGGAUGAGGCCCAUGCCUUAAAGGACAAAAACAGCUACAGGUGGAAAAACCUUAUGUCUGUUGCUCGGAAUGCAAACCAGCGUCUGAUGCUGACAGGGACCCCGUUACAAAAUGAUUUACAUGUACUAUUGCUUUUUUCCUUUUCCUUCUCUCUCUCUCUCUCUUUCUUGCUCUUCAUUUUUUCUGUUAACAUUGUUUAUUACAGAAAUUAUUUAUGUGCAUUCUGGCAGGAUGAUGGUUCAUACUUUGAAAUUGUCAAAAUAUGUCCUUGAAGGGACAUGAUGUUUUAAAUUUCUUAGGGCUGAAGAUCUAAACUGUUUAACUUAACCCAAUGUAGUAGUAGUAGUAGUAGUAGUAGUAGUAAUAAUAAUAUAAAAAAAAAAAGGCUGUCUGUAGUUGAGAAAUAUAUUGGACUUCAUUAAACAUCAUAGUUUACUUAACAUAGUCAAGCAUGAGUUCUUGAGAACAGUUUGAGGUGCAAUUCAUUCAGCAUAUUUGUAAUGUUAUCAACUCCUUUUAACAGUACUUACGGCAAACAUGUUCUUCUCUGCUAGAUUUGCUUUACAAUGGGGUGGCAGUUAAAAAUACUGCUCUCUUAUUUGUAACAAGCAUUUGGAAAUCUAUUUUCAAAUUCAUUUCAUAAUUAGUUGCUUGUGAUUUCUUUGUUGCUGACUUGAUUUGCUUUUAUUGUAGGAGCUCUGGUCAUUAUUGGAGUUUAUGAUGCCUGAUCUUUUUGCCACAGAGGAUGUAGAUUUGAAGAAGCUACUCAAUGGUGAAGAUAGAGAUUUAAUUGGUCGGAUGAAGUCAAUUUUGGGGCCAUUCAUCUUGAGGCGUUUAAAAUCCGAUGUGAUGCAGCAACUUGUCCCAAAGAUACAGCGUGUAUGUUAAGUACCAAGUUUCCAUUUGGAUUCUGAACUUUCCAACACGCCUCUUCCCUUGGGAUUAGGAUUAGAAAUGUGCUUUCCUUACAAUUUUGCAUCUGUGUGAAAAAGAGCUAACUAAUAGUUCUGCAGGUUGAGUAUGUUACAAUGGAAAGGCCGCAGGAAGAUGCAUAUAGAGUAGCCAUUGAGGAGUAUCGGGCUGUGUCUCGAGCUCGUAUUGCUAAGCUUUCUGACGCUGACUUGGCUACUAUUGUUGGUGUUCUUCCUCAGCGUCAAAUUUCCAACUAUUUUGUUCAGUUCCGUAAGGUACUUGAUAGGACUUAGGGCUAAAUUAAGUCUGACUUUUAUUGAUUAAAUCAAAAGAAAACAAACAAUCCUGACCUACAAUUCGAGAGGUAGGUCAAUCUCUCCCAAAACUCCUAAUGGUUCACAAUACCAAACAAAACUCAACAUAAACCCUAAAUGACUCCAUAAUCUCUUAUUUAUAGCUGAACCUUAAUUAAUAAAAUUACUAAACUGCUCCUAUCCUAAAAUUACUAAACAGCCCCUGCCUCUUUAUAUUUGCGCCUAACAUAAGUUUUCAUGGAUCUAAUAGUACUACAGAGUUGUAUUUUGUUUCUCAUUGCACAAUUUAUUUAUAUUUCUUUUCCCAUGGCACAAUUUAUCUCAUUCCUGUAUGCUUGUUUGAUUUAUUUACUAUACAUUUAUUCUUUUUCUAGAUUGCAAAUCAUCCGUUAUUGGUGAGACGAAUUUACAGUGAUGAUGAUGUUGUUCGCUUUGCUAAAAAGCUGCAUCCUAUGGGUGCAUUUGGCUUUGAAUGUACCUUGGAAAGAGUAAUUGAAGAACUGAAGAAUUACAGCGAUUUUUCUAUACACCAGGUAAUUCUUUAUUUUGCAUUGUCAACUCUUAGGCAAAUUAUACGCAGAAUUGGAUGAUUAUAUUGUUUCAGCAGUGCAUAAUAUUGUCCUUGUUUCUUGAUGCCAAUAGUUGAAAUUUCUCGCUGAAGCUUAUUCUAUAAUACAUAAUGUCAUGUGUUAUUUCUUCUCUAUGUAAAUGGGAUUUUCCACAGUAGAGGUAUUAUAUGCUAAUUGAUUCAUAGGUUUCCAUAUUGACUAGUAUUUGAAUGAUGGGGUCUCAUAAAAGCUUCACCCUUUAUUUAUUAUUUUCUUGCUUAAUAAAAGAGCAAGGCAAAGAAUGCCAAAAGAACUAUGCACUUGAGCAAGCCAGAAGGGGAAAAAAAUAAUAAUAGAAAAGGAUGAUGUGAUUAAAUCAACAAGAGAGGGGAGAGAGAGCACAUGAAAAGAGGCAAAGAUGGAAAGAGAAUAUAGGUUUAGCCCUUCAAGAAGGAGAGAGAGACAGAGUAAAGGGGGUAGUCAAAACCAAUUCUCUUCCAUUGAUUAACUAUUGACCCAAAGGCUAGUAACAGAAGUAAAAAACUUAAAAUCAGUGUAUUUUUUGGGGAUUGCUGAUCCAUCACCAUGUGUAUAUAUAGAGGGAGCUCUGAUACCAUUGAUGAAAAAUCAAAUUAAUCCAUAUCUAAACUAUUGCAUCUUUUGCUCUUAAACAUGUGUAAUGGAGGAGAAACUUGUACCUUGAGAAAAGCCACAGAGCUUGUUGAGUUGCUGCAACAAUGGAUUCAACAACAAUCACAGCACUUCUAGCAAGAGAAUUUGUAGACAAAAAAUGAGGGUUUUCUACUCUACCAAAGUAUCAAACAAGAACAGUGAACCCUCAAUGGGCUAGUCACUUAUUUUUUUUGGACAAGUAUAACCUUGACGAGUGUUAUUUAUAACUCUUAUUGGGAUGAGUAUUACUGUCAUUUAACACAUGUCGGGUCCCCACAAUGACCUAAAAAUUAAGUUGUUUUAGUCCAUUGAGAGUUCACUGUUGUUGGUUGACGUUUUGAACAUGUCUUAAUAUCCACAACCAAUGUGCCCUCUAACCCGGACUUCUUCCCCUUAUAUUAGCUAGGGGUCACACUAUUGCAAUCAUUAUCCUAUUAAGAAUAGUACACACUCUUAUCUAUAAUAGUACAAGCCUAACCAGAAAAGUAUGCAAGCUUAUCUACAAUACUACAUCAGCUUUAUUCAAUCUUAUUUACAAUGCUGAUGUCAUCCCUCUACACUUCCACUAGUCCCAUUCAUUGUCGAACUUAAGAGUCAUAAUCAUCAUCCAUGCUAUCUGAUGCAAUGUUUGCUUCUUCACAUUCAUGGAACUCUGGAAGUUGUAUUGCAAUUAUAAGCUCUUCUGUACUGUAGCCUUCAUUGUCAAUAUCAGGAUAUUCAAAAGUAACUUGGUAGACUUGGCAUAUAAAUCUUUUGAAUAUUUGGCAGUACUUCCAGUAGUCUUGAUCUGGAUGCUUGUGUUACUGGAAAGAUACCACGUCUGUUUUGAUUCCGAAACUCAUUUGAGUUUGACCAUGAUUGGAAAAACCUCUGUCACCUGUUGACCUUUGAUGAGUAUUAGUGUAUCCAUGUCUUGGAACACAGUUCUGAACAGCUUUGUGAGAUUUUCUUCCUCCAUGGAACCCAAUUGCCUGCUUCCAUGCAUAUGUCUCUAUGAGAACUGCCAUUGUGAUCUAUGGGCUGACUAGGCUUGGUUAUUUCUCUAGGAAGAUCAGAUUCUUAUUCCAUUCCAUUGAGGCAAAUAAAUUCUUAUAAUGCCUUCUUCAUGAAUAUGUGAUGAUCUGAAUCCUUUCAGUUUUUGAAUCGAUUCAUGCUUUCCUGUUGGUACCAUCUUUGAUAAGCUCGUAUAUUAAUCUUCAUAGGCUUGUACUAUUCCAGAAAAGAGUUUGUACUAUGCUUGAUAGGGAUAAUGGUUUGUGAUAGUUUGGAUGGUUAAAGUGGGGGAUCUUGAGACAUGUUCAAGAGCCAUCCUCCCGGUCUUCUGAGUCAGUCCUUGUAAUAUACAGUUUUGGUAUGUGCGUAUCGUGCGUAUGUAUUUAUAGUGUCCUAUUCCAAUAAAGUGAGGAUCAAGCUGAAAGACAGUAGAAACAUAAAUGACAAAAGACACUCUGUUGACAACGUGUUAAAUGACAAAAAACACUGUGCUGAUAAUGCAAUUUUUUCAAUUUGUUUUCUUUAUAGUAUAUAUUUUUGCUGAAUUUCUGUUGAAAAUUGUUUAGUAAAAUGUUAGGACUUACACUGACAUUUUUUUUCAAUUUUAUGGUGUCCGAAAAAAGUUAAAUUGCUUUGAUGAGGUUAUAUAUUUGGCCUAGCUAUUCUAUCUGGGCCUAGAGUAUGAAGAUGUGAUAACAUUACUUCCAUUGUAAGAAAUUUUCCCAUUCAUCUUCGUUGGCCUCUUUCAAGGUGGCUUAUGCCACUAGUGCUUUUUAGUUGUAAGAGACUUGAGUAUGUUUCUUUGAAUAGCAAGAGUGAUUUUAAUAUUCUAUAGUUCAGAUGCUUCAUUCCUUGGUAUCUUCUAUUGUAAUUCUUUUGCAAUUGGCUGGUUGAUUCUUCCAUGCCUCAAUUCCUGCUUGCUAGGAAAAGAAUGAAUGCCAAUGCCUACAAUAAGGCUAAAAUAAUGGGUUUUUGCCUUUUGACAAGAUCAACUUUUCUGCCUGAUGCAUAUUCUUUUCUAAGUCCGAUCCCUGAAAGAGUUGUGGAAAGUAUUGACCAUUUGUUUCCUUGUCACUGAACUGUUUUAAGACUGCUGCCUAAGCUAUUCAAAGAAAGUAGAAACUUUUUGGUGGAUCAGUUCCUUAAUGGAGGUGAGGUUGAUAAAGCAUUGGUUUUAUGGAGAUGUCAUGUAUUAACAGUUUUUUUUAUUAUUUGACAGUAAAAGAUAAGAAUUUUUGUAGUUCUAAGGGCGCCAAAAUCUUGGCAUAGUUAUGGGCUUUUAGUUUUGAUAAAGUUUGGUGCUUAUUAUUAAUGUAUUUCUUCUGCAAUUAUCAGUAAUAAAUUACUACUUUGUACUUUUAUUUUUGUAAUUGAUGAAAAUUGUUUCCUAUUUCUUAUUAAAGAAGUCACACACACACAGAGUAGGGGUUUAUUUGUAUAAGGUCAUGUAGAUUUGUUCAAUAACCUAUCCUAUUUAUUGUUGAUUGGUUCGGAAGUCUUUCAAUUCAGCGCGUUGAUCCGGUAUACAUAAAAUAUAAUUAGUUGCUGUUAUUUUGUGCUAGCAAAUGAAGAUCUAUUCAAGUUUGUACUUGGAACUUUUAUAGCAAAAUGUUUCUCAUUCUCCUAGUAAAUAGAUUAGAAUGUUCUUUUGUUUUACAAUUCUUAGAUAUGGCUUAGUACAUAGCAGAACUUUAUACAUCUGGACAUUCAUAUAUGCUCUAACAACCUUGUUCUAGCUUUUACGCUCCUACGGUGGUGCUGAUACCAGAGGAAUUCUUUCAGAAGAACAUGUUAUGCUUUCAGCAAAAUGUCGGGUAUGGUUUCAGUAAUGUCUUGUAAAUUUCAUUGAUUUGAAAAUGUGGGAAGGGUAUGUACACUUCAUAAUAUAAACUAGGGCAUAUUCUCUUCAUAAUACAAAUUGAGUAGCAUGGUUUCCAUUGCAGGUAUUAUCUAAACUUCUCCCUUCACUGAAAAAAGGUGGUCAUCGGGUUUUGAUUUUUAGCCAAUGGACGUCAAUGCUUGAUAUUCUGGAGUGGACUUUGGAUGUGAUUGGUGUUACAUAUAGACGUCUUGAUGGAAGGUGCUGCUUCUAACUCUUUUGAGUUGUGUUUUACCAUCCAAUAUCCUUUCAAUAUUAACAAACCUGACAGACAAUUGUAAGUAUCAAAUUCAUGCGGCUACUUGGGAAGUGCAGUUUUCUACUGGCUAAUCUAGCACAUUUAGAUUGUGAACUAAUUUGGUGGACCUUAUUUUAUUUUAUUAGAUUUGAAUAGUAGAGGAUUGUGUUGAAUUGAAAAGGGUAGUUUUCAAUCAACUUAUUACUUCCAACUAUUUGAUGCUAUAUUGAUUGAAUUGCUCUGGUAAUGUUAAAUAAUAUAAUAAAUAAAUUCUAUAUCAUUCAUAUCAUUUUGUUGGAUAAAAUCAAUAAUUUUUUUUUAAUAAUAUACUUUUAAUUAAUAGAUACCCCUUUUUCAUCUGUCUUUAUUAUGCUUAAUUAGAUCAUGUUCUGAGAAUUCUGCUUGUUACCUCUCUCUUGUAUGCCCAUGUAUUGUUAUUAUCAUUAUUUUUUAUUGGCUUUUGAAAUCUAUAUUUAAAGUUAGGGUUUAUCAAUUUGUGGUGUGGACCCAUAAAGAAAUUAUUGCAUGCUCUGCCUUGCGCUCUCAAAUUUCACUCGUAAUAUAUCUAUAUGAAGCUCCUAUGGGUCGUUUAAGUACUCCCACGAUUUAUGUCUGGAUCAAUAGAUUUAAAAGGCGUGGAACUUCCGAUGGGUUAUUUGAGUACUCCCAUGAUUUAUUCCUGGAUCCAUGGAUUUGGAAGGAUUGGAACUAAAACUUGUACCUCCAACUGCUUGUUUGUCUUCGAUUUCUCUGUUUUACUUUUUUCAUUAAGACCUUGUUCUAUUUUGUGUGUUUAAGCAUAAGGUAACUGGGAAUUAACUUCUGUUCAUUGUGCAUUUGACUUGCCAUUUUGUCUGUUAUGGUUUAAAAGAUCUUAAUCCAGAAUACCUUUCCAAUCACGCAGUACCCAAGUGACAGAGAGGCAGGCUAUAGUCGACGCCUUCAAUAAUGACACUUCUAUUUUUGCAUGCUUGCUUUCAACAAGAGCUGGAGGCCAGGGUUUAAACUUGACUGGCGCCGAUACUGUCGUCAUCCAUGACAUGGAUUUCAAUCCGCAAAUUGACCGUCAAGCUGAAGAUCGUUGUCAUCGAAUUGGCCAAACAAGGCCGGUAACCAUAUACAGGUCAUUUAAACAUCCCACUCUUAUUCUUCUCUUGCAUGUAUUUAGUGAACUUUUUAACUGUUGCAAACUUGUAUGGUGUAUGCUUUUGCUCUAUCUGCUCAAGUCCUCUGCAGGCUAGUAACAAAGGGUACGGUUGACGAGAAUGUGUAUGAGAUAGCAAAGCGAAAGCUCAUCUUGGAUGCUGCAGUGCUCGAGUCUGGCGUGGAGGUAGAUAAUGAAGGUGACACAUCUGAUAUGACUAUGGGAGAGAUAUUAUCAUCCAUCCUGAUGGGUUAGAGUGCUCACAGCCUCUGACAAUCUAAACCAGAAAAUAGAAAAUCCAAUUUUAUUGUUUUUACUAAUUUUCAACCGAUAGGUCCAUUUUACUAUUCGGUAAUCUUGUUGGAGAAAACAAAAAUCAUUUAUAGUUUGAUAGUGAAUGUGAUGCUAUAAGGCGGCUGUAAAUCAAUCAAGAGUUCUGGAAUUGUAAAACUCAAUUAUGGGAUCAAGGGAUAGGAUGAAAGAACUUGGCAUGGAAACAGUUAUUGGCUCAUAGAGUUUAAGGUAUGAAAGUAGGUGCCAUUAGUUGGUGAAAUGUCAAGCAGAAACAAGAGGUUGGGGGCUCGAACAUUGGUCACGAGUGGAGAAAGAAUUGAGUUGUAACUAAAAAGAAAGUUCGAAAACAAGUUGAUGCCAAUUCACCGGGAUUGGACACAGUAAAUUAGAUGAUUUUAUAACAAAUUAUCGGCAAUAGCACAAUGGAGUAAUGGACAGAUGGUGUGGAUGCUAAUCCUUAAGAGGAAGGAAGAGGUGAAGGGAUAGAUUUUCUCUCACUAAUCUAGGUCUUGUUAGCUAUUGAACUUAGACAAUUUUAAUUUUUAAGUUACAACAUUGAAGUGUUAGUCAAACAUUAGAUGAUGUAAUUAAAAGUUAAGUUGAUUUUGUCGCAUACGUGUAUAAUGAAAAAUAUAUAAUAUUUUUAAUAUUUUUAUUAAAAUUAUUAUUUAAAAAUUAUAUUUUCUAUAUAUUAUUAUUUUUUAUUUUUUUGUUACAAUUUUUUUUAUAGUUGUGAUUUAAAAUCUACAUUAUUUCAAUAUUAAAUGGGGGGUUUAGAUGGAAAAAGCUAUUUAAUUGGCGCCGCGCAGAGGGGUGAUGGGAUUACAAGUUUGUUGGGGGGAAAAAAAAGUGUGCUACUGGUAGGCUGAACUUAUGCUGUGUUUACUUUCUAGAGUGGGAGUGUGGAGUGUGGAUUUUUCCCACUCUAGUGUUUACUUACCAUUUUUAAGAGGGAAAUGGGAUUCCCACUCUGUGGUCCCACCUAAUUUUGGAGUGGGGAGUGGGAUUCCCACUAUGGGGGGAGGUGGGAGUGGGAAUCCACUCUCCCCUCUUCCCUUUUUACCAUCAUAAUUAAAAUAAAUAAAUAAUAUUUAAUAAAAUAAAUAAUAUCAUAUUUAUUAAAAAUAGUAAUUAUAAAUAUAUUUAUUUUAUUAAAUUUAAUAAAAUAAAAAUAAAUAAUUAUUAUAUUUAUUUAAAUAAUAAUAUUAUAUUAUUUUAUAAAUUAAAUUCAUUAAAAAUAAUAAUAUUAAACAUUAAUUUUAAUAAAUAUUAAUUAUUUAUUUAAUUAAUAAUAAUAAAUUUUUUAUUCUAAGAAAAUAUUAAUUUUUUACUAUAUUAUCAAUAAUAAUGUUUUAUUUGUGUUGCUAUUAUUAAUAAUUUUUAUUCACAUAAUUUAAAUUUAAAUUAAUUAAAAAAUUAUGAUUUACAUAAUUAAGAAUAUUAAUAAUUAUUAUUAAUUUACAAAUAUAAUAAAAUAUUUAUUUUAUUUUUUAAAUAUAUUUUUUAUUAAUUUUUUAAUUACAAAUUAUAAUUCUUUAAAUAAGGGUAAAAUUAUAAUUUAAAAUUAUUUACUCCCAAUCCAAAACAAUAUAAACACAUAAAUUGGAUUCUGGUUUCAAUUUCAUUCUCUCAUUCGAAUGUAAGUAAACAACUUAUUCCCACUCAACACUCCCAAUCCUAGGAUUCCCACUCCUCAAGAUUUUCACUCCAAUUCAAAAUAUAAACGCUACCUUAUAAGAGGUGGAUAAUCUGAUUUGUAUUUAUGUAUUAAUUAAAAUUAAUAAAAAGAUCGAACUCAUGAAUCAUGAUAAUCACAAUAGAAGAACAUAAGAAUAUCCUAGUAUUUGAGAAAUUGUAAUUUUUGUUUUCUUCGCCUUUGUUAAAUAGCUGCAAAGAUAUAUUUUUCGGUAACUGCUGAUAAAUUAAAUAUACUAUUUAUAGUAGUAGGCUUCAAAUGGAGGGCAUGCAUCUAGAUACAUAUCAAUAAUGAUUGGGAUACAAAUUCAUCGAUAAACUUUUUCUAUGCGAACAUACUUGUCCAUUUAUUAUUAGUCGUACGAAUUUUACAUGGAUGCAUUAUAUUAAUUAUGUUAAAUCAUAUACAUUUAAUAGUGUAUUAACACAUUAAUUUGUACAUUAAAUAUUUAUAUCCCUAUCAUUUCUCUGUAUACACAAAUCUACAAAUGCGAUACAACGAUGUUAGUUUGUCGGGGGAGAUUUGCCCGAAAUUUUCUCGGGCUUGCAAACGCACUGUUUUGGCUGAGUGAAAAUUUGGUUUGCCCAAGAAACUUUGGGGCAUUGCUGGAUCUGAUAGCAGGAACAAUCAAAUUGGCAAGAAAACGGAAAGACAGGCAAAAGUUGUUAGUUGGCACGUCAUGUUGGCCACAAUUCCAAUUUCAAGAUAUUUCUUGCAUCAGCGUCACUAUCAGCUUGGACAAGUCUCUCUCCCCCUUUCUCUUUCAAGGGGAGAAUCUUGUCUAUUUUCAUAUAUAAAUAAAUUCAUAAAAGGGUCGGAUCAUUUCAAUCCAUUAAAUUUCUCUUUACAGCCAUUUAAAAAAAAUGUUAUUAAGAAUUUUAAAUUUGAAAAUUUGAAAAUUAUUAUUCACUAAUCACUUUCUUUCUCAACCUUACAAUUACUUAUUCUCUCUCUAGUAUCAUAUUCUACAAACUAAAUAUUUAAUUUCACUCUCUUUUAACUUUAUUUUUUUAGCCUUUCUUAGUUUAUCAUGAAAAAUUUGUUGAUGUUCAUUUUUUAAAAGUAGUUUUUGUUCUUCUUUAGUUAGUGAUACUAAGUAUUUGCAACUAAAAAAGUACAUUUUAAUGAAUUGAUGAGAAUUUAUGAAAUUGAGAAGAGAAACAUAAUAAGGGUUAAUUAAGUAACUUUUUCAAAAAUUAUUUAGAUAAUAAAAUUCUUAACUAAAAAAAAGGUAUAAAAAGAAAAUUGGUGGGUUCAAUUUCAAAAGCCACCAUUCGUAUCAAUAAGUUCUUUCAAUAUUUGAGUGUUUGUCCUAGAAUCUUGCAUUCUACUCUGUCAACUAGGAAACUAUAUUGGUAAAAUAAGGAUAGAUUUCUCUUUUAUUGGAGUAGUUUCUUCUGAUUUCAAAAUUGAUUUUCAGAACAUGUAUCUCAUGGUUGUGCUAACUAAGACUAAUUUUAACAAAAUUUUAAUUAUAAUAUUAGUAGAAUCGUGCGUAACAUUAACAAAAAUAGUUGAAUAUUUUUCUUAAAAAAAAAAGGAAAUUACCGUACAGGAAAAGGGAGAAGUUUCUUGUUAUUGUUCUUAAAACAACGUACUUUUAUUGAGAACAAAUACAAAAUAUAAAAAGGUUUCUUGUUAGACUUGUCUUAAGAAUCUAUACUUCUCCUUUAAUACAGAAAAUUGCAGUGAAUAGGGGGACAGGUCACUAAUUUUCCUUCAGAUGUCUCCAUCGAUCACUCACAGGCACAAGCAGUUGCUGGUAGUACUUCACAUGUUUUUGUGGGUUUCAUGCAUGUAAGCUUUACAUAUUUCAUACACAAUAACACUCAGAACAAUGACAAGUAUAUAAGACGUUUGUUGUUUCUUAAAUGCAAAUUUUUUUACAAUAUGUAUGACUAAAAUUGAGAUCAUUAUUCAAAAUUUGAGUUUCAAAUAGAUAUAAUAAAUGAAAGAGCUCUAUCAGACAUAGACGGCCGUAUAUAGUUAUUUAGCUUGUAUCAUUUCAUAUUCACUUGGUGAAUUUGUAUGGUGUCACCACAUUUAACUUAUCGUAAGUUAAGAUAAAAACUUUAUCGGUCUGUAUUCAUUGAAGAGAGAGAGAAAUAAAAUGAAUGAUAGAUUUUAUAUAUAAUGAAAGAUAGCACGAGCUUUGUGGAAAUCUCUUGCUCAUAUCUCUCAUCAAAAGGUGCUAUUNNNNNNNNNNNNNNNNNNNNNNNNNNNNNNNNNNNNNNNNNNNNNNNNNNNNNNNNNNNNNNNNNNNNNNNNNNNNNNNNNNNNNNNNNNNNNNNNNNNNCUUUGUUGAAAUUCUAACCCUUGGUAUAUGGCAAGGCUUAGCCAUUCAUCUUCAUGAACUAUUGAGAUUAUUUAAGGCAAAAAACCUAUAUUACAAUAUGCUUUAUGUUUCAAGACCUAAGCUUCCUAUUUUGAUUCUCUAAAAUAUACAAGACAUUAAAAGGAGCUUCACAUGCUACAUAAUUCAUCGCUCUGGAUAUUUGAUUCUUUACAUAAAUGGUAAGUUUUCAUUUGUCCAACUAACCUUUUUCUGUAAUUUUCAAUUAAGUAGUUAAGUUACAAUUGUCAAAAGAGUAAGGUUAGAAUUACAAAUUAUCCUGUACGAAAUUACAUCUCAUUAAAAUAUUGGUUAUACAAAAAUACAGAAUUUAAUAUACGUAAUUAAAAAUUAGCGUUGGUUAGGUAAAUAGUGCUAAAUUUCUAUAUCAUUAAGAUGUAACUAUAUAAGGAAGAAGGGCUAACAAUCCUUAUAUGAGAUGCCAACUGGAAUAUGUCAAAGAGGAGUUGUCUACUCCAAAAUUUUACUCAACCACAAUUAAUAUAUAGUUGUUAAUAAGAAAGGUUCUAAGUCGCUAUCGAGGCCAACUCAGGUUCUGUUAAAAGAUAAUGCACAUAUAGUAGAGCAGUUAUGCUAAACUAAUCUCAAUAGUUUGCAAGUUAAUUAUUAGUAAAUAGUCUCAGAUUUUUAAAUUCUUAGGAACAAUAAAUUCAAUGCUGCUUUUAAAGUUUCGACAGCUAGUUUUAUAGUACGUUUACUAAUUGCUAAUCAAAAUGAACUAAAAUUGGAAUGAUCAGGAAUCAGAAUAAAUUGGAAUGAGAAUGUGGGAUGAGAAUAAGAAUGCAGUUGUUGCUUGAACUACAGAAAUCAAAAUCGAAAUAAGAUGUAUUUCUAUUGAUGUGUUUACUUUGUCUAAGAAUUGGAAUUAAUUGUUUGAAAUUAUUAAAAUUCCCUUAGUUAAUUAUUGUCAUUUUUAUUAUUAUUUACUAUAAUAAUUGUUAUGAAUAAUAAUAAUAAUGAUUUAUCAUCAUCAUCAUCAUCAUCAUCAUUACUACUACUACUACUACUAACAACAAAUAAUGAAAGACCUAUUUGAAAACAUUACAAAAGUUCUAGGUAUUUUUAUAAAUUUUGUAAGUACCAAAAUGCAAAAGUGAUAGGACAUAAUUGAGAGUAAUUUGGGGAUUGUGAAAAUUCAAUGGGGGCAAAAUGAGUUAGUUCUGGGAAUGGAAAAUUCAUUCCCACCCUUCUUAGGAAAUAGACUCGCAUUCCUUAAUCCCAUUUUACUAUGGAUCCCACUCAAAUGAUUAUCAUUCCCACCCUUAUUUUGUGAAGUGAACACUAUUAAUGAUCCCAAUUUUGAAUUUUGGUUCUUCAAUCCGAAAAGUAAACACACCAUUAGUUCUUUUUAAAUAGAAUUAAUUAAAAAAUAAUAAUAGUUCCAAAAAUAUCAUAGGAAAUAAACUACAAUGAAUGUGAGUAAUUCUUGAGUUGCACUUAAGCUUGGGCAUUCUUGAACGAUCGUAAGAUUCAAAACUGGUGUAGUAAGGUGCUUGUUACUUUACCAUUAUUAUUAUUGAAUGAAAAUGAGAGUAAAUUGAUCUAUUCACAUUUUCAAUGGGUAAUUUAAAAUUUGUUAUUCUAGUAGGAGGUUAAAAGAAAUUUUACCCCUAUUAUUAUUAUUAUUAUUACUACUACUACUACUACCACCACCUCUACUACCACCUAUGACUUGAAUCAUUGUGCUUAAGAUCCAAGACAUUAGACCUUAGAGGACUGAUAUUGAAGUGCGUGAUAUUAGAACAUGAGACCCAGCAUUAGAACACUUGGAGUCUAUUCUUACGAUGGAGGAGAGAUUGUUAAUUUUUAACUAUUAUUUUCAUAAUAUCCAAUAACUCCCCUAACACCAUAUAGUUCAACUGAUCCAUAUUUUGUUGAAUUAAAGCAAAUUUUGUGAAAAAAAUCUUAUCAAACUAAUUAAAUAAAAAAUCAAUCCAAACCUAGUCAGUUUAAUUUGGUUAUGUUCGAUUUGAUUCAAGCCAUAUUGUAACAAUCCAAGACCAACAACCAAGUAGAUAAUGUCACUUUGGGCACAUAGUUCAUUACUAGUUCGUUAUUAAGCUUUGCAAUCUAAAACAUGUCUACUUAGUUAGGAGAGCACAAGACUUAUGAACUAGUCCAAACUCUCUCACUAGUGAUGUGGGAUGUUACAUACUUCUCCCCUUGAGGACCGCAUGUCCUUGUGAGGGUCACUGGAAAUAAGACGGAACGAAAUCAUAUCAUUAACAUAUCCAUCCACACAUAGGGUCAUAGCAUAUCUUUGAUACCCAUUGUAAUAGCCCAAGCCUAACAACCAACUCUCCCCUUGAGGACCACGCAACCUCGUGAGGAUCAUUAGAGACAAGACAGAACGAAUAUCAUAUCAUCAACAUAUCCAUCCACACAUUAGGUCACGACCUAUCUCUGAUACCAAUUGUGAUAGCCUAAACCUAAUAACCAAGUAGAUAUUGUCAAUUUUGGGCACACAACGACUCAUGGUUUUAUUAUUGGGCUUUGUAACCUUUAGUUAGGAGAGCACAAGGCUUACAAACUAGUUAAGGUAUUGUCUCGCUAGCAAUGUGGGAUGUUACAGAUAUCAUCACAUUUUUUUCUUUAUCAAAAUAUCUAAGGUCCACCACUUCUACAUUUUCUAAAAUUUUAGGAUAAUAAUUCAUUCUUGGUUCAAUUUGGUUUGACCGAUCCAAACAAAAAUUAAAACUUAUUGAAUGUCAUAAGAAUCAAGCUAAAAUAAAUUCGAUUCAAUUUUUUAGUUUCCUACUCACUCUUAGUUUUGUGACUCGAUUUAAAGGUCUUGCAAGUAGAGUUGACAAAAUAGGUCACCAAGUCAUAUUUAUGUCAUGUCAAUUUUGUGUUGGGUCAAAUUUAAGAUGACCCAAACACGAACCAUUUAAUGAUCGUGUUAAAAUAUUGAAACCUGAACAUGACACAAAAAAUAAACGAGUUGCUGCUUUAUAAAAUGGAAUACCAUAUAAAUGGUCAUCCUACAAAAAACAAGAAGAGAGCGAGAGAGAAAAACUUGUCGAAUAUUUAAGUUUUUAUGACAAGAACCUGCAAAUUAAGUUAUAAUAGAAAAGAUAAGUAUAUUUUAAUGCAAAUGUGAAUUAGUGUUGGUUAACCAUUUAACAAUCAUGUCACUAACCGGAUAAAUGAGUCAAGAUAUUAAACUCUAACCUAACAUGAAGAAACCAUAUUGACCGUGACACGACCCAUUUAAUAAUUGUAUCAAUUUUCAUGACCCAAACCUAUUUAUUUAUGUUGUGUAAGUCUUGGGUAAACAUGUCAUGUCAAAUCUAGCCCGCUCUAUCCGCAAAAUGCAAAACCUAAUAUUAGAAACUAAAUUUUUAAUUCACUAUAAAGAAGGAAAUGAUACUUUAGUUCCUUUCAAAAAUUGUUUUUACACUUGAGACCUGAUAAAUUUUUAGUGUCCUAUUUCAUCUAUGAUAUUAAAACAAUGUCAAAAUUUACCAGUGUAAAAUAUGAUAUUUUCACUAAGAAAUUAAUUAUUUUUAAUUUUAAAAGGUUUUAGAUAAUCAAUCUCUUUUAUAGUGUAUUUUUUUGUUACUGUUUUAAUACUGAGAAUAAAAUGAACAAAACUAAAAUGGAUAUAAUUUUUCAAACAAAAAUAAGGUUUUGAUUAAGGUGUCAAUUCAUGUUAAAGUGUCAUGCCAAAUUUAAGCAACAUGGAUACGAUUCUUUAAUAAUCAUAUCAAAAUCUUUGAAUAUGAAUACGCCAUCUAAUAAAUAGGUUAAUAUGACAUGAUAAAUUAAUAUGUUAAUUUUGGGUUUGACAUGAUUACAUUACGAUUACCCGAUUGACAUGGAAAUAUGAGUAACAAAAUGGCAGGAUAAAUUGAUAAAUAGUCAUGAACAUGUAAACACAUUGAUAUGACAUGAUUACACGAAUAUAUAUACGUAAUUUAUGUGAACUCAAACACAAAAAAUCCGUCUCAUAUCCAUGUUUUAUAAUCAUGUUGUGAUUCAUAUUUAUAGAAGCUUAUUGUUCUAACUUAUUUCAUGCAGUCAUAUUGUGACUUAUAUUUACAAAAACUAGUGGGUCUAACUCAGUACUCAAAAAUUGAGGAAUGCCUUAAAAUUAUAUUUUUAGUAUACUAAAUAUUCUUAGUAGAUGUGAUAUAAUAUCUCAAACACUCUUAUCAUGUGCAACUCAAUCUUUUUGCCUGAUUUUUGUCAUGUGGUAAGGUAAUGUGUGUCUAUUUAUUGGUAAGUUUGGUUUUUGAUAGCAUAUAAAAGUCCGCAAGCCUAACUCAUACUCAAAAACUAGUUUAAGAGUUAAGAAUUACCUUAAACUUAUAUUGCUAGCCUAAUAUCUAUUCUCAGCCGUAAUGUCCUAAAUAAUAUUGCCACCUCUAGUUUUGAUCAUUUUUUCAAUUAAUUGACAACAACUAUUUUGCUCAAAACUUUUAUCAAGAAACAUGCGAUUGACCAGGGUGCUAUCGAAUCAGAGGGCUUUGCUAAAACACUCUCAAACUAAUGCUAUGUCAUCAAAAGUGGAACCAAUUAAAAAAUUAAAAAAUUAAAAAAUUAAAAAAGAAAAAAAAGAAAUCAACUCUACAUCUUAUUGUAGCGUUUAAUUAAAGUGUGGUGUAAUUGAAAGUUUGUAACCAAAUUUAGUCAAGUUUUUAAGCAGUAUAACCUGACUGUUCAAAUAUGGAACAAUGGUUAAUAAAGUUCUAAAUUUUAACAUGCAAAGUCGUGGUAUAUAUAAAUAAUAGAGUUCAUUUGUCCCAAUAGAAAUAAUAUAAGACUAUUGAUUAACCCUAGCAAUUUUUUCAUAUAAAAUCACAAACUCUUGUGAACUCAAAGCAGCAAAGAAAUUUGAUAUUGGCUUUCUAGUCACUACUUUCAUCAUUACGCUGGAUGAUAUUGGUUUUGAUAAUUUUGACGGUACAACAAGCUCGAAUCCGCUAUUUUGAGAGAUAAAUAAGCUCCUAAAGGUACGAAUAAUUUUUAUUUGUGUUUUUCAUUAUCAAUUUUCUUGAUCUCUCUAUGGUCUAGGUUAUCCUUACAUUGAAUUUUGAAUCUUAUACGUUGAACUAGGUUUGAUAUUAGUAGUGUAAAUCAGGUCUGUAUAUGGAUUUGUUUCUCAUAGAUAUUGGGGAUAUUUUAUAUAUUUUAUAAGAAUCUAGACAUAUCAUUCUUAGGCUUUUGUUUGAAAAAAAAAAUUUAUAUUGACCUAAAUAAUUUAUUUAAUUAUCAUUAUUUAUUCAUUUCUAUAAUUAUUAUUUUUGUUCACCCUUAUAAUUAUUUUUAUUUUUUAGAAGCGUUUUUUAUUUAAAUUAUUGAAAAAUAAAAAACCGACCGUCAGCCGCCACGAUUUGUAACCGACCACCAGGAUCUGUCAAUCAACUAUCAUCGAUAAGUCUCUAUUGAGUUCACAAAAGGUAAACUUGACCUAGUUUAUGUAAUUAUUACUAUUGUCUCCUCUAUCUGAUAUUGCGUUCACAAGAAAAUGACGGCUAAAAUUUCAGAUGAAAGAUAGCAUCACCAUCAAACAGCGGCGUUGAGUGGUGCACCAAAACCACCACUAAGUUGAGCUACCAUCGAUUACAAAAUUAUGGUGAUGAUACAAAAUUAUUAGACAUGUGUUAAUAGUAUUUUAGAAACUCUUUCGUAUUAUAAAACACAAUGUUUGCUCAUCACCAUUAAGUUUAGGAAUUUAUCAAAUUCUUAAUAUUUAAGUGUAUCGAGAAAAUACACCUAAUUAAGUUUAGCAAGUAACAAACGUCUAGUUGUUUGGACAACCUAAUUUUUGUUUUAAUAGAGUUUGGACAACCUAAUUAGUUUAUCAUCUUAUAGUGAAAAUAAGAGAUUAAGUGUCCAAGUUUUCCUUACCCUAGUAUCUCACAAGUACUUAUUUAAGUGUUUUGGAGAAAAAUGAAAAGCAUUCAAGGAAUUUAAUAGCACUAGCAGUGUUUAUAAGGGUUGCAUGAAGCAUAUAUACUUAACCUAAGAUUUAUUUCUAUAUCGAUCUAGGGAUAUUCUUAGCCACAUGCUCUUUGUUUUAGGCUAGUCUAAGACACGAAAAUUGCCUAGAUUUCAUAGUCUUCAUGCUUUAGACUACUCCUAGGUCAUCUUUUACAUGAAUAAAUACUCUGUGUGUGUGUGUGUGUGUGUAAACACAAAUCAAAGUAUACAGUUCAAUUCAUUUCCUUAUCUAAUUCUCCAAUCCAACAUAUAAUGUUGUGAUCAAUAGGAGAUAAUGAAUUUAAAGAGACAAUGACUUUCUUAUGACUAUAUCGUUGCCAUUUUUCCAUAAUGAACACGGAAAUCUAGACAUUUAUGACCAUGAAAACACCAAAAUUUAUUGAAUUUGAAUUUGUGUAGUCAUAUAGUCGCCAAUAUUUUGCUUAUGUUUUAUCCGUUUAUUAAAUUAUGUUUCCUUAUAUUCUAAGCUAGUACAUACAAUAUAUGUCAUGAUGACGACAAUAUUAUAUAUAUUGUCGCUUUCGAGCUUUAAAUUGGCAGUGUUGUUUCCUCCUAGCUCUUUUGGUGAGCUUACAGAACUUUAAGGAAAUAGCCCUUUUUAAUCUUGUCGUUUAUAUUCCAAAGGCUUUUUCCCCAGUUGAUUUUAUGAACCGUAUGGUACUAGAUUUUGGAAUAACAUGAGCCUUCCAAGAAGUUUCCAUUGCUUGGGCAAUAACUUGACUCAAUAUUACCAGUAUUUUAUACAUAUAUAUACACCCGCACACAUAUGUAUAGUCAUUCUGUAGUGGGAACAUCCUUACUUUGUCAGUAAAAAAAAAAACCAUAAAUUUUAAUACAUUAGAGACAACAUUUUCUUGUCUGUUACUAUAUGUCUAUAUAUAAAAUAAAAGGGUGAUGGGUUAAAUCUGAAUUAAUCUACUUAAAAAUCAAUCGACCAGACUCGUUGGGAUAAUGUAAUUAGUAAAAGUUCUGAAAACAGAGAAUACCAAAAAAAAAUAAAAAAAUUGGAGGGGUGUUAGGUUUCUGAAAGAAAGAUGGCCGUUGUUGAAAUCUAACGUGUCGUCUUGUAGCUGAGCCAUUCACCUUAUUUUGCAAACAAAUUGUUGUGUUGUCACUUAGUUGUUCGUUGUUUUGAAUAUGAGUUUUGACAUUUAAUUCUUUGUAACUGAAAGUUUUACUUUCUUCUUAAUAUUUAAUGGCUAUUUAUUGUUAUCAUCAUCAUCAUCAUCAUCAGUAUAUAUAGUUUUCGGUUGACAUUAGAAAAUAUGUAAUGCUCAUGUAUUCAAGUAUCCACAUAUAUUAUGCAUAUAUAAGAUGCCUUCAUCAACUGCAGUUUUUAGUAGUUCUUUUUUUUCCCAGCAAAUUGUUUCUCUAUAUUUGUUGUUUUCCAGAAAGGGUUGGAUAAGAUGUUGUGGAUUUUAGUUUUAAUUUCAUCUUACUUAAGAAGUGUGAUUUACUAUUUCUUUUUCCUUCUUGGAAAUUUUGUUUAUAAAGCUUUACAAGUAAUGGAGGAGGCCAAUGAGGACAGGAUUUUAGUAUGACAGUCACAAUUUUUUUUUUAAUCCAAAUGAUACAAUAUACAUUCUCAAUAUCGUUGUCUAGCAAUUGUAGCUUAAAAAAAGAAGGUUAUCAAGUAUUUUUUGAACAAUACUUGGAACUAUAGGUUUGGUGACUUUACAGCCUAGGUUAGAGGUAUUGUUUAACAAUUUUAUUCUUAGGAUAAAGAAUCCUAAAUUAAGAGAAAUUCUACUCUCAUAAUUAUAUAAAGAAACUUGAACUUUUCACCUUAAGGAUAUGAUAAAUAAGUAUCAACCAGUCAAACACUGUGUGAAAAGGUAAUUUAUCAAUUGAUAUUAAAAUUAGUUGUGGUUUAACGUUAAAAUUGUUACGAAUAUUGCAUAGCUGUUAGUUUUAUUGUUAUGACCAUAGCACUUCAAGAAAGUCAUAUCUCAUAGUCUGAACGGAUAACGAUUCAAUAUUGAGUUGAGUUUUUACUGAAUAUUAAAUUAAAGGUUGUUAGAUAAGAUAAAUAAAAAAUAAAAUAAUUAAAAUAAUUAUAACAAUUGAUUAAGUGCUCAAGAAAAAUUUAACUCAAUAGUGAAUUCUAAUACAAUAUGAACAACAUCAAAUAAUUAGAUUAUAUAAAUUUUAUUAAUUUUCUGAUAAUCUAACGGUACCUAAACUAUAAGGUGUAAUAACUUUUAAGAAACCAUUGUUGUACCCAAAGUUUAGGGUUGAAGCAUGAAAUUUAGGAAAAGGGUUUAGUACAAAAAGUCAAAAAGAUGUCAAAAACAAUUCAACCUAGACAUUGAAAUCUAAACAAUGCUUAUCCAAUAUUCCAAAUAGGAACUCCCAAAACUAAAAAUCAAAAUUUUUGACCCGUUCGAGGCCUUAUGGUUUUGGUCUUUUAGAUAAUCGAGGAAGUCAGUUCAGCUGAUCAGCUUCUAAUAUCAUUCAAAUGUCAUCCACUCAAAAUAAUUACAGCAUCAUCAAAACUGUAUAAUUAUAAAAAUUUUACAUGACAGUGAGAUGCACGGUAACUGUUGAGCUGUCAUUGUUUUGAGGAAUGACAACUAUGCAUAGAUGCUAGCAACCUUCUCCUUUCAGCAAAUUUUAAAGUGUAGGCAAGGAAUAAAAACUGUCAAAUUAAUCAAAAUAUAUUAAAUUUCUUUUUAGAAAAAUUAAAAAAUUGUCCCUAUCAGAACAUUUGAAAUUUCACAAGCAAAAUACAUAAGAUUUAACUUUAUUGAUAUAAUCUCCUUGACUACGUUCAUACUCUAUUAAUUUAUUAUAUCAACUUACUUUUAUAACAAUUUCUCAUAGACUAUAUAGGAUAAAAGAUAUUUGUAUGUGUAAUUAGUUUUAUAAAUACAAUCAAGGGUCAAAAUUAGGCAGUCGUGUAGUGAUUUAGACAGGCCGGGGAUGAUAACAAUUACACAAAUUAGUGGACUCAAAAAUUCAGUAUGAUAUAAUUUAAUUAUACCCAGUUGUUGGAUUAGGUCUAGAUUGUGAUUUAAUCGAUAAAAACUUUUGGGCGAAAUGACAAAAGAAGCCUUGAUGCUGUGAUGCCUUGAUGCCUUGAUGUGACUGCCAUAGCCAAAUUAGCCAUUAGCCAGCAUCCUUAAUCUUCCCCUCCACUCAAACACAACCCCAUGUAAUAAACUAAAUCCAAUCUGAUAGGUACAAAAAAACAAGUAGACUUGAACCUUUUUUUGCCCUUUGCAUGUCAGUCCCCAAAUGGCCUCUCUCUCAGACAACAGCAACAGUACUCUUAUCUUUUAAGCAGAAUUUUAGCCAACAGCUUCAACAAAGGCCAUAGCCAAUCAACUGUCAGGUGUUUGCCUUUUUCGACCGUAUAUAUUUAUACAUAAACAUGCAUAACCAAAUUUCACCGUAAUUUCAUUUCUUUUUAAAUUUAAUUAUGUAAUCAUCUAAAUUUUAAUCUAAUAAAAAAUUUGACACUGUCACAUAAUACUAUACUAUUAAUUUUGAAAAUUUGAUCCGCUAAAAUAUACGUAUAUAUUUAUUUAAUUAAUUGAGGUGUUUUCAGGGAUAGAUCUAUGUUAUGGCUUGGGGUCUUUAAGAUUGUUAUAUAUUUUUAGAAAAAAAAUGGCUUUAAUUAAAAUUUGAUUAAUUUCUCUCCUUUAGCUUAUAUUUUUUUCUUGUUCUCAUCUUCUUACGUAAAUUUGUAGUUUCUUCAUUCUAGCUGUAAUUUAACUAACAAUUCUAUGUUCUGACAUUGUGAUAUAUAUAUAUAUAGAUUUUGGUGUGACGUCUUCAUGAUUUUAAUUAAAAUAUGCUCACCUAUGAUUGUUAUAUAUUUUCAGGAAAAAUAAUGGUCUUAUUAAAAAAAUUUCCAUUUCUCUCUUCAACUUAUAGAUUUUUCGUUCUAGUCUUCUUAAGUAAAUUUAUAGUUUAUCCAUUCUAGUUUCGAUUGAACUAAAAAUGUUAUGUUAUGAUAUUGAGUGUAAAUGUCUACACUUUAUAAAGUACAGAUUCACCACCAUUUACAGUGCUAUAAAAAUACUUCACACAAUUUUAGAGUUUUUUACAAUACUAUAUAUAUAGAAGCGAAAUUACAUUUUAUAAAAUGCAGACAUCGGCACCUAUUAUUUUUAUUUUAUUUUUGAGAAUCACAUUCGCACCUUUGUUUGAUUGUGAAAGAAAGUAGUCGUAGUAAAAAUGAUGGUUUAAAAAAUAGUGAAGGGUUAGUUUGUUUACCGAGUGGCCCAGUGAGAGGGAGAGGGUGAUGAAGGUGAGUUUGUCUGCAAGUGAGAAAGAAGAUACGAAAACGAGAGAGAGAGAGAGAAAAGAGUGUAUGUGUGUAUAUGUGUAGCUGUUCUGUUCAUGCUGCCCUCACGCACCAUCCUAUGUCGUUAUGUGGCUGCGGAUUGGGUCCACCGACCUGUAUCCCCCCUUACCUUCUCUCUCUCUCUCUCUCUCUCUCCCCUUUCAUUUAAUUUAUUUUUUGCAAUUUGUAGCUGAAAUAAUUGAGCAAAAUCGGGGGAAAAAAAGGAAUAAUAAUUCAAUUUGUAAAUCGAAUAAAUAAGAAGAUAAGAAGAGUUUUUAUUUUUAUUUUUUGUAUAUGUAUAUGUGUUAGUGUAUCUGCAUGACACCAAAUCAGUACAGCAUCAGUUAUUACAAAAUCCUGGCAUUCAAAAGAAGAGAAAAUAAUGGGUUAAUAAGUUGAUUGAUUCCCUUUUCCUUUUCUCUCUACAUCUGCUACUACUCUAAAUUUUUUAUUUUUUUUCUAAUUUUAUUUUUCCUCCCUUCUCAUUAUUCAAUACUCAUCAUCAAAAGCCUCAUCAUCAUCAUCAGAAGCUUCAGAUAAGAUUUUCAAAUAAACUCUGUUCUUUAAUUUUAAUGUGGGCUUGCUGGGUUUCAGUUUCAGAUAUUGGUUUGUAAAGAACUUAACACAAACUGACGAGCAGGGACUCCUGAAAGCAGCAGCAAAAGCUAGAGUUCUCAUUUCAUAUGAAUAUGUCAGCUUCUUCAUCAGCUCCUUUCUUUGAAAUUAGAGAAGAUCAGAAUCAGAUGAAGCAACAACAUUCUUCAACACCAACUUCAUCUUCAGCUCCACCUCCAGUUCCACCACCUCAGAAGAAAAAAAGAAACCAGCCCGGAACUCCAAGCAAGUAUCAUUCAAUUUUGUUUCAGUUAUUAAUUUAUUCAUUAUUAAGAUCUACAACAGCUAAUUAAUUGAUCAAUUAAUUCUCUCUUCAUAAUUUUCUUUCCUUCAAUUUUUUUUCUCUCCGGCUGCUAGUAGCCAGCCAGCUAGCUAACCCUAAUUUUUGAAUUUAAAAAAAAAAAAAAAAAACAGAUCCGGAUGCGGAGGUGAUAGCACUAUCACCAAAGACUCUAAUGGCAACAAACAGGUUCAUAUGUGAAGUAUGUAAUAAAGGGUUCCAAAGAGAGCAAAACCUACAGCUACACAGAAGAGGACACAAUUUGCCUUGGAAGCUUAAGCAGAAGACUACAAAAGAAGUGAAGAGGAAGGUCUAUCUUUGCCCUGAGCCCACAUGCGUCCACCAUGACCCUUCUAGAGCUCUUGGUGACCUUACUGGCAUCAAAAAACACUACUCAAGAAAACAUGGUGAGAAAAAAUGGAAGUGUGAGAAGUGCUCCAAACGUUAUGCUGUUCAAUCUGAUUGGAAAGCUCAUUCUAAAACUUGUGGCACUAGAGAAUAUCGAUGUGAUUGUGGCACCCUUUUCUCCAGGUAAUUUAUUUGUUUUUUCAUUCACUCCAUACAAAUUCUUCUUCCACUCUCUUUAUCAUCAAUCAAUCUUCCUUAAUCGGCUGCUUUGGUAUAGGGCUUAUAGUAAUUUUCAAAUGACGAAGAUAAAGUUUGAUACCUUUUCCUCUUCUUCUCCUCCUCAAUUCAUAACUCUGCCCACGUGAAUAACCUGUGAAAAACUGCCAUACUCGUAGAAGGAUUUUUUUUUUAAUUUUAAAUAAAAAAAUAAAAUUUUAAGGAAGGAAAAAAAUACUAUCUUUCUUUUCUUUUUCAUUUUCUUGGGUCCUUGGAAACACCGCCCUUUUUUAGCGUUUGUUUACUUUUUCUUAUUCACAUUUUGUGAGAUGAGAGAGUUGUUGUUGCUGCUGCUGCUGCUGCUGCUGUGUUGUUACCUUGUUUGUUCUCUUAUGAGUUGGCUAGAUGUGAUCAGUUCUGUGCUCUCUCUGAAGCCCUUUUCAUGAUAACGUUAGCCCUCAGCCUUCUCUUCUCUCUCUCUUUCUUGGUUUCUUGUUUUGACGUUGCAAAUUUUACAGUCUACAAUUUUGCAGAUUUAUCCUUCAGUCUGUUAUAGGCAGAUUUUCCCUUUUUACUUUCAUUUUUUUGGGUUUCUUUUUUAAUUAUUAUCCUUUGCUCAGGCAAACACAAUUCUCUCUACAUCAUCACAUGAGUUUUGAUCAUACAUAUUAAUUAAAACAAGUCCUGAAAUGGGUUCUUGAUACAUUCUCUUAUUGCAUUUAUUGAACACCCGCAGUUCUUGAAAUGGGUAUUUCACGUUCUAUUGCUUAAUCAUUUCUAAGUUUUAGUGAAUUCCUUUCACCUACCUUAAUUAAUAAUUUUUUUUUCUUGUGGAAUUUCAGUUACUUUACUUAAUCAUAUACUAAGAAAAUUAAUAAUUAUAAUAAUAAUAAUAAUCUUUAAUUUGAGUACAAUUUUAGGGUUUCAGAAGACUUAGGGCAACAAUGGAGGUAUUAUUGAAGGUCAUGUACGAUGAGUCACAUGGGUUUUAACAUUCUGUCAUCAUCAUGAUUUCAUUUGGACUUUCAUUUCUAUUUUGUUUUUCAAAUUCUUUGCAGUGGGCCUUAUUUAGUUACUAUUUUUAUGAUACCUGGAAAUGUGCCAUUGUUUUUUAUGUCAUAUGCAUUUUCACAGUGAUUCAGUUUUUCUAUCCACAUGUAAUCAUCAAAAAAAUCUAUAAUUUGAUGUGGUAGCAGUAUAGCCAAAGGACAUUUUGUAUACAGCUAGCUUGUGGUUCAAAUUUGUUUUCACUUCUCUUUUUUUAUGUAUUGUGUCCUUUUUAUUAUAUCUAUCAGAGGAGAUCUAAUGGUUUCUUCUUUUGCUAAUAAUUGCUGCAGGCGCGACAGUUUUAUCACUCACAGGGCUUUCUGUGAUGCACUCGCUCAAGAAAGUGCAAGACACCAACCAAGUUUGAGUGCCAUUGGCAGCCAUUUAUAUGCAAGUACCAACAACAUGGCCUUAGGCUUAUCUCAAGUGGGUCCCCAACUUUCCUCAAUCAAAGACCACCACCAACCCAAUCAAUCCGGUGACAUUUUAUGCCUCGGCGGCAGUGGUUCCCGGUCGACGCCAUUUGAUCAUCUGCUUUCACCUUCAAUGGGGUCUUCAUCGUCGUCGUUCCGACCACCGCAGAGUUUGGCGUCAACCCCAUUUUUCAUGCAAGAAUCAAACCAGAACUACCAUGAAGAGCAACAACAGCAUCAACAAGGGUUGUUGCCAAAUAAGCCGCCGCCGUUCCAUGGACUAAUGCAAUUUGCUGAUCUUCAAAACAACCCAAACAACAGUAACCCAGUUACAAACUCAGCAGCAGCAGCUAAUAAUCUCUUCAACCUUAGCUUCCUUUCAAAUAGUAGCUCAACCAACAGCUUAAGUAACAGCAACAGCAACAACAACAAUAACAAUGCCAGCAACUUAAUGUUAUCUGCAGCAGGUGGUCAUCAUCAUCACUUCAACAACAAUGAACAAAAUGGGACUGCUAGUACUGGCACCGGUGGAGUUGAUCAUCAUCAAGGAACGAACAAUAAUCUCUUCACGAACAACUUAAUCAGCGAUCAUCAAAUCAGCUCCGGCGCUGUCCCCUCACUCUUCAGUACCUCAUCAGUGCAUCAAAAUGAGACCAUGGUCCCCCACAUGUCAGCCACAGCACUUCUUCAAAAGGCUGCUCAAAUGGGCUCAACUUCAAGCAACAACAACACUGCUUCGUUGCUAAGGAGUUUCGGCGGAAGCUCGUCCUCAAGUGGCUCAAAACCUAAUAACAACAACAACAACUUUGGUGGUGUUGGUAACGUAUUUGGUGGGCCCGGAUCAUCAGAAAAUGAUAACAGCAGCAGCAUCCAUGACCUAAUGAACCCAUUUGCAGCCACCAAUUCAUCGAUUUUCGGAACUGGGUCAAAUGAUCAAGUCAAUGCAUUUAGCGGGCAAGAUCAAAACCACCACCGCCGCCACCACCAUCAUCACCCUAAUUAUGAAGCAAAGCUGCACCAUAAUAUGAACGCAGGCAUGGGUGGAUCAGAUAGAAUGACCAGAGACUUUCUUGGCGUUGGACAAAUUGUGAGAAGCGUAAGUGGUGGGUUUCAGCAAAGAGAAAAACAACAGCAGCAACAUGGCGGCGUCAUCGAUGUAAGCUCAUUGGAUUCAGAGAGAAACAUCACUGCACCAACAAGCCAAUCAUUUGGAGGAGGAGGAGGAGGAGGAGGAGGGAGCUUUCACUGAAGAACAAUAAGCAAGUACAGGUACGUUGAUUAUUUUAGCGACGUUAGUUUCAAUAGUUAUCUAUGAUUUUGGAUUUUGUUGGUAAAUGUGUCCUAAAGACUAAGUUUUUUUUUUUUUAAAAAAAAAAUUACCGUUCUUUUUUUUUUUUUAAAAAAAAAAGGUUAAAUUUCGCUGACACAAUGUUUCGUUGCAUGGGGCAGUCAUGAGUUGGGAGUACAUAUGGGUUUUGUUUCUUUUCUUGUCCUUUUGUUUUUAUUUUCUUUUUUCUUGUAUUUUUCUUUCUUAAUUUCUUUUUAUUUCACAUUGUGUGCUGGCAGAGAGUCACGAGUAUGAUGUACAGGAUAUGCUCAAACAAAUGUCUUCUCUAUUUAUAUAAUUCAUUUGCUAAAUCAUAAUUAUAUUCCAAUUCAUGAUUUAUAUUAGAAUUUAUAGUAGUAUAUUGUUAAGAUUCGAUUAUUUAUUAUUUAUUAUUUAUUUGAUAACUACUAAUUAUAAUAUUAUAAAAAGUGUAAUUUAACACUGAAUCUAAGUGCUUAUAUUGCUAUAUAUAUAUAUAUAUUAUUACUUUUUUAUCCGUGCAAAUCAAAAUUUCCCUCUUGCCUCUCUUAUUUUCCACCUGUUUUUCUUUUGGUUUUUGACAAAAGAAAAUUAGAAAUCAAACUGAUCAAUAGAAGCUUUUUUUGUGCUUGAUUUGACUGCUGUAUUUACCAUUCAUGCAAGAUUCGAAAGGUCAUGUGCUUUCCCUACACACCACACAAAUUAAAUUGGGAAAAAUGAUGAUAUUAUUAUUUUUAUUAAUUUAUCUGUUUAUCAUUUUUCUUCAAAUAGUAGAACAUGAUGCUAUCAAUUUGAAAAGGCAGAGGCAAUACUAAAAAACGACACUUUUUACUGCAUUCAUGUUGCAUCUUUCGGCAAAAAUGUUUACACAUAAAAUGACGUCCCAAUAUAUUCUUCACUUCAUGGAUCUAGUCGUGGCUGCUUUGAUAAUAUAACAUCUAUAUUUCAAAUGUGUUACAAAAGAAGCAUAUGCAUUAUAGUAUGUACCAACUCUCUCUCUUCUCUCUCCCUCCCCCCCCCCCCCCUCUUUUCCACUCUUAAAUUUCUUUUUUGCAUUAGAGAGGUGACACAACGCUGACAGAAACACAGACAAACGAUAUCGUUUUGCAACUAAAAGGAAGAAAAAAGUCAGAAAUUGCAUCAUUUUUUCUUUGUUUCUUCAGCACUCUGUCAACCCUAUUUAGCAUUAUAUAUAUAUCAAUUACUUCAAUGGCGGUUUCUCUUUUGUUUGUGCUGCAACAAAUAAAUGUAUUUGAAUUUGAGGAAACUUGAAUUUUUCUUUUCAAACAGAAUCUCUCUCAAUAAUUAACUUUAUUGUGUAGUUUGAAGGUGCAUGCAACUUGCUUCAUCAAAGGCUUUCUCCUCUUUCAGCUGGAGUCUGUGGGCAUUCUCAGCAUGCAGCAUAAGUUUCCUCAAGUGUAACCAGGAGUUUGAAGAACCACUUCUCGUAUUUUGGAGGGUGGCUGUGAGAGAUAUAGUAGAAAUUAAGUUCAUUCUGUUUGCUUCUUGUUAGUGUUAUUUCAUGCACUAAAUAGGUACUAGUUUUCUAGACCAUAAGGUGGGAGAGCUUUAAGCCUUUAACCUUACUCUUAAAUCCAUACAAUGUGUCACAUAAUAUGUUUAGAAUUAUUUAUUAUGGUAUUUUGAUGGGAAAAAAAAUUAACAUGCAAAACCACCUUGGAAAACAAGUCUCUUUGCUACCAUAUAUAUUUAUUGGAAACAAAAGAAAGUCUUUAGUACUCCGAGUGUAACGACCAUUUCUAAUAAAUUGCUGUCAUGUGUGAAUAGAGAUAUUCAAAAUAAUCUAUCAAGACAAAGUAGAUACACAUGGUAACAAUUUAUCAAAAGAGUGCAUUAUACGCGAAAUACUCAGGACUUUCUCUAUCUUUUUUUUCUCUCUUUUUUUUUUAAAUGAAGAUCUCUUUUAAUUUAAGAGCAUUUUGAAAUAUUAUGUCUAUUUUUUUCCUUAAUUUACUUUUUAAAAGAUAGAAAAGUGAGUAAAACUAAAAUUUACCUCCUUUAGGAUUUGAACUCAAGUGACUAAUUAAAUAAAUCUGCUCGAAAACUGCUCAACGAACCUCUGAGGGCAUAUUAUGUCUAGUUCUACGCCCUAGAAAUUAAAAUGUCCUAAGUAAAUGUUGCUAUUUUUUAAUUAAUUUCUUCUUGUUUCAUCAAGUUUACCAACAAAUAUAUUAUAAUUUGUGAUAAUUUAUUUUGAUUAAUCCAAUAGAUCCCAUCAAUAAUCCUAAUAUUUGAGUCCUAAACAGAUGUGACAGCUUACCUUAUCUAAAAGGUGGCAUAUCAACUUAAUUGUUAUCUUAAUAUUUAUCAAGGAGAGGUGAAAUUGUAAAUUAAUAAGGGUGUAAGAAUGAAAUUUGUUAAACAAAUAGUUGAUUGAGGGUUAAUAAAUUACUUUUGAGGAUAUAACUCACCAAAGACAAAUGUUGAACCUAUAUAUAUCAUCACAAGACACACAUCCCAUGAUUACCAAGUCAUAAGCUAGAAUUUUCAAAAAAAGCUUAACUGAGCAUUCUAUAAACAAACAAGCACUCUACACACAAAACUCGACACAUGUAGCACUUUUGAAUCCAAAAUGGAAAUGUAUUGUGUGGUAUGUGUGUGCUCUUGCUUUUAUCUAAUAGCGUACACUUGUUACCACUCCCCAGCCCACGUGCCAGUCUUGCUUUGCUUUCAUGCUCGCCUUUAAGCAUGUUUAUAUUGCUGCCAAUGGCUUGGCACAAGGAUAUAAGUCAAGCCUUGGCAUGCCUGUCAUAGGCAAAGGUGGUGGCAAACCUUCCCCAUUAGAAUAGCCCAAUGUCUUCUUCAGGUUGGAGACUAUAUAUAUCUUAACCUCCUUUUCAAAUUGCUAUAUUGAAACUUCCUUCUCCUAGCUAGCAACCUAUCACAGGAUGAGUUUUGUUGCACAACAUCCCAUGCGACACUUAGACCACUUUUAACACAAAAGUUGCUAAGUAAGCCUAGAAAACUUCUUAAACUAGUCAAGCAAGAAUGCUUGCGAUAAUGUUAGGGAGAAGAGAGAGUAAUAUGACCAAAUAUAAUUUCAUUACUCACAAAAAGAAAAUACAAGAGAGCAUUUUAUAAGAGCUUGAGUGGCUGGUGUGUGUUGUGUGUGUGCUGGUGUGGUUGUGUUGUGCAAAAUGGCAAGUGUCAUGGGGUAUUUAUAGAGUUACUAGCCUAGUUCUAGAGCUCACCAUGCAAGUUGGCAACUUGCCUAAAAAUCUAACUAGGGACUAAAGUGCAAAAGACCAUAAAUUUCAUGGUAAUUUCCUAAUUGUAGAGAAUUCUAGAAUUCGCUUUAUCUCUUGCUGAGUGCACCGUGACUGGCUAGUUGUGUGAGGCGCCCCAGUGCUGAGUGCACCAUGCUGCUAAGUGCACUCCGUUUCUGGACGAACUUUUAUUGAGAGCACCUCUGCACACCAAUUUACCCUCUGCUUUCGGUAAAUUUGGGCAGCCCAUAACAAACUGAUUUACUGCCAUUCUUCACUACGCUAGAUUUUCUAUUUUUUUAAUCCUUUUUACUUUGCGUCAUUGUUAUGUGAUCAAGGAUUUUUUCCACUUUCUUAUCAUAUUUUUUUCAGAUCAUCGGUAAAGCAUGCUUGGUUUGUUGGCGCCCCUGAUUAUCUAAGUUUUCACUAAAAAGCUUAAGAAAGUUUACAUGAAAUGUAAGAUGGAUAUUUGGUCGAGGAGGACUUGAUUUAUGCACAUGGUGGGCGAUUGUAUAUUCCUACAGAAGGGUACCUAUAUAAUUUUUUGUUACAGAAUAUGCAUGAUCAAUGGGCCAGACAUCCGAGGGUAAAAAAGAUGGCACUGCCGGAAUGUUCAUAUUACUGGCCUAAAAUGAAAGAUGACGCACAAUUAUAUGUUAAAACUUGCCUAAAUGUGUCAGACUAGACAAGAUAGAGAAGAGGAAACUGGCAAGACUUCUACAACCAUUACCAAAUCCUGAGAGUCCUUGUUAUGGUUGAUUAAUUUUUGAAAUACGUGAUAUUUAUGCUCAUGCUUAAACCCAUGCUUGCCCAGCAAACAUGGCUGCAGAGCUAUACAUUAAGCUUGUGGUUAAACACUUUUGUGUGUUAGAGGAAUAUUUACGACAAUAUGUGAUAGUUGUUAAUAUAUAUAUUUCCAUAAUAUUGAUUUUGAUGAUAACAAACAAGAUUAAGAAUUAUUAAUCUUUUAAGCUCAAAUUAUUUAAUAUUCUUUUUAAAUAAAUCAUUAUUUUUACAUUAUAAAGGUUUUAUAUUUAAUGGAAAAAUGAUUUUAUGAAAUUGAUUGUUUUUAUUCUUUUUAAAUAAGUCAUUAUUUUCACAUUAUAAAUGUUUCAUAUUUAAUGGAAAAAUGAUUUUAUGAAAUUGGUUCUUUUUCAAAGUUUAUGGUUUAAUUGAAAGAAUUUUGAAAACUUUGAAAUAAACAAGUAUUGCUUGAAAUUUUGGAGAAGGACUUAUUUGAAAAGUGUCAUAGCAUUUUGCGCUAUAUUAUAAUUUUAGAAAGUUUUGGGAUUAACAAAGCAUUACUUAGAAAUUCUAAAAUUAGACUCAUUUGCAAAGUUUCAUAACAUUUUGGGCCGUAAUACAGUUUUGUAAAGUUUUGGGAUCAAACUAUAAUUUUGAAAAAUAGUGCACUGUGCAGGUUACUGUAGCAUCCGGCUUAUCGGAUAUAAAAACCAGAAAACCGGAUACGGGGCAGUAAGCAUCCGGAACGUAAAUGGCUUACCGGAUUUCGUAACCGGCAAGCCGAAUAGGCAAAAUUCAAAUUUUUGCCUUAACGGUGACAUCAAUCCGGCUUACCGGAUUCCAUAAAUGGCAAACCGGAUACGCCCAGAAUGUGCAUAACGGCUAGUUUUUUAGUUCAAACUAUAUAAACUCAAAACCAAUUCAUUUUUGGGAAAUCCAAGCAAGCAAGAACAAGUGCACACAACAUAUAUUGAGCUUCAAUUUCGUAACUCAUCAUUUAUUAAAUCAUCUUUGUUCUUCAAUUUGUAUAUCCACUCUUAAAGAGAGAUUCAUUGUUGUAUUUUUCAUUUCUCAUCAAAUUGUGAGUGUACAAGUGUGAGAAACACUUGGAGUGAAGAGAUUGGAGAGAUAAUCUCUUAUCGUAAAGGUUCAUUGACACCUUGAAAUUAAUUGUAAACGUUUGAAGCCUUGGAAAGGCUUAGAUAGUGAAAUCCUCAAGCCCGGUGUGCUUGGAGGCGUGGACGUAGGCGGGGAUUACCGAACCACGUAAAAAUCCUUGAGUUUGCUUUCUCUUCCCUUGCUAAUUUAUUAUUGUGCUUUCAUUGAAUUUAUUGUUUUCGAAUUUAUUAAAGCAUUAUAUUGGAUUUGUGUGUGGUUUGCUUAACUUAAUUUUAAAAAUCUCAAUUCAUCCCCCCUCUUGGAUUGCCUAGUUAGUAUUUCAAUAGUAAGCCAAAAAAAUUAGGCGAACUUGCUGGAUGCGGCUUGAUUUUGUUAUAACAUUCAUCGGUCUAAUGCUAGUUAUUAUCAAGUUUUCUUCGAAGAUAUGGCAACCCGUAUGAUAGCACUCAGUCUUACUUAACUAGCCACUCAACAAUGCCAAAGAAAUGCCUUAUGAGGCCCACAAUAGAGGUUAUUGUAAGAGUCUAACUCAACUAACAAUUAUAAAUGAGAAUAUGGUAACAAAAACACACAAUAUUUUAUGAAGGCUCCGUCCCAACUAUUCUAGUAUUCAACAAUAGAGGAAAAAAAAACAACUUAACCCAAAGGUUUGUGUUCUCUUUGAGGCUACAUUUAAUACAAAGAAUGAAAGAGCCAAAGGCUUAAUACAAAUACAUUUAAUACAAUAUGGGGAAAAAAACAAACAACUUAACCCAAAUGUUUGUGUUCUCUUUAAGACUACACUUAAUACACAUACAUUUAGUUUGCCAAAACUAAAUGUUCUCUAAGCUUUUUGGUACCCUUAUAACUUUUAGGUAGCUUUGGAGCUUUUGAGAGCACACAAUAUUUUACGGAUGCUCCAACCCCUAACUUUUCUAUUAUUCAACAAUAAAAAAGAAACAACCUAAUUCAAAGAUUUGUAUGUUCUUUGAAACUACAUUCUAUACAAAGAAUGAAAGAACUCUAGUUUGCUAAAGUUAAAUGUUCUCUGAACUUUCAAGAAACCAAGGUCCUAAAAGUUCAAAAGCUACCUAAAAGCUAAAAGGCUACCAAAAAGCUUAGAGGACAUUUAGUUUUGUCAAACUAGGGUUCUUCGAUUCUCUGUAUAGAGUGUAGUCUAAAAGAGAACAGAAGCCUUUAGGUUAGGCUGUUUCUUUUUUAUUGUUGGAAAAUAAAAAGUUAGGGUUCGAAAUCUUUGUAAAUUAUUGUGUGUUCUUAUUGUUGGAUUCUCCUUCAUUGUUGUUGAUUUAGUCAGUCUCUUGCAGUAACCUUUAUUAUAAUCCCUUGUGUGGCAUUCCAUUGGCAUUGUUGAGUUAGGAUAUUAAUUUAAAAAUAAAUAAAAUAUACAAUUACCUUCUCUCAUGAAUUCAGUACAUAUCUUACCCAAUAGAAAAAAGAUUGGCCUAAAAUGAACUAUUAUUAAAUAAGUAGAAAUUAAUUUUGAAGUACAUAACUGAUGUAAGACUUUUUAUUUGUAUUUAGACAAUUAUAUUUAUAAAAAUUAUAAAAUAUGUUUAUGUAUAUAUAUUUUAUAUAUUACGAGUCGAGUUGGGUUAAAAUUACAACCUAACCCAACAAUCACAUAGUACAAUUUCAGACAUUUCAACCUAAUUGGAUUGAAUAUAAUUUACCAAUCUGCACCAAAUAGUGCAAUCUGUACAGGUUGCUUAAGUUGGUUAGGUUUCUAUGCACCCCUAGCUAAUAGAAAGUAAAUAUGUGCACAAAAUAAUAAAAUAUUAGACUAUAGAUAAGUUUAAUGCAAGAUCAUUGGCAAUAGGCUUUCUUCAAAUACUAGAAUUUGACUUCACUAAAACUUACAGUUUAGUGGUUAAACCUUGCAUAAUCAAAAUCAUAUUGAGCUUGGCAACCAUUCUUGAUUGACCGUUAAGAUAAGUUGAUGAUGUCUUCUAAAUGGUAAUUUGAUAGAAAUGAUCUCUAUGGCCUAACUUUUACGGUUUUGAGGACCAAAUUGACUAAAUGAUGUCUAAAACUAAAAAAGACUUGAUAUAAAUUUAGACAUGCGGCUAUAGCAUGGUUUGACUAACUCAUUUAAUCUUUAGUGUUUUAGGUUUUCACUUAUUUAAAAUCAAGCAUCUCACUAUUCAUUAAAAGCGGGAGAACAAACAUAUUACUAAUAUUUGUUUAUGUUGAUGAUAUAGUAACAAAAAAUAUAGCGACUAGAUUGAAGAAGAUAUACUAAGUUUAAGAGUACAUUUGCCUUAAAAAAUAAGGAAAACUUACACUACUUCCUUGGCAUUAAAGUAAGUAGAGAGAAUAAUGUCCUCUAUUUAUCUCAAGUAAAUAUCUUAAUGAUUCACUUUAUAGAGUUGAUUUCAGAAGUUAUAACGGCACAUUAACACUACUCAACAAAAAAAUUGUCUAAAUUUAAAGGAUGCACAUUCUCAAACCCAAUUUUAUACUAAAGCAUUAUUAAAGCACUAUAAUAUGUUACUCUAAUAUACUACUCUGACCAUACCAUAGAUACAACUUUUGGUGUAAACAAGCUAAGCUAGUACAUGUUAAAUCUCAUUUAGACACCUCACUGGCUUACUUGUAAGAGAGUGCUAAGGUAUAUCAAAGAAACUAUCAAUUGAAACUUAAUUUCAACAAGUCAGAUCACUUACACGUUAUUAUGUAUACUAAUUCUGAUUGAGGAAGUGAUUGAGAUGAUAGAAUAUCAAUAUAUUAUGUAGGUGGAAGCAAUCUAAUCUCAUAAAGUUCAAAAAAUAAAAAAGUUUUUGUAAGGACGAGUGUAGAGUCAAAAUAUAAAGCAAUAAUGCAUGCUUACUAAAGUAAGUAAACUCAGUGCCCAUAAGCUAUUAAUCAUCUGGAGUGAUAGCAUUAUUGUAGCAACAAAUGUAGCCAAUUAUAUGUAUCACUUAAAGACAAAGCACAUUAAAAUCAACCUUCAUUUGUCAUGACAAAGCAGCCAAUAGUGAGAUUGACAUCAGAUUCAUUCUAAGUAAUGAUUAAAUGUCGGAUGUCUUUGUAAAGCCAUUAUCAUAUAGCAAUUUCAACUACCUUCAUAGCAAACUCAAUUGUGAAGGCACCUUAAGCUUAAAGAGGCUUGUAGAAAAUAGUCUUCUUGACUGCAUUUCAUAGUAACCCAUAAUCCAAUAUAAGGGCCAAAUUAUAGAGGCCUUAUACUACUAUAUUCCCACCCUUAUUAAGGAAACUUUUAAGACUAGUUGCUUGUUGAUGAAGAAAAUACAAAUAGCUCAAUUUUUUAAUAGAGGCUUUUGUUUGUAUUUACAAUACAUAAUACAAUCAAACCAUUUAGAUGGCUAGAUUUAGGGCAUUAUGAAUCUUAUCGUUUUCAUUUUAGAAAAAUCUCGGAAAAGUAAAGCGAUUUAUUAAAAAUGAAAAGACAAGUACACGAAACCAAGCAAGUAGAACUCUCAAAGACCAAACAAGACAAGAGCCAACAAAAUAGAGGAUAACAAAAGAAUUAACAGUAAAACAAAAAUAAUAACUAACCCAAUAAUAAAGGAAUUGAAUAGCAUCCUUAUGCAACAAAGAGCCAAAGGUCAAAGACAAUGAGGCCACCAAUCUAGCAAGGUGGAUAUCAACUGAAAAUCUUAAUCAUGGAUUAAGCAUAGGCUUUCUAAAACUAGACUUAGCAUAUCCUCAAGUGAGAUUAGAGUCCCUCUGUAUCUUUCUCUUCUUACCUUUUGUUUUUUAAAACUUUAUUUGUUAAGCUUAGUAAUAUCAUGCUAAAAAUUAGAAUCUCUAUUAGUAUCAUCAUCAUAACAACUUGCAAGAUCCAAGUUUAUAUUAUAAAAGUUUGAAAAGAUUGCAAACAUCUAACAUUCUACGAAAAUCCUCACAAGAAAUGUAGUUACAAAUACGGUUGUACAUUUGCUCAUACAAUCCCAAACCACAUUGAAAUAUCCCAAUAACUAAAGGACAGUCAAUAUUAUGCAUGAUGUUCUUAAUAUUUGUUAGGUCCAUCUCAUUUGGGUGGCCCAAUCCCAAAGUUUAAUAAGUUUGGACAAUUGAGUAAUUAAAGAAACAAUUAGGUGUUAAGUGAAAAUUUCUAUGAAAUUUGCCUUAUAAAAGCAAGUGAAAGUUGCUGCCCUAGAUAGUGUGUGCUUGCAGGAGAAGCGGCAAGAGAGAGAUAAAAGCCGGUAGAGGUUUUUAAUUUGGUGGCAAAAUUUUUAAUCUUUAAUUGGGCGAUCGGAAGGUGAUUUUAACUUUGUUUUCUCCCAAAUUUUAAAAGUAAGUUUUUGGCAUCGCCCUUACAAUUCUGCUGAUCUUGAUUUUUAUUUUAUCUUCUCGUUGGCUAUUAUUUGAGAACUCCCUUGUUAGAGAGCCAAUUAUUAGGCUGUUACUGUAAGCCAAGAAUAUUAAAAUUCUUGAUACUGGUAGCCUUUAUUAUUAUCUAUAGAAGAAUUUGUUCUGUAAUCCCAUUAAUAUAGUGGAAGAUUAUAUCGGACUACGGUCCCAUGAUUUUUCCUACUUGGGUUUCUACGUAAAAAUUUGUGUCUUUUGUGGUUGAUUUUUACUUUGAAUUUUAUUAGUUUAUUUUUUUGCCUAUUUAUUUGUGGUACACAUUCUAUUUUAAUCACACAAAGAGGAAAAUUUUUUUGUUUCUGCUUAAUUUACAGCUGCUUGUGAUAGUCCAUUUCCCAACCGAGUGAUAUCAGAGCUUCAAGUUUUGUUUUUUAUCACUUGUAUGGUUGAGAUGGAGAAGUCCUCGGUGUGCAUGAUUAAAUUAAAAUCAUAGAAUUAUGGAAUUUGGAAGUCUAUGAUGGAAGAUUUACUGUACAUAAAAGAUUUACAUGAACCUAUUGAAAGUGAAGAAGCUAGACCCGCCGAUUUAGAUGAUAAGAAAUGGAAUGUUAUAGGUACUAUUAGAUUAUGGAUUGAUCAGAGUGUAUCAUCAUUUCGCAAAAGAAUCUAGGGUUGGUGUUCUUUAGAGAAAAUUAGAGACGAUUUAUGAGUAGCUAACAGCACAGAAUAAAGUUAAUAUGAUGAAAAGGCUUGUUAACUUAAAAUACAAGGAGAGACGCAAUAUAACUGAACACACUAGAGUUUCAGGGCUUGGUUGAGUAGUUGACUACUAUGAAAAUUAUUUUAGAUGGUAAGUUACAAGCAUUGUUGUUGCUUAAUUCUUUGCCUGACAGUUGAAAGACAUUAGUGGUGUCGGUGAAUAAUUAAGUUAAUUAAGUGUUGAACGAGAAAUUAACAUUAGAUAUGGUCAUAGAUAGGCUGCGGAAUGAAGAAUCUAGAAGAAAAAGUGUUGAAGCAGUUUCCUCUGAGGCAGAUGCACUUGUUUUAGAAAAGUAAGAAAGGCGGAUGAGAAACCAAAGCAGAAAUUCCCGCCAACAAAACAAUGAUAACCCUAGAGGAAAAUCUAAGUCCUAGAGGAGAAAUAUGAAGUGCUUUCAUUGUCAGAAAAUGGGUCACAUUAAAAGGGAGUAUAGAUUGUGGAAAAGAGAACAUGCAAAAGAAAAAUGUGAUGCUUAGAAAAUUGACAAAGAGAACACUACAACCAUAGUUGAUGGUAAUUUGAGUAUUGUUUAUGAUGAGAGCUCAGUAAAUCUCACUUGCCAUAUGAGUGAUUGGGUGAUUGAUUUGGGUGCUUCAUUUCAUAUUACUGCACAUCAUGAUUACUUCACAUCCUAUGUUAAUGGUGAUUAUGGCCAUGUUCGGAUGAGAAAUGAGGGGGCAUCUAAGAUUGUGGGCAUAUGAGAUAUUUGCUUGGAAACCAGUAUUGGUUGUAAGUUGUUGCUUAAAGAUGUCACAUAUGUACUAGAUAUUCGCCUUAAUUUGGUCUCUACAGGCAAGCUUGAUGAUGAUGGUUAUACUAACCAAUUUGGUGAUGAAAAAUAGAAGCUCACCAAAGGCUCCCUAGUGUUAACUAAGGGGAGGAAAGUAAACAUCUUCUAUGUGUUAGAAACCAAGAUCAAGAAAGAAUAUGUAAAUGUGGCCAUAAAAGAUUCUGAUAUUGAGACAUGGCAUAAAAGGAUAGGUCACAUUGAUGAGAAAGGGUUGGAAACUCUUGCUAGAAAAUGAUUUCUACUCAGCUUCGCAUGUAUGUUCCUUAAGACUUGUGUUCAUUGCUUAGUUGGAAAGACACAUAAAAUAGUUUUUAAAAGUUUUUCUCCAUCUAGAAAGUCACAAACACUUGAUUUGAUUCACACUGAUGUUUGCAUGAUGGUAUAUCAAUAUGAGGUGUACUUUAUUUUGUGACUUUUAUUGAUGAUUGUUCUAGAAAAGUGUGGGCUUUUGCUUUGAAAUCUAAAGACACGGUGCUUGAUAUAUUUAAGUUAUUCUAUGCUUAUAUUGAGAGAGGGACAAGAAGAAAAUUAAAAUGUGUUAAUAGAGAUAAUGGUGGUGAGUACAGAGGACCAUUUGAGCAGUAUUUGCAGAUAUCAUUGAAUAAGACUUGAGAAGAUUGUACCAAAAACCCUGCGGCAACAUGGUGUUGCAAAAAGGAUGAACAGAACAAUUGAAGAGAGGAUUAGGAGUAUACUUUCUAAUGCUAAGCUUCCUAAAUCUUUCUAGGUUGAGGCUAUGCAUAUUGUAGUUGACUUGAUUAACAUUUCUCCUUCAACUCCAUUAGAUGGAAAUGUACCUAAGAGAGUUUGGUCUGGGAAAUAUGUUUCUUAUAAACACUUGAAAGUGGUUGGGUGCAGUGCAUAUGUUCACAUCCCAAAAGAUGAGACAUUAAAGCUUGAUGAUAAAACUAAGGAAUGCAUUUUCUUAGGCUAUGGGCAUGAAUAAUUUAGGUACAUAUUUUGGGAUUCAGUGGCAAGAAAAUUGAUCAGAAGUAGAAAUGUUGUAUUUUUUGAAAAUCAGAUAGUUGGUGAUGUAAAGAAAAGUGAAGAGCCUUAGUCAUCUCCAAGGAUUCCUAUUAUUUCAAAUUUAGUUUCUCCACCUGUAGUUCAUAAUGAUCAUGGGGGAGUUGGAGAGGAUAAUAAUGAUGGUCCAGCAUAACUAAUUGACCAGGCACUCCAAAACCAGUUGCACCACCAGUUGAGCUAGAAUUAAAUAGAUUCACUAUAGAACGGUGACCUUCCACUAGAUAUCCUCCACAUGAGUAUGUGAUGCUUACAGAUGAAUGAGAGCCAGAAUGUUUUAAAGAAGUAAUGUCUCACUAAUAUAAAAGUGAAUGGGUUAAAGUCAUGCAAGAGGAGAUGAAAUCCUUGAAUGAGAACCACACUUAUGACUUAGUAAAGCAUCCUAAAGGAAAAAGGGCAUUGAAGAACAAAUGGGUUUACAGGUUGAAGACUGAAAAUAACUCACAACAACGAUACAAAGCUAGAUUGGUUGUGAAAGGUUUCGUUAGAAGAAAAGUGUUGAUUUUGAAGAAAUAUUUUCUCUUGUAGUGAAUAUGUCUUAUAUCCGAAUUGUUUUGGGAUUAGUAGCUAGUUUGAAUUGGGAGAUUGAACAGUUUCAUGUAAAGACAUCUUUCUUGCACGGUGAUUUAAAGGAAGAAAUAUACAUGGAGCAACCUGAAUGAUUGAAUGUCAAAGGUAAAGAAGAACUUGUGUGCAAGUUGAAAAAAAGUUUGUAUAGGCUGAAACAAGCACCAAGGCAGUGGUACAAGAAGUUUGAUUCUUUUAUGGAGAAUCAUUGUUUCAACAAGAUUAUGUGCGAUCAUUGUGUUUUUGUGAAGAAAUUUGGUGAUAAUGAUUUCAUCAUUCUUUUGCUUUAUGUGGAUGACAUAUUGAUUGUUGGCCAGGAUGCUAGUAAAAUUGAUAAUUUGAAGAGGGAGGAGCUUAGUAAGUCCUUUGUAAUGAAAGACUUGAGACUAGUAAAACAAAUUCUUGGCAUGAAAAUUUCCCGCGAUAGAAAAGCUGGGAAGUUAUGGUUAUCUGAAGAAGUAUAUGUUGAAAGGGUUCUUAAAAGAUUUAACAUGAGUAAGGCAAAAUAUGUUUGUUCUCCACUUGCAAGUCAUUUCAAGCUUACUUCUGAGCAUUGUCCUAUAAGUGAGAAAAAGAAGCAAAAGAUGAGAGGAGUUCCUUAUGCUUCAACAAUUUGUAGUUUGAUGUAUGUCAUGGUUUGUACAAGACCAGAUAUUGCUCAUGCAGUUGGUGUAGUCAGUCGGUUUAUCUCCAAUCCGGGCAAAGAACAUUGGACAAUAGUGAAGUAGAUUCUCAUAUAUCUCAGAGGCACUUCCAAUGCAUGUUUCUAUUUUGGUGGUGAUGAACUUCUGGUACAAGUGUGCACGGAUGCAAAUAUGGCAAGAGAAUUAAAUCCAAAAAACCCCUAUCAGGAUAUUUGCUCACCUUUACAGGGGGAGCAGUCUCAUAGCAGUCUAGACUUCAGCAAUGUGUUGUUUUGUCUACCACUGAAGCAGAGUAUAUUGCAAUCACUGAAGGUUGCAAAGAAAUCUUGUGGAUGAAGAAUUUCUUACAAGAGUUGGGUGUGAAGCAAGACAACUUUAUUGUGUACUGCAACAGUCAGAGUGCCAUUCACUUGUCAAAGAAUUCGACAUAUCAUUCGAAAUCCAAGCAUAUUGAUGUGAGGUAUCAUUGGAUACGAGAUGUGCUUGAGAAGAAACAGUUACAGCUUGAGAAGAUACACAUAGCGGAGAAUGAUUCAGAUAUGAUGACAAAGCCAUUGCCUAAGAAGAAAUUGAAAAGCUAUACGCAGAAAGCAGGCUUGGCGGUGUCCCCAUAUGAUCUAGAGGGGGAGAUUUAUUGGGUCCAUCUCAUUUGGGUGGCCCAAUCCCAAAGUGUAAUAAGUUUGGACAAUUGAGUAAUUAAAGAAACAUUGAGGGGUUAAGUGAAAAUUGCCAUGAAAUUUGCCUCAUAAAAGCAAGUGAAAGUGGCUGCCCUAGAUAGCAUGUGCGUGCAGGAAAAGCGGCGAGAGAUAGAGAAAAGCCAGUAGAGGUUUUUUAAUUUGGGGGGCAAGAUUUUUAAUCUUUAAUUAGGUGAUCGGAAGACGAAAUUAACUUCGUUUUCUCCCAAAUUUUGAGAGUAAGUUCUUGGCAUCGCCCCUGCAAUCCUCUAGUCUUGAUUUUUAUUUUGUCCUCUCGUUGGCUAUUAUUUGAAAUACUCACUUGUUAGAUGGACAGUUAUUAGGUUGUUACUGUAAGACAAGAAUAUUGAAAUAUUAUCUAUAGAAGAAUUUGUGCUGUAAUCCCAUUAAUAUAGUGGAAGAUUAUAUCGAACUACGAUCCCGUGGUUUUUCCUGCUUUGGGUUUUCUACAUAAAAAUUUGUGUCUCUUGUGGUUGGCUUUUACUUUGGAUUUUAUUGGUUUAUUUUUCUGCCUAUUUAUUUGUGGUACACAUCCUAUUUUAAUCACACAAAGAGGAAAAAAGUUUUGUUUCUGCUUAAUUUGUAGCCGCUUGUGGUAGUCCCCUUCCCAACAAUCUUACUCUACAAAAAGUAACAGAAAAGGGUAAAUUGCGGUUAUAAUAUUCUUACUACCUUGGCAAACAAAAGAUAAGGUCGCUUGUGAAGUAGAGCAUGAGAAUCCAAUAGGUUGUAAUAUUUUAUUAUUUACUUAAUGUUUUGCAUGGUCCUAUCGUUAUAACCUAUAAGAUUGUGAUCUGAACUAUGUAAAAAUUCUAUGUGUACUUUACCUUCUGCGAAUUACUUUUAUCAUAUUACUUGUACUACAAUUAAUUAAUCUAAUUAUUUAAGAGUAAUUUUUAAAUAAUCUCCUUGAUAAGAUUUAAAAAUCUUACUGAACAAUUGGCCUUUACUAAGAGCAAAGAACAAAAUAGUUCAAGUUGAAAAGAAGGGUUUACAAUUUAUUCCAACAAAAAUAAAUCAUGCAAAUGAUCUCCUUGCGUUCUAAGGCUUUACGAGCUAAUCCUAUCGUUAUUGCGCUCAUCUAACUCGAAUUUCGUAGCAAUCUCGACAUCAACUGAGGAAAGGGUUGGGUGGGGUAGGAAAGAUGCCCAAAGCAAGAAUGAAGAGUCGUCUAAAACCAUAUAUGAUGAGUUUAAAUUUGCAACAGUUGACUUGCCAUAAUUUCCAAGUGCAAUUCAACUCCAAUGAAGCUGCGCGGUCAUUAGCAAUUUGAUCGCCUCUAUCACUCCUAAUGUCUCACAUCAGCUGAGAAUAACUCUUAGAUUAAAAAUAUAAAGUUUGAGCAACCCUCAAUUUUGAGCUAGUUUUUUAGUAUAAACUAGACACAUAUGCUUCUAUUUGGUGUUAGAGCCAAACUCAUAUACAAAUGAGCCUACAAAAAACAAUAUAUACAUGACUGGGGUUUUAGAUACAAUUUAUCAUGUCGGUUGAUAAUAAAUCUUGAAUUAAUUACGUUGGGUUAAGUAUAAAAGUGUUGAACAGUUUUAACUCUUAAACUAAUUUUUAUGUAUGAAUUAGCACCAUGGAGUUCUAUAGCCAAUACUAUUGAAAUGUUACUGUAAUUGCUUAACAUUUCGUGCAUACGUUGCAAGAGUGUAAAAAAGACCCUUUCCUUUGGAUAUCUACCGGAGAAGUACUCAAAAUUUAGAAAGUAAAUAGAAACUAUCCUUUCUAGUCACGGACUCUUAUUCCAUACAGCAAAAGAAAAGACAACGAUCACGACAUUCUAUAAAAUCCUGCAGCACCACACGAGUUUCAUUUUAAUUGCUUUUUAACCAACAAUAUGCUGCCUGCCUUCUGUCUGCUGCCUCUGCAAUUUGUUCUUUAAACACUCACAGUGCCCACCCACCAUUUUGAGGCAAUAUUACAAAUAUAUUAUGUUUACAUUUGUGCAUUUAUUUGGUAUCCGAUCUUUUUCAAAUUAAUUAUUUUAAUCUUUUGUGCAGAAUAAUAUAGUGGUUUUAACAUAUACGGAGGGUAAAACUACGUUGCAACAACAUGGGUUUGGUAACCUUUCUUUUGUCUUUUUUUAAGGUCAAUUACAAUGGGUUUGGUAACGUUUCUUUUGUCUUUUUUUAAGGUCAAUUACAAUGGAGUCUUAUUAUUUGUUAUAAAAAUAAAAAAAAUUUUAAAUUUUAAAUUUUCACUCAUUAGUCCUACACGUAAAAUUUUUCAAUUGCAUUAAUGCUUCUGGAAGCCACGAUUUGUUUAGAAUUCAAGCACCUAUAAAUUCAAUCACUUACUCUCUUUAUACACACAAACACCAGUCAAUUAUACCAAUUGACUUAUAUUUUAAUUAUCCAAUAAAAGCAAUAGCUUUUAUGCUUUCUUUUAUACUUUGUAAAACAUCCAUAUGUGCUGAAUUGCCAUCUCUAUUGUUNNNNNNNNNNNNNNNNNNNNNNNNNNNNNNNNNNNNNNNNNNNNNNNNNNNNNNNNNNNNNNNNNNNNNNNNNNNNNNNNNNNNNNNNNNNNNNNNNNNNGAUUUUUUUUUUUUACCCUCUCUAGUAAGUUAAUGAAAGAUCUCACCGUAUGAUGUGUGCUAAUGACUAUUUAAACUAUUGGGGGUGGAGUAACAAAUAUCAAUUUAUUUAAGUGUAAAAUUAAAUUUAUUCUUUUUAUUUAAGGACAAAAGCUCAACCAAAAAUACAACUCAUUGUUCAAACAAACAAAAAUUAUUUCACAAAUUCAAAAACUAACACUUUAUUAUUAUUAGUAAAUUAACAUACGUUUACUACAUAAUUAAAUAAUUGAUAGUAUGUUAAAUAAAUCUUAUGUUACAAAAAAAAAAACAUUAACUACAUAGAAAUAUCAAAUUAAAUUUAUUUUCAUAUUUUGUACAUUACAUUUACUUGAGAUAGUAAAAUCUCUUGUGUUGGAAUAAAAAAGGUUAUGGGGUUUGAACUUUGGUCACAUGGGUGAGAGGAAAUUGGUUGCCGACUUGCCGUUAUGUUAAAUUAAAAAAAAACCAUAUUUAUAUUUAUCAUUAAUUAUGGUUCGUAAAUAAUAUAUAUAGUUUAAAUAUAUAAUAAAUUAGUUAAUUUGCUAAUUAAUAAGUAAAUUUAUUAAUUUAAAUAGAUAUUAAUAGAUGUAAGAAUAAGAUAUUUAAUUGGAAAUCUAGUUCGAUAAAAAAAAAAAAAAGAAUAUGAUGGACUUACAUGUCAUAAUUUUAAAACUUUUGAUUCUUCUUAUUUUGUAUGAACGAGAGGAACUUUUAAUGUUAAUAACCUAAAAUCACAUCUCAGCCAUUGUACUCCUCCCUUAAAUCCAAAGGUGAAUUUGAAAAAGACAAAAAAUGGAACACCAAACCCUAGGGGUAACAUAAAUUAAGCCAUUUUAUUAAUUAAAUAAGUUUUCAAAAAGUUUUAAUUGCAAUGAACGUAUGAGAUAAUUCUAUGACUUUAACGUAAAAAUUCCCCAUAUUGAAUACGCAUGCAUGUUAUCAAAAAAUGAUCCACAGAGGACAGAUAAAAUAAAAUUUGACAGUAAUAUCAAAAAGAAGAUCUGAGCAUGGGAUUUGUCAGCAGAAUGUUAACAAACAAGAGUUCUGAAUUGUAGCAAUUUAAUUAAUUACAUAUAUUUUGGCUUUUUAACUAAUGCUAGCUACGAUUAGGGUUAGGUAUUAUGUUAGGUGGACAAACGAAUUCUUCCAUAAUUUUUUUUUUAAAAAAAAUAGAGCAUUAUUCAAAUCAUAUAUAAAAAGCUGGAGAGCAUUACUUUUUAAAUUCAAUAUGGAAUGUAGCAAAUAGACAAAGGAGAAAUAAAAUUCUCUCUUUGUCGAAUCUGUUGGAAUUUAGUCAGCAUGUGGAGAUUCUAAGGAGCGGGUCAGUCUCUUUGUUUAAUUUAUCACAUUUUCUGUCGGCGUGGUCUUUCAAAAAAGUCUCUUUGUUUAAUUUAUUACACUUUCUGUCGGCAUGGUCUUUCAAAAAAUGAAAAAAGAAAAAAAAAAAAAGAAAUCAACAUGGCUUACAUCAUGUUCUUCUUAGUAUAACAAACCUGAAAGGCUCGAAAAAUUGUAAAAUAUUAUCACACGUUUUGAGGAUUCUUUUUUUUCCCUUUUUUUUCUUUGUCCUUGUCAUCAAUUGUAUAUCUGUGUUGGAUGGUCUUGGGCUUAUCUUAACUCUUAAGGGUUAAAUGGUCUUAAGCUUAUGUUAACUCUAAGGGGUGAGACUUAUAAAGUCACAGCCAGCAUGCCUUCGCCUUCUCUCAAUCCCAAGGGGUGAGGCAUAUCUUAACCCAAAGGGUGAGGCUUAUAAAGUGACAACCAAUCUGUCUUAUGCUUCUCUCAACCCCAAAGGGUGAGGCAUAUAAAGUUACAACCAGCCCCUUCCACUCCAGCAAUCUCUUCCACAACUGAUGUCAGAUAACCUCAACAAUCUCUCUCCCACGCAAUAGGUCUUGAGUUAGAAGCAUAGACACUAAAAGCUAACUCAAAUAGUGAGGCUUCUUCCCUCACUUAUAAACCCCUUCCAAACCCGAUGUGGAAUAACCCCAACGAUUUAGCAUUAAUAUAGGGAAAUGUCUUGUAUUUAAAUAAAUAAAUUUAUCAAGACGGGUCAAGAGUUAACAUCACACUAGAAGACAAUUAAAAAAUCUUGAAUGGGAUGAUAUUAUUGUGUUUAUUUCAUAAAAGUAUAUAUUUUAAUUGAUAAUAUCAAUUUUAUGCACAAUUUCUUUGACCAAUUUGGAGGCUCUAAAAAAAAAACCAUUCUUUUUAAUAUUUUCAUUUCUAUCUCCUCUUGUUUUCUCUAUUUUUCAUCUCUUCAAGAUCACUUUUUUCUCUCCCAUUGCCUUUUCAACUCUCCUCUUGCUUAAAAAGUCCUUUUUUUUCUUUUUCCCAAAAGCUUUUCACCUCAAUAAUUAUUCUAUUACAACUACUAAAACUUUUCACCUACUAUUUUAGCAUGCGUUGAAAUAAUGUCAUAUCAACCCAACGGUGGGCUACCUUAUUACAUAUCCCGUUGGUAUGAGGGUGUACAAAGUCUAGUUAAGCCUUUAGUCAUAUACCUCUAGCGAAACCAAUGUAGGACCAGCUGAGGUACUGACCAAAUUGGCUUUGAAAAAAUUUGAAGAGUAAUUUUAAAUCAAUCUGUAAUUAUAUUGAAUUUGUGAUAGUUUCUCAGCUUAGUAUUAAAAUUAUCAAUUGCCUAGACACUUUUUUAAAGAGUUUCAAACUUAACUCUCUUAAAAAAUUUUUUUUGAAACUUAUUAGUUAUUUUGAUUAUAUAAACAUGAAUUAGCCAAACCUAAAUGAAAAUACAAGAAAUUUAACAAAAUAAGAGAAUAAGUAAAAAAUGUAAAACUAAUAGUUUCUCUAUUUUUCCUCUUGUUUUCUUCUUCUUCUUUUUCCUCCUCUUCUUCUUCUUAGUUGUAUGCAUGCAAAUGCUGUACACCAUUGUAUUGACAAUGAAACCAUCGUAUAUUGUUUCCAAAGCACAAAACCUUGCUAGGACAACAAUAAUUAGUAAAAAUCUAUCAAUAAAUAAUAAUAUAGUACAAUUGUAGUGUCAUAUAUUCUUAUCUAAAUAUUUUGAAAUUUUUAAUUUAAAAAAAAAAAGAUAAUAAUUCUGGAUAGGGAUGUGAAAUCUCGUCCACUAAAUACCUUCACAAUCAGUUAAGCUGCAUUCAUGAUCUAUAUUAAAAGUUGAAUGUAACCCAGCUGAAACAAGUUUAUGGCUAUGUCCUUGCCCCUCCCAAGUUCGAAUUUAAAUGGAGAGUUAAAAAAAGCUACUUUAAAACCCCUCGGCCAACUCCUCGGCCCAUGCAAUACAAGAUCUUAAAAUGUCACAAACAUUGUAAUUUUAAAUUAUUAUUGCGGUCUUAGAGAAAAAAGAAAAUUAAGAUACUUUCAGAUUUUGUAUAUCAGUUCGGUUUCGGGGCCAAUACGAACCAUGGACCUAACCUAAUUAGAUCUUUGAACUUCUAGGCCCCAAACUCAACCUGAUUAGGCUGGGUUCCAAUGGACUCCCGAACCCGUAGGUUUGUGCUAUACCAUAUGUGUGAUGGUACCACGAAGGGCUUUUGACUUCACUUCCGAAGGAUUCAAGAGUGACAAUGGACCCCACUUUUAUCUCAUAAGAGAGGCAUUUUUCUAAAAGUACAUACCAUUCUAAGCAUUAAAAUUAACUAAUUUUUUUUUUAUAUAUAUACUAGUAAAUUCUAAAUUUAAUCUCUUUUCUGGUCAUUUUCCAUGGAACAUAAUAUAAAGUAAUAACAAUGGGGUCUCAUGAGAUAAGAAGUGGGGUUCAAAUAACUCCGAUGCUCAUGAUUAAAUUGUUCAACUCAACGGUUGGCAUCCCUCCAAAAUCCUCUUAAACUCUUUUUUCAAUAAUAUUCUAUUUAAUGUCAAAAGUAUCUUCUUCUUUUUUCUUCUUUUUUUAAAUAAACCUCCUUUCAAACCAUCUCUAGAAAAAAUAAAAAAUGAUAACUUCUACAAAAUAAAAAUAAAAAUAUGAAAAAAGAAAGAAAAAUAAAUAAAUAUUAAUAUUUUAAGUUUGUGCAAAUUAAUUUUAUAGAUGAGACUAAAAAAAAAAAAAGGAAAAAUAAAAGAAAUAGAGAGAAGCAAAUGUGAUUCAAUUGGUUUUGGGUUGUAAGGAAAGUUGAACGAAGCAUUAUUAGUUUAUUCUCAAACCACAGGAAAUGAUUCAAACUUGGCAUAGAUUUCAAGUUUGUUUUAAUCACUUGGUUGAAGACGUUUCAAGUAUUAAAAGAUGUUGUCUUUGAGUUUUGAUAACACAUGUAAAUUUUAUUUAAUAAAUACAUACAUACAUGUGUGUGUAUCACUUCCUUAAUUGCAAUGGCUGUUUCACUCUUCCAAUAAUUUAAUUGCUUUGAAACUGAAAAUAACAUUUUUUUUUAUCAACUUCUAAAUCCUUCUUUUGUCAAAAUUGUAGAAUUUUAGGAAGAAUUAACUCUGCUUGUGAUGGAUAAAAUCAAUGGCCAUUUCAUUUUUAUUUGAUAUGCUUUGUACGGUAAAUCAAUUGAGGAUCCAUAAUAACUUUUUUCUCCUUAGAAUUGGAGCAUUUAAAAAAAAUUAACAUGUCUAUUUUCUACCAAAAAUGGUUGUCCAAUCACAUAAAAUUGGAAAUUUUCAAUUCUUAAUCAAUAUGAUCAUACUGAAAUAUAUAGGUUAAGGAGAGAAAAAAAUUAUGUGGAGUUAAUUUUAUUUGUAUUUAUCUUAAAUAUAAUUAUAAUUGAAUUGGAGUUUUAAAAUGAUUUUAGAGGGGUGCCAAUAUUCACACUCUAAAUUGUUUGAUCCUCAUUAUACUUGAACAAGAGCAUGAGUAAAUUGAUUGUCUUUAUUAAAUAUAAAGUGUAGUGGUGAUAUUUUAAACGCCCCCCCCUCCCCGGCAUUUUAUCUUAUUAGCCUCCAUUUUUGAAUUAAUAUUACUUAUUCUAUCAUUACUGAAAAAAUAAAUAUUUUUUUCCUCUCUUAUGCUCUCAAUUGAUCGAAUUUAUUAUUUUUUUGUAAUUGAUCCACAAUUUGGAUUGAAUAUUAACUUCUAACCGAAUCCAAAUUAAAAUUAAAUAGAAUCUUAUAUUAUCACAUAAAAUCAAAACUAAUAUCAUCAAUAAUAACAAAACCCACCACUUAUUUAUAAAAUUUAACAACACAUAAUAUUAAAACUCAUCAUAUGUCAGUGGAGGUGAUGGUUGAUGGUAAAGAAAAUCAAUGAUUGUGGUGGUAGUGAUGAACCUGUUGUUGAUGGAGAUAGGUGGUAGGGGCAAUAGUUAUGCUAGGGAGAAAAACGGGAUUCGAGAAUAAAAUAAAAUAUAUAAUAAUAAUUUUUUAAUAAAAUAAAAUAUAUAAUAAUAAUUUUUUAAUAAAAAUAAUUCUAAAAAAAAAGAGAUAAAUUUCAUAGUGAGGUCAAAUAUCAAUAUUCUAUAAACUAUGAUGAGUGAGUGCAGUCCAUCAAAGAAAGCCCAAUAUGGAUUGAAUCCAACAAGAACCCACCACACAAAAAUAUCACUCGCUUCAUCGCCUUCCUUGCUCUGUUUCUUUCUCGAUGAUCUAUCAUCAGUCUUCAAUUCAAAGAAUUGACAAAACAACAAAAAGAUGUCCAUUUCACUUGAACUCCCCCUUUUCAAAACUUCCCACUCGGUGUCUCUGCUUCCUUAUAAUGCCACGUCGUCCUUUUCUUCUGGAAAAAAAAUAAAAUGUAAACGUAAAUGGAAGCCGCCUUAUUAUUGUAGUAGUAAUAGUAGUAGUAGUAGGAUUAGAGUUACGAUGAGUGAAAAUGAUGAAAGUUGCCCACCAAGUGUUUGUGAAAAUGAAAAUGAUUCUAAUAAUAAAUGUGUGCAAGUGAUUGCCAUUGGCAGUAGAAAGGAUGCGCUUCUCGAUUUUUGCUUGGAUUCACCUCUUAAUUCCUCCUCCUCGCUCCAAUUUUGGUAUUGCAAAUUGCAUUUCAUUUACACUAAUUGUUAAUUUUUUUUCUUUUUUGCUAAUUAUUAUUAUUGCUAUUGUUAUUUUGUGCAGGAAUAUUGUCACUGAUGGGUCACCGAAUGUGCAAUUACAACAGAGGUUUCUUGGAAAAAGUAUUUUAUCCGGUCUAGAGUCUUGAACAAAGGCUCUUUGUUUUUUUUUUUUUUUUUGGUAAUAUAUGUAGAGCUAGUGUGUGAUUAUAUGAUGCUAUUUCCAUUUAAUUUUUGCAGAUUUAACUCCAAGAAUUGUGGAAGCUCCAUCGUUCAUACAGACAUGUUCGAAGGCUAUUAUCCUUGUUUGUACAUUCCUUAACUGAUCCACUUGUUGCAUUUUGAUUAUGUACUUUUGUUAUAAAUAGUUCUGCUUGUUUGAUUACGUAAAUUGCCUUGCCACCAUAAAACAUGCAAACUUCAUAGGAAACUUGAACCUUUUUGCAAAGGGCAAAGAAAUUACAAUCUUUCGUUGUCCAAUCAAGUCACAGUCUUUAGUUCAUUGUCAAAUCACAAUCUUUGGCUCUGGGGACUCUCAACCUUGCAUGUGCUUAUGUACUUAUUAGAAAGAAGUUAUUUUUACGAAAUUAAGGCUCAAUUAGCCUACUACAUCUUCAUUUCUUUUGCUAAACUCUUUAUGCUUAGAACUGAGUUUUCUAUCCACUUUUUUGUCCUUUAGCCUCUUGUAUCCUGAAAGAAAUAAUCUGUGGUCUUAGUAAAUGUAAUUUUCAAAAAAAUCUAUUUAUAACGACUAGAAGAAAGCCUGAUCGGGCAUAUAUUUUUUCAAACUUCAAUUACAUGUCGCUUUAUUUUCUUACGGCUGUUUGCUGUCUGCUUGAAAUUUAAUGGCAACAAUAUCUACUCUGCUCUUUUUUUUCCCCCUGUAGUUGGCUAGUGCGGGUUAUGGUUCGGAUGACGCUGGGGCUAUUGAUAUUCUCAAGACAGCAAAGUCUUUGGAUUGUUUUGCCAUUGCUAUUAUUAUAAAGCCUUUUAGCUUUGAAGGACAAAGACGCCUUGAUGAGGUAUUGUUUUCUAGUGAAUCAUGACGAAUACAUGCUUUCUUGCCACAAGUAGAGAGAGUAAAAACUCUUAUUAGAAAAGAUCAUCAUUUAAAUAACCUUUUUUUUAAUAGUUUUACUUUGUGUGAAAUUUCUAAUAGAUUAGUUUUAAACUUUUAGUCCUUGAUCAUUCAUCUCCAAGGGGGCAACCCAAUUGAUUUCGCUUUUGCAGUGGAAGCAAGAGGUCAAGAUUUUGAACCCUUUCACACCAACCUUCAUGGGAAAUUGAUUCAGUUGGGGUGGGAUGCAUUAUAAAUUAAUUUAAAACUAAUCAAAUACUUAGUUCGUAAUUCAAAUUUAAUUAUUUAGUAUUUAAAUAAUAUUUUAUCUUUCCAGAUAUUUUGAAGUUAUUAUCUCUACCUUCAUAAUUUUCUUGUUACCUGAGUUGCAGGUAAAGGAUUUGGCAGCAAAACUUCAAGAUCAUAUAAACUUUUACAUUGGUAGGUGUUUUGCUAUAUUUUCAUUUUGAAUAGGAUAAUUUUAAGAGUAGGUAAGAUGGCAAGAGACCAUAUCAAAAUGCACAUUUCACUGGGUGUAGGGUCUUUUCAUGGUCUUUGAAUCAGCUGUCCAAAAGAAGAUACAACUGAAUUUUGAUUAGUAUCUAAAUAUCUCCAAAAAAGGAGCAUGAAGGAGCUAAAGAAUUGGAAGUUGAACCACAGAAUAGUGUCAUCAAUUUUGGCUUUAAUUCAGUCUGUACAAUGAUCCAACCUUGAAGAUCUAGUACUUACAUUUGUUUAACAUGGACUCUAGAAGGCAAGGAAUAAGAAUUCUUCAUAUGGGUUGACCUUUCCCUUGGUGCCCUUACACCCCUUCAACUACCAACAUGUGCAACACUAUCUUGACCUCCAAUAAAUUCUGGAAAGAGGAAGCAUAUAAGCUUGGACCUCAUUAGAUAAUUGAGUGCAUUGGAAGAUCACUUGUAAUCUUCCCAUCUUGUUACACAUUCAGUUCUAAAUGCGGGAUCUUCUGGCUCAAUUUAUACAUUCCCAUUGGUUUGAACAUUUACUGUUACAUGUUUGGGGCAGUAACUGCCAAACAGAGAUUUUGAAAUAGAACUUUAGCGCACACGUGCAUAAUCAAAGAAGUCUUCGCCCAAAUGCACUGGUCUUAGAGAAACUCUUAUUAAAUGAUAAAGUCUUAAUAUAAAUCAACUUUCCUAGAGAAAACUUUCAUUAUGAAAAUUUCCUUACAUCUCUUUCACUAUCAUCAUCCCAGGUCAAAAUUCUACCUCUUUUGGCAUCUGAAGUUAAGUUUUUAUUAGAGGGAGGUGGCUCUUUGGUACCGAAUUUCUUACUUUGUAUCUUAGUUCCUUCUAGUGUUAAUUCGUAAUAUUGCUAAUCCCUAUUUUUUGGUGGGAUAGGUUUUGUUUGAAUCUUUUAUGCUAUCGGUUAUUGCCGGAGGAUUCUCUAGUACAGUAAAUAGAGUUCAUGGGUUAUAGAAUGUUAGCUAUAUCUAAGCUGAGCUUCAAAUCGCUUUAGGCAUGACAGACUUUUCAUACAAAGUGAUUAAUCAUCUCUCAGCAACGUUAUAAAUCAUCAUUUUCCUCUUUUUUUUCCUUGUGUACCCUCAAGAUUAAAUGUAUAUGACCCUUUUUUGUUUCUUUUAACUUUUGGUACUAAUGGACUUAAUAAGGCUGAACCAGAGUAUUAUGGUUUCUCUUUGUCAUAUACAGAUAUUGAUACCGACAGACUACUUGAAAAGGACUCAGUUACACUAGACGAGGCUUUAAAAACUGCAAAUAAUGCUGUUUUCUUGGCUGUAAAUGCCAUCUCUACUCUAUUAUCUGUGAGUAAACCUUCUCCGUGAUUUAAUUGGCUUAAACAUGUCAUGCAAUCCGCGCUAUCAAUUGUUAAUAUUUGGGUAUUUACAGGACAUGCAUAGAAAACUUAUUGACAUAGUACAUAGCAAUGUGAAAGAACUCAAAGUUUCAGAAAUUUUUAAAGUAAGUUUCCAUUAACUCUCAUUUUAGUGUAGAUUAAUAUUGAUUAUCAAUGCCUCUAAGGCUGCACUUUCAUAUUCACUUUUCUUCCAGUCCGUUCUUCAUAAUUUCCCUUAUCAAUUAUUUUAUUUGUUUCCUGUUGCAUUCUGUUAGAAAAAUACUCUGAUUCAAUUGAUAGCACAAGACAAAAGUUGAAUAUUUCUAUUUUCCCAUUUAUAUGCUUGUUCUUUAAAGGCUAAUGCAACAGUGUACAGAUUUUGGGAAACUACAAAGAAGCAAAAAUUGGAUUUGGAGCUGGUUCCAACAUUAAAACUUCAAUUUUGCAAGCUAUAUACGACUGUCCUUUCAUUGGUGCUGGUGUAAAGGUAUUGAUCAAAGUGAACAUGGUUACAGUUCUUAUAUUGGUCUCAUUUAGGCUGAUUAAAAAUUCCGUUGUUUUCUUUAGUAAGGGUUUAAAGAUAUGAUGAACUUGAAUCAGACUGCACAAUUUACAAAGUUUUUGGGUGUCCCUUUUGUGUAUAUUUGUAUGUGUUUGUCAUUAGGUAUCGCUUCUGUCCUGGAAGCGUUUUGAAUUCUUUAUAUUGUUUUCACUUCUGUUACAAACCUUAUCAUGGUACAACUGUCCUCACUUUCUGUUGAUCCAAAUAAACUCUCCCUGUUUUGCAGUGUGCUUUUACAACUGUUCUAAUGAUUACUAGUUAUUCUGUUUUUCUUUUUUACACAGGAACUGAAUGGCAUGGUCAUAUGUGUUGUUGCUACGUCAAAUAUUAUUGGCAAUAAUGAUUUGCAAAGCUUUUUGCAUACUUUCCGUCAAAUUACAGAAUACACCGGGGAAACUAUCGUAUCUUUUGUUCAUGAACCUAAUUUGGAGCCUGACCUGCUUGUGACGACAGUUGUUACUUUAGGGUAAGUAUCCAUUCAUUAAUAAUAGUAAUGACAACUAUGAGUUCUUGAAUGUAAAUUGGUUACUCAUCUGUGAAGUUGGUAUUUAUCAACUGAAGGAGCUGGUUCCUUCCAAGUUUAAUUUUGAGUGUUGUUCUUGUGCCAAAUAAUUUGAACCUUGAAUUUAGUUUCAUUAUAAACAUUAGAGAAUCAUGACUUACAAAUAACAGACAUUCCUUUGAAGCCAUGCUCGGCAAUAGUGAUUUUUAUGUAAAUUAUCAAUAUUGUUUUAUGUCUUCAGUGAUUAGUUGUUCUGUAGUCGUUUGCAUUGUUGUUUUUUGCUAUUCUUGUUGUGUCAUGUUUCACUUUCUUCAAAAUGCAUGUGAAUAUAUAGCUUUCCAUUUUCAAUUCCUGCAUAAAAAUAGCAGGAGUUUUGAUAUUUCUAUAUUUACAAGCAUGUGCUCUUGAUAGCCGUAAUGUGAGGAGUUAUAUCUGCUUUCAAGCUACCUGCUGAACUUUAAUUUUUAUGAUGUCACUUGCUGCAACAACUUUUUCCUUGUGCUAAAUAACUAUUGUAGCGCCUAGUUAGCGUCAGUAGUUUCAACUUGGGUCCAUGCCCUAUAGUAAGCAAUUGCCCGAGCUGCAAUCCUACUGCCUCUUUGAGGUCUUCGUGGAUGCUUAUCCUUAUCCAGGUAAUUUACCAGUGUUUAUGGGAUGGAAAGAUUUUUACCUACUCAGGACAGUUGAGUAGGUAAAAUCAUGAAUACUUAGGUAGCCAGAAAUAAUAAAAUGAGGAAGAAAGAAAUAAUGAAUAAAACAAAAAGUAGUCGGAGCUAGUUCUUCAGUGCUGGUUCAUAAAUUAUUAGUUUUUUAGUUUUUUUUUUCCCCUCUUAAAGUCUAAUUUAAAUUUCAUCCAAUUACCAGAUUGGUUGAACAGGCCUCUCGGAAAAGCAGCAUUUUCUCUAGAUUGGCUCAUCAUUUUCCCUUUGUUUUUAAUCUACUGAGAAGAAAUCAUCAACAGUCAAAUGAUACUCAAGGAAACAGUGAAUUUGAUAAUGCAUGCGUUUCUGAAGUUAUUGGUCCACCAGGCACCAGUGAAAUAGAAAAUAAAAUCUCUGAUGAGAGUGUUUCCGAAGGAUUUUACAAUUACUCUAAUGAUGCUCCGACACUAUUGACCAAUUACAACAACGAUGCUUCGAGGUUAUUUUGUUUUCUUAAAUUAUCUCAUUUUUAAUUAAUUCACCUCAAAGUAGUUAAUGUAUAUGUUAUGUGACCUUUUAAGCUUCCUAUCAUGGUCAUAGUGGGUCAGGACAAAGUGAGGCUGAAUUUUAUGAAUCGAGGACUGAACCACCCAACUUAUACGAUCAAAUUGCAGAAGGUAGUGCUAUAAAACUGCUUACCAUCAUUAGAUUUGAUUUACUAAUUUUCAGCUUGAUGAGUCAUAUUAUGUUAACUUUGGGAUCCUGGACAUUGAUAAAACUUACUGAUUUUUUUUUCCCCAAUUUUGACACACCACAAUUACAAUUCCUUAUUAGGAACUCCUUUCCAAAGGGAGCUACUCAAUAGUUGGAACUUGGGACCUGGGUAUCAGAUUGCACAACAGUGGGCCAAAGAAAGAUCAGCUGACUCUCGGGCUAGUACAAUGAUUGACAACCUCGGCAUCUUCUGCCUUCCUAUUGGUGUCAGAGCAUCAGAGGAGUUGGAUAUUUUUUGUUCACAACAACAAGAGCCCAAGACUGAGAAUGAUGUCAAAGAACCACCUACUGGUGCAAGUUUUGAUGUAAUGAGGGAUUUUUAUAGCACUGCGGCUACUCUAUUGAAGGGAAAAACUGCUGAUGUUCGUAAGAAGCAAGGAGUGCUAUCCACACGUGCAGCAUCUAUGCUGGUAAUUUGCAUUUAACAAAAUGUACAAUAGGGAUGUUUUGAUACAAAUAUUUUUGGAUGCACAAUAGAAAAGUUUUGACACAAAAAUAUUUUCUGAUGCACAAUAGGAAAGUUUGGAUGCAUGCUAAUAUUCUUACAGAUCUAUUGUUUCCUUAAUUCAAGUUUUGUAGUUUGUUCUAUCAUCUAUGAAUCAUUCUUCUGGGAGAAAAAUUUAAUUGGUCCUACUUAAUUAUAUAAUAAUGAAUUUAUUUGCUUUAAACCAAGAGGUUGGAUUAAGAGGUUAAAGUUUGGAUUCAACAGAAGGAAAGGGUAUCAGAACCCCUUAGAGCAACCUACCCAGGUUGUUUAUAUUCCACAAGUUUCCUAGUUGCCAAGAUUGAGGGUCCUGCAGUAGUACCUAGUUUAGACUUUUACUCUUGUGUUUUUGGAAUCAUACAUAUGUUUAAAGGCACAUUUUGAAGUUCCUCGCUAGCCCAUUCCUAAAUUUUUCUCUCUGCUGCACUUAGUGCAUUGAUAUAGGUAAUGCAAAAAUAUUGUAUUUUUAACAACUGAAGAUUUUCUUGAGCAUUGUUAUUUUAAUCUUAAUGGUGUACUAUGCAUGUGCCAUGAGGUGAAUAGAGGAUUUGAAUUUUAUGUUCUUUGUUCACUGUUUUAUGAACUCGAAUGAUAGCUCACGCAUGGCCUAGAUUAAUAGUUGGUUCCAACCUCCUGAUUUAACAGUUCAACUUUUGAAACUAAAACUUUAUAUUCUGUUAUGUAGUUUUAGUACUUGGAUUUUUGCUUGGGAUGAAGAAUUUUUCCAUUUCAUAGCAUCUUAAGACAGGAGUUAUAGUAUUUUUCAUGUACCUUUCUAAUAUUAAGUAUCAUUAUAUAGUGGUAUGUGCUGUCUUUUGUUUGCUAUCUUGGAGCUUUCAGGUUUUUUUUUUGUGUUUAGUUCAUGUGUACUUUAUUCUGAUUGUGCAGUUCCCAUGCAGGAAGCUGAACGAGAUUCACCGAAAAAAUGGACUCCUGUGGUGGAGAUACAAUACAGAGGAGGAAUCUAUAGGGGACGAUGUCAAGGGGGUCUUCCUGAAGGAAAGGUAUUUGAACUCCUUUUCUGAAGCAAACUUGUUUUGUCUUUAAUACUUUAGGGGAAAAAGUUUUUUUAAAAAAAGGAAUUUAAUGUCAUUUUUUGCACAAUUUACACAGGGUCGUUUGAUCCUUGAGGAUGGAAGUAUAUAUGAAGGAAUGUGGCGUUAUGGCAAGAGAUCAGGUCUGGGUAUAUUUUACUUCAGUAAUGGAGAUGUGUUCCAGGGAUCAUGGAGAGAUGAUAUGAUGCAUGGCAAGGUCUGAUUAUUUAUUUAUUUUUUUGAUGAGAAACUAUGAGUAUUUGUAUUAAUAAGUAAUGGACAAAGUACACUUUAGUAGUGGACCAGGUAUCCACUUAAAAUCAAUCAAAGCUUAUGAAAAUGGGGAUCAAUCCCCAAAAGUCUGAUUUAACUCAAAAGAGACUGCUUAUCCCCAUAAAAAAAUGAGCGGAAUACACUCUAAAUCCUUAAACUCCCUCCAAUUCCAAUGAAUGAAGAAAAGAUGAAGUGUCCUGGAAAUCCUUUAGUCACCGACACCCAAAGAGUAUCCAAAAGGUGAACUCUUUACCACAAGCUAUCAUAACUGCCCCCUCAUGACUCUCAAAAAAUUCUACUGUUUCUUUCAUUCCAAAUCACCCAAAAGAUAGCUGAAACUGCACUUCUCUAAAGAGUCUUAAAUUUCCUCCUUUCCCAAGAGCAUCAAUGCUCUCCAUUAACAAAGCUUCACAAGAGCACGGAACAGCCCAAGAUAAAUUUGCUUCUUUGCAUAGUUUUCCCCACAAUCUAAAAGCAAUCUCACAAUGAAGAAACAAAUGAUUAGUAUUCUCUUCUUCUACACAUCACAGGCCAUGAAGGCGAGAGGCAUAUAGAUGGAUACUUUUUUUUAAUCACUUCACUAGUGUUAAUUUUUCUUUGAGCUAAAGCCCAAACAAAGAACUGAAUUUUGGGUGGGGAUUCUAGUUUUUUAUAUCAAUCUGAAUGCUUAAAUGUUUUAAUUUGAGAAAGAAAAGCAAGUAGAUACUGCUCACUUGAGGGGAUCUGAUGGGUAAGUUCAUUUUUGUCACCCUCGGCUUAUUGACAAUACUUUACAUAUACAUGCCAGCAGGGUUUUAAUUACUGAUUUGCAGUUUCAGUUGUCUUUUCUCUCUGCCUAUUGGCUUUUAUCUUUUGAACUUUUGGGAACUCUCUACUUUGAACGUAUUCUUUUCGAGGAAGCAAAUGAUACGUGAAGUUAAAUUGAUUAGUUGCUUCUCAAUUAUGAUGAAAGGAAUCAAUUCACACAUUAUGUUUAAGGCAGAAAAGAUGUGAUACGAUGUAGUAACUUAAGGAUUUCAAAAUUUUGUAGCAUAGGAAAAGGGCCAUUUGGUAGGAGAUUUGGCUCGACUGUAGAAGAAGCUUAUUUUUUAUGUAAAAUAUAAUAAUUAUGAAGUAUCAGCCUAGAACAUUAAUAAUUAACAGGAUCUGUGAGGAGUAACCUGAGUUUGAGUUGUAAUGGGUGGUAAAACAUUGAAGUAAAAGGGCAUCAGGAGAAACCUAGGAAAAGAAUCUCUCUAAGAUUACAAAAAUGAUCUAAUAUUUUUACAGAACAACACUCAGAUCAUUUUGAAGAAUGUUAACAUACUUAUAGAUUGGACAUGUCUUCUUAUGACCAACUUAUUGCUAGGAUUCCUACAGCCAAAAGAUUGAGAAAUCUUACAUAACAAAGUUUAACCUAAAUCAAUUUAAAGACCAAAUAAAAUGUCUAAUAACUGAAAGUAACCCUCACUACGUAACUAAAUUUUCUCUCUUGUAGAAGUUGUAGAACUAAAUUUUCGCUCUGUUGAUAAAAAUUUCCAUAACUAGUAAAUGAUUCUCUGAAUUAAAUGUUGAUUUAGUCCAGUAUUAAUGAGGCUGAUCAAGUGUUACAGAAAUCCUAUUAAUAUAGGGUAAAAUUCCAAAAUAAUAAAAAUUACAAACAAAAUCCUUUCCAUGUGAUAAAAGACUUUUUCAUGAACAAAUUUAUUUUACAUCAUCAAUUACUGUUUAGAAUUUUCACUAUUCCCAGGAAAUUUGUCUGAGCUGUUGAUUCAAAUAGAUACUUGAACGUAUUUCCGCUGAGACGCUCCUAAUUAUCUGCUUAUGUUAUUUAUCCUGUUCAGCAUGGAUGUUGCCUUUUCUACUCUACUCAGUACAGCUUUUGCUUAUAACUAAAAAACAUCUGGUAUUUGGAUCUUAGCAAGUUUUUGCCUCUGUAUCUUUCUUUUGCUUUUUAUUAAUUGGAACUAAAAUCUAGAUCGACAAUCAAGUAAAUGCAUUGAAUCAUUGCUUAUCUUCAACUUCUGAAAUCCAAUUCACAUCCUCUUUCUAUGGGUGACGAAAAUAUUGUUCUUUUACUUGGUGGUAGGAAAAAUCAUAUGUAAUAGAUACCUGAGAAUAUCCUUCUGGAUUAUUCUGAAAAUGGUUUGAUUUUCUGAUCAUGUAGGGUUGGUUUUAUUUCCACACUGGGGAUCGAUGGUUUGCAAACUUUUGGAAGGGAAAGGCCAAUGGUGAGGGCCGCUUCUAUUCGAAGUUUGGUGACAUCUUUUUUGGUCGUUUCCGAGAUGGAUGGCGGCAUGGCGACUUCCUUUGCAUUGAUGUUGGUGGAAAAAGGUUUGUCUUAUUUUUUUCAUAUAACAUUUUGGUAAUAUUAUAUGAAACUCAAUCAAUUUAUUACAUGUGGCUAUUGAGUUUGCUCCAUUUUAUCUUGAUACAGCUUCCCUUUACCGGAAAAACAGGCAUAAAAUUAGGACUGUGAUUAUCAGCUUCAAUAGUGUAUGAAGAUAGCAUCAUUGCUAAAACAAGUAUUUAUGCUUCACUUACAUGUUUGUGGUUAGGAUUUCGGAGUCUUUGCAAAGAUGUUUAUAUGAUUCUUCCUUCUGUGGGAUGGGGAUGCAGGUGCUAAAUGAGAAGAAAAAUCAUUAAUAGAUUAGACUUCUACACCUAAUAUCAAUGCUUUGUCUUAAAGUUUUCGAUUUUUUGUGUUACUGUGUUAUUGAUAUCACAAUAUUACUGCUACUUUUGGCCAAGUUUCACCUGUUCAUACAUGGUGGAUCUUAACCUUUAAAAAAUAGAUUUUUUUGGUUGGAUAUUCAAACAUGCUUCUUUUGCUUCAUUUGUGUGUGCUAAUAUUAUUUGCUAUGAGAAAUGGAAAGUGAAAAGGAAUAACUUUUGUUUGAAAGGUCGGACCUUUUUCUUUGGGGCCCCUCUUGUUCUUUGGUCAUUUAUGUUCUCAAAUCCUUUUUCUUUAUCAUAAACCAAUCCCAGCCUUACUGUAAUGUCAUAUUCCCUAAAUAGCUUCUGGAGAUAUCUAAUUGUUCAGAUUAACUACCCUAAUUCCCUGUUGUAACAGAUACACUCGAAUUAUCAUAUUUGCAGGUGCAUUGAGAUUUGGGAUGAGGGUGUUCUUGUAAGCCGUAAGCAGUUGAACUCAGAUAGCGGUACCGAAUAACUAUUGUCCAGUGUUUGCAUGUCUCUUUUCUUUCACUCUUAAAAAUUAGUAGGUUGUCAGCAAACAAUAGCAAUUAGCAAGAGAAUUUUCGGCGAGUGUCAAGAAAAAUUGCUGACGGUCAUAUAAGAGUCGCAUUUUCAUUUUAUUUUUUUCAAAUUUUCACAUGGAUUUUGAAUUGUAUAGCUCCAUAUGUAUGUUGCCUGAUUUUUUUUUCCUUUUUUCAAUAUUCAUUUACUCAAAAAGCUAUCUGUAUUUGGGGAAUUCUGCAUAAUGAAUUCUUAUGUAUGAUGUCGGAUUUGUUUCCAAAGGCUUGUUAGGUAUUAGCAUCAGCUCUUAAAAGAGUUUAUUAGAAAGCAAUUAUAUGAUCUACAAUAUAUCAAAUAAUAUGCAACCAUUCAAUGUUUGCAGGCCUUAUUCGAAUAUUUUAAGAGAAUUCAAAAUUCUUGUAUAGGAAAACAUAUAAUCACUUAAAUAAAGCCGAAAGACUGAAAAAAAAAACAAAUUGAAGAACAAAAUAUUACCUCACAACCAGUGAAUAACCAAUUUAAGCCUUUUAUCCUAAAAGGAUUUGACCAAAGGAACAAUUCAAGUUAAGAAAUAAUUGAAAAAUUAAAAAGAUAAAUCUAUUUCGUGAUGCCCGAUGCACAUUAUGCAAUGUGCAUUCACCAUAUAUGUAGGAGCAGGACUGUUGUGCUAAAAUGAGCUGAUCUUAGCACCGGAUUCUUUUCCAUGUACCAAAUCUAGAGAUGACCAAAAAGUCAGGCGGCAUGGUUGGUACGAAAUGUGUCUAUACAACGUGACACGAUAUCAACAUGCUUCGUUAAGAUACACAAUAUGGCACAACAUGCACUUGGGUUGGGUUGGACCUAAAUUUUUAGGCGCACAUGUUUUGAAGUACAAUAUGAUUUCAGAUGAGUCAAAGCACAGCACGUGAAAAAGUUUACAAAAAAUAUGGUUUUUUAAUUGAAUUUUAUUUAAAUUAUAAUCUCAAGUAUUAUUUAAGUAAAUAAAUUUGAAUUGAACAACAUUAGAAAUAAUAAUAUUUUGUUUUAUUUUAAUUGAAUUGAAAUUUUAUUAUUAAUUAAUGUUUUGUUAUUUUAAAUUAUAAAUUAAAUUUAAGUCAUUAACUGAAUUUGUAUUAUCGUUUAAUGUAAUAUCGUUUUGUUUUCUUAUAAUUGUUGGUUCUAUGUUAUGUAAAUGUAAUAAAUUUUUUAAUUGUAUUUCUAAUCAAUUGUUAAUGCAACUCUAAAAUUUUUUUUUGAAGUAUUAUAAUAUAUUUGAUUAGUGUUGUAUGAUAUAGUUUAUAAAUUUGGAUGAUUGAUAUUUCAAAAAAAUAUUUCAAUUUAUGUCUAAAUGAAAGUGCUUUGGUUAAAUGGUUGAAGGCUUAGAAAUAAGUUUAUAAUGAGCUUGAGAUUGAGUCUCAUUAUACUUAAAAGUUUAAUUUUCUUUUUUAAGUAAAAGCAAAAUAAUUUUAAAAAAAGAUAAGUGUGCUAGCACCGCCGGUAUGCGGCGUUGGGCCAAUCUUUCAAAAUUUCUGCACGGUACAGCAUAUCAAGUUCGACGGGUUGUGCUCGGCACGACUUGUUCGUCAUUUCUAACAAAAUUUAUUUUUUUAUUUUGAUUUAUGCACCAAAUCUAACCCCGCGACUAAGGCCUUAGUUUUCAUUUUCAAUUUAAAAAAUGCUCCAAAUCUUUAUUUAAUGACUAAGGCAUUAGUCUAUUGGUGAAUUUGUUACCUCAACAAUAUCAAAGCCACGAGAUUGAGUAGUAUGAAUUCAAAAAUAUUUUUUUUCUCACAAAGUGUGGAUAGGGGUAAAUAUCUCCUCAAGUAUUUGUGGAAGUAAAUUUUCAAAUUAGUUUGAGAAUUUAAAAAUAUUUUUUUUUCUAAAAAUGUGAGUGUCGUAGAUAUCUUUAUAUUUUCACAAAUCUCCCAUAAAGGUGAGAUUAUGGGAGAAUUCAAAAAUAUUUUCUUUUAAAAAAUGCACCAAAUCUUACUCAGCGACUAAGGCCUUAGUUUUCAUUUUCAAUUUAAAAAAUGCACCAAAUUUUUACUCAAUGACUAAGGGCGUUUGUCUAUUGGUCAAUUUGUUACCUGAAGAAUAUUGAAGUAACGAGAUCGAGUCAUAUGAAUUCAAUUUUUUUUUUCUCACAAAAGUGUUGGUAGGGGUAAAUAUCUCCUCAAAUAUUUGUGGAAUAAAUUUUCGAAUUAGUUUGAGAAUUCAAAAAAAAUUUCUUUUCUAAAAAUGUGAGUGUAGUAGAUAUUUUCACAAAUCUCCCAUAAAUGUAAGUAGAUAGAUAUCUCCUUACAAAUCUCUUAUAAAUGCAAGUAGCUAGAUGUCACCACCUUAGGCCGGGUGGGCUGAAUAACGUGGCUUGGCUUGUAGCCUUGUGCCAAGUCUUGGUGGCAACAUGAGUGUGCUUGUGGUGAGCACGAAACCAAGGCAAGUAUGAUGCGUGAGUUGGGGCACGACAGUAAGUGUGCACUAUGGGACAAAUGCAGGGGGAGCGCAGCAACAUCUCGCAAGUGCGAGAGGCGCAAUGGGCUCGCAGACUCAAGGCACAAUGGGCACGCGGACGCGAGGCGCAACAGCGCGCGAACGUAGUACAAAGGCAUGCAAGCGUGGGGUGCUGCAAUGAGUGAGGCAAGCGUGCUGGAAGAGUUUUGGACAGCAAGUAAGGUGGCGCGAAACUAAGCCAAAGGCUGCGAAAUGGCCCCUAAUAACAAGCAUGAGUGGGUGGUUGCCGGCGCAACUAGUGGGAGACAUGGCUUUGGAAUGCAUGGCUAGAAACGUGGGAACAUGAGAAGUGGGCAGCGGCGGUUAUGCCCCACAACUUCCUUGUUUCUAGGCUAAUGGGCAAUAAUUGCCUUGUUCCUUAGGGGAGUGGAGAUUUACUCCCUAGAUCAUGCUUAGUGGUGCCUACUUUUAUAGGAAAUAUAGCAAAUGGGAGUGUCAUUUGCAUUGUGUAUAUCUGGUAAAAGUGAGUCUGUGUUUUGGGAUAGAGAUUUGGGAGAAAGUGACAUCCUCUAAGCACAUAUAGUCUUGCUAGGUUGGAACUUUUCUUAUUGAAGGAAAUGGAAAAGUUGGAAGUUGGUGCCUCCGUAAAAACAAUCUCGUAUAUGUGCUGGUUUCUCCUUUGUUGAGUGGCUGGUCGAGCGAGGCUUGAUGCCAUCACGGGCUAGCCGCAUCUUAAGAAAAGCCAAGUGGCAACUGGUAUCAGAGCCCCAGGUUUAGGUUUGUGUUUUUCAACAAAUGUUGAGGGAAACAACGAGGGAUAGGUUGGCUAGAUUGGAAGCUGCAGUCGGGAACUUACCGCUUAAUUCGGAUAAUUUGGUGAUCACGAUGGAAGUUAACUCAGUCGAAUUGGCAAAUCUAAAAUUUGCUUAUGAUGGGUAAGCAAGGACUAUUGCUGAAAAGAUUGGGUUGAUUUUGGAUAAUGUUGCCACUUUGGCGAGGGAACUAAGGGGCAACAUUAGGGCGCUAGAAAAUUAUUUGGGUUUGUUGAAGCGCGUGGUCAACAAUGCAUUAUUACAUUUAGAGGCAGGGCCUGCGAAGAUCAAUGUGCUCGAACCGAAGCCAUUCGGUGCCAUGCAUAGUGCCAAAGAGUUGGAGAACUUCCUAUGGGAUGUAGAGCAGUACUUCAAGGCUGCUCAGGUACCCAAAGAGGAGUAAGUUUCAAUUGCUACCAUGUAUCUAGUUGGUAGGCUUGGCAAAACCCCGGGUCCGGUCCGGGUUUGGUGCAACCCGGGACCGGACCGAAUGCCAAAAAUUAAAACCCGGACCCGGAUAAAACCCAGUUUUUGUAUGUCCGGUCCGGGCUUGAGCCCGGCGUGUCCUGGGUCCGGGUUUUGUCUUCCGGGCUUCUAAGCCCGCAAACAAAUAUUUCAAAAAAAAAAUUCUUUCAUUUUUAUUAAGAUGUAACAGAUUGAAAAUAAAUUAAAAAUAAACAAUGGUUCCCUUUUAAUCAGCAGAGUCAUACAACUAUCUUAAAUUGAAAAUAAAUUUGAUUAAAAUGUAACAAAUUGGUAGAAGUUAUCCAAUAAUUGUCAAAGCGGCAGAUGGUAAGUAGCAUGCACCAAGCAACUUAAUUAAUUAAACAAUAAGCUUAGUCCUCCGUUAAUGUGUGUACAUGUACAUCUGCACUCUGCAGUAGGCACAACAACUUGUUAUUGACUCGGAAACAACUUUAUAAUUCACUUGAUAAGCUAAUGCGGCUGCAGCCAAAAUAAAUAUCACCAAAUAAGUGAUACAACAAUACAACAUGCAUGCACAUUUUUUGUGUAUCAUAAUACAAGAUAAAUCUCAAACUUAAGUCAAAGAAAAUUAGAGAAAUAGUUAAAUACAAACUUAUAACAUACUAACAAUACAAAUUUUGCACAAAUAAUGAAUAAAAAUGCAUCUAACUUCUAACCUAAACUCAUUCAAUCUAUAUAUAAAAAAAAUUAAAUUCAAUAACACAAUAAAUCUAAACAACAUCCAACAUAUCAUAAGUUCAUAAUUAUGACACCAAUUAUCAAUACAACACAUGAAAAUCCUAAAAUGUUCAACAACUCAAAAAAUAGUUCAUAAAAGAGUCAAAACACUCCCAUGUAAAACAAAUAAAUAACAAGUUCAUGUCUAAUUCCAAAUAAAUAAAUAAACGUUCAUGUCAUGCUACUUGUCGACGCUUGUAGCUCAUCAUCAUCAUCCGAAAUUACCUCCUCCCCAGUAAAAAUCUCAUCCUCCGGAACUCCACCUUACGACAAAAAUAACACAUUAAAAUUCAAAGCAUUUUAAGCAAAUAAAUACUACUAAAAUAUGAUUCAAAUAACUUUAUACCUCGAAAAGUAGAAGCCCAAAUCCAAUUUUGAGCACACAUUAAGGCUUCUAAAGUGUCAGGAAGAAGUUUACUACGAUGCGGACUCAAAAAUCUGCCCCCGGCACUAAAAGCUGACUCAGAGGCAACGGUGGAUACAGGAAUGGCUAAGAUAUCCUUAGCUAACUCAGCCAAAAUAGGAUAUUGGCUUGUGUGCAUCUUCCAAAAAGCUAAAAUAUCAAAGUGCGGAAUGGAAUCCAACAAUUCCUCAUCUAAAUACCUAUCCAACUCCGACUUAGUUACCUUAGCACGUUUAUUUUGGCUUCGAAAUGUUUCAAACUCAUCUACAUCACACUACUUAUUCGAAUUCAAACAAGAUUCAGAACGAGAAAUUUCCAAUCCAACAUUCUGCCCACCACUCACACGCGUUGCCUUCGAUUCAUAUUCUUUCACUAAAUCAUAACAAAGCUUAUGUGCACGCUCAAUAAGCUCAUCUGCUGUAUCACCAUAUAUCUUUGGAAAAUAAAAAUGAAUUAACAUCAUCUUAUAUCUUGGAUCAAGCACAACAACCACAACUAACAUUGGAUGAAUUUCAUUCCAAUAUUUGUCAAAUUUAUCAGCCAUUUUAUCAGCCAUAAUCCUAAUAGCAAGGUUAUCAGCAGUGCGCCACCUAUUAAUUGACAAUUUCAUUUUACAUAUCAACGGAAAAAAACAAAUUAGCAAUUGGGUAUUUUAUACCCGAAAACAUCUCCGUUAACAUGUAAAAUGAUUUCAAAUGCUCCACCAUUAUGACUGCCAAAUCCCACUCCUUAUCACUUGGAAAGCUCUUAUACUGAGGGUCACGUUGUUGCAACCGAGAAAAAAACACUUCUAUACAUCAAUGCUACUUCAAGCAUGGCAUAAGUAGAGUUCCAACGAGUAGGACAAUCCAAUUUCAAUUUUUUUUUACAAUUAAUUUGUAAUUGUCUAGCAGCUAACUCAAAAGUUUCAUAUCUUUUUGGUGUUUGUGUCCAAUGACUCACACUCUCUCUAAUCUUUCCAAUCCCACUUUCUAUAACUUUCAACCCAUCCCGCACAACCAAGUUCAAUAUAUGAGCAGUACAUCUCAUAUGAAAAAUUUACCACUAGAAAUUAAGGUAUCGGUAUCAAACCUUAACAACAAUUUCUCCACCAUUGCGUCAUUAGUGGUACAAUUAUCCAAUGUCACUGAGGAUAACUUUCUAUCCACGUUCCAAUCCAAUAGGCAUUGUACUAACUCAUUACAUAGGGCAUCAGUAGUAUGGGGACUUGGAACAUAGAUGAACCUAUCAAAUAUUCAAAAGUCGGUAUUAAAUACACAAACUUAAAAUAUAUUACAAUUUAAACUUGCAAAAAAAUCUAAUAUAAGUAAUAAUAAACUUAAAAGAAAAAUUACGCAAAUAAAAAUUUAUAGACAAAUUACCUUAAGAUUCGACUAUGCAAUUUCCAGGAAUUAUCAAUGAAAUGGGCCGUCACGACCAUAUACCCUUUUUCUGAUUACUAGCUGUCCAUAAAUCCGUAGUAAUGGCCACUCUACCAUGAUUUUUCCCCAAUAAAUGCAAAGUCUUAACCUUCUCGAUUUGAUAUAACUUCAAGAUUUCGCUCUUCAAAGUGUUUCUGCUCAUUGGCUUAACCACGGGGUUAGCAUGUGCCAUCAUUUCUCGGAAGCCUAUAUAUUCCACGAAUCUAAGUGGAAGCUCAUGCAUUAUAACCAUUCUUGCUAUCAAACUCCGUAAAACAUUUUGAUCAAAACUACCAUAACUAAUGCCACAAGUUCCAUCCUCUCUUUUAAUCACUUUAAGGCUUCCUUGAAGUGCUGCUUCUAUGUUUGGUUGAUUCUGCUUAAAACACAUUGCCACGUGUCUAUUCAAAGUUGAAGUCCCAGAUUGGUAUUUUGCUUUUAAAAUUGCACUACAAUGCAUGCACUUUGCCUUUUGUUCUCCAUUUACCAUUAUUUUUGUAAAGUGCUCCCAAGCUUCGGAGACUUUCUUCUUUUUUCUAGUUUCUUCCUUACUUUUCUUAUCAUUCACGGUUGACACUGAAAUUUCCUCAACCUCAUUAUCAAUUUAUCUUCGACAUUACGAGAUAAAUCUGGAGCACUCGAAGAAUUGAUUUCUACGUUGUCCGACAUUGCACUACUCUGUUGUUACAAUAGCAAAGAUAUACUAAAUUUCAGAUUUUAGUGUGGAAACGAAAAAGUGAACAGAAAAGAGAGACAGGGACAUAAAACUAACAGGCUCACAGCAAGUCAGCAACAUAAAAUUAAAAAAGGCAAAAGGAUUUGGCUGAAAAAAAAGAGCAACAGUUACAUUAAUCACAGGCUCACAGCAAGUCAGCAACCAUAUACUUAACAAUAAAUAUGAGAGUAUGAACUGGAAGUAAAAUGACUGAAACAGGGAAAUGGCAUACAAAUUUGUAUUAUUUGAUGAUAUCAUUUUUGGAUUCAACAUAAAAAUUAAAAUAUUGUCUGGUUUUGCUUUGUUGUCAAAUCAAAUCAAGCUGGGCAGAGAGGUUCACACAGCCAACAGAAGCAAAAUCAUACAAAUAAGUGAAUAACCAGUUGUAAUAUAACAUUAAAAAUCCACUUCAAUAGUAUAACCCAACAAAUCUCGACACAAACCCCCUAGUUUCAUCAUACAAUCAUAUGCUGUGUGCGUUUGCUGAUGCAUUUUAGGGCCAGAUUAUUCAGACUCUUGAAAUUGAAGAGUGAUGACUGCUUGACUGGUGAUGGCUCAAAUAAAUUUUACACUAUAUACAAACCAGUGAACUUUAUUACCUUAUCUAGCUAGCUUUCAUCCCGUGCAGCUAAAAUGCAAAAUGAUAGAUGUGUAGAGGUAGCGAGAUGUUACUUGUCUAUAUUCACUAUAGAUUGGUUUUAGAUGAAAUGGAAUUGGUCGGGAUGGAGAAAAAAAGAAAUGGAGAAAUUAAAAAAAUGCUGGACGUAUACAAAUCAUAAAAAUUAAGUAUUACACGAGCAGACAAUAAGGAUCCCUCACAAAAUUGGCCAUAUUUUCCUCAUAUUCUACAGUCAGAACCACUUAGCCUCACAGCAACAGCAAGUCAGCAACCAUGCACAAAAUUGACUGAAAAUAAACACAAAUAGCAACAACCAACACCAACAGAGAAACAAUCGGCAAAAAUGCAACUGGGAAGACAAAAUAUGGAAGGAAAAAAAUCAAUACCUGCGGCUGGUAGUGGUGGCUGUGAUGGCAGAGUGAUGGACUGAUGGUGGAUGAAAAAGUGGCAAUGAAGAGUUGGAGACGGUGGCGCUGACGCUGACGGCGCCGGAGGGGGAUGCACUGCGCUACUGCCGCUGCACGAACGACUCCCGUCACAGCCAAAAAAAGGACAACCGAGUCAGCAAAUGCAAACGAGAAGAGAUGAUGCCGACUGCCGACUGCCGAGGGGCGACGGUGACGAACUGACGGUGGGUGCUAGCCGACGGUGACGGUGCCAGCGUCGCCGCUCAACUUAUGCCUUUGGGUUGGGUGUUUUGCGAUUUGGGGAAUUAGGGAUUUUCGGAUUUGGUUUUACGAUUUGGGUUUGAGUAAGGGUAACUAACUGGUUUUAGUUUUUUUUUUUGUUUUUUAAUUGGGAAAACGGGUCCGGGUCCGGGUUUCAGGUUUUGGGUGCUGAACCCGGACCGCGCCCGGAUAUGUCCGGGUUUUAAAUUUUGAAACCCGGAUCCACUUUUUCUGUAUAUGAGGUCUGGGUUUUGCCUAGACCGGAUUGGCCGGGUUCGGGCCGGAUCCGGUCCGGGCGGGUUUUUUUGACACCCCUACUAGUUGGGGAUGCAAAGUUUUGGUGAUAGAGUAGGCUCUAGAAGGAUGCUGAAGCAUAGAGACAACAUAUCGAAAGUUGGGAUUCACUCAAGCGAGAAUUAAAAAGUCAAUUCUUGCUAGGCAAUGCGGGCUAAAUUGCACGAGAGAGCUUGAAAAAGCUCAAGCAAACUGGUUCUGUCAAGGAUUAUGUCAAGGAGUUUAGUUCUUUGAUGCUUGAUAUCAAAACAUGUCCGAUGAAGACAAGCUUUUCAAUUUCAUUUCAAGUAUGCAACCACGAGUACAAACUAAAUUAUGAAGGCACGUGGUGCGAGACUUACCUUCAGCAAUUGCCGCUGCGGAUGAUUUGGUGGAUUUUAGGAUUGCGAGCUCUUCUCCCUCAUAACCUAAGAAAGGAAAAGAUUCAAAGAAAACUAGCCCCUCUAAGUGUGAUGGUAGGAGAAAAGAGGGCGCCUCAAAGAAAUCCAAACUGGGAGAUUUGUAAAAAAAGAAAAGCUUGGGGAGCUUUAAUUUUUACGAUCCACACAAGGCAAAGAAUUACCCAAAACGUGACAAGAUCAAUGAAUUGGUCAAAGAGACUUGGGUGGAACUUUCAGUGGCCGAAGCAAGUACUUUGCGGAUGAACUUAUUACAGUUAAUGAAUGCUCUAAAGGAGGAAGUUGUGCACAACAAUACAAACCAAGGGUUGAUGGUAACAACGGUAUGGGUAAAUGGACUUAAAGUGCAAGCUAUGCUUGAUACAAGAGCCACGACUAACUUCCUAGCAUUGCACAAGGUGUUGUGCUUGGGUUUGGAAGUGACCGCAAUGGGCAGUAAAGUGAAAGCUGUCAAUGUUGCGAGUGUAGGUGUCUAAGGGGUAAUUAUUUGUUCCUUGAGGGUUAGAGCAUGGGAAAAAAAGGUGAAACUCAUUGUUAUGCCUCUUGAUGAUUUUGACUUAAUUCUUGGAAUGAAGUUUUUUUAUGUUGCUAUGGUACAUGUGAUGUUUUAUCGGAAGUGCAUCAUUAUCAUACGCUUGGAGACGUUGUGUGUUGUACAAUGUCAGUUUCAGGUUCAUGGCAGGUCAGAACCAUCACUCUAAUCUACAAAACAAUUUACAAAAUGGUUGAAGAAUGAUGAGUCAUUCUUGGCUGCAUUGAUAGAGUUAAAACCUUAUCAGUUUGCAGAGGUGCUUGAUGAGUACGUAAAAGUGUUGGAUGAGUUUGCAAAUAUAAUGUUGUCGGAGCUCCCUCGAACCCUUCCACCUAGACAAGUUCUAGAUCAUCGAAUUGAUCUGGAACUUGAUGCAAGACCCUCUGCAUAGGUUCCUUACCAGAUGGCACCUUCGGAGUUGGCAAAACUUCGAAAACAAUUGGAUGAGUUGUUGAAUGUAGGGUUUAUUCAACAAUCUAAAGCACCUUAUGGUGAGCCAGUACUGUUUCAAAAGAAGAAAGAUGGCUCGAUGCAUAUGUGUGUGAACUAUUGUGCUCUAAAUAAGGUGACGAUAAAAAACAAGUAUCCAGUCCCUAACAUUGUGGAUUUGUUUGAUUGUUUAGGUAGAGCAUCUUACUUUACGAAGCUAAACUUGAGGUCAAGAUAUUGGCAAGUACGAAUUACGAAGGGGGACGAAGCAAAAACAACUUGCGUAACUCGGUAUGAGUCAUAUAAGUUCUUGGUGAUGUCUUUCAGUCUCAUCAAUGCACUUGCAACAUUCUACAAUUUGAUUAACGAUAUUCUUUAUGAGUACUUGAACUACUUUAUGGUGGUGUAUCUUGACGAUAUAGUCGUUCAUAAUGAGUCUUUGGCGGAUCAUUUUUAUCAUCUUAGGCUGGUGCUCUCAUGGUUACGAGAACACAGAUUGUUUUUCAAGAAGAAGAAACGCGAGUUUUGUCAUUGGGAAGUGAUGUUCUUGGGGCAUUGGUUGAGCCAAGACAAGAUUUGGAUGAAUGAGAGGAAGGUCGAGGCAAUUUUUGACUGGCCUGCACUUACAAAGAUGACCAAACUUUGAUCAUUUCUUGAGUUAGCUAACUACUAUUGCAAGUUCAUCGAAGGAUACUUGAAAAAAGUGAAUGCAUUGACGGACUUGUUGAAGAAAGAUUACAAGUGGAAAUGGAUAAAAACAUGUCAGCAAGCGUUCGAUAAACUCAAACAAGCAGUAGCUUCAGAGCCGGUGCUCAAGCUACCUAACUUCGGUUUUUCGUUUGAGGUAUAUACAGACUCAUUGAAUAGGACUAUUUAGGGCGAGCUUGUUCAGGAGGGCCAUCUGAUUGCUUUUGAGAGUCAAAAGCUAAAGAAUGCAAAGCAACAGUACUCGAAACAUGAAAAGGAGAUGACGGUAGUGGUGCGUCGCUUAGACUUAUGGAAGCACUACUUAUUGGAAAUUGUUUUGUUUGUUGUUACUAAUAAUGUGACAAACAUUUAUUUUAAGACACUGAAAAAGCUUACACCAAAUCAAGUAAUAUGGUAGCAGCUCCUAGUCUAAUAUGAAUUCAUAUGGGUACAUAGGCUUGGAAGACAGAACCAUGUGGUAGAUGCUCUCAAUCGCAAAGAAGUUGAAGCAUAUGUAGUCACUUUGACUACCGUGACAAUGGAUUUUCUUGACAGACUUAUGCAGUAAGUGAAGGCGAAUCCUAACUACAGCCAACUGUUAACAUAAAUAAUUCUUUAUUAUUGAUUUUGAUGAUAACAAACUUGAUUAAGAUUGGUUAAUCUUUUAAAAUCUCAAAAUAGUUUUCAUAUAUUUUUAAAUCAUCAUUUUCACUUUAUAAAAGCUUUAUAUUCUAUGAAAAUAUUUUUAUAAAAUUGGUUAUUCUCAUGUUAAUGGUUUCAAUUGAAAAAGAUUUGAGAAUUUUGAUAAAAUAACAAGUAUUGCCUAAAAUCCUGAAAAUGGACAUAUUUGACAAGUUUUAUAAAGUUUUGGGCCAUAAUAUAUUUUUAUAAAGUUUUGGGGCCAAAUUGUAAUUUUAUAAAAUAGUUCACUGCAGCAGUCACUAUAGAAAUGACGAUUCGACAUCUCGAUAAUGCCAAUCUGACAUCGAACAAAAUUAAAGAGUAGCAUCUGGACACUAACGGCAAUCCAACAUCUAGAAAACGAUGAUCCGACAAUUUGAAAAUUGAGCCCAACGGUCAUAUUGACUAGUCAAACAGCGAUCCAACAUCUAGUUAACGGUGAUCCGACAGUAAGCAGAAAGUCAAUAACGGCUAGUUUUCAGCUUCAACUAUAAAUAAGCUUAAUCAAAUUCAAACAAUAACGAUUCCAACAAUUAUUAUUGAGCAAAGUCUUGAGUAUACAACAUUCAUUGAGCCUGAAAUUCUUAUAUUCAUCUCAUUUACUCACACUUUGGAUCUUCAUUUGUAAUCAAACACAUUGUGUGAGAGAGAUUUAUUUUAUAAUAUUCUUUAAAAUCAAAUUGAAUGAUUAUAAGUGUUGGGAUACACUUGGGUUAAGAGAUUGUAGAUAAUCUCUUGUUGUAAAGGUUUAUUGACACCUUAGAAGUCAAGUGCAAGCAUUUGAAGCCUUUGAGGCUUGCUUAGUGGAAUCCUCAAGGCCGAAAAGCCUGGAGGCGUGGACGUAUGCGAGGUUGGCCGAACCACAUAAAAAUCUCUGUGUUUGAAUCUCUCUUCCCUUAUCUUUUUAUAUUGUAUUUUUUAUUACUUUAAAUUCGUUUUAGAUUUGCAUUGAGUUUUGAUUUAGAAUUGAAUAAUUUUUAGAAUCCCAAUUCACCCCCUUUGGGUUGCAUAACUAGAAUUUCAUUUGGUAUAAGAGCAUUGAUCUCUUGUUAGGACUUAAUCGUCUAGAAUAAAAGAUCCAUGGUAACCCUAAAUGACUCAACCUUUAAAGAAAGACAAUCCAUAACUAGACCACCGUUCCUUAACGGUAAUGACUAUGCAUAUUGGAAAACUAGGAUGUGAAUCUAUUUGCAAGCUUUAGAUUAUUAAAUUUGGAAAAUUGUUUGUGAUGGUUCAUUCAUGCCUAUGAUUACAAAUGAAGUAGGAGAUGAUAUUCUUAAACCAUCAAGUCAAUGGAGUGAGUUAGAAAAGAGAAAGAUGUCCUUAAACUCCAAAGCAAUGAAUGCCUUGUUUUGUGCUCUUGAUAAGAAAGAAUUCCAUAAAGUAUCUAGUUGUGAGAGUGCACAAGAAAUAUGGAAUAAACUUGAAGUUGUCUAUGAAGGGACAAAUCAAGUUAAAGAGUUUAAAAUUAGUAGAUAUACUCGUCAAUACGAAUUGUUCUAAAUGGAACAAAAUGAAAAUGUGUAUUCUAUAUAUACUAGAUUUACAGACAUAGUGAACACACUAGGAGCUUUGGGAAAAACUUUUUCAAAUAGUGAGAAAGUAAAGAAAAUCAUUAGAUCACUUCCUAAGGAAUUGAGACCGAAGAGGGCUGCUAUUCAAGAGGCCAAAAAUUUAAAUACUUUACCUCUUGAUGAUUUAAUUGGCUUUCUUAUUUCAUAUGAAGAAAACUUAGCAUCCGAAAAAAGUGAUGAGGAGAAAAAGAAAAGUAUUACUCUCAAAACUUCAAAAUUUAAGAGAGAUGAGGAGAGUGAACCGGAUGAUGAGGAGUUUGCCAUGCUAACAAGGAGGUUUAGAAAAUUCUUCAAGAAAACUGUUGAACGAAAAAAAUUUAGAAACUUCAAGAAUCAAAGGAGAAGAAAGAGGCAAUCAUAUGUUAUGAAUGCAAAAAGCUCGACCAUAUAAGAUCGGAAUGCACACUUCUCAACAAACUCAAGAAGAAAGCCAUGGUUGCUACUUGGGAUGAUAGCGAUGAAGAUUCAAGUGAUGAAGAGGAAUUGCAUGAAGUAUCAAACCUAGUACUUAUGCAAUAGGAGAUAAUGAUGAUCUCAAUGAGGUAAGUGAUCCUACAUAUGAUGAAUUGUAUGAUGCUUUUAAAGAAUUACAUGAUGAGUUGAUGAAAAUAGGUAAAUAUAAUGUAUGCUUUAAAAAGAAAAUGCUAAAACUUAAAAAUGAAAAGGAUGCCCUGGAAAAAUGUAAUAAUGAGAAGAUAAAAGAAUUAGAAUUAGAAAAUAAAAUAUUGCAUGAUAAAACUUUAGCUUUUAAAGGUAAACAAAGCACUUAUGAACAUGAAAAAUUGCAUGUAAAUGAGUUAAUGAAAAAGAAUGAAGUGCUUAAGAAGAAAAACAAUGAACUAAAUGAAAUUGUGCUAAAAUUUACAAAUGGACAAAAGAUGUUGGAAAACAUGUUCAAUUCACAAAAAUGUGUGUUUGACAAAUGAUGUAUUGGGUAUAAGCCAAAUUUGAAACAAAAAUAUUAUAAGAACUACUUUGCGAAGAGUACCUCUAUUAUAGGGAUGACAAUGGAUUGGAUCUGACCUAAGGUCUAUGUAUCGGAUCGGAUUUGGGUCGGUUUAAAAUGAAUUUGGAUCAUAUUUGGAUAUUGAUGUGCGGAUCUAAAACGGAUCUGAAGCAUAUUCGGAUCUAUCUUAAUAUCUAAAUCCAUAUCCACCCAUCUUUUAAUUUUAUUUUAUUUUAAAAGUUUCUUAACAAUUGUGGAAUUAUAAUGAUAAUAAAUUUUAUUCAUAGCAUAUUAGUGGUAUUUACUAUGCAUUUAAACUCUUAAAACUUAAAUGUUAAUUUUGUAAAUUUAAAGGUCAGCUAGCCCCAAAGUAUGUACAUGCAAUAUUCAAAUUACAAGCCAAGUAAUACAACCUGACAAUUUAUUUUACUAUAUUGUCCAAAUAAUUUUUGAGGAAUUUAGUUAUUCAUAUAUUUAGUCAAAUUUAACCAUAAUAAAAAUAAUAAAGUAUUGAAUAUAAAUCAUAUUUAAUUUAUAUGUCAUUAUUUAAUAUUGUAGGAAUGAGGGUGGAUGUGUUGUGGAUAUUAAAAUAAUGAAAGAGACAAUAAAAUAUUAAAUUGAUCUUACUCCUGCAAUUACUUUUGAAUGAUAUUUUAUUAUCUUUCUUAUUUGUUGUUUUGGUAUAAAAGUAUAAGGUACAAUAUUUAUAUUUUUGAGAAAAAUUAUAUAAUUUAUUUGUUAUCAAUAUAUUUUGGCCUUCAAUUUUCAUUCUAAAAAAUUAUUACUUUUUUAUUGCUAAAUUUUAGAAUUCAUCACGGAUUUAGAGUAGAUUUGGAUUUUAAUUUUUUUUCGAAUUUGGAGCAGAUAUAGAUAUUUAUUUAUUUAUUGGAUCUGGAUAUGGAGCAACAAAUAUGGAUUCAUGACGGAUCUGGAGUAGAUACGGAUCUAGAUUUUUAUUAUGAAUCUGGAUCUGGAGCAUAGUAUAUUUAACUCAUAUAUGCCCCAUUGCCAUCCAUACUCUAUUAACAAUCAAGUUAUAUGUCAUUAUUGUAAUCAAGAUGGACACAUGAAAAAUAGAUGUCCAAUAAAAAGAAACGCAUAUUAUGGUGUGAAAUGUAUUUGGGUUCCAAAAUGAACUAUUGCUAACAUAUAAGGAACCAAGAAGUUUUGGGUACCUAAAACUUACAAAGUUUUUCUGUAGGGAUCAAAGAAAAAGAAAAAUUAGUGGUUCUUGGAUAGUGGUUGCUCAAGGCACAUGAACGGAAACUGUGCAUAGUUUUCAAGUUUCACUAAAAUCGAAAAUGGUGGAGAUGUUUCUUUUGGAGACAACUCAAAGGGAAAGAUUCUCGGAGUUGGAAAUGUCGAUAAAAUUUCAUCAACUUUAAUUGAAAAUGUAUGUUUAGUUGAAAACUUAAAACACAACUUGAUUAGUAUUAGUUAAUUGUGUAACAAAGGUUAUAAAUUUUUUUUUUGAUAAAUCUAGAUGUGUUAUUGAGAAUGCAUGUGAUAGCAAGAUUUUAUUUAUUGGAAAUAGAUGUAGUAAUGUUUAUACCAUUGACAUAGAAUGUGGAUCCACUAAUCAUAAAUGUUUUUCGGCAUUGCAUGAUGAUAGUUGGUUAUGGCAUAGAAGAUUAGGACAUGCAAGCAUGGAUUUAAUUUCAAAGAUUUUAAAAAAUGAUUUAGUUAAAGGUCUUCUAAAAAUUGGUUUCAAAAAGAUAAAAUUUGUGAAGCAUGCCAAUUUGGUAAACCAAUCAAAACCUCUUUUAAAAACAAAAAUUAUAUUUCUACUUCAAAACCGCUUCAAUUACUUCAUAUAGAUUUAUUUGGACCUUCAAGGUAUACUAGUUUGAGUGGAAAAUAUUACACUUUUGUAAUUGUUGAUGAUUUUUCAAGAUACACAUGGGUAUUAUUUUUAGCUAAUAAGGAUGAUGCUCUUGAUGCUUUUAAAGUACUUAGAAAGAAAAUUCAAAAUGCAAAAGGGUAUGGUAUUGCAUGCAUUGGAAGUGAUCAUGGAAGAGAGUUUAAAAACUAUGCAUUUGAAACCUUUUGCAAUAAUCUAGGCAUUAUGCAUCAAUUUUUAUCACGUAGAACUCCACAACAAAAUAGAAUUGUUGAGAGAAAGAAUAGGUCAAUUCAAGAAAUGACUAGGAUUAUGUUGAAUGAAAAUUCCUUGCCUAAGUAUUUUUAGGCUGAGGCCGUCAACACUGCUUGUUAUAUUUUAAAUCGUGUGUUGAUUAAACUUAAUCUUAAUAAAACUCCAUAUGAGCUUUGGAAAGAUAGAAAACCCAACAUUGGUUAUUUUAAAGUUUUUGGAUGCAAAUGUUUUAUUUUGAACACAAAAGAUAAUCUUGGCAAAUUUGAUCUAAAAUCCGAUGUUGGUAUUUUUCUUGAAUAUUCAAACUCAAGCAAAUCAUAUAGAGUUUGUAACAAAAGAACUCUAGUUGUGGAAGAAUCUAUGCAUGUUACAUUUGAUGAAUCUAACCUCUCCUCUACAGAGAAAGUUGUUGUUGAUAACGAUGCAAAUGAAGAAUUAUAAAAAGAGUCAUAAAAGGAUAACAAAAAAGAUGCAUCUCAUGGGAAUCAAGAUAAGCAACAUAAAGAAACGAAUGUAGAACAAAAUGAAGGUACUUCUCAAUCACUCCCCAAGGAGUGGAGGUAUGUUUCUUCUCAUCCUAAGGAUGUAAUUUUAGGAGAUCCUUCACGAGGUGUUACAACUAGAUCAUCACUUAGGAACACUUGUGAGCAUAAUGCAUUUAUUUCUCAAAUUGAACCCAAAUCCUUUGUGGAUGUGGAAAAUAAUGAAUAUUGGAUUAUGGCAAUGCAAGAGUAGUUAAAUCAAUUUGAGAGAAAUAAUGUGUAAGAAUUAGUUCCUAAACUAGAACAUCAAUCCGUCAUAGGUACUAAAUGGGUAUUUAGAAAUAAGAUGGAUGAAUCCGAUGUGGUUGUAAGGAAUAAAGCUAGAUUAGUGGCUCAAGGUUACAACCAAGAAGAACAAAUUGGUUUUGAUGAAACAUUUGCACUUGUAGCUAGACUAGAAUCAAUUAGGAUAUUGUUGGCAUUUGCAUGUCAUAAAGAUUUCAUUUUAUUUCAAAUGGAUGUGAAAAAUGUUUUCUUAAAUGGUUAUAUUAUAGAAGACGUGUAUGUAAAACAACCCCCUGGUUUUGAAAAUGAAAAGUUUCCAAACUAUGUUUAUAAGUUGUUUAAAGCUUCGUAUGGAUUAAAACAAGCACCUAGAGCAUGGUAUAAUAGGCUUAAGAAUUUCUUGUUAGAUAAUGAUUUUUCAAUGGGUAAAAUGGAUACCACUCUCUUUGUUAAGCAUAAGAAUAAAGAUAUACUUGUUGUUCAAAUUUAUGUUGAUGAUAUUAUUUUUUGUUCUACUAAUAAAUAGUUGUGUAAAAAAUUUUCAUCUUGGAUGAGUAAUGAAUUUGAAAUGAGUAUGAUAGGAGAGUUGAAGUACUUUCUUAGGCUGCAAAUAAAACAAAAUGAGGAAGGAAUUUUCAUAAAUCAAGACAAGUAUGUGAAAGACCUACUCAAGCAAUUUGGUAUUGAUGAUUCAAAUACCAAAAACACUCCAGUGAGCACAACAACUAAGCUUGACAAAGAUGAAAAAGGUAAAAAAGUAGAUAUCAAAAUGUAUCAAGGUAUGAUCGGAUCUUUACUUUACUUUACUUAAUCGCAAGCAGACCCGAUAUCAUAUUUGGUGUAUGUUUGUAUCCAAGAUUUCAAUCAUAUCCCAAAAAAUUCUCAUUUACUUGUUGUAAAAUGAAUUUUCCGUUAUUUAAGUAGAACUAUAGAUCUUGGCCUUUGGUAUCCUAGAGGAACUCAUAUAGAUUUAACAUGCUAUUCGGAUGCGGAUUUUGCCGGUUAUAAAGUUGAUAGGAAAGGCACUAGUGGAACUUGUCAUAUUAUAGGUCACUCACUUGUUUCAUGAUUUAGUAAGAAACAAAAUUCUGUUGCACUUUCAACUACUAAGGCUGAAUAUAUAGCUACUGGAAGUUGUUGUGCACAAGCUCUUUGGAUGAAACAAACACUUAGAGACUAUGGCAUUAACCUUGAACAAAUUCCUAUUAAGUGUGAUAAUACUAGUGUUAUAGAUCUUUCAAAGAAUCUCAUUCAACACUUUAGAACCAAGCAUAUAGAAAUAAGACAUCAUUUCUUGAGAGAUCAUGCUAAAAAAGGAGAUAUUGCAUUAGAGUUUAUUUCUAUGGAAAAACAACUUGCUGAUAUUUUUACCAAACCUUUUGGUGAAGAACAAUUUUUAAAAAUUCGGCAUGAACUUGUGAUUAUGAAAUUUUCGCAUUAACAUCUUUAUUCAUGUUAUUGAGUUUAUUAAAAUUGAUUGAUUUAUGAUUUGAUGAUUUAAUAUCUAUGGAAUGCUUAAUCAUGAUAUACACGUGGAGUGUGUGUAUUUUUUAAUAGUUAUGAAUUAAUUGUUGAAAUAUAUAUAUAUGCUCAUGAAUUAUGCAUUGAAUUGGCACUUAAAACAUUUUGGAUCAAUGAAAUGAUCAUGAAAUGUAUUAAUUAUUGGCCAAAUACUAAAAUAAAUAUGCGAAAUCAUAAGUUGUAGAAAACGGAUUGCCGUUAUUUCAAUAAACGGCUAACCGUUUUCGAGCAGAAAACUUGGCAAGCAUUUUGGAAGCUGUCGGUUCACCGACAUCACAUUAACGGCUCGCCAUUAUCAUGAGUUAAGUGCACAGUGACGCAUCUUCUUCUCCAGUUUGUUUUUGCUCUUAACUCUCUCUCUCUCUCUCAAAUCGCGACUGCAACUUCGUUUCUCUCUCAAAUCCACUAUUUUUCUUGCUCUUUUUCACCAUAUUAAAGCAUUAAAAACAAUUUUGUCCCCUUUAGAACCUUUUCAACCGAUUAAAAUCGGUUUUUACUUCAAAAAUUAAAAAAUCCCAAAUUGAAAACCUAGAACCAGCCGCACUGAUCUCGCCUAAUUUGACCCAAUUUUUUCCAUUUUCUAUCAAAUUUCAACUUGUAAUCACUCUCUCAUCACUCAAACUUCCUUUCUACUGUUUUACCAAAAUCAUCAAUUGCUUCACGACUGAGGUGUACCUGAACCAAGCAAGCAGCUCCAUGCAAUGUCAGUUCCUCUAGGCCUCUUUCUCAAGAUUUUGACAGCUUGCAUUUUCCAAAUGGUAAAUUGGCUCAAUGAUUUCAUGAGAAAUUCAUGGGAAAAGCGAUAACUACCUCUUUCUAUAUUGAUAUUGACGAUUUCUCUGAUAUUACUAUAUGUGGUAGAACUUUGCCUCAAAUGCUAAGAUCAUGAGAUGAAGCUUUAGCCAUUGAAGAACGAGUCUAUGAAAAUUUAGUUAGGGUGUUUUACUCUAAUAUGGAGAUUUCGGUUAAUCGAAAAGAUAGGAUUAUAACACAUAUUAGAGGUGUGAGGAUUGAGUUCGAUAUGUUUGAGCUUGAUCGUAUUCUUGGAAUAUCAUGUGAGGGGUUAAACCUGUAUACUUCUAUAAAAGAGCUUCAUUUUAGUCAGUUUACUCACUUUGAGGGUGUUAGGAAUAUCUGUAGACGUCGUAAUCUCUCUGACGAGGUCUACUAUUUGUCCUUUCGGUCUCAACUGUUGCCUUUCCAAGUCCGUAUUCUUCAUAGUAUUCUCGAGCACAUGAUUACACCUAGGCAGGGACACAUUGAUGAAGUGACUAGAUUAGAUGUCGAUUUACUUGACUCUCUCAUUCAGGGAAGGCAAGUGCACCUUUCGUUUACUAUUUUGCGUCAUAUGCUCUCUACCCCUGCUGUGUCUAACAGAUCUCUUCCUUAUGGUAGGAUCAUUACUAAGAUUUUGAGGUAUUUUCAUGUACCUAUUAUUGAGCCUGUGUAUGUCGAAUCCCGCAACCUAGGAAGAGAGAUUAUUUCUGCGAUUAGAUACUUUAAGAAACGUGGAAAGUGGGUGAAGACUCAAUCCUCCAAGAAUGAAGACGCUUUGGUUGCUUUGGAGGAUGAUCACAUGCUAAAUGACGUUUAUUCCGAGGAUGAGUUACCCGACUUUCGCCUUGGAGCUAGACCAUGUGUCCUUCGCCGAGUAGCAGCAGCAGCAUCUACAGCAGCAGCCUCCUCUCAGGAUGACGAGACAGCCGAGCCAGCCGAGCUAGUUGUGCCUCCUGCCGCAUCGCCGUUACUGAGGAUCACAUUCAGCAACUUUUUGACAGAGUGGAUGUCCUGUCCCAGCAGCAGCAGCAGCUUUAAUAUGACUUUAUGACUUUUCGGCAACAGAUAUUAGAUCAGCAAAUGGAGUUAUUUGCUGGACAACGCCGUAUUCUUGGUCACCUUGGUUAUGAUCCUAACAGCUCCUCUUCACCGCCCCCAUCUUAGUUUUCUACACCUUUGCAUUUCGCACAAACAUUACUCAUCUCAUGUAGUUGUCGUAGUACUAUUUGGUUUUUUAUUGUGCUUGUGAUGCUUUUAUGAUAUUUUUUUUUGGAUAUAUGGACUUUGUUUAUGAUUGAGUUGAUUUUGAUGACAUGUUUGGUUAUUGCUUAUGAUUAUGUUGAUUUUGUUGGUAUGGAGGUUGGUUGCUAAAUUGGAGUUUAUAUGUGAGUAUUUUAAAUAUUUUGUUUUUGAGAAUAUGUUCAUUUUUAAGGGGAGAUUCUGCUGAAAUUUUUACGACAUGGGUAAUCUCUGAACUUCUCUUUCUAAUCUUUUCGCGCUCAUUUCUUUUUUAUGAUAAAAGGGGAGAUAAUUUAUAUAUAAUCUGUUGAAAAUUUUUCUUUUUAUUAAAUUUCUUUUUAUGAGGUUAAAAAUUGAUGGGCACAUAUUUAGGGGAGCAAAAUUGCACAAGUAUUUCUUGAAAAGUUUGUCAUCAUUAAAAAUGGGAGAUUGUUAACAUAAAUAAUUCUUUAUUAUUGAUUUUAAUGAUAACAAACUUGAUUAAGAUUGGUUAAUCUUUUAAAAGCUCAAAAUAGUUUUCAUAUAUUUUUAAAUCAUCAUUUUCACUUUUUAAAUGCUUUUAUAUUCUAUGAAAGCUUUUAUAAAAUUGGUUAUUCUUAUAUUAAUGGUUUCAAUUGAAAAAGAUUUGAGAAUUUUGAUAAAAUAACAAGUAUUGCCUAAAAUCCUGAAAAUGGACAUAUUUGACAAGUUUUAUAAAAUUUUGGGCCAUAAUAUAUUUUUAUAAAGUUUUAGGGCUCUGUAGCAGUCAAUGUAGAAAAUGGCGAUCCGACAUCUCGAUAACGGUGAUCCGACAUCGAACAGAAUUGAAGAGUAGCCUCUGGAUACUAACAGCAAUCCGACAUCUACAAAACGAUGAUCCGACAAUUUGAAAAUUCAGUCCAACGGUCAUAUUGACCAGUCAAACAGCGAUCCGACAUCUAGUUAACGGCGAUCCGACAGUGAGCAAAAAGUCAAUAAUGGCUAGUUUUCAGCUUCAAGUAUAAAUAAGCUCAAUCAAAUUCAAAUAAUAACAAUCCCAACAAUUAUUAUUGAGCAAAGUCUUGAGCAUACAAUAUUCAUUGAGCCUUAAAUUCUUGUAUUCAUCUCAUUUACUCACACUUUGGAUCUUCAUUUGUAAUCAAACACAUUUUGUGAGAGAGAUUUAUUUUGUAAUAAUCUUUAAAAUCAAAUUGACUGAUUGUAAGUGUUGGGAUACACUUGGAUUAAGAGAUUGGGGAUAAUCUCUUGUUGUAAAGGUUUAUUGAUACAUUCGAAGUCAAGUGCAAGCAUUUAAAGCCUUGGAGGCUUGCUUAGUGGAAUUCUCAAGCUCGGAAAGCUUGGAGGCGUGGUCGUAGGCGAGGUUGGCCGAACCACGUAAAAUUCCCUGUGUUUGAAUCUCUCCUCCCUUAUCUUUUUAUAUUGUAUUUGUUAUUGCUAUAAAUUCAUUUUAGAUUUGCAUUGAGUUUUGCUUUAGAAUUAAAUAAUUUUUAGAAUCCCAAUUCACCCCCUCUUGGAUUGCAUAACUAAAAUUUCACUAAUUCCACGAGAAGAUCAAAUAAGGCUUGAUGCAGAGAUUUUGGAUUGAGGAGGACCUGAUUUAUGCACAAGGUGGGCGAAUGUAUGUCUAUGCGGGAGGGGACUGACGGAGGAUUUUGUCACAAUAGACACAUGAUCCUCAAUGGGUCGGACAUCCGAGGGUAGAAAGGAUGAUGGCGCUGCUGGAACGUUCAUAUUACUAGCCAAACAUUUAAGAUGAUGUGCAGUUAUACGUUGAAACUUGUCUAGUGUGCCAGCUAGACAAGACGGAGAAGAAGAAGUUGGCAGGGCUUCUAUAGUUGUUACCAAAUCUAGAGAAACCUUGGCAAUUAAUUUCUAUGGAUUUCAUUUCGGAGAUGGUUAAAGCGGAAGGGCAAAAUCGAUCCUUGUGGUAGUUGAUCGAUUUUUAAAAUACGCAAUAUUUGUGUUUGCACCUCAUGCUUGCCCAGCGGAUAAGGCAGCAUAACUGUUCUUUAAGCAUAUGGUGAAAUAUUUUGGUGUUUUAGAAGACAUCAUUAGUGAUCGGGAUGCUCAAUUCACCAGCAGGUUUUGGACAGUGCUCUUCAAUCUAAUGGGGACAAAUUUGAAGUUUUCUACUGUUAACUAUCCCCAGGCGGAUGGACAGACGGAGAGGAUGAAUGCACUGUUGGAAGAAUAUUUGCAGCACUAUGUGAUAGCAAAUUAAAAUAAUUGGGUGGACUUGUUGGAUGUGGCUCAAUUUUGCUACAAUAUCUAUCAUUCUUCGGCGACGAGGAUGAGCCCAGCGAAGCUGGUUAUGGGGCAACAACCAUUGAUGCCUUACAAGGUGGCAAAACAGUAUACAAGUUAGAAAUGCCUUGCUAAUUCACACGAGACAAGUAGGAAAUGAUCAAGGAGGCCCUUGAUAGCUUGGCGAAGGCAUCUAGCGAAUAAAAAAGUAUGUCGAUGUUGGAAGGAGGCCAUUGGAGUUCAAUGUGGGUGACAAGGUGUUGCUUCAGUUAACGCCACUAAUUUGAAAGAAAAUCAGUAGCAAAACAGGACAUCAUGGACUGGUAUCUAAAUAAGAAGGGGCCAUUUGAGGUGGUCAAGAGGGUGGGUCAGGUGGCAUGUAGAUUACGACUAUCCGAGAGGUUGAAGAUCCAUUCUACAUUUCAUGUGGGUUUUCUUAAGCCUUUCAGUGAAGACUUGGCUGACAAGGGGAGCAACAGACCAAGCAUGCUCCACUGGUAAUUCAAAAACAAUAUGACAAGGAAGUGGAGAAAAUUUUGAAUCGUAGGACAAUGGGGCAGAGUAAAAAGUAUCGAAGAAUAGAGUAUCUGGUUCAACGGAAGGGCGACAACAAAACGAAUGCUAGCUUGAAGAAAGAAACAUCAUUAUAGCAGUUCGAAAAUGAGGUUAAGACAUACAUGGACUCUAUACUGACGAGGACAUCGGGCUCUUCUCGUAGGGGAGGUUUGUCAUCACCUUAGGCCGAGUGGGCCAGAUGCCAUGACUUGGCUUGUGGCCUUGUGCCAAGUCUUGGCAGUAACAUGGGCGUGCUUAUGGUGAGCACAAAAGCAAGGCAAGUCUAACGCGUGGGUUGGGGCAUGGCAGUAAGCAUGCGCUGUAGGACAAGUGCGAGGAGCGCAACAACAACACAACAUCUUGCAAUUACGUGAGGUGCAAUGAGCACACGGACGUGAGAUGCAAUAGGUGCAUGAGUGCAAGGAGCAGAGGGGCGCAAGCGCAAGGCACAGUGGCCCGCAAGCGGGCACGCGAGCGAGCGUGAGAGCACCGGGCCCAGCAGUGCUCGAGCGUGGCAUAGGGGUACGCAAGCAUGGGGCGCUCCAACGCGCAAGGCAGGAGUAUAAUUCCCUAAAUAUUUGUGGAAGUAGAUUUUUGAGCUAGUCUAAAUAGAUUUUUGAGCUAUAAUAUAAAUGUAUGUAUUUAAAUUUUAAAUAGACUUCAUCUUGUAUGUAUAUAUAGAUUGUAAACAAUUUAACAAAAGAAAAACUCACAAUGGAUAAAUAUCAACAAAUUGUUGAGUCCACGAGUAAAUUUGUCAUCUCUAUGCAUAUUAUUGCUCAGUGUGGAGUAGAUAAAAGAUUUUCGAGAGCAAAUAAUUAUCUUUUCAUAAUUCAAUUACUAUGUGAGUAGCCAUCUAUAUAUUGACUUAGGGUAGCAAUUCUAUUUUCUCAUCAUUUUGUACCUUAAACUUUUUAUACAAGUCAAAGAUAUUUUACCAGAUAAGUUAAUUCGUACUAUAGGUAAUAACGAGUUAGGCAUGCUGCAGGAAUGUCAAUACCCACAUCCGUACCCUUAAAACAAAAGAAAUCUCCUUCACCGACCCUUAUCCAUUAUAGGCCUAAACGGAUACGGGUCAGAGAUUUCCCAUAAAGAAAUAUAAAUACUUAUACAUAUCCCUUGUCCUCUAUAUCCCCAUUUAUUAUUUUAAUAUCCUACACAUUUUUUAAAAAUUAUAAAUUUUAAACAAUAGACGAUAAAUAUCUUAAUUUUAAUAUCUUAUUUAUUAUUUACUUUGUUUGCUUUACAAUAAAAAUCAAUUUUAACAUUAAAAAAAUAAAAAUAUGAAAAGUCAGUCAAGGUGUCUUAUACCUGUACCUAACCUGUUCAAUAUAAAGGGUAUAAAUGGAUACAAAUUUUUUACCACUACUUAGUACCGGCAGGUCUGAAAAAACAUCUAAAAUAAGAUUAUACGAAACAUUUUCUUUCAAUAAAAUUAAAUUAGGCCCUAUACCCGACCCAAUGUAACGGCCCUUUUGAACCCAAUACUCACGAGAAUUGUUUGCACUCAAUUUUAUAUUCUCAGUCAUAUUGCUAUGGCAUUGGUUUUGACUCAUAUCGGGCUUUGGGCAGUUUAUGGGCACGAUACCUACCUUCCCCAACAUCACCCGUAAGAAGCGCACUUUUGUUAUAAAACAAAAUAAAAAUGAAAAGUAAAAUAGUGAUGGUCGAAGUUUUAUGGUAUGUAAAGUGUUCGAUCAUUUUCCCAACUGAAAUAAUUAAUUAAAUUCAUCUGGGUAUUUCUAUUUCAGCUUGAUUGUGUGAUUUUGAGAAGAAUGGCGGUGUCGUAUUCUCAGUGUGUUCAAUCUCUGAAAGUUUCUUUGACUGGUAGUGAUCGCUGCAGAGACAAUGACAUGAAGAGAAAUUGUCUUGUGUUUGCCUCUUCUACGGAAUCAAAUUCUAAUCCCGUCCUUCAAUCAAAAGUAACUUUUGUAGCACUUACAAUUAUGCAUUCUCAUUUUCUUUUCGUUGAUCAAUUGCUUUAUUUUUCUGUGUUGUGAAAUCGAAAGCUAAAAUUUGAAUAUAUCUGAUGAUAUCUCUUACCCUUCAUAUGAUGAUUGUUCGAGCUAUAUCGGAUAGUUUUCAGAUUAGAACCUUUUAAGAUAUCUCUGGCAUCACUCGAUGGCUUAGGGGAGUCUGUCAAUGUGUUAAGGAUGCACGCAUACUGGCAGAAGUUUAAACUCAGAAUCGUAGAUGCCCACAGGAGUCACCGGUGCUCUAAUGGAUGGGCUUAAUGUAGUUGAAUGAGGAACUGAGGAGCCUUUACAUAAGGCUGUCAUUCACAUACAUAGGGUGGACAACCCCCUUGAACCCAUAACCUUAUGACAAUGACUAUAAGUCUCUCUUAGAUAUGUGCCCUUUGGUUGUUUUAUAGCACGUGCACGUGCGUGUUCAACAUUCUCUCUGUGUUUUAAGACUUUAGCAUUACACUCCGGUAGUAAAGAGUCAUUAUACAUAUUAAAAUAUCACACAAGCUAGUUGUCACUCACAAUUGUAUGAGCCUACACAUCCAAAUUGCUCCUGCUGUCACUCAUACUUGACCAAUUCAUCAAACUAUAACACUUGUUGGCUCAACGAUAAGUUGAAGGCUCCAUAAGAACUUUGUGUAUCUAGAUCCCUCUUUGCCCUUACCCGAUCCACUCAAAUGUAAGCCAAACGCCUAAAGCCUAUUUUGAGUGUUAUUUGAAAUAGAAUUGUUGGGCAGGUUGUCAUUCAGCUUGAAUCCUCAAUUUUUGCUUGGCUUUGCACUUUGGUGUUAUUUUUUAUGAUGAUAUAAGAAUAGGAUUGGACCUUAUGCAAGUUAUCUUGAAUCUCGUGAGUUCUAUUUCAAGAGGCAGUUGUAUUGCUCCACUUUAUCAGUAUCAAAACUUUAUCAGUAGGGAAACAAUAACUGUUUGCCGUCACCUGAAUUCUUCUUCUCCGUGAAUUUUUGUUGUUUCAUCCUGUUUAUUCUUUACUUGUACUCAGGUUUGAAAGCUUGCCUGUAAAAUUGGAAACAGAAUCUCUAACAGUCAAAUUUUAGGUUGACAGGCUGCUAGACAGUGUAAAAUGGGACAACAAAGGUUUGGCUGUGGCUAUAGCUCAAAAUGUCGACUCUGGAGCCAUAUUAAUGCAAGGAUUUGCAAACAGAGAUGCUCUAGCUACAACCAUUUCCUCUCGAAAGGCGACAUUCUACAGUCGUUCAAGGUCAACAUUGUGGACAAAGGGAGAGACUUCCCAGAAUUUCAUCAAUGUUCAGGACAUCUUUCUUGAUUGUGAUCGUGACUCUGUAAGAUUUUUAAAUGUAGUUGAAAUCUUAAGCUUUUAGUGUGCUCCCAAUGGAUUUCACCUAAUUAUGAACUCGAAUUUCAUUUAAUUAUGAACUCUUCCUCAGAUUAUAUACCUUGGAAAACCCGAUGGGCCUACCUGCCACACAGGGUCAGAAACUUGCUACUACACAUCUGUCCUUGAUGCCCUGAAAGAUCAGCCGGUUGGUAGCUUCAUAUCUUUAGCACACACUGCUGUACUAUUUGGUAUUCCUGAAGGUGAAUUUGAUUCCUCUGACAGGUUCAAGGAAAUAAUUUGGCAAUGACAACGUUGUACUCGUUAGAGUCCACAAUUUCCCAGAGAAAAGCAGCAUCGGAAAAUGGGAAACCUUCUUGGACUAAACGAUUAUUACUCGAUAGCAAAUUGCUGUGCUCAAAAAUUCGGUACAAUAAUUAAAAUAUCCUAUUGACAUGGUCAAUAAUUGAUUUUGAGUGCUUCAUAGUUCAUAACUUACUAUUCUCUGAGCAGAAUAGGAGAGAUAGAAACAAUAGAGGAACUUUUACAUUUAAAACAAAUCCACUGCUCCAUCCUUUUCUUUUAAAUAUGUAGUAUAAAAAAUUUUCUUCUAUUUUGAAGAAUUAAAUUCAGAUGCUGAAUAUAGAACAUCUUAAGUUUGGAUCCUUAUAAGUAUGAUAUUUACUUGCAGUGAAGAAGCAGAUGAAUUAUGCCGAACACUGGAGGAGAAUGAGGAUAAUUCACGUACUGCCUCUGAAAUGGCAGAUGUGCUGUAUCAUGCCAUGGUUUUGCUCGCGCUCAAAGAUGUAAAAGCAGAAGAAGUACUGGAAGUUCUCCGAAAGAGGUUUUCACAGUCAGGUAUUGAAGAAAAGAGAAGUCGUGUUUCAGAAAACUAGGCAUGGACUUGUAUCUUGUAAAUUGGGAAAUAAGAUGAGAAUUAAUAUAUUUUCAUGUGUUCCCAGCAAAUUAUGCUACAUCAGAUCCUUUUCACCAGUUGAGUUACUGUAGCUUAGUGCAUUCAUUCAGCCUCUUUGCAUUGCUUUCUAUUUUUAUCUAUGUUUUACAGAGACCGUAUGUCUGAUAACUUGGAGCAGUGUGAGCUUCUUUUAAUACUUAAUUUAUGCCACCAUAUUUAUCACAUAGGAUCUGUGAGUUGCAAUAAUUUACUUCCCGGACUUGGAAGUUCCUUUAUUAUCAAGUUUUAGGUCCUAUUUAAUCGAAUUAUAUAUCUACAUUUUUUUUUCUUUUUUUGAUAAAGAAAGUAUCAUGUUCAUUCAUUUAACAAAGAGAAAAGAUUAACUAUUUCUGCUUAUAUAGGGUCCUGCCAUACAUCAGUUCUAUUGUUCAUUAAAGCAAAUUUGGCUAAAGCGUGAGCAUGGACAUUACACAAUCUUGGGAUGUGUUGAAAUCUGAGAUUCUGAAACAGCUUGCUCUGGUUUUGGAAUUUGGAGCUUACCCAAAAAAUUUCAGUUCUCCUUUUCUUGUUGUUGACCAAAACACCAACUUCUUGACAGUCAAUCUCCACUAUCAGAUGUGUGACACAGCGUCUUCCUUGCUGCAUCAACAUUGACCUUGAAGGCAUUUCUUGGUGGGGGAUUUUCUCUCUCUUUGGGGUUUUCUCUGAAAACUGAAAAGAUGAGAGUGAGCAUGGAGUUGUCAUGACUCGGUGAAUCAUUCCCAAGUGGGUGUUUACACUUUGUUUUCUAGUUUUUUUUCUAGUACGAGAAUCUAAUUUCUUGUUCAGUUCUUUACUUUGGGUGGCAACUUAUAGCUACCAACUCAUUGUUCUCAUUGAGCCGUCUGGUGUGGGAGAUGCUAAAAAGCAAGAUUUUCAGUCGUGCAUCAUUUUGGGUCUAUAACACAAAGUACCCAUAAUGUGUACGAAAAAGGAGACGGUAACAUCUCUGUGAGAGUCAAUCGACAAAGUAAACGAGAUUGAAACUGAUUCAUCAGGGGAAUGCAUUAGGAAAAUUUUGUUCUUAAAGCUGACACAAGAAGACAUAGAUAAACUAGAGUUGUGCAUUAGACAGAUGGUUGCUUUGGUGCCUUGUGUGAUAAUCCUUUCAUGACUUCCAACAUAAUACUUCUAACAUGUAGAAAGAGCAAUCCACAAGAUUUUAGCAUCCCGUCAAGAAAACUGAUCACAACAUUUUCUGACCAUUAUUAUGGCAAAGCUCAUCAAUCAUGAAAUUGUCUAGAGAUUAUCAAAAUUUGUUCUUAAAGCUGACACAACAUACAUUAUUUGGGUGGCAGUUCGAAACUUGGAUAUAACAGGGUUGUGUGAUGUUUAAGGCUUCGAUGCUUGUAUAUUAACAUCUCAACAACUAAUCUAAUGAAGAAUAUGCAAAACCUAAGGACCAAAAUAUUCGGUAACAUAUCCAACACCCCCAUUCUGCAGACAUACAUUUUCACGUCUGCAUAGAACAGAAGCUAUUAGUUGGUGUCAAUCCUAACUAAUCAAAAAGACUAUGGCAAACAGGCUUUUGGCAAUUGAAGCAAAAGACUGUACAAGGUAGUAAUGACACGUUCUUCCUAGUCACUAACAAAAUUGCAGUCUUUCAAAAUAAUUCAUCCAAUGAUGCUGAAAGCCUUCAUUCAAAAACUGCCGUCUCUCAUCUCGGAAUAUAAUUCUGAGAAUGCCAACUUAACUUUGUGUCGACUGGUUUGGCAGGACUAAAUUGCAAAGAUUUGCCUUCAACUUUAAGAACCCCUGCACCAGCAUGAACCUGAUAGGCGACAUAGAACAAUCAAAUUAGAGAAAAGCUUGUAGAUCCAAAGAAAAUAUUUAUUUUUUUUCAUAUAAAAGUGAUUGUACGCAAAAGAAAUGUAACAUCCUUACAGAUGUUAUCCCCCUUAUCUGAACUUCAACUUUGUUAGCAUAUUUGUCAAAACAAGUUGUAAUUCUACUUGAGAAUGAAUAAAUAAAUGACAUAGAAGAUGCAGGAAAAGAGGCAACACAAAGUACUGGCAGCCCAUCAGUAAUCAAUGGCUAUAUCACGGAGAUGCCUCAUAGCCAGAAACAUUACCUUUUUCAUUUUCCUUGUAAGGGAAAGAAUCAUGAACGCAGAAAUAAAUAAAUUUAAUCUUGAGAUAAUCUUCAAAGGCUCAUCCUCGUGGAAUUAUAAUGGAGUGAAUCAAGACUGAUAUGUAGUUAACAGAGACAAAAUCCAAGUUAGGGAUUAGCACUGAUAACGGCAACUAAUAAAUCAUAUCACAAUUAGUAGAGUUUUUAUGUUACCUGCAAUUCUCUGGGACUGUCCAAGAAAACAUUGCUGAUUUUUUCAAAGUUAGAGGUAAAGAUAAAAAAUAUUUCCAAUCCUGAAGCAUGAUUCUGAGGUCGAUAAGCUUGCUAUUCAAACCAUAGCAGCAAUUAGCAUGCAUUGUACAAACUACAUUAAAAUCUUCGCUAGGUUCACAGAGCCCACCAAAGUAAGCGGUGUCCAAGAAUUUUAUCUUCAGUCCAAUAUCCAUGAUUGAAGGAUCAAACUUUAUAAUGUUAAGAACAUCCUGAUCAUGAUAUCCAGGAUAAGUUUCACGUGAAGCGUACCAGAAUCUGUAAAACUCUAUUGAUCGGUUAUUGGACUUUACAUGAUUGAACCCUCCAUUGGGUCUGUUCUGUACAUCAUCAGGGCUACCUAGAAAGUGAUCGCAUGCAACCUGGAAAUCUGCAUCUGGAUAAAACCGUGGAAAUGGAUCCCUAAACCACAUAAUAUCAGCGUCCUGGAGGAGGAAAAAAUGAAAAAAUUAUUGAAUAUGAUGUAAGUGUUUAUUAAAUUUGGUUAAGAUAUGUAACAAGACAUACGUUCUUUUGAAGAACCACUAUGUUCUAGUGCGUAAAGCUUAUUGAGAACCGUAGCAAGUAGUAAAAUGGCCCAUGAUCUCAAUAUACUGGAGGACGGUCCAUAGUAUUAUCCAAAAGAACAUAUGUGCUCAACAGAAGAAAAGCAAUUUGGGACUAAAGUUUCCUUUUGGUUGGAACUCUAAAAGUCAAAAGGAUUUGUCCAUAUCAUUAUAAAACUAACAACUAUCCUUGUGAUAAAUUUCAUUGAAAGCCCCAAUAACAGAGCGUAGUCAUCAAUCAGCUUGAUGUUCUACAACAUUUUAACAAAAGGGUUCAAUCAUUAUUACUACUUUUUCCCCCCUAAAUUUGUGCCCUUAUUAUUCGACUUUUUCUUUUCUUUUCUUUUCUUUUCUUGUUAUGUCAACCAAACACCAUAUCUCUAUAAUGAAAAGAUCAAAGUGCACCUGGAACAGCUGCAUUUAUGUUUGAGCUGGACAAAGUUCACGCACAUGGACAACAGUUAUAGAUUUGCAAUAACUUUGAAACAGAAAAGCUUUCAUGCAAUCACAUAACAGUUCUUAAGGAAUCUAAAAAUCAUCUCUAUAGUAGGUGCGCAUAGGUGUUAUGGCACAAACUCACAAGACACACUUAUACUUAAAGCUUAAUGGCUUUGGUUAUCAGAUUCAAUAAUGAGAGGUCAAGAAAUUUCAAGUUAGUUAAAAUACAAUAGAAAAGCAAAUUGACUGGACUUUAGCUAAUUUCAUGGAUAUUAAUAUUCCGAUGAACAAAAAUCUUUUAACUGUUAAAAUAUGUCAAUAGAGAGAGCUAACAUCACUACCAAUUACCAGCUUCAGAAGAACCAAAAAUCCCUUUUAUCAAUGAAAAGAGAAAAAAAGGCCAUCUGCUGUUUUAGUAUUAAUAUUUGAGGUAAUGCAAACCAAGACUAUGUCCUGAUUACUAGUUAACAAGUGGCUAAAAUCUCUUAUCUACGCCUCACACUACCUCAAUGACAACUAAACCCUGAAAAUUUUUGUCGAUGGGUUUUCUCAUGCAGUGUUGCUCAAAUGUCAAUUGACUGUCCCUAAGAGCAUUGGUGUUGCGUUCAACUAUCUAUUUGAUGAUAGGUUGCUGCUAAAAGAAUCAAAUAAUCACCAUCUUAAAGAAAACGAACUCUAUACUUCAAACAUAAAAUGAGGCGAAUAUUACUGUGAAAAUAAAAUUGUAACCCAUCUCAAGAACUGUACGCAGGAAAUCAAUUCUUUUCCACAUCAUCUUCAAAUACUGGGGGGUCAUAAAGUAAGCCUCUUGAUGAAAAUCAACUCCGUCGGUAAUGAGAGCAAAGCAAUGUCUGUGCAAAGUUAAACAUCGCUCAAAAGCCUUUUGAUCCAAGGCAAUUCAUGACCAAAUAGUUUAAAAGCUUUCGGGUACCAUCUCCAAUCCUAAAGCUUUCAAGGAAAAGGUCGAUAACUGAAUCAGGAGCUGCCCAUGCUUCAUUCAAAGUUGUUAAUAUAACAGUCCGGUCUUGCAUUGCAGCAUUGUUCAAAACCGUUUCAAGCCUAUUUUCCUCACUAACCUACAACAAAUGAAAAUGAUAUAACAAAUUACACUGGGUUGGCUAUGAAUGAGCUUCACUCCUGCAAUCACAAGAUAAGGGGUAGGCAAAACCCAAAUAAAUUUUUUAAACCCCAACUUGUAAGAUUCGAACUUGGAUGACGAGCUAAAUAAAAUUGAUUCAAAACCGCUCAGUCAAGCAAUGGGCAGAUCAGUAAACUAAACUAAAACUAAACAAACGAAUAAGAAAAACCCAGUUGGGAAAGAAAGUGAAAGAACCUGAAGAGAGUCGUUGUCGAGAGCAGAGGAAGGGAAAAUGGACGGAAACGAGGAGAAAGAAUUGGAGAGUGGAAGGAAGCGGAGGGUAUCAGCAACACCGUACACAAGUAUACACGUUAACAAAAUUGAGGCGACCGAGAAAAGUGCGCGCGGGCGAGCAGCGGACUCAGUGAGCACCUGAUGCAUCAUAUUCGCAAAUCCAAAGCUAUCUCUUCCUCUUCCUGCCGCUGCUGCUGUGACUGCUCUCUGCCUUCGACUCAUCUACAUUGAAGAAUUACUCGCUCCAAUUGAAUUUCUUACAUCUCUCUGUCGGUUUCCAUCUUUCCUUCUCGUAUUGCAUCUAUUCACUUCUCUCUUUUAAACUCCUUACUCAACUCGUGGGGCCCACCUUCUAGCCUAACUCAAUCUUUCGGUCAACGUUUCAAAAAAUAAUAAGUAAGGCCCAUGAACUAAUCAAGGGCUUUGAUUCACUAUCAUUUUAAUUAGGGAAAUUAUCAGUCAUAUAUUUUUAAAUGACAACAAUAUCAAACAUCCUAUAAUAUUUUUUAAGUGUAUCACUCGUAUACCAUAAGUUGACAAAACACUUCUGCCGUCCACCAAUCCGUUAACUGCCGUUUGCGAGCGCUGACAUCAUAAGGGUAAUCUAGUCCUUUUAAAAAAACGACAUGUCAUUCCAUUUACUUAGUAAAAAACGACAUGUCAUAUGAUAUAUUUUGAUAAAAAUGACAUGUCAUCCCAUUUAUCGGAUAAUUAUUAAUAAUUGCUAAAAAACGCUACUUUACAACCGAAUCUACUCCUCCAAAAUUUAACCUAAAUUAUUGAAGAUCUACUCCUUCAAGCUCAAACUUGAAUUUUUUAUGGUAUAAUAUAUAUAAUUGUAAAUAAUAUGUUGUUAAUAAUUUUUUAUGGUAUAAGAUGAAUAUUUUUUAUGGAUAAUUGUUAAUAAUGUGUACCAUUAAUAAUUCAUAUUUUUUUAAUAAAAAAAUGUAUUGUUAAUAACAAAAUAAAAAAAAAUUGUGUAUUGAAAAUGUACAUUAAUUUUCAAGAUAAAUUUAUUUUUUUACCUCAUUUUGAGUUUAAAGGGUAAAAUAGUCAUUUUACUCAAAUUCUGUUAAGUUCUUAAUGGUAGUAAAAGGAAAGGUGGACGCCAUAACUCUUUUGUCAACUUAGGGUAUACGAGUGAUAUAAGCGAAAAGUGUUAUAACACGUUUGAUACUGGUGUCAUUUAAGGGUAUAUGGCUGAUAAUUUUCCUUUUAAUUAUUACUAAAAUGAAAAUGAGGUUUCUAAAAAUAAUACUUCUAUUUUACUAUUUAAUUAGUAAUAUAUUAAAAUUUAUAUUUUUAAUUUUUUAACUUAUCUCUAAUUUUAAUAUAGUUGACACAACUUAAAAGUAAAUUUUAACUCCCAAGUAUAAGAGUGUCUUGUUGUAUUAUAACUCGGUGAGUCCGAGGUCGAUCCACAGAGAAAAGAUUUAAUUAGUUUAUUUUAUUUUAUCUAAAAAUUGAAAUUAAAACUUGAAUAUAAACAACUUAAUUUAAAUGAAACUAUGGAAUUGAACUAGUUAGGGUUAUGGAUCCACUCUUAGAAAUAAAUAAAACUUAAUAAAUUCUUUUUGCCAAUUUGUUUUAGAUUUAUUACCCAAAAGAUUAAUUAUACAAAUUAUUAUUAUUUUCCCUUUAAUUUUAUGAUGGAUUAAGUAUUUAUUGUGCCAAAAUUUAAUUUGUCUACAAUAAGUCAAAAUACCAUUUCACCAUGCCUUAUAUUAAGAUCUUAAGAAUUUAUUGUGCCAAAUUCAUUUGUUUGUCUACAAUAAAUCAAAUUUUCAAAAUAUAAAACAUGUAUAAAAUUAAAUAGAAAAUAAUUUAAUUUAUAAAAUUAAACAUAGAAUUUGAUUAAAUCAUAUUUAUUUCUUAAGAGUUUCACCUUUCCCUAACUAAUAUUAUUUAGUUAAGCAUAAUUAAAAUAAAAAGAAGUAGUAAAAUUGAAUUACUUAUAAUUAAAAGAAAUAAAAACAACUAAAAUUGGAAAUAAAACUAAUUUUAUUAAUGAAAAUAAUUAUACAAAAUAUUAAAAACACACCUAGAAAUCAAGAUUACAAGGAGAUGGAGAGAAUUUGAGAAGAAGAGAGUUGUAGAGAGAUGAUUAAAACAUAAAAAUGAGGCUCUAUUUAUAGAAAAAUAAAUUCAUAAUCCAGUGCUUUGCGGUCCAUUAUAGGCUUCAUGCAUGUGCUCCUCACAACCCUUAGAUCAAGAUCCAAUGGCUGGUCAAAGUUCAAAAGUAAACAUCACACAUGGCAUCAUUUGACUCGUCCGAUUUACCCAAAGAACGGUUGAGAUUUGGCGGGUUAAUGGGUGGAUCGGGUCGACCCAAAUACAAAGAUUCGGAUCCUCCAACUUGCUUCACCAACCAUUGCCACGUGGCACAAUCAUGGCCAUUGAAUCAUGAACGGUUGAGAUUUAGUCAAGAUUGCCAAUUAUCCCAUGCACUCAUAUCUAUUGUAAGCUCAUUUCAUCAUCCAAUCAGUGCUCGGUCAACAGGAAAAGUCAACUUUUUUUACACAAGCCCAAUUUUAAGCCGAUCUUGACUGAUCUUAAGGUUUUCGGACCUCCGGAAUCCAAAUUUGACCUCCGUUUAUCUGUUUGGAGCCUCGAAGUACGUGAAAUUAAUAAUUUUCCUAAUAAACACAUAAAAAUACACAAAAUUAAAUAUAUUUAAAACAUAAUUAAUAAUUCAUAAUAUAUUACAUAAACACAAAUAUAAAUUAUAACAUAAGCAUAAAAUAACAUAUUAUCGCUUGAUAAUUAAACAAUUUUUAAUACUAAUCACACCCCCCAACCAGCUUAUUGCUAGCCCUCUAGCAAUUAAAGCGUUAUAUUAAGAUUUAUAAAAUUCACAUGCAAGUUAAUAGUUCAUCUAUUCUCUAAAUUACCAAAUAAAUAAACUCUCUCAAAUUCCUUUACCACAUUGAUGUUCACUCAUUAUCCAGAAUAUCAUCAAACCUUCUUUUGUGCUCAAGUAAUUAACACAAUACUUAUGGGGCUUCAUUAAAAGAAAAACAACAUUUUCAUUCUAAAAUUCAUUAGAAAUUAUAUCUUUAGGCAAUAAAUUAUUCACACAUUUUUUUUUUAUAUUACAUUUCUAACCCGUGUAGCGAGUUUUAGGUCAAUGACUCCCAGACCAGUUGGCCUUAAGGCACUAGGUGUUGAAGCACCCCUACGGACUUAAUUACUCGGGUUUCUAAUAAACAAACAAUAUAUCUAUUACCCAUGUAGCGAGCUUUAUGCUAGUGACUCCCAGACCAGUUGACCUUAGGGCACUAGGUGUUGAAACACCCCUACGGACUUAAUUACUCGGGUUUCUAGAUAUAACAAAAUUAAAAACAUUUUUUCUUCUUCUUCUUUUUUUUGAUUUUUUUUUUUUGGUUUUUUUUUGGUUUUUUUGUUUUUUUGUUUUUGGAAAUAUACACUUUCUACUACCUUAGAUACUAUUCCUAAUAAAUCAAAAGAACUAAAUGCUGUAAAACUUUAACUUACAACCCACUAGUAUGUGUCAUAGUGUGUGUGUGAAGAAUGAUUCAAUAAUACCUGUUAAAUGAGUAAACAAUUAAAUAACUUAAUAACCAAGUGGAGAGUUCACAAAUUUGAGUAAUUCAAAGAAAAGGGAACAAAAACAACUUACUAUGAAUCUCAAAAUCAAAAUAUAAUACAACAAGACUAUUAGGAUGCGUCUCAAAAGUCGUGACUCUUUACACGGCCAUCCUAGACAAAAAACAAAUUUUUUUUUUUGGUUUUUUUUUAACAAAGAAAAGAAAAGAGAAAAGAGAAAAACAACACACAUAUUUAAAACAUACGUCAAUUAUCCCUACCCCACAACCUAAUCUAAACAUUAUCUUAACAUUUUAUAAUUUUACAGAUAUGCAAAAAAAUAAAAAUAAAAAUAAAUAAAAAUAAAAGAGAAUAAUAAAAGAAGAAGAAGAAGAGAUCUCACCUGAACUUGAUGUAGAAGCUUAAAAGCAAAUAACAAAGAUGAAGAAAAAGUCAAUUUUUUUUUUUAACAACACCCUUAAGAUUAAGAAGAUGCGUUUCUAGAGAGACUAUAUUCUCUAUAUCCUGCCAUCUUCGACUCAAAUUUGUCCUAAGUUAGUCUUUACAGAAAAAAAAAAUUUUUUUUUGUUUUUUUUUUUUUGUAAGCACAUAACCAGGACUAAGACAUUCCACAGUUAUCAACUAUUCCCUCCCCCCAACCUGAAAAAGACAUUGUCCUCAAUGUUUUAAAAGGAAAGAGAAAGAGUGUAGAAGACAUCACAUGAACACUACAACAGAAAAUAUUUACAAACGGAGAGUUAAAUCUAAAUCGCACUUCUUAUUACUGCUACUGUUACCGUUACCGUCAUUAGUCGACCAAUUCAGUGCAACAGUCUGUGGAUCUGGCUCUGGUGUAUAAGCUUGCAAAAGAUCAAGUAACUCAUUAUCAGUAGAAGCAGAGAUAAAGAGUUUUUUUACAGAAUGUGGAACAAAAUGAUUCUUUAUUGCAUGGUUAAUAAAAGUUAGCAAGCCGUCAUAAAAAUUAUUAACAUUUAACAAACCGAUGGGUUUUUAAUGAAUGUUCAAGUGGGCCCAAGAUGCAAAUGUAAUUAGUGCCUCAAAAGUUGCAAGAUCUCCUGGCAAGAAAAUAAAAGCAUCAGCAUGAUUCAUCAUUUCAGAUAUUCUCUCUUGCAUACUUGAUACCACUAAUUCUUCUCCAAUUGGUGGGCCAGACAUGCACACUAGCGGUUUCAUGGGUUUUGGGAUAAUGCCGAGUACUUGGCUUCCUCUGGUAAAAACAGCUUCUGAGACAAGUCUUGAUAACCCUCGUUCACCUCCUCCAUAUACAAGAUGCAGUUUCCUCUCUGCUAUGACACGACCAAGAUCUACAGCUGCCUGAACGAACUCUUUGUACUUUCCAUAGUGAAACCCAGAAAGCACACAAAUGUUUUUGAAUUGUUUACUCGAAGAUGAUGCCAUUGGACUAAUUUUUCAAAAACAAGUUGUGAGUGUUUGAAAAAUGAGCUCAUAUUUAAAGAUCUUGGUAACAUAAAUAAUGAGAAACAGCUGUAAAUGGGUUGGCAAUAUUUGUCAAAUGACGAGUAAAGCUCGUGGCUCAAUAAUUCAAAAAUAAACAGUAAAAAGAAAGUAAUGAUUAGAAAAAGCAAACAGUAAAAGAAAACCAAAUAUUUAUUAAAUACAAAAUCACAUCGCUAAAUGCAAUAAUGCAAAUGAUAAAAUAACAGUAAAGUAAAAUAACAGUGAAGUGAAAGGAUAUUUACUGGUAGUUGUGAUUGUGGCUCACAUCUUCCUCUGGUUUUACGUCCAGUAACGGCUUGAACGCCCUCUAUGGGUCGAGGAUCGGCUUCCCAUCUAGUUUUCUUAUAAACUGGCAAACAGGGUCUUUUUGAGUCAGAUUCCCAAGACUUAACUGUGCACUUUGUUUUUGGAAUAGUAUCCACAAAUUGUAAAUCUCACGUUGCACAAUUCCGCUUCGAUGCGUCUCAAGAGAUCGUAAGAUAUCAUCCAACGAUUCUUUACUCAUGCCAUCUUUAACGAAUUUAAUUUUAUCUUCACGAGUAUCAGAAACCAUUCCUAAAGAUUUACAAUCUGGUCGUUUGCAACCAAGUCUCACACAGUUAUGACAUUUUGAGCCAAGUCGUUUAGCUCUCCUUUUCUUAGCAAACGUACUUUUACCAAAACCAGGCAUGUAAGAAACAAAUUGACCAGAAAACUCACCUGCUAAUCGGACCUUUGCUUCAAUUAACCAACGAAUGUAAGAAGGAAUGCCAUUGAUCAUUAACAAACGCAGUCGUUCACAACGAGCUUUGCAAAUUUUCCUGAGGGCAUUCUGAGGGAGAGAGGGAAAAUGCUUAUGGAGUUUAUGUUGUAUUUCUUCCAUGUAUGAUUUUGGGGUUUCAGUUAUUGUGGGAAACUGAAGAUACCGACUUAAGAAGUCCCGGAGUACCGUUAUCCGCCAUUUAUACGGGAAAAUAAAUCAAAACACACCAAAAUCAAAUCUGCAAAAUCAAAUCAAGCGUGAAAGCGAGCAAAAAGAAGCACACAAUAUAAAAGGAAAAUGAACUUACAUUCGUCCUCUCAUUGAGUUAACCUCAAGCUCCAUUUGAAAUUUAUAUAUGCCACUCUCUACUGUUCUGAGUUGUCCCUCUAGAUCCUCAACAUAGGACACGAAUUCUGGUGGUUGCAGAUCCCAAAGUGGAUGUGAUUUACAGCUUUGUAUCAGGCCUCUUAAGUGAAAUUUUAUACGCCGAAAUCUUUUAAGAUGUGCGAACAGGUAUUUUCUCAUUGAGGUGCUCAUGAUGUAAAAUGAAAAUUGAUGAGAGAAUGUACAACUGUCAAACAAACACGCUUACACAAGAAAAACAAUGUUAAAAAAAAACUAUGUACAGUGCAUUAAUCUAAGGAAAAAAAAAGUCAAACAAUGAAACGGUAAAAUAAUAGUAAAACAAAAAAAAAUCAUUAAAAACUUAAUCAAGAACUGGUGGGUCAUCCAAAUUAAUUUCGGUGUCCUCGUCACGUGGGUGAUGUUCCAGAUAUGGUUUUAAUCUUUGACCAUUAACUUUAAAUGUGACACCAUUAUUUGGAUUCUCAAUUUCUAUGGCCCCAUAUGAAUAUACAUUUUUUACAACAAAUAGGCCACUCCAUUUUGACUUUAACUUUCCUGGAAAUAAAUGAAAACGAGAAUUAUAAAGCAACACUUUUUGACCAAUCUCAAAUGUUUUUCGAAAAAUUCUUUUAUCAUGAAAUGCUUUUGUUCUUGCCUUAAUAAUUCUUGAAUUUUCAUAUGCAUCAUUCCUUAAUUCCUCAAGUUCAUUCAAUUGCAAUUUUCGCACAUUACCAGCAUCAACCAAAUUUGAAUUAAAAGCUUUAAUAGCCCAAAGUGAUUUAUGUUCAAGUUCAACAGGUAAAUGACAAGGUUUACCAUAAAUUAACCGAUAGGGUGACAUUCCUAAUGAUGUUUUAAAUGCAGUGCGGUAAGCCCAAAGUGCAUCAUUAAGUCUAAGAGACCAAUCUUUUCGGUUUGGGUUAACCGUUUUUUCCAAAAUUUGUUUUAUCUCCCUAUUUGCUAAUUCAACUUGACCAUUUGUUUGAGGAUGAUAAGGGGUAGCAAUUUUAUGUGUAAUUCCAUAUUUCUUCAUUAAAGACUCAAAUGACUUAUUACAAAAAUGCUUACCUCCAUCACUCAUAAUGGCUCGAGGGAUUCCAAAUCGACUUAAAAUGUUUUCUCUUAAAAAUUUAAUCACAGUUUUACUGUCAUUAUUUCGACAAGAAAUUGCUUCAAUCCAUUUUGAGACAUAAUCAACUGCAACUAAUAUAUACACAAAUCCAAAAGAUGAUGGAAAUGGACCCAUGAAAUCAAUUCCCCAACAGUCAAAUUUUUCAAUUUCAAGUAUGGGAUUUAAGGGCAUCAUGUUUCUUUUUGUAAUUGAUCCCAAUUUUUGACAUUUUUCACAACUUUUGCAAAAUUCAUAUGUGUCUUUAAACAUGGUAGGCCAAUAAAAUCCACACUGUAAAAUUUUAGCAGUAGUUUUUCUUGAAGAAAAGUGACCACCACAUGCUUCAGAAUGACAAAAAUUAAUGACACUACUUACCUCAUUAUCAGGAAUACAUCGCCGAAAAAUUUGAUCUGGGCAAUAUUUGAACAAAUAAGGAUCAUCCCAAUAAAAUUUCUUUACUUCAACAAAAAAUUUCUUCUUCUCUUGAGCAUUCCAUUGCAAAGGCAUUUUACCUGUAACAAGAAAAUUAACAAUAUUAGCAUACCAUGGCAUUGAAGUAACAGAAAAUAAAAAUUCAUCAGGGAAAGAAUCAUUUAUGGGUGUUAUAUCAUUGCAGAAUUCGGAUGUGAGUCUUGAUAGAUGAUCAGCAACAACAUUUUCAGCACCCUUUUUAUCUUUGAUGGUAAGGUCAAAUUCUUGUAGUAACAAAAUCCAACGAAUUAGUCUCGGUUUGGCAUCCUGUUUACUCAUCAAAUAUCUCACAGCAGCAUGGUCAGUAAACACAACAGAUUUAGAGCCAAGCAAAUAUGAACGGAAUUUGUUUAAUGCAAAUACCACAGCAAGUAAUUCUUUUUCAGUUGUAGAAUAAUUCAUUUGAGCACUAUCCAAAGUCUUGCUUGCAUAAUAAAUCACAAAAGGCUUAUCAUCCCUUCUUUGUCCUAAAACAGCACCAACAGCAAAAUCACUUGCAUCACACAUUAAUUCAAAUGGCAAAGACCAAUCAGGAGAUUGCAUAAUAGGUGCAGAUGUUAAAAGAUAAAUUAUUUUUUCAAAAGAUUUUUGGCAAUCAUCAUUCCAUUCAAACGGUGCAUCUUUUAAUAAGAGGUUACAAAGUGGUUUAGAUAUGGCACUAAAGUUUUUUAUAAACCUCCUAUAAAAUCCUGCAUCUCCUAAAAAGGAUCGCACAUCUCUAACUGUUUUUGGUUGUGGCAAUUUAGAUAUGACUUCGAUUUUUGCUUUGUCAACUUCAAUUCCUUUAAUAGAAACAACAUGACCCAAAACAAUUCCAGAAGUAACCAUGUAGUGACAUUUUUCCCAAUUCAACACGAGUUCUUUUUCAACACAUCUUUUUAAAACUUUCUCCAAAUUAUCAAGGCAAUCAUCAAAAGAAUUCCCAAACACAGUCAAAUCAUCCAUAAAGACCUCUAAACAAUGUUCAACCAUAUCACAAAAAAUGCUUAACAUACAUCUUUGAAAUGUUGCAGGAGCAUUACAAAGCCCGAAUGACAUUCUUUUAAAUGCAAAUGUUCCAAAAGGACAUGUGAAUGUGGUCUUUUCUUGGUCCUCAAGUGCUAUAGGAAUUUGAUAAUAACCUGAAUAUCCAUCUAAAAAACAGUAGUAGGGAUGUCCUGCUACUCUUUCUAAGAUUUGGUCAAGGAAUGGUAAUGGAAAAUGAUCUUUUCUAGUGGCUUCAUUUAAUUUUCUAUAAUCAAUGCACAUGCGCCAACUAGAUGUAAUUCGUGUUGGAAUUAAUUCACCUUUUUCAUUUUUAACAACAGUGAUUCCAGAUUUUUUAGGCACUACUUGUGUAGGACUUACCCACUUACUAUCAGAAAUAGGGUAGAUAAUUCCCACAUCAAGUAAUUUAAGGACUUCUGUUUUGACUACCUCUUUCAUGUGUGGGUUUAAUCUUCUUUGAGGUUGUUGACAUAUUUUAUCAUUUUCUUCCAAAUUAAUUCUAUGUGUGCAGAUUAAGGGAUUAAUGCCUUUAAUGUCAUUUAAAGUCCAUCCUAUUGCAUUUUUAUGCUUUUUAAGAACAGUUAGUAACUUACCUUCUUGGUCGCUUGUUAAAGUAGAAGAAAUCACAACAGGAUAAGUUUGUUCUUCUCCAAGAAAAGCAUAUUUCAAUCCUUCAGGCAAAGGUUUCAAUUCCAUUUUAGGUGCUUCUUGUUGUUCUGUCUUUUCAAUACUUCCAAGCUCCUCAAAUUUUGGCUCGUCAUCAUAAUUUUGCGAAGUCUGCAUAGAAUCAAGUAACAAAUUUAUAUUAGAAAUAUCAAGUUCAAGUUGCUUAUUUGACUCAAUUGAAUUAACUAAACAAACAUUAGAAAGUUCAGAAAAAUCCCCUUUUUGAAUAUUUUCCUCGAUACAAGAUUCAAACAAUUCCUUUUGUUCAUCAGUAUCAUCUUCAUUCUCAUUUUCUUCAUUAGGUUGCCUGUAGGGGUGGGCAUUUUACCCGACCCGACCCGAUAAAUUUCGGGUUCGGGUCGGAUCGGGUCGGGAUCGAAACCCGAUCGGUUUGAAAUUUACAAACCCGAUCAGGUUGUGAUCGGUUCGGGUCAAACCCGACCCGAUCCGAAUACCCGAUCGGGUUCUUAAAAAAAAAAAAAAACGUACUGACCCGAAUUGACCUGAUUUCAACCGACCCGAACUGACCCGAAUUGACCCGAACUGACCCGAAUUGACCCGAACUGACCCAAAUUGACCCGAACUCAAUUCUACCCAUUUUAAAUCCAACCCGAUCCAACCCGAACAUAACCCGAAUUAAUGACCCGACCCGAACCGACCCGAACAUAGUUCGGGUCGGGUCAUUAAUUCGGGUUAUGUUCGGAUUGUUCCUUGUCUAACCCGAACAACCCAAAACCCGAUCGGGUUGACCCGAACCCGACCCGAACCCGAUUUUGCCCACCCCUAGUUGCCUGCACAUGUUGAAAACAUUCAAUUCCAAAGUCAUAUUCUCAAAGGAUAAAUUCAUUAAAUCAUUCCUACAAUUAAUCAAAGCAUUAGCAGUUGCUAAAAAUGGUCGACCUAAAAUUACAGGAAUUGGUUUGUAAUUAUUCACAACAGGUUCAGUUUCCAAGACAAUAAAAUCCACAGGAUAAAUAAAUUUAUCAACUUGUACUAAAACAUCUUCCACUAUUCCUUUUGGUACUUUAACUGAUCUAUCGGCAAGCAAAAGUGUAGUUGAAGUUGAUUUUAACUCACCAAGAUUAAGUUGAAGAUAAACUGAAUAUGGAAGCAAAUUAACACUAGCACCAAGAUCUAGUAAAGCAUGCUCAAUUCUGUGGUUACCAAUAAUACAAGAAAUGGUAGGACAACCAGGAUCUUUAUAUUUCAACUUAUUAUUAGUAGACAGAAUUGUACUUACCUGUUCGGCCAUGAAAGCACUCUUUCUUACCUUCAAUUUCCUCUUAACAGUGCACAAGUCCUUUAAAAAUUUGGCAUAUGAAGGAACCUGCUUGAUUGCAUCUAAUAGAGGAAUGUUAACUUUCACUUGCUUAAAGAUUUCAUAAAUUUCAGAAGAGUGGUUUGAUUUCUUUGGUUUAUUCAAUGCAUGCGGAAAUGGUGGUUCAGGUGGAACACUAGUUAUUUCUUCACUAGGUGUAAGUUCAUUUAAUCCUUCCUUACCCUUUGAAUUUUCAUAAUUUUCAUAAGGUUCAGGCAUAGGUCUAUCAACAACCUUACCACUACGAAGAGUUAUAACUGACUUGACUUGGUCUGUGGGUGGAUUUUGUUGAAUUUUAGGAUUUGGUUGUGGUUGGGCUGGAAAUUUUCCUUUUUCUUGAAUGGUGAGUGCAGAAGCAAUUUUAGCAAGAGUAUCUUUCAAAUCAGAAAAAGUUUGUGCAUUUUGAUUGUUAAUAACAUCUUGCUUUCUGAUGAAUGAAUGCAUUGUGUCCUCCAGAUUUUUCCAAGGUGGUGGAACAUAUGGUGCAUAAGGCUGAGGAUUUUGAAAAUUUUGUGGAGGUGGUGCUUGUGAAGAUUGUGUAUUAUUAUUAUUCCUCCAACUGAAAUUCGGAUGAUUUUUCCAACCAGGAUUAUAAGUCUGUGAAUAUGGGUUUGGUUUAUUGAAAGUGUUAAUGACAUUAGCUUGAUCAUUUAGACAUUCUUUAAGUGCAGGCAAAGUGGGACACUCUUGAGUGAAAUGAUCAUUCGAAUUACAUAUGUUACAUGCAAUUUCUUGAACAGAUUUUACUUGAUCACUCUUUUUAUGCUCCAAAGCUUCAACUUUCCUAACUAGGGAUGCAAAUUUUGCUUGUAAAUCAUGAUCUUCCCUAAGGUUAUGGAUUCCUCCACUAGAUGGAGAUGAUUGUUGCUUAUUUGUCAAUUCAAAAGUUCCAACAGUAUCCCAAUGUUGUGCAUUUUCAGCUAAUUGGUCAAGGUAAUCUAGUGCAUCUUCAGGAUUUUUAUCCCUAAAUUCACCAUUACACAUCAUUUCAACAACCUGUCUACUUUGGGGUAUUAAGCCUUCGUAGAAAUAAGUGACCAAUCGCCAAGUUUCAAAACCAUGAUGUGGGCAUAUGUUAAGCAACUCUUUAAACCUAUCCCAACAUUGGUAUAAUGUUUCUCCAUUUUUUUCAGUGAAAGAAGUGAUUUGCCUUUUAAAAGAAUUUGUUCUAUGAGGUGGAAAGAAUUUUUUCAAAAACUGUUCUUACAUGUUAUUCCAAGUUCUUACUGAUCCAGAUCUAAGGUUUUGUAGCCAAGUUUUAGCUUUAUCUUUUAAUGAAAAAGGAAAAAGCUUUAAUUUAAUUAUGUUCAUGCUACAAUUUUGGUCCGUGUAUGUAUUACAAACUUCCUCAAAAUCUCUUAGAUGCAAGUACGGAUUCUCAUAUUCUAAACCAUGAAAUGUUGGUAAAAGUUGGAUAAUACCUGGUUUAAAAUUGAAUCGAGAUGCUUCUGGAGGAAAUACUAUACACGACGGUGCUCCGGUUCUGGUUGGAUUCAUGUAGUCUCUCAGAGUCCUUGGUUGAUUCUGAUCAUGCCCAUGUUGAGAUUGGUUGUCUCCCUGAUCAAUUUGAGGAUUAAGUUCGCCCAAAACGUUUUCACCUUCAUUCUCAUUCAUGAUUGGUGGUGGAGAUUGAGAUCUACGAAUUAACCUGCCACUUGAAGAUCGAGACCAAUGUCUCAUGCAAGGGUUAUGUUAUAAAGAUAAUAUUUACACAAAUUGAUAACAAAAUAAAAUAAAAAUAAAUAAAUAAGCAAAUAAUAUAAGUAUACAAAAGAAAAUUAAAUAACAAAAAUGGUGGUUGAACCCACCAAUUAAAAAAAUAAAAAAUGCAAAAUUAAAUAAAUACUGAAAAUUAAAUAACUGAAAAUAAAAGUUAAGGGUUAGUAGUUGGUUUGGUGGUUAAACCCACCAAUAAAGCAAAAAAAAAAUAAAUAAAUACGAAAUUAAAUAAAUGCAGAAAAUUAAAUAACUGAAAUUAAAUAAAAGUUAAGAGUUAGUAAUUAGAGUUAGUAGUUAAAGUUAGUUUGGUCCAAAAUAAGUCCAAAUAUGUCCAAAUAUGUCCAAAGUAUGUCCAAAUAUGUCCAAGUCUUGAUUAUGUUGAGGAAUUUCGUCUAGGGAUUCUAUUGCAAAUUAUUUUUAAUUUUAUGAUCAAAUUGUAAUUUUUAGAAGUUUAGAAUUAGCAAUUUGGGAUGAAAGUGAAACAGUUGAAAGAUAUCGGGGUCUGAACGUAAUUACCAGAAGAUUGGGCUGGAAACGGAAAUUGUUGGGGUGAAACUAGAAUUAUGAAAGAUAUGGGGAUAAAAGAGAAUUUAAGAAAAGAAAAAGGCGGUAAACGAAAUUUUACAUAUAAGAGAAAAAUAAAAAACGGAAAAACAAACCAAAUAAAAAAAUUUUUCCCCGGCAACGGCGCCAAAAACUUGACACAACUUAAAAGUAAAUUUUAACUCCCAAGUAUAAGAGUGUCUUGUUGUAUUAUAACUCGGUGAGUCCGAGGUCGAUCCACAGAGAAAAGAUUUAAUUAGUUUAUUUUAUUUUAUCUAAAAAUUGAAAUUAAAACUUGAAUAUAAACAACUUAAUUUAAAUGAAACUAUGGAAUUGAACUAGUUAGGGUUAUGGAUCCACUCUUAGAAAUAAAUAAAACUUAAUAAAUUCUUUUUGCCAAUUUGUUUUAGAUUUAUUACCCAAAAGAUUAAUUAUACAAAUUAUUAUUAUUUUCCCUUUAAUUUUAUGAUGGAUUAAGUAUUUAUUGUGCCAAAAUUUAAUUUGUCUACAAUAAGUCAAAAUACCAUUUCACCAUGCCUUAUAUUAAGAUCUUAAGAAUUUAUUGUGCCAAAUUCAUUUGUUUGUCUACAAUAAAUCAAAUUUUCAAAAUAUAAAACAUGUAUAAAAUUAAAUAGAAAAUAAUUUAAUUUAUAAAAUUAAACAUAGAAUUUGAUUAAAUCAUAUUUAUUUCUUAAGAGUUUCACCUUCCCCUAACUAAUAUUAUUUAGUUAAGCAUAAUUAAAAUAAAAAGAAGUAGUAAAAUUGAAUUACUUAUAAUUAAAAGAAAUAAAAACAACUAAAAUUGGAAAUAAAACUAAUUUUAUUAAUGAAAAUAAUUAUACAAAAUAUUAAAAACACACACCUGGAAAUCAAGAUUACAAGGAGAUGGAGAGAAUUUGAGAAGAAGAGAGUUGUAGAGAGAUGAUUAAAACAUAAAAAUGAGGCUCUAUUUAUAGAAAAAUAAAUUCAUAAUCCAGUGCUUUGCGGUCCAUUAUAGGCUUCAUGCAUGUGCUCCUCACAACCCUUAGAUCAAGAUCCAAUGGCUGGUCAAAGUUCAAAAGUCAACAUCACACAUGGCAUCAUUUGACUCGUCCGAUUUACCCAAAGAACGGUUGAGAUUUGGUGGGUUAAUGGGUGGAUCGGGUCGACCCGAAUACAAAGAUUCGGAUCCUCCAACUUGCUUCACCAACCAUUGCCACGUGGCACAAUCAUGGCCAUUGAAUCAUGAACGGUUGAGAUUUAGUCAAGAUUGCCAGUUAUCCCAUGCACUCAUAUCUAUUGUAAGCUCAUUUCAUCAUCCAAUCAAUGCUCGAUCAACAGGAAAAGUCAACUUUUUUUACACAAGCCCAAUUUUAAGCCGAUCUUGACUGAUCUUAAGGUUUUCGGACCUCCGGAAUCCAAAUUUGACCUCCGUUUAUUUGUUUGGAGCCUCGAAGUACGUGAAAUUAAUAAUUUUCCUAAUAAACACAUAAAAAUACACAAAAUUAAAUAUAUUUAAAACAUAAUUAAUAAUUCAUAAUAUAUUACAUAAACACAAAUAUAAAUUAUAACAUAAGCAUAAAAUAACAUAUUAUCGCUUGAUAAUUAAACAAUUUUUAAUACUAAUCAAUAGUGAUUCUUAAUUGGAAUAUAUAUAUGUGUGUGUGUUGUAUUCAAUAAUUUUUUGCUAUAAUAAAGUUAGGAAUAAACUAAAAGUUAAGGAAACACAGAUUUUAAUGCAAUAUAUGUAGUGUAUUAAAAUUUAUAUAUUUUUUAUUUUUUAAGUUUUAAUAAAACUAGGGAUCCCUGAUUAAAUAUAUAUGUGUGUGUGUGUGUGUCCAAAAGAAAUAAGAAAAUAUAAUGGAGGAUUUUAUUACAAGAGGAAGAUUAUUACAAGAAGAGAAAAAUAUAUAAGAUUCGAUGAUCAACACGCUAUUAGAGAGUCAUUUUUUUUAAUACUGUUAUAUAUGACUGUUAGUGAUAUUAUAUCAGAUAUUACAACUAAUUUUUACAAAUAGAUUAUACAACUAGGGUCUCCUCUUAGCAUGUAUUCUUCUAAUUCUUUAAACAUUUUCUAAUAUUCGACAGGUGUUCAUUCCACUCACAUUUUGUGAGAGAGAGAGAGACCAUCUCUACUCAAUUAUUUGAGGUCUGCCCAAAUUCUUUAAAUAUUCUCUAAUAUUUGAGGGAUGUGUACUCCACUCACAUUUCGUAAAGGAGAGAGACUAUCAUCACUCAAUUAUUUAAUAAUUAAAAAAUGACUGAAACUAACUCCUAUAAUGUUUUUAUAGAGACUUAAACAUUUACUCUCAACAUUUUGAGUGUAAGGCUCUCCUACUAGGCCAAAUGUCUAUUGAUUACUAGAGAAUCUUUUGUAUAAGUACCAAGAGAAUCUUCUUUUAUAACACACAUCAAUACAUCUUAUUAUUAAGAAAUCUUACUUUAUAACUUACCACUACUUUUUGUUUCAUCACAUAAUUCAUCCUUAUCACUAAGUAAUCUACUUUACAAUUAACCACAUUCUUUAUGUUACAUCAUACUAUUCACACAAAUGACUUAUUAGACACUAUAUGUGGCUUCAAACACUAAUCACUUAUUUUUCAGUAACUAUUCACCUUCGCUUCUGCUAGUAGGGUCCACUAUGACUUACGCUUAGCUUGUGCUGCUUCCCUCAUCGUCCCAUGCAGGGUUCUUGUUGUGCACAGAGUCUUCUUCCCACUCUGUAAAUUUCUGAUAAAUAUUUCUUCGUCUUUGAUAGAUGCUGGAGGAGGAGCAUCUUGUAAUGGUUGAGGAGGAUAUAUAUAUAUAGGCUUAAGUGAGUGAAAUUCAAUGCAAGGACCGAGGAUGUUGUUCCUGAUAAUGUUUCUUCAAAUAACUUUUGAUAUCAACACUGCAUUAUUUUUCACUCUAGCCAUGGCCCAUGGAUACAUGAUUCUUUAUUAGCUGCCGAUUACAACCAAAAAAAAAAAAAAAAUUCCCUGGAGUUAAAUUAUAUAAUGACAAAAUAUAAAAACUAAAAGUUUAUGGGUUAAUAAAUUUGUAGAGAUUAUUUUAAUAGAUUUAAUAUGACUAAAUUAAAUAAUUAAAAAGUUACUUAUAUAGAUUAUUGUAGAUUUUUAUUUUUUAAAUUAAAAUGUGAGUUUUCAUAAUUCUUAAAAUUAAAGUUGAGAUUUUAUGGGUUUAUGGGGCUGUUUUUAUAAAUUUAAUAGGUGUUAAUUAGUGAUUCAAGUAAUUUUUUCUGUAUUUUUUAAAUUAUUUUCUCCAAUUAGGACUUAAGCCCUUAUUGGUCGUGAGGUCGAUCUGCCUAUAUUUUUCACUAUUUUAUGUGUGCCACAAGUCACCCAUCAUCAUUCGUCGACUAAUCUAUGCUCAUACUAAUUGGCAUUGGGAAGGUGUGAUUCUGUCUUAUUUAUAUAUUUGGGAUUAAAAUUAAGAUCAAUUCUGAACGGUCCUCAUCCCAUUUCGAUUGUACAAAAUAUCUGAAUGUCCCACUCAAUUAACAUUUUAAAUUUCAUUAACUUAUUUAAUAACAUUUAUCUUAAAAUUUUUAUAUAUUAAAAAAUCAAUGUUUCCAUUUACAAUUGGCAUUAAAAUGAAUAUGCCUAGUACAAUUAGAAAACAAAAAAUAUUAUAUAUUGAUAAUUGCAUAGUAGGCCGUUAAAAAUAUUAAAAGAAAAGUCAGUGUUAAAUAUAAUGUCAGCUAAAUUAAUUGGGAGGAUAUCAUGAGAUAAAAUCUCAAUCUUGUUCGUAAUUACCUAUUGAAAUCAAUUUCAAUUUCUUUGCCAUCAAAGUCUAACAAUCCAUUCAUAAAAGACCCUAAUAAUUUAUCACUAUUUAGCAUCUAUUUAGUAUUUCCUAUCUAAUAGUCAUAAGAGUUUAUUUAAUUUCAUAAUUUUUUUUUAAAAUUUUUGUCAUUGAUUUUUUUUUCAUUAAAACUUCUGGGGUUUAAAUAAGUUUAUUUACCUCUAUCAACAAAAACUCAAAUUUUGAACUUUUUAAAAUAAAGGUUAGAGUGUUUUUUUUUAAGUUCGAUUGUCUAAAAUAUUUAUUAUUUAUUUUACAUUCUUAUAAAAUAACUAUAAAAAAUUAAUUAUUAAAAUAUAUAAUUUUGAAUAAAUUUUUUUUUGAUAACUAAUCAACUAAAAUUUUUUGAUAACACUCUGCUAAUAAAAACUAUAUUUACUUAUUUUAGAUAAGCUCAAUUAAGAAAGCGUUAAUAUCUAUAUAUAUAUAUAUAUAUAUAUAUAUAUAUAUAUAUAUAUAUAUAAAACUGAGACUUGAGGAGGUGAUGUGACAUCACCGUUUCUCAUCUUUGUAUAUUCUCUAUUAUCUAAUAAAUAGAGAAAUUUUUUUUUAGAUUUGGCUUUUCAUCUUCUCAUAAUUAAUUUGAUUAUUAUUACACAAUAACAAUUAUGUAAAGAUUUUAAUGAGACAUAUUCUUUGUAAUGAACAUCCAAGGGAGAGUGUUAUAAAUUUAUUAAAAUAAAUGUGGAUGUCCAUAACAUAUAUCUCUUAGUCUCCUCACUAUCUCUCAUUAUCAACCUUUAGCUUCCCUAUAACUCCCACUAUCUCACAAGGAAUUAUAAUCCAUAAUUUUUUAUUAAUUUUAUGGAGUGAUUAUAUAACUAUAAAAGGAGAGCUCAUCUGUUGUUUUGUAUACAUGCAAUUGGAAUGAAUAAAAUCACUCUAUAAUAUAUUCUUUCAUUUUAUUUUUUAUCUUAUGUUGCUUUUUUAUUUGUAUUGUUAGCUAAUAGUUUUUUUUAAUUUUUUAUAAGGUUGCCUCAUCUUUAAAAAAAAUCCAUUCAUAUUUUUUAUCAGUUUCAUCAAGUGUAAAGUAAGAAACCGCAUAAAGUGCGGUUCUAUUUUAUAGUUUAUUAAUAAUGAAAAACAUUCAUUUGUAGGAAAUUACAGUUAUCUCCCUCGCUCAUGUGUAAUUAACCGUAAAUCACAGUCCCACAAAAUAUUAGGGUUUUUGGAGGGUAGAAUUUGUGAGUGACAGUCUUUCGAAGAGUGAAGUAAAGACAAUGACUGAAGAAAAAGAGGAAGAAGAAUUGAAGCCAUGGGAACAGCACUCUCGAGUGAUAAGCAUACCUCGUUUCGAUUACAACUCACCUUCUUCUCUUCUUCAACGCUCUCAUUCAGGCUUCCUCCUCACCUGCACCAUCAAGAGGGAGAAAAGUGCUACUAAAGAAGCCAUCUCAAUUCUUCACAAGGUUUAACUUUUUUUAAAAAAAUUUAUUUUCAUUUGUUCUGCAACUAAAUCAAGUCAUUUGAUGGAAUAAUGAUUAGGUGGUUGCUAUAGUUAUCAAAUACUUCAGUUGCUGCGAAGAAAAUGUUCAUUUUUGUAGGUUCCAAUCAAAGAAAAUGUUGGUCUUUGUUGCAUUCAUUUAACUGCUGGCAAUUCUGUUCUAAAAAAUAAUUUGUAUGUUCGACUUCUUCGAUGAAAGUAGGUAAGCUAACAAGGAUGAGUAGAAUUGCAUCAAAGCAUUGUUCUUGUGAACUUUUCAUCUAAAAUAUAGCUAUUUAGACAUGAUUGGCCCAUGGUCCUGUGAAAUUAAUGCAGUAUGUUGGACACAACAACAUUGAGAACUCUCAGUGUUUGGAAAGCUCUAAUACAGCUGGAGACUCCAAGAGAAGGAAAGUAUGCACAGAUGAUACAGGUGGAGAAUGUGCCGAUGGUGCAGAAAUCAACAGUAUUGAAGAAGAUUCAGCUGGUAAUUUCUCUUCAAGAACGCUAGAAAUUUUAAUCUUGUUUAGAAAACGGAUUCUGAAAUUUCACUCCUGUAAUGUGUUUGUUCUGAUGGUAGGGGGACUUCAGAAAAAUGAGUGUCACUCCAGUGUGAAGACAGAUACAAAUACAGAAACAGAUUUUGACAUGUCUCUAGUAAAGCUGACAAGGAAUGGUUUGCUCCUGCUUACCUUCCCAAGAGAACAUUCUCCCAACACUAUUAACAUUGUAUCAAACAUCUUUCAAUCUCUGGGCUCUGGGAGUCUGAAGUCACCUGUGUGAGUUGUUUUUACCUGUAAGAUUUUAACAUCUUUACUGUUCAAAGCCGUUACGAGGCAUUGUUUUCAAUAUGGUUAAUAGUUUUGUUUCUUAAUACUAUUCUGCUUAUGUGCAUAUACACAUAUGUCUGUAUGCCCUAACUUUAAUACAUACAUACAUACAUAUAUGUGUGUGUGUGUGCCCACGCGUGCGCGUGUAAUGUCAAGUUAUAUAUAUAUACAAUGUCUGUAUGCCUUUUAGAUAUAAUUUUAUAUAUACCCAAAUGCCUUCAGGUUGAUAUCCUGUAUGGUUCUGUUGAUUCAUAUUUUUUAACUGGAACUUGUUUCUCAAUGUAACUGUUGUGUGUUAUUGAAACCCUGUGUUGUAUUUGCAGCAUGUUGCAACAAUGUUAAUCAUAUUUUCUAUGAAACCUGAGGAGGACCUUCAUCUUCUUUAUAUUUGAUGUAGCAUGUUUUUGAGAUCCAUCCAUGAUCCAUUACUCUAUAGUCUUGGUACAAAAUUUACAGGAAGCAUCCUUGUUUGGGGAUGAAUUCAUUUCUUUUUCCCUCAGACAAAUGAAGCAUCAUCGAGCUGUUUAUUCUUGUCCUAUUGUAAUUAGUUGUGGUUAUGAAUUCAUUGAAGCUUUUAGCAUUGAUUUUAGCUUUAUUCUUCACCUACCCUGUAAAGUUUUCUCUCUCUCACUUUUUCGUAAUUAUUAUUUUGAAUUAUUUGUUUAUUUUUCUCGAAUUCAAGUUACCGCUUGAUGUUCAGUCAUCCAGAGUUUAAUAUGAUGCAUUCAACCGAUUCCCCUUUUUUGUAAGUUUUAUUGUCAUACAUAUUUUAGAAGUUGUGGUCUUCUUGAUGUGAAUUUGGCCAAUUCUUUCUGCUUUUGGUUUAAAUUCUUUUAGUUCUAGCAACUAUAUUUAUGCAAUAAUUUUCAAGUUACAUCCUUGCUGAGGAAUCUGUUAGUUAUGGUUUGUGUACUGGAGAUUAAGAUGUUAUAACAUGCAGUGAAAUGGCACUUCUUUUGUGCAGAUGGUGUCAUCGAAUUUUUCCUAUCCAAGCUACUUGUGUUUUGAAGGAGAAAGAACUUCAAGCAACUGUGUCAAAGCUUGUUCUACAGUUUGUGAAUGAUGAACAAAACAAACUUUCACGGCCAGUUAAGGUAUCUGUUUAUAAUGUAAUUAUUGUAUAGCUUAGCAGAAAUUGUUUAAAAAUACACUGAAACAUUAAGCUUUUGAAGAUUUAGAAACUCACUGCUUUUGUUGGGAUAUUCUGAGAAAAAUAUUACUUUGCUCUCUCCAUUUGUGAUAGUUGAAUAAAGAAUUCAUUGAUUUAUAUUGUAACUUAUGAAGCAACCUUUUGAGUACAUGACAUGCAAAUGUGAUAUGUAAUAACUACACAAAUUUAGCUGAAAUUUGGGGCUAUCCUACUUUCUACUUCUGUUUUCAAAUUCUGAAUUAUAUGGGCUUUAAGGAUGUCAGAUAUUUACUUGUGUCUGUGGGUGGAUGCAUCCCUGUGUUUAAUUUGUAAAAUAUUCGAAGUUAUUUGGUGGAUGUGAUUGCUUAAUUAACCAUACCUGGCAUUGUAGUUUGCAGUGGGAUAUAACAGAAGAGGAUUCGAAGAGAAACAGAAUAAGAUUCCAAAAGAUACGAAGGAUUCUGAUGUUUCAGCUUUAUUGGAUCGAAACAAAUGCUUCACCAUAGUGGCCGCUGCAGUAAAAGAAGUUGUAUCAGAUUCAGCUGUGGACCUGAAAUCUCCGGAGGUAAAAACUAGAAAGGCCUUUACUAGCCCCUUAUUCAAAGCUUUUGAUACAUUUUGCCUGUCCUUGCAUCUUUUUCUGACUAUUAUAGUGACCAAUUUUACAGCUUUCUGUUCUUGUUGAGUUGCUACCCAUUUCUGGACUGCCCAGUGAGUCACUAGUAGUUGGUGUUUCCGUACUUCCACAGAAGCUUGUUACUACAAAGCCACGACUCAGCAUUAGGGCUCUGGUUUCCGGUACCAAUGCAAAGAAUGGUUAGGAGUUGGAGUGGUACGAUGUUGCAAAAACAUUUUACUCCACUAAAAAUCAUGGGAUUGACAAUGGGAAACAGAGGUCCUCCCAUCUAGUGUUCUUCACUUCCAUCUCCUCCCGUCAAGUGUUCUUCACUUUCAACAAGAGUGCUGGUCUUGUUAGAUGGUAUCCACAACAGGAAUAGAAUCACUUGCUUUUGGAGUAGAGGAUCUUGGUGAGUUAAGCUGAGACACUAAAUAUCAGCUGGUUUUGGACGGGUUGGCUAGGCCUUGACGAGUAUUAUACUUGGUUUAAGUCCUCUAGUUAGAUCUGUUUAUAUUGCUUUGCCUUCACUGUUUAUUAUAUCUAGUCUAGAAAAACAUGAACAAGGCUAUUGACUUGGCUGAAGUCAAGUGCCAUUAGCAGUUUAGCACAAGUCUUCUCAUGUACAUGCCUCAUGAUGCUUCGUCUGUUGCCUUGUGUCUUGAUAGUUGAAAGUCAUUUUGUAUGUUUUAAUGGCAUUUUGAACCAAGGAUUCCAGUUGCUUAAAUUUUCUGAAAUAUUAUAAUAUCACAUCGAUUGAUAUAUUUUGUAGAUUAAGUUCAAACAAUUAUUAACUGUUGAGUAAACUUUUGAAGAUAGAUUAGUUCAUGAACUUUUUAUACGAUAUCUAAGCCAAAUCAUAUAUGAGUGGAGCUUGCACUAUUUUUCUUACAUAGUUUGUGGCGGAUUUAAUUUCAACUUAUUUUUUAUACAAGCCAAUGAAUUAGGAGACACUUACUAUUUAUGUAUUAUUUAUUUACCUAAAUGCUUAUCAGAUCAAAGACAACAAAAUCAAAUCAAAUCGCAAAUGUCCAUGCCCUGCACUUCCAACUCAAAGAACUAUAAUCAAUAGGAUAAUUCCCCCAACAAAAUUGAUUAUUUCAACACAAUGAAAAGUAAACCAAUAUUUGCAUUGAGAAUUAACACUUAAAAGGGUGAGAAAUUCAUGUAUCUGAUUAGAUUUAGUAUCUGAACGUAACCAUCUUCCCAUUUUUCAUAGUUUCAUUAUCGUCCUCUUCUUGUUGGCAACUGCCACGAGCUUUUCCUCUCGUUUCAUCUUAUCCCUCGCUGCCUUCACAUUCUUUCUGAUGUCAUUAUGGAUCUGUAAAAAAACCUGGCUGUCUAAUGUCUUACGCAUACAGUCACAUUCUUCUUGCACUAAUUGCUUACAAAUCAUCCGAACAGCAGCAGCUUGUGGAUGAGGAACAUUGGAUGAAUGCAAUAACAAAAAAUAUACUUUUUAGAACUUUUUACGAGAAAUAAAUGUUUGGUCUGUGACUCAUAAAUAGUCUAGUUGGCUUCAUCAGGAAGAAAGCUCCUAAUGACUUCUCGCUAUAUUCUCUGCAAGCCUCGGAUACAGCAGUAAAAUACAAGGCUAUAAGGCGAUUUGAUCUGUUAUGAAUAGACCGAAAAUGAGGCCAAAAAAUAAAAAAUGAAGAAACAGAAUAAAACAAUCAAUAAAAGAUUGGGAGCAAAAAGACAAUAGCUCAAACUAACAGUAAGAUCACAUCCAAGAUAGCAAGACGCCAAUAAGAAACAGACAGAAAUUUUGUAUUAAUAGGAGAAGAUGUCUUACUAGCUUCAUCCAUUGAAAGCAGAUGAAGUGCACCUAUCAGUUCCAUCAGCAGCCAUGAGUUUGCUUGCACAUCUAUUAUAUGAGGAUAGCAUCUGAUGAUUCCCCAAAGCAGAGCGAACUUGGACUCGUUUCAAUAGAUGAUCCCAUGAGCAACAUCAUUAUCACCCUGAUCCAAGAGCAGAUAGAUUCCUGCAAGAAGCCUCGAAACCUCGAGACUUGUCCUUCCGAUGUUCCAUCUAAGAAGUCACUGCACUGAGUUUCCAUUUUCAGUUUGUCAAAGAAGGAAAACAACAAACAAAUAACUUUGUCCGGAAAAUUUUCUAUCAUAUCAUUCAUUGCUCUGAAAAAACAAUAACAAAAGUGAAAAAAAGAAUGUACCAAACAACAAACAGAAACAAAAGAUAUGACGUGCCAAUAUUACCUUAAAAUAUUCACUCUAGUAUAGACUAUGCAUGGGUACUUCUGAAUUAGCUUUCCAAGAAACUUCAACAAACUGAAAUCCAUGAACAUAUAAGUUAAGUAGGCAGUGAAAAAAAAUUACUGAAGCUAAAAUGAGUGACUCAUAAAUAGAACUCCUCAAUUUGAGGCAUUACCUUGAGUUCUUCAACUCAAAUGCUGGAGCCUAUUUUAACGAACAGUUGGUGAUAGUUUUCUUAUCGUUUGCUGCAUGAAGCCCAUCCAGAAUGAGUGGCAUUAGUUGCAGAAGCUUAUCAACAACUUAAGAUAAUUGUAGGAAGCACUUAUGAUUCCAAGAAACAUAGAGGAAGCACUUAUGAUUCCCAAGUGGAGAGAAGCUGUUUAUGAAGAAAUGAGAGCAUUACAAAAGAAUGACACAUGGCAACUUAUGAACCAUCCACUUGGAAAGAAACCAGAUGGAUGUAAACAGGUCUUUACGAUCAAACACAAAGAUGAUGGCACGGUGGAAAGAUAGAAGGCAAGACACUAAGGAGCUUGCUCUAAUGAAACUACUCACUCAGACUUGGACAGGGACUCAGGCCCGGUCGCGCUUGAACCUGCUGGUGAGCUUAUCAGAACUCUCUUCCUAGAAAGAGAACUAUCUUGCCGAUUCCCUAACCCCCUGAAAAUGAGAUUUUCCACGAAUUCACCACUUUAGCAACCUUGUGAGGUGAGGAUUCUCUCCCCCCCCCCCCCAACCCCGUCAACAAGUUAUGGCAAAAGGUUACUUAGGAUGCGGACAGAGACCUAAAUUCCCAUUAGAUUUCUUCUAUUCUUAAGCUUGCUUUGUUGCAACAAGAUGAUCAGUCCGAAAGUGCUGGAGAGAAGAGAAAAUGUCUUCAAUCGAAAUUUCGUACCUCUAUUGGAUCCUUCCUAUCUCCUACAAAAGGAUUCACACAGACUUAUGGAAUCGACUACCAGGAAACAUUUGCACCAGUAACAUAGAUGAACUGAAUCAGUCUUUAUUUCCCUGACAGCUAAUCUAGACUUGUACUUAGAACACUGUAAGGUUUGCUGGUGAAUCAAACUCAAACUCAUCAGCGCUAAACGGUGGUGUUUUGGCAAAUAUAAGAGCACUUGAAACUCACGGGAAAAGCACGUGUGUGGUCACUUAUGUUUGGAGCUUGAAACGACAGUUCAAUUGUGUCGUUUAGAGAAGGUUUUUAAGUGAUGCACGUGACGAUCGUGUGAAGCAACUUGAUUCAGUUCGUUAAGUUUGUUAUGCUACAUGUAAUCAGGCUAUUCGAUCUGGUUUUAGCUGGGUGGCUGCUCUGUUAGCUUUAAGAACAUACUGGGGUAAUAGUUGAGAGCCUAGCGUGUGUAACCGUGUUAAGAGAGAGAGAGAUCGGGGAUGUGUGAGAAGAGUUCUCUAAUAUCUUGUAGACAAUCUCUAUAAACUUGGGAUCCUCUAUUGUUGAGUAAUAAGAACUCUGCAAAAAGAUUCUCCCGUAAAUGUAGGUUGUGCCAAUUGGUGCAACUAAACCACGUAAUUGAUUAUUGUGUUGUCUGUGUUUGUUUCUUUUCUUUUCUGCUCUCUUAGCUCUUGUGUUACAUUGAUUCUUUUCUGGAUUCAUUAUUCAAUUCGUGCAUCUUGGAUAGUUCUUUAUCAAAGGUCAUGGGAAGUGAUUUUGUCUUGUAUACUAAAACAACAUAUUUAAUCACUACAAUUGGUAUCAGAGCCUGGUAUAUUUUGAUCAAGAUCAAGAAUGGCCACACCGAAGAUAGAUCUAGAAAAGUUCAAUGGCAAGAAUGACUUUAACAUGUGGAAAAUCAAGAUGGAAGCCUUGCUUAUCACUUAAGGUUUGGGAGAUGGAAUCAAACCUAUUUCCAAGAAGGAGGGAAAAUAAGUCUCAUCUUUCAAGACUCAAGAGGAAGCAUCAGAAAUAGACAAGAAGGCCAGAAGUAUUAUAAUCAUCAGUCUUGGAGAUGCUGUUAUCGGAGAGGUGGCUAAAGAGAAGACAGUUGUUGGAUUAUGGGCUAAAUUAGAAAGUAUCUACAUGACCAAGUCACUGGCAAAUCGUCUCUACAUAAAAAAGAGGAUGUUCACUCUGAAAAUGGUGGAAGGGUCAUCACUGGAUCAUCAUAUAAAUGAAUUUAAUAAGGUUUGUGAUACUUUAGAAUCUAUUGAUGAGGGUCUAAAUGAUGAAGGUAAAGCACUUCUUUUAAUAAGCUCCUUACCAAAAUCAUAUGAGCAUUUUGUGGAUGUCUUAAUGUAUGGAAGGGAAACUUUGACUCUUGAUGAAGUUAAGGGUGCCCUUAACACUAGAGAGCUACAAGGAAAACAAGAUGCUGUCGAAAAUGGUGUUGGUGAAUGUUUGAUAGCAAUGGGCAAAAUUGAUAAAAAUGAUGAAAAGAAAAAGAAACAAAGGAAGCAGAAGAACAAACAAAAAAGUUGGAAAUGUUUUCAGUGUCACAAAGAAGGGCAUCUUAAAAAAGAUUGCCUAGAAAAGAAGUUUAAACCAAAAGACUCGAAAAAUCAUAGUAGAGAUGCAGCCAUAGUGGAAGAGGAAGGAUAUGAGUCAGCAGGUGUGUGUGUAGCAACUGAUUGUAGCCAAAAACGUAAAUAGAUCUUGGACUCUGGAUACACUUUUCAUAUGAGCCCUUUUAAAGAUUACUUUACUGAAUACCAUGAAUUUGAUGGGGGUAGAGUAAUGAUGGGGAAUAAUGCCAUGUGUAGAGUCAUUGGAAUUGGUACUGUUAAGCUUAGGUUACAGGAUAAAACUCUAUUGAUGAUUAAACAUGUAAGAUAUGUGCCUGACCUUAAAAGGAACCUUAUCUCCUUGGGAAUGUUUGAUCAAAUGGGGUAUAUCAUUAGGCUUGAAUCUGGUGACCUAAGCAUAAUGAAUGGCGCUAAAAUUGUCUUAAAGGGGAAUAGAAAUAAUAGAGUGUAUGUCAUAGAUGGUGAGGUUAUAGCUGGUGAAUCAGGUUUCUCUGAAAGUAUCAAAACUGAUAACACCAGGUUACGACACCUUAGGCUGGGUCAUAUCAGUAAGAAAUGGUUAAAUGAGUUAGAAAAGCAGGGUGUAUUAGGCAAGGAUAAAAUUGGAAGUCUAGGUUUUUGUGAAGACUGUGUGUUUGGCAAAUCUUCAAGAGCAAACUUUAAGAGAUCAAACUAAAAGUCAGAAAAUGUCCUAGACUAUAUACACUCAGACCUCUGGGGACCAGCCCAAGAGUUAUCUCUAGGGGGGAACAAAUACUUUGUGUCUUUCAUUAAUGAUAUUUCAAGAAAGGUCUGGACUUAUGCCCUGAAACAUAAGGAUCGGGUGUUUGAAAAAUUUAAAGAAUGGAAGAGUCUGGUUGAGAAUCAAACUAGUAAGAAAGUUAAGAAGCUGAGGACAGACAAUGGGUUGGAAUUCUACAAUCAACAGUUUGGGAGUUAUUGUGCAAAUGAGGGCAUAAUGAGGCAUAUGACAGUAAAUUUUACACCCCAACAAAAUGGAUUAGUUGAGAGGAUGAAUAGCACACUUCUGGAGAAAGUAAGAUGCAUGUUUAUUCAGUUCAGGCUUCCCAAGUCCCUGUGGGCAGAGGUACCGAUGGCAGUAAAUUAUUUGGUAAAUCUCAGUCCUUCCUCAGCACUGGACUUCAAGACACCUUUUGAAAUGUGGCAUGGUAAACCAACAAGCUAUGAAGGCCUCAGAGCAUUUGGUUGUUCAGUCUAUGCUCAUGUAAGACAGGGAAAGUUUGCACUAAGGGCAUUGAAAGAAGUCUUUGUGGGUUAUCCAGAAGGGGUGAAGGGUUACAAGAUCUGGUGCACUGAUUUAAAACCCCCAAAGUGUAUAAUCAGUAAGGAUGUAAUCUUCAAUGAAGAUGAGUUGGUAAGAAAAACUCAACCAGCUGAAGUUACUAACUUAAACCCAAAGCCUCCUGAGAUGUUGGAAUUUGAGAUGGGGCAGUCUGAUCAGAGGAACACAGAAGAAGCAACAUGUUUUGAAGAUGUUGAAGAUGAUUCAGGAAAAGCACAAGCACCUCAGCAACAAGUGGAGACAGAAUUAAAUCCUCCGGAAUCAGAUUAUCAAUUUACCUGAGAUAGGAAGAAAAGGCAAAUCAAACCAACAAAAAAGUUUGGUUAUGCAGACCUAAUUGCCUUUGCUCUAGCUACAGCACAUGAUAUAGCUGAUAAAUAACCAAAGACCUUUAAAGAGGCAUUACAGAGCUCAAAUAAAAAGGAAUGGUUGGCAUCAAUGGAUGAUGAAAUUGCUUCCUUGUACAAAAAUAAAACUUGGGAAUUGGUUAAGAAGCCAGUGAAUAGAAGAGUGGUUGGAUGCAAAUGGAUCUACAAGGUUAAGGAAUGUUUAACUCAGGCAGAACCAAGGAGGUUUAAAGCAAGACUUGUAGCAAAGGGUAUACUUAGAGGAAAUGAGUUGACUUUAAGGAGGUAUUAUCUCCAGUGGUUAGACAUGCUUCAAUAAGGGUGAUCUUAACCUUAACAGCAGUUGAAGACAUGGAGCUUGAUCAACUCGAUGUUAAGACUGCAUUCUUGCAUGGGAGGCUAUAAGAAGAGAUAUUCAUGAGUCAACCUGAGGGGUAUGAAGACUCUAAGAAAAAUGAUUUAUUAGUCUAAAAGGCUACACAUAUUGUAAUUUUGAUGAUAACAAACAUGUGUCUUAAGUAAAUUGAAGAAAUAUUGUAUUUCACAUUUUCACUAGCUUUUGAAGGAUAAUAUUUAUGCAAGUAAAUCAAGUGAAAUCAAGCUCAAGAUACUCAACGGACAACGGCGAAAUCAAGAAUAAAGUUUAAAGCUCAACGGACAAAUUAUUGUGAUAAAUUCUUGUAAAGUCGGUAUGAUUUAAUUGAUGCAUGAUUUAGCAUUUGAGAAGCCCAAGAGAUUAAUUUAAUUAAUUACUUUUCAUAAACUAAAAGGUUUUAUUUUUAUAAGAUAAAAUAUUUUGUGGUUUUGAGUAUUUUGGACUUAAAUAGAAAGUUUUGCAAUCUUUGUUUUUUUAAUAAGUAUUAUCUUGAAUUCCGGAGUUGGACCUUUUUGCAAAUAUGUGAAAUUUUUUAGGCCAUACUAUAAUUUGUGAACAUUGUGGACUAAAGUGAAAAAUUGUGAGAACUUUGAAAAAUGUGUAUUAUGUUAAAUUUUGAAAAAGGACCUCUUUGAGAAAUAAUAAUAUAUUUGGGACCAUAGCAUAAUUUCAAAAAGUGUUGGAGAGACAAUUAUUAUUGGAAAAUUCUGAAAUUGGAUCUAUUUGUAAAGUUUUAUGACGUUUUGGUCUAUAGUAGAAUUAUAAAAAGUUUUGGGCUAAAGUGUAAUUUUAGUGAACAAUAUUACUGUAGCAAAAUUCAAAAAUAAAAGUAAUAUCACUGUUACAAGCGGGUAGCCGGAUAAAUCAAGCGGCUAACCACUUGGGCGCUGGAAUUUGGCUAUAACGGUUAAUUUUCAGGCUAUAAGUAUAAAAACGCAACUCCAACUUCAUUUUAAGAAAAAAAUGCAAGCAAAAAUAAGAUCAUAUAACAUAUAUUGAGCUUCCAAAAUGCAAAUCAUCAUAGAUUGAAUCAUUGGUGAGCGAUUAUUUGUAUUCUAGAAAUCGUACCUUGAAAAUCCGAGUUGGCUUUUUCCGCUGAAGUGAUUUAGGUUCCUAGAUCACGAUCCGCCACCACUACUCCUGUUAGAUCACGAUCCGUCACCACCACCCAUGUUAGAUCACUAACUGUCACCAAUGAUCUUCUAGGUUAUGACUCAGGUUCGAUCUGCACUUGACGUGUGAGCGCCUUUAUCACUACCAAAGCAACUAGCACGAGAAAAUUUUUCUCUCAACAAUAGAGAGAAAAAUCUUAUUCUCCGAUCUGUAUAAAGUAGCUGCUUUCUUUUUCUUUAGAGAAAAAUAAGCAUUUUAUAUCAUCCUUUAGUGAAAACCCUAGGCUCCAAAUAAUCAAAAAAUAAAACCCACGUUAUUUGCUUUUUCAAUAGGGGACCCACCUUGUAAAAUAACAUAAGGCCCCUUACACAAAAGUUAAUUAAAUGGAGCCUCCCACUAAAUGAUAUAUUUAGGCUUGUGACCCAAAUACUUAGUUAUCUUACUUAUUAGUCCAGUAGUGGUGCAAUCAAUUAAAUGAGCUAACCCGGGGAUCAUUUGGGAACAUACAAUAGUGGCUACAAUAAUUAGGUCUGUAAUUAAACUAGCCCAAUUAUUUAAUUCCAAAUCUACUCCACUAAAAGAUUGGAACUGACUUUCAUAAUUGUAUGCUCGAAUAAUAAUUCGUCCCAAGCCACAUUGAUUUCUUUACUGCACAAUCCUUUGUACCACAUCGUUAAUUAAAUUGAUAUCUCAACUGUCCAAUCAAUUUAAUAACAUCUUAUUCCUUGAUACUUACUGGUUUUCUCUAAUGAUCAUUUUCAACAUACUAAAUAUGUUGACACACUCUGGCCAGGGAAUUCUAUGAUCAAGUGCCGAAAACCCAUCAAGAGAUGUGUUGUACAAAUUCUAUAUUGUUAAUCUAUAACUCCAAUACUCAUAAAUGCUCCCACCAAGAUACUGGGUAAUCUAGACUAUAAGUAUGUGUCAUGCCCAUUGGUAACUCGCAUGGAAUAACAAUUAUAAUCAUGAAAUCAUAAUUAACUCAAGAUUAAGAUUACAGUAAAAUCAAUACAUAUGAGAUUUAAUAAGUCUGACAGUUAUUACAAAGUUAAUUAAAUCUCAUAUGUGAUCCUGUUCAAUGUAGUCAUACUAUAUCAAUAAAUUCAUACAUGAUUAAGACAAAUCAUUCAAUGAAUUUAUUAUAGUCUAUACCUAAAUAAAGUGCCCAACUUUAUUUAUCAACUGCGAACAAAAUUUAUUUAAUCAUAAGAUAACUUGUAUUUAUGUUUUCUGUGAAUCCAUAUGGUGAUCACAUAAAUACAUAUAAUAUGAUUAAAUGGACUUUAAUAAAAAUAUUAAUGCAAUUAAGAUAUUUGAAUAAAAUACCUCAUUAAUUUUAUUAAUCAGAAAAAAAUGUUUAUUACAAUUAAAUAAACAUAUAUGCUUUUAAAGAGCAUAUUUUCCCAACAAUCUCCCACUAGCUCUCAAAGCAUAUCUGGCAUAUUGCACAUGCUCUAGGGCUCUAAGUGCAGGUUAUAAAGGUUUCCCACUAAUGGCCAUUGUAAUAAGAUCUUCCAUUUAGCAUCUAAUGCUAUUUAGGGUACUGUCAUAGAACCUUUCUACACUAUUCCCUUAUAAGAUGAUACUUCUGGUCAGUAUGUUUUGUUUCUUGUGGUUCCUUAGAUUGAGCUACUGCACCACCAUUAUCACAAAAUAGUUUAAGGGGUGUAGUUACAACAGGUACCACCUCAAGAUUUUGUAGGAACUUGCGGAGCCUAUAUAGCUUCUUUUGCAGCUUCAGAUGUAGCCACAUAUUCAGCUUCAGUUGUGGAGUCUGUGAUACAAGAUUGUUUCACACUCAUCCAACUAAUAACUCCACUUCCUAAUGUAAACACGUAGCCGGAAGUUGAUUUUCUAAAAUCUUUAUCUGACAAAAAAUCAGAAUUAGUAUAACCCACUAGAAUGAGUUCAUCACCGGAAUACACAAGCAUAUAAUUUUCAAUUCUUUUCAGAUACUUCAUUAUAUGCUUGACUGCAGUCCAGUAUUGAGGUCCAGGAUUAAAUUGAUAUCUGCUAACCAUCAUUACCGCAAAACAGAUGUCUGGCCUAGUGCAAAGCAUGGCAUACAUGAGACUUCCCACAACUUCUGCAUAGGGAACUCGUCUCAUUCUCUCUAUCUCUUCAGAUGUUUUAGGUGAUUGAUCCUUAGAGAAUGUAAUUCCAUGUCUGAAUAGUAAUAAACCAGUCUUGGAAUUUUUCAUGCUAAAUCUAGCCAAUAUCUUAUCGAUAUAGACCGCUUGAGACAAGGCCGAAAUUUUAUUCUUCUGGUCUCGUAGUAACUUGAUACCAAGAAUAUAACUUAUCUCUCCCAGGUCUUUCAUAUCAAAUUGUUUUGCUAACCAAAUCUUUAUUGUAGUCAAUACUCCUAUAUCGUUUCCAAUCAGGAGAAUAUUGUCUACACAAAGAACUAGGAAGGCUAUAAAUUUUCCCUGAAUUUUCUUGUACACAUAUGGUUAAUCAAUCUUCUGAAUGAAUCCAAGCGAUUUAAUCGCUUGAUCAAAUCUAAUGUUCCAUGACCGGGAUACUUGCUUCAAUCCAUAAAUGGAUCUCUGCAACUUACAUACCAUGUGUUCUUGAUCUUUUUUGUAUAAAUCCAUUUGGUUGCUGCAUGUAGAUGUUUUCUUCAAGAUGCCUGUUAAGAAAGGCAAUCUUGACAUCCAUUUGCCAAAUUUCAUAAUCUAGCACUGCAGUAAUGGAGAGCAGAAUCCUGAUGGAUUUAAGCAUAGCAACCGGAGAAAAUGUUUCCUCAUAAUUGAUUCAUUCUUUCUGAGUAAACCCUUCGGCUACUAAUCUUGCUUUAAAUGUUUCCACCCUUCCGUCUACUCCUCUUUUUCUCUUGUAGAUCCACUUGUACCCUAUACGUUUUACCCCAUUUGGUGCCUCUACAAGUUCCCAAACUAUAUUGGAAUACAUAGAUUCUAUUUCUUGAUUCAUAGCCUUUUUCAAAAUUCAACAUCUCCAUCUAUUAGAGCUUCGUUGUAACUAGUGUGAUCUUGUACUUGUUCAUCUGAGAUAGUCGUAUAGGUUUCUCCCAAAAGCAUGUAUCUCGCAGGUAACCUAGUUACCCUCCCACUACGACGAGGUUCUAAAAGUGAUGGUUGUUCAAGGAUAAUCAUGUGCUGAUCAGCUGGUUGUUGUUGUUUUUACUGUUCUAUAACAGGUGUUGAAAGCUUAGCAUCAACCUGAUCUCUUUUAUUUCUCUAGUUUUACCUUACUCUUAGGUUAUAAGUCAUUAUAUAGUCUUCCUCAAAGAAAGUAAAGAAUAUUUCUAUAAAUACAUUCCUAUCUUGAGGACUAUAAUUCAGACUUUCCCUUAUUCCUUUAAAAUACCUAAAACAUGCAAGCUUCUGAACACGAAUCCAUCUUCUCUAUAUCUGAUUCUAGUAGAAAUACUAGUAAACUCCAAAUACGAAUGUGUCUCAAACCAUGCUUGUGACUUUUUCAUAAUUUCUUGGAGUAGUAGACACCGAGAUAGAUGAAACUAAAUUCAAUAAACUUUGUAGUUUCAAAUACUAGCAUCUGGAAUCAAAAAGGUAAAUGAUAAACCACUUAGUAUAUAUCUUGUCUUAUCCAAAAGAAUCUUGUUUCUCCAUUUAAUUACACUAUUGUAUCACAGUGUUCAUUGACAACCAAAUUGUGCUUGAAUUCUCCAUAGAGAUAUUCUUUGUUUCAAUUAUAUCGAAGUUCUUUUAUGUUCCUAUCUAAUUGCUUCUGUCUUAUCCACGUACUCUUUUGAAUUUCAAAAGCAAUGGAAUCAUGAGGCAUUUAGACAAACAUAAAUAAAAUGAAUAUUCAUCAACAAGAUUGAUAGAAUACUCAUAACCUCUUAUAAUAUGUAAACUGAUUAAUCCGUAUACAUUUGUAUGCGCUAAAUCAUCAAAUACAAUGUUAUGCUUUUAGCUCAAAAAGAGCAUCCUUGUCAUAUUACUUUUCUAAAUAAGAUUUAUAGAGUUACAAUGAUCAAUCUUAAUAGGCAAACAAGUCUAUCAUUAAUCAUUUUCUUAAAAUCUUAUUAUAGUUUAUAUGACUUAAGCAUAAAUAUCAGAGGUGAUUUUUGGUUAGAAGAAACAUUUCUUUUCUUAGAUAAAUGCAUAUACUUUUUAUCAUUAUAUCUUACUUUGAAUAGAUCAAUGUACUUCUAUGAUAUAAAUUGUCUUUAUAAAUAACCAAAAUAAGUAAUAAACAGAGGAUCCAUAAAUAACAGUGUACUCCUGUUUAUUAAAACAAGCCACCGAAAUUAAAUUCCUCUAAUAUUUGAAAAAAUAAAGACAAAUAUCAAAACUAAAGUAUUAUAAAAUUGAUCUAGUCUUUCAAUUGAUAUAAACUAGCACGUCCUCAACUGCUGUUUGAAGCUUUCUUCACUUAAUCUCUUGGUUUCCUGAAAACCAAAUAAAUGAAUUACAAAUAAGAUUAGUUAUCUCAGAAUUCAUUAUUGUAUGAAUCAAUAGAAAUCUGAACUAAUUAGGAAGCUUAAAGAUUUCCUAUACCUGAUUUUAAUAAUCUUAGGACAAUCUUUCUUCUAGUGACCCUUCUGUCCACAUUUGUAACACUUGUCUUUUGGCUUGCCACUUCUUUUAGUGGACAGUUUGCCGAUCCCAACUCUUGCUUGCUCAUUCUUGUCUUUCGACUUAAGCCUUGAAGAGAAUCCUUUUUCAGGAAGUUUUCCGCUAUUAUAAAAUUCUUCUAUAGCAUGUAGUUCGGGCAUUAAUUCAAUUAAGGUCAUAUCUUUAUUGUUUAAGAUAUAACUGACCUUAAACUCUUUGAAUGUAUCAGGUAAAGAUUCAAUCACCAUGUUAAUCUUUUAUUUAUCAUUGAUUUGAACACCAUGAAUCUCUACCUCAUUCAAAUAGUCCAUCAUUUUAAGGACAUGAUCACGAACUUUUGUGCCCUCUUCCAUCUUAGUAUCCGUAAUACGUUUUAAUGCCGCUUCUCUGGCAAAAUGAGUAUUUUGCCCAAACAUCUAAUGAAGACUAGCCAUUAUUUCAGUGGUUGUUUCCAUGCUCCGAUGUUUCUUAUGCAGUUCCACAGAAAUCGAAGCCAAUAUAUAGCGCUUAGCCAUUUUGUUAGCUUCGUACCAUUUCUCAUAAGGCUCCCUCUGAUUUCUAUAAUCGUAUAACGAUGGUUCAGGAGGGCAAGGCUGGGUCCACACAUAUUUGCUUCCCUUAGCAGUGAGAAUAUUAAAUAGAUUGCAUUUCUAAUCUAAAUAAUUUUCGCCAGUGAGUUCAUUUUUAACAAGGAUAAUUAAUAAUGGGUUGAUGGAAGACAUUUUCUGAAAAAACAAAACAAAAUAAACAUGCAUAAAUACUUUGAAACAAUAUUCACAAUAAAUGACAAAAAUGUAAAAAAUCAUAAAUGCAUUUUAAUUUAUUGUAACGAUAAUCUAAUACCGCUUUGACAAGAUAUCCGUUGGGGAAGUCAUGUCUACACUUACUAGUCCCAAUUAUCCAUUAGAUUAUUUACUUUCAUGUAGAGACAUGAUAAAUAAUUAUCGUUAUCCCUUUGGGCCUAAAUUUGUUAACAGAGCUUCGUUGGGAAGGUUAAUAACAAAUUUUAGUUGAGUGUAUAACCAUUGUUUUAAUCUACAUAUUUUUCAUAUCAAUAGUCACCGUUGGGGCGAACAAUCGAUUGAAAAAUAUUUCAAUUUUAUCUUUGAAGAAGUUCAUCAAAUAAAAUAUCUAAUAUAUAUACCCUCCGUAGGGAGCAUCACCGUAUCAUGAAGUCGGGGUAUAUAUAUAAUUUUAUUAUUGAACUAACAAUGGAGCCCGUGGGAAAAAUUAUCUUGAAUUUUCCCUCUCCCACUCAAUAUUUUAAAAUUGAUUUUUCUUUUUAAAACAUACAUAUUAUUAAUUGCAUGCUUCCUAUAAUAUUAUCUAGAUGAUAUCCAAUAUUAUUAAGCAUAGGCAAAUUUCAAACAAUAUAAUGAAAUUCAUUAUUUAAUUAAUGACAUGUAUCAUUAUGCAUAGAGUGACACUACCUAUUCUAUAUGACAUGUUAUCAUGGCAUGUUAUCAUCCAAAACAUAACAUAUAGAAAAACAAUUAAAUAAUCUUAAUUCAUGGCUUUCCUAAUAAUGAAAAAUACAUUAACCCUAAGCCUAAUCUUCAUUGGGCUUCUUGUCAAUGUCCAUCUUCCAUAAACUUGUCUUUGUUAAUGGACUAGGGGAAAUUGGGCUUUUAAAUUUAUAAUUGGUCCAAUUUUAAUUUUUAAAGGAAAUAAAUAAAUAAUUAAAAAAAUUUACUAAAAUAAAACUUUUGGAUCAAAAAUAAAUUUAAUAUAUUCAAUUUUAUCUAUGCAUUUUAAUCCAUUAAGCCCAAUUGAAAUUGGGCCGAAAACUAGGAUUGAUUAAGCCCAAAACUAUAUUUGGACUUAAAUGCAAAAAAUUAAAAUUUUCUGCCCACAAGAAAAAAUAUGAAACUAUAGGGACCUCCAUGAUAAAAACCAUGGAACCCUAAAAUCACAUUUUUCUUUUCCUCUUCUUCCCCAGCCGCCAUCUCCACAAAGCAGUCACUGUUCAUCCAAGUCCGACGCCGAUUUAACCAUUGCCGCCACGCCGGAAAGCCACCAAUCGACGGAACCCGCGAGCUGCACGCCAUUUAUAAUUACUUGCAUCUUUGUGUAAUUUUUAAUUACUUUAUUUUAUUUUAGUUUUUUUUAAUCUAAAUUCACUUAUUUGGUUAUUUUAAUAAAUUAAGGUUAGAAUAAUUUUAGUAGUUAAUAGGAUAUACAAUCUCUGUAUGACGAUACUUUACUCUUCAUUAUAUUAUUUGUACCGACUAGUGAACUUGUAAUUUUACACAAUAGAGAAGAUAACUCAUUCCUUUUCCUUUUCCAAUUGAUUUCCUUGCAAAUCCAUUAAGUAACAUGACUUAUAAAAGUGGUUUAAUCAUAGAAAAAAUUAGGGUUUCUUUGUAGAAGGUCUUACUAAGCUUUAGGCUAGAAAUUACCAUUGGAUCAAACAUAUUGAUCUUGCUGCAAACUUAACUAUAAGUAUUCUUAUGGAUCAUUUAUGUUUAUAGGUUCUCUACCAACUCAUUAUACAAGGCAUUUCCUUGUAGGCUAAGUGAAAUACUAGUUAUGCAACCCAAGAGGGGGGUGAAUUGGAAUUCUAAAAAAUUAUUCAAUUUAUAAGUAAAAACUCAAUGCAAAUAUGAAACACAUUCAAAGCAAUAACAAUUGAAUUACCCACAACAAAAAGGAUAAAGGAAGAGAGAUUCAAACACUAAGAUUUUUACGUGGUUCGGCCAACCUUGCUUACGUCCACGCCUCCAAGCUUUCCGAGCUUGAGGAUUCCACUAAGUAAGCCUCCAAGGCUUCAAAUGCUUACACUUGACUUCCAAGGUGUCAAUAACCUUUACAACAAGAGAUUAUCCCAAUCUCUUAACCCAAGUGUAUCCCAACACUAACAAUCACUCAAAGAUAAAAAAUUAUAAACUAAUUUUGCCUCUCACAAUAUUUAAGAUUACAAAAUAAUACCCAAUAUGUGAAUAGAUGAAGCAAGAAUGUAUUUUAAAGCUCAAUGAAGAUUGUACUCUCAAGUGUAAGCUCAGUAGUUGUGUUGUGAUCAAACUUCUUUGAAUUUGAAUGAGCUUAUUUAUAUCUGGAGCUGAAAAUCUAGCCAUUACAAACUGUCGGUCCGAAAACGGUUCGCCGUUAACCAUAAACGGUUAGCCGUUUAGGUUGGUCAAAAGUUACCGUUGGGCCAAAUUUCAAAUAAACGGUGUGCCGUUAAGGGUUAUCCUUUUGCCGUUAAAUUCCAGAGACCAGCAAGAUGAAUAUCAGUUAUCCGUUUAAAGUAAACGGUUAAGGAUUUGCAUGAAGUGACUUCUCUGGAUAUUAUCGAUUGACCGUUUGUAAUAAAUGGUUCGCCGUUUGUUUCCAGUAACCUGCAAAACAAUUCAGCCUUAUCCGGUUUUGUUAAAUAGUGCCAGAGGAGUACAACCUUCAAUUCUGGAUGUUAUCGGUUAAUCGUUUCAAUAAACGGUUCACCGUUAAAUUCUAGUAGUCUUUCCAUCUGUUGUGUUUUCUGUUUUUCAUAAACGGUUAGAGCUUAGGCAAUAUGUUGCUCUCUAGUGUUAAUCGGUUAACCGUUUAAAUAAACGGUUCACUGUUUAUAUCCAGAAUUAUAUUUUAAACCAGAUUUUACAGAGAAUCUUUUUCUAAUUUGAAAGUCCAUCUUUUAUGGAAAAAAUGAAUGAAAUGAUUAUUAAGGCAUUCCUUUAUUAAGGAAUAGCUCCAACAUUUUUAUCAAAAAAUCAUUUAAAGUUUGUUAUCAUUAAAAUCAAUAUUAUUAACAUAUUCAUGUUAACAAUCUCCCCAUUUUUUAUGAUGAAAAACUUCAUUCAAUAUUUAGCUCCCCCUUAAUAUGUGCUCCCCCCCCCUAAAUGUAUGGCCAAAUUAAGAAAUGUCCAAUAAAAAGAUUUUUUGCUCAAGAAAAUAUUUUUAAAUUCAUUUUUAAAUCUCCCUAUUAUCUCCCCCUUCAUCAUCAAAAAGAAAAGAGAGAAAGGAAAAACACAAAUCCGUUAAAGAAGUUACCCGAUUUUGGCGAGCGAUCAUUUUGGCAGAGUUUUCCCUUAAAAAUGAGCAAAACCACUAAUACAAAAUGAGAUUAAAACACUUCCAAAAUAGAUUAACACCAACUUCAUCUUUCAACAACUCAACAACGCCAUGAACAAACAAACCAGCACUUCAAUAUCCAAUAAACCACAAAUUUCAUCAACCAAUAACCAAGUUAUCCAAUCAGCAAGAACAUCACAAACAUAUGUAAUCAAAAUCCAGAAAGAGCAUAUAGAGGGAACAAUGUAUAUAAAAAUAUAAAUGGCAACAUGCAAACAACCAAAAUAUGAAAUGUAUGUGCGAAAACAGAACCCAGAAACUAUGGAGGUGGAGAAGAUGUGCUCGUCGGAUCAUAGCCGAAAUAGCGGAGAAGAGUGAGCUAUCCAGCGAUAAGCUCAAGCUGCUGAUCAAUGCUCUGCUGCUUGAAGGUCUGAAAGUCAGAAUGUAGCUGCUGCUGGUCACGGGAAACAAUGUCCAACUGAUCAAGAAUCAGUUGUUGGCGCUCUAAAAUCCAGUGAACAUCAGUAAUCAACUACUGCACAACGUCUGAAGCAGGGGACUGAACUGGAGCUGGAGGCGGCAUAAAGGCAGAUGGCUGCUCAGGAACAGUAGAUGGCUCAGGAGCAGGAGGCGGCUCGGAAGAGGAGGGAAUGUCAGCAUUCAUCGUACGCUCCUCAGAGUCAGAGUCAGCUGGAGGCCGAGGGACAAAACGGCGACGCGGAGGAUGAGGAUGAGCUCCUAAUCUAAAGUUAGAAAGCUGAUCGGGAGGAUAGAUAUCAUUGAACAUCCGAUCGUCCUCUGGAGCAAUCAAGGUAUCCCGGUUUUUGGAGUUGCUUGUCUUUAUCCACUCUCCAUUCUUCCUAGAAAAAUCGAUACUAGUCAUGGCCUCGGGACCAAUCCGUCUAGUCUCCAUAUGUCCAGUAUCAAGAAGAGGCACUUCAAAGCGUCACAGUAUCUUAGUAAUGAUACUGCUAUAAGGAAGCAAGCGGUGAUUGACCGCGGGAGUACUCAACAUGUGCCGCACAAUAACAUAUCCGAGGUUAAUGGGACGGUCUGUAAGUAGGCUAUCUAGUAGUCCAACGUCCAACCUCGUAACCUCAUCCGAGUGACCCUUUUUAGGUGUCACAAUGUGCUGUAAAAUAGUGUGAAGAAUGCGAACUUAGAGGGGUAAAAGUUGAGACCGAAAAGGAAGCAAACAAAUCUCAUCAGACAAGUCUCAACGACGACAUAUAUUGCGGACGCCAUCAGUAUGACAAAAACUAUCAAAGAAAAUGGCUUUCCUAGAGGUGUAUAUAUCAUGCCCCUCACUAGAGAUACCAAGAAAGUCAGCUAGAUCUGCAUCAUCAAACUCUAUUAGCACACGACUGACUUGAGUGACUAUCCUAUUUGGGCGAGUAUCGGAGAUUUCCAUGUUUGAAUAAAAGACUCGCACUAAAUUUGGAUAAACCCGGUCAUCAAGGUUAAUGGCAAGCUCCCAAGGCUGAAGCAUAUCCCGAAUGCUUCUACCACAUACAACUAAGUUACGAAAAUCAUCAAUGUCAACAAAGAAGGAGUCAAGUACCUUUCGACCAUUGAAGCGAUCUUCGAACCGCUUGGCCAAGGAAGGUGUGGGGAAGUGAAUGCUUGCAAAUUCAGAGACUUCCCGUGGUGGUAAAGGAUUCCUUGGAGGCACAGAUUUACGCCUGAGAUUUCUCUGAGGGGGUUCAGCCAUGGAGAAACACAAUGGAGUGUGAAAAAUGCGGGAGAGAUGUGAUGAGAAGAAAAUGAAUCGAUGAUUUACUUAAGAAUGAAUAGAGGAUGUGAGUUGGAUGCUCAAUUUGGUUGAAGAAGGGGAAGAAUCGGAUUAAAAACGAAGAAACCCGACCCGCGGUAGUUAGGGUUUAGAUUUGGGAUUUUUGAAUUUUGGGCUUGAUUUGAAGUUUUGAAUCGGUGAAAUCGUUCUAAAGGUGAUAAGAAAUGAUGUUGAAGGUUUGAUCUGGCAAGAAAAGCAAGAAAAAUGAGGGUUUAAGGGCAGAGAAACCUUCGGCUGCGCAACAAUGGUCGAAACGGUGAAAGGGUAACUAGAGAAGGAGAAGAAAAACCUUUAAACAGUUUUAUAAUCGCGAAAACGGUUAACCGUUUAUUUAAAUGGUUAAGGGGUAACUUCCAGAGGCUAAAGAAAGGGCAACGGUGAAAGCUUAAGCGCUUAACGGCUAAGGAGUAACUGUUAGAGGACUCUCUGUUUUCAAACGGUUCACCGAUUGUAGCAAACGGUGAAAGAGUAAACGGAUAGACACAUAAUCUCGUUUCUGGAAUAAAACGGUUCACCAUUUAUUGGAAACGGUUAUUCGUUUAUUUUAUCUGUAAAUUUGCAUAUUUGAUUUAAUUUUUUGCCAGCAAAUAAUAUAUUCCAAGAUCAUUUAAUUGAUCUAAAAAUAUUUUAUGAGCCAUUUUAAUGCAUGAUUCAUGAACGUGUUUUAACCAAUUUAAUUCAUAUAAUCAAGAAUUAACAAGGCAAAUUCAUCAUUUGACUAUCAAGCUCAAGCAUUUCAUAAAAAUUUGAUCACAACUAAGUCAAUCAAUUCAGUACACUCAAUAGCAUGAAUAAAGACGUUAAUGCAAAAAUUUCAUCAUCCCGCCGAAUUUUUGAAAAUUGUUCUUCGCAAAGUGGUUUUGUGAAAAUAUCGGCAAGUUGUUUUUCCGUAGAAAUAAACUCUAAUGCAAUAUCUCCAUUUUGAACAUGAUCUCUCAAGAAAUGAUGUCUAAUUUCUAUAUGCUUGGUUCUUGAGUGUUGAAUGGAAUUCUUUGAAAGAUUUAUAGCACUAGUAUUAUCACACUUAAUAGGAAUUUAUUCAAGAUUAAUGCCAUAAUCUCUAAGUGUUUGUUUCAUCCAAAGUGCUUAUGCACAACAACUUCCGGCAACUAUAUAUUCAGCCUUCGUAGUUGAAAGUGCAACAGAAUUUUGUUUCUUACUAAACCAUGAAACAAGUGAGUGUCCUAGAACAUAGCAGGUUCCACUAGUGGUUUUCCUAUCCACUUUAUAACCGGCAAAGUCCACAUCCGAAUAACAUGUUAAAUCUAUAUGAGUUCCCCUAGGAUACCAAAGGUCAAUAUCUAUGGUUCCACUCAAAUAACGGAAAAUUCUUUUAACAGCAAGCAAAUGGGAUUCCUUGGGACAUGAUUGAAAUCUUGCACACAAACAUACAUUAAACAUGAUAUCGGGUCUACUUGCAGUCAAAUGUAAAGAUCUGAUCAUACCUCGAUACAUUUUGAUAUCCACUUCUUUGCCCUUUUCAUCUUUGUCAUGCUUGAUGAUAGUACUCAUAGGAGUGCUUUUUGCCGUUCCAUUAUCAUAGCCAAAUCUUUUGAGUAGAUCUUUCACGUACUUGGCUUGGUUUAUGAAAAUUCCUUCCUCGUUUUGUUUAAUUUGAAGUCCAAAGAAGUACUUCAAUUCUCCCAUCAUACUCAUCUCAAAUUCUUGGCUCAUACAUGAUGAAAAAUCCUUACACAACAACUCAUUAGUAGAACCAAAAAUAAUAUCAACAUAAAUUUGAACAAUAAGUAUGUCUUGGUUCUUAUGCUUAACAAAAAGAGUUGUGUCCGCUUUUCCCAUCGAAAAAUCGUUAUCCAACAAGAAGUUUUUAAGCCUAUCAUACCAAGCUCUAGGUGCUUGUUUUAAACUAUACAAAGCCUUGGAUAACUUAUACACAUGAUCUGAAAAUUUUUCAUUUUCAAAACCAGGAGGUUGUUUCACAUAAACUUCCUCCAUAAUAUAUCCAUUUAAGAAAGCACUCUUGACAUCCAUUUGAUAUAAAAUAAAAUCCUUAUGACAUGCAUAUGCUAACAACAUCCUAAUGGAUUCUAACCUUGCUGUGCAAAAGUUUCAUCAAAAUCAAUUCCUUCUUCUUGGUUGUAACCUUGAGCCACUAAUCUAGCUUUAUUUCUUACAACCACCCCGGAUUCAUCCAUCUUAUUUCUAAAUACCCAUUUAGUGCCUAUGGCAGAUUGAUGUUCCAGUUUAGGAACUAAUUCCCACACAUUGUUUCUUUCAAAUUGAUUUAACUCCUCUUGCAUUGCCAUAAUCCAAGAUUCAUCAUUUUCCGCAUCCGCAAAGGAUUUGGGUUCAAUUUGAGAGAUAAAUGCAUUAUGCUCACAAGUAUUCUUAAGAGAUGAUCUAGUUGUAACACCUCGUGAGGGAUCUCCUAAAAUUACAUCUUUAGGAUGAGAAGAGACAUACCUCCACUCAUUGGGGAGUGUUUGAGAAAUACCUUUUUGUUGCUCCAGCUCCGUAUUUGUUUGUUCUUUUUGUCUAUCCUCUUGAUUUUCUUGUGGUACGUUCUCUUGAUUCUCUUUUGAUGAUUCUUCUUGUAGCUCUCCAUCUGCAUCAUCAUUAGCAACUCCUUUCUCCGCAGAGGAGGGGUUAGAUUCAUCAAACGUAACAUGCAUGGAUUCUUCCACAACUAAAGUUCUUUUAUUAUAAACUCUAUAAGCUUUGCUUGAUUUUGAAUAUCCGAGAAAAAUGCCAACAUCGGAUUUUGGAUCAAAUUUACCAAGAUUAUCUUUUGUGUUUAAAAUAAAACAUUUGCAUCCAAAAACUUUGAAAUACCUAAUGUUGGAUUUUCUAUCUUUCCAAAGCUCAUAGGGAGUUUUAUUGAGAUGAGGUCUAACCAACACCCGAUUUAAAACAUAGCAAGCGGUGUUGACGGCUUCGGCCCAAAAAUAUUUAGGUAAUGCAUUUUCAUUUAACAUGGUCCUAGCCAUUUCUUGAAUAGACCUAUUCUUUCUCUUAACAACUCUUUUUUGUUGUGGAGUCCUAGGUGAUGCAAUGCCAAGAUUAUUGCAAAAAAUCUCAAAUGCAUGAUUUUCAAAUUCUCCUCCAUGAUCACUUGUAAUGCAUAUAAUAUCACGCCCUUUUUCAUUUUGUAAUUUCUUAUAAAACACUUUAAAAGUGUUGAGUGUUAGAAAAUGCAUAUUUAUAAAGGAGAAAACCGUCAUUUUACAUUUCAAGUCUUACUAACAACCCUUACUUUUAUGUAUUUAACCUUCUUGUGAUUUAAUUACAUGUGUUUUAUUUUAAUUAAGUAUUUUAUGUAUUUUAGGGGCAUUAUAGUCAUUUCACAAUAAAGGAGAAAUCAGACGGCAAAACGGACAUCACUUUUGAACUCAGGACGGUCAAAAACCUUAGGAGGAGCAUAAAAGGAAAAAUGGCACUAUUCACAUGUACGGUACUAUUCACGUGUACGGUACUGUAUACGUUACUGUUCACGACACUGUUCACAUAGACGGAUGAUGACGUGGCAUUGACCGAUGAUGUGGCAUUGACUGAUGAGGUGUCACGAUCCUGUUGGACUAAAAUUCUUAUGUACUGUUGAUGGUGACGUGGCAGCAUAUCAGUGGACGAAAAAUCUCUCGUACGGUGCAUGCAUCACACAUGAUUAUUUUCAACCAAACCGCAUUACUGUUCAUCCGGGUCAAACCGUGUUACUGUUCAUCCGCGUGGUCAAAUCGUGGACUGUUGACUGAUGACGUGGUGCAAUCCUGAGCGUCCAAACUGUUUUUAAUCCGAUGGCCAUGAUUUACUCCAUGUAUCUAUAAAAAGGGGGCCUCUCCCCCCUAAUUUGAUAUCUCUGAAUCCAUUUUUUGGAUCCAUUUUCUGUAAUUCCUUCUCCAUCUUGUAUUUUCUUCGUAUUUUAAUAAAUUUCCAUUUUGCCCCUAGUUCAAUUAUGAGUGGCUAAUUUUCUUUCAAGCUUGGGUUGAAGGUGAAGUCUCAACAUGUGUCAUGGGCUUAAUUUGGUAAAUUUACUUUCUCUUCCCCUCUAAUUUUUGUGGAUGUUUUGACUUCUCGUCGACAAAUAAUACUAAUCUUGUCUAGAUACCGCCUUGGUUAUACCGGCUCUCUAGUAUAAGGUUAUUAUUAUUUGGCACGAUAAGCCCUUAGCACCAUAUUGAUUAGAGCGUGGUUCAUGAGGUGUGGAUUCCCCCCUCAUGAUUUAAUUGGCAUUAAUAAGGAUUAUUUAGCCCAUGAUGCAUGUUGAUACGGAUCCAGAUACCCAAGUACGUCAUUUCAAUAGAAUUCUCUUCAAUUUAUUCUCACCAUUUCAAUACCAAUUUUAGAAUUUAUUCUCGCCAUUUUAAUUUAAGUUUUAGAUAUUCCAAAUCAUUUCCACCACAAAUCCAAUCACCCAUUUACAAAAUUAAUUCUACACACAAUUAAAAUCCACCUCCUCGUGGGAUCGACACUCGUCACCAUUGAUCUAUACUACAAUAGAUUCGUGCGCUUGCGAGUACAUUAAAAUUUGCACAACAAAAAGCAUCAAGAGCAUCAUCCUUAUUGGCUAAGAAUAAUACCCAUGUAUAUCUAGAAUAAUCAUCCACUAUCACAAAUGCAUAAUAUUUUCCAUUUAGACUAGCAUAUCUAGAUUGUCCAAAUAGAUCAAUGUGAAGGAGUUCAAGUGGUUUUGAAGUAGAGAUAUGAUUUUUAUUUUUGAAAGAGGUUUUGAUUUGUUUUCCAAAUUGACAAGCUUCACAAAUCUUAUCCUUUUGAAAACCAAUUUUCCGAAGACCUUUAACUAAAUCAUUUUUCGAAAUCAAAUCCAUACUUGCAUGUCCUAAUCUUCUAUGCCAUAGCCAACUAUCAUCAUGUAAUGCGGAAAAAUAUUUAUCAAGAGUAGAUGCACAUUCUAUGUCAAUGAUAUAAACAUUACCACAUCUAUUACCAACAAACAAGGUUUUGCCAUCACAUGAGUUCUUAAUAACACAACUAAAUUUAUCAAAGAUAAUUUUAUAACCUUUGUCACAUAAUUGACUAAUGCUAAUUAAGUUGUGUUUCAAGUUCUCAACCAAACAUACAUUCUCAAUUAGAGUUGAAGAGACUUUACCAACAUUUCCAAUUUCAAGAAUUUUUCCUUUUGAGUUGUCUCCAAAAGAUACGUCUCCACCAUUUUCAUUUUUGGUGAAGCUUGAGAACCAUGCAUAGUUUUUGGUCAUGUGCCUUGAACAACCGCUGUCCAAGAACCAUUUAUUUUUCUUCUUCUUUAAGCCCUACAAAGAAAAUCUCAAGUUUUAGGUACCCAAAGCUUUUUGGGUCCUUGAGAGUUAGCAAUGGUUCCUUUUGGAACCCAAAUACAUUUGACACCAUAAUAUGCAUUCCUUUUCACGGGACAUCUAUAUUUCAUGUGACCAUUUUGAUUACAAUAAUGACAGACAAUCUUAUGAUCAUUUGUGGAGGUAGCUUUAACAAAAUAAUUCUUAUAAUACUUUUGCUUCAAGUUAGGCUUAUAUCCAAGUCCUCCUUUAUCAAGAACACAUUUUUGUAAGUUAAGCAUAUUAUCUAACAUCUUUUGUCCAUUUGUAAAUUUCAAAACAAUUUCAUUCAACUCAUUACUCUUUUUCUUGAGCGCUUCAUUUUCAUUUUUCAAAUCAUCUAUGUGUGAUUCUAAAUGCUCAUGUGAGAUACUAGGUUUCUCGUUUGAUAAUGCAAGUUCAUCAUGCAAUGUUUUGUUCUCUACUUCUAGACAUGCAAUUUUUGCAUUUAAGGAUUCAUUUUCAUUUUUAACUUUCAUCAUUUCCUUUUUAAGACAUAGAUUCUUUUUACCAAUCUUCAUCAACUCCUUAUGCAAAUCUUUAAAAGCAUCAUACAAUUCAUCAUAGGUGGGAUCAUUUACCUCAUUGAGAUUAUCAUCCUCUCCUAUUGCCAUAAGCGCUAGGUUUGAUACUUCUUGCAAUCCUUCUUCAUCACUUGAAUCUUCCUCGCUAUCAUCCCAUGUUGCAACCAUGGCUUUCUUCUUGAGUUUGUUGAUAAGUGGGCACUCCGAUCUUAUAUGGCCAGGCUUCUUACACUCAUAGCAUGUAAUCACCUCUUUCUUCUCCCUUUGGUUCUUGAAGUUUAUGAAUUUUCUUCGCUCUCCAGUUUUCUUGAAAAACUUUCUGAACCUCCUUGCUAGCAUGGCUAACUCUUCAUCAUCUGGUUCACUACCUCCAUCACUCUCAUAUUUUGAAGCUUUGAGAGCAAUGUUUUUCUUCUUCUCCUCAUCUCUUUUUUCUGCUGCCAAGUCUUCUUCAUAUGAAAUUAGAGAACCAAUUAAAUCAUCAAGAUGUAAAGUAUUUAAAUUUUUGGCCUCUUCAAUGGCGGUUCUUUUAGGUCUCCAUUCUUUUGGAAGUGACCUAAUGAUUUUCUUAACUUUCUUACUAUUUGAGAAGGUCUUCCCUAAGGCACCUAGGGUGUUCACUAUGUCUGUGAAUCUAGUAUACAUAGAAUACACAUUUUCAUUUUGUUUCAUUUGGAACAACUCAUAUUGACGAGUGUAUCUACUAAUUUUAGACUCUUUAACUUGGUUUGUCCCUUCAUAGACAACUUCAAGUUUAUUCCAUAUUUCUUGUGCACUUUCACAACUAGAUAUUCUAUGGAAUUCUUUCUUAUCAAGGGCACAAAACAAAGCAUUCAUAGCCUUGGAGUUUAGAGACAUUUUUCUCUUUUCUAACUCACUCCAUUGACUUGAUGGUUUAGGAAUAUCAUUUCCUACUUCAUCUUUAAACAUAGGCAUGAAAGGACCAUCACAAACAACUUCCCAAAUUUCAUAAUCUAAGGCUUGCAAAUAGAUUCUCAUUCUAGUUUUCCAAUAAGCAUAGUCAUUACCAUCAAAGAACGGUGGUCUAGUUGUAGAUUGCCCUUCUCUAAAGGUUGAGUCAUUUAGGGUUGCCAUGGAUCUUUUACUCUAGACGAUUAAGUCCUAACAGGAGAACAAGGCUCUGAUACCAAAUGCAAUACUAGUUAUGCAACCCAAGAGGGGGGUGAAUUGAAAUUCUAAAAAAUUAUUCAAUUUAUAAGUAAAAACUCAAUGCAAAUAUGAAACACAUUCAAAGUAAUAACAAUUGAAUGAACCACAACAAAAAGGAUAAAGGAAUAUAGAUUCAAACACUGAGAUUUUUACGUGGUUCGGCCAACCUUGCCUACGUCCACGCCUCCAAGCUUUCUGCGCUUGAGGAUUCCACUAAGCAAGCCUCCAAGGCUUCAAAUGCUUACACUUGACUUCCAAGGUGUCAAUAACCUUUACAACAAGAGAUUAUCCCAAUCUCUUAAACCAAGUGUAUCCCAACACUAACAAUCACUCAAAGAUAAAAGAUUAUAAACUAAUUUUGCCUCUCACAAUAUUUAAGAUUACAAAAUAAUACACAAUAUGUGAAUAGAUGAAGCAAGAAUGUAUUUUAAAGCUCAAUGAAGAUUGUACUCUCAAGUGUAAGCUCAGUAGUUGUGUUGUGAUCAAACUUCUUUGAAUUUGAAUGAGCUUAUUUAUAUCUGGAGCUGAAAAUCUAGCUGUUACAAACUGUCGGUCCGAAAACGGUUCGCCGUUAACCAUAAAUGGUUAGCCGUUUAGGUUGGUCAAAAGUUACCGUUGGGCCAAAUUUCAAAUAAACGGUGUGCCGUUAAGGGUUAUCCUUUCACCAUUAAAUUCCAGAGACCUGCAAAAUGAAUAUCAGUUAUCCGUUUAAAGUAAACGGUUAAGGAUUUGCAUAAAGUGACUUCUCUGGAUAUUAUCGGUUGACCGUUUGUAAUAAACGGUUCACCGUUUGUAAUAAACGGUUCACCGUUUGUUUCCAGUAACCUGCAAAACAAUUCAGCCUUAUCCGGUUUCGUUAAAUAGUGCCAGAGGAGUACAACCUUCAAUUCUGGAUGUUAUCGGUUAACCGUUUCAAUAAACGGUUCACCGUUAAAUUCCAGUAGUCUUUCCAUCUUUUGUGUUUUUCGUUUUUCAUAAACGGUUAGAGCUUAGGCAAUAUGUUGCUCUCUAGUGUUAAUCGGUUAACCGUUUAAAUAAACGGUUCACCGUUUAUAUCCAGAAUUAUAUUUUAAACCAGAUUUUGCAGAGAAUCUUUUUCUAAUUUGAAAGUCCAUCUUUUAUGAAAAAUGAAUGGAAUGAUUAUUAAGGCAUUCGUUUAUUAAGGAAUAGCUCCAACAUUUUUAUCAAAAAACCAUUUAAAGUUUGUUAUCAUCAAAAUCAAUAUUAUUAACAUAUUCAUGUUAACACUAAGUACCCCUCAAAUACACUUAGCCAAGGAUUUAAUGCACAUUAGCCUUCCUUAUACAUAUUUGUGCCUUCAAGAUCACAACCCCCAGUUGAUACCUUAGUAAAAUGCCUUAGGUCCACAUUAAAAUACGUAACUUAUGGUUUGGAUUGGGCCUUUGGACCUAGUGUCUAUUUUCGGUAGCAACAUUAGCCCUUUUGAUUUUAAACUAGUAAAUCACAUAACUAACUUUAGUUGCCUAAAAAUUACAUGCAAUAAACAUAGCUAACUCUAAACUAAAUUGAAGUUAAGGCAAUAGUGAUACAUAUUACUAUAUUUCAUUAGGCGUUGAAUUGAUGAUACUACUAUUGGUUGGUUUUUUUAUGCUAUAGUAAAGUGAUCUAGGGUGUUAAAAGGAUAGCUAUUUUAGUAAUAAUUUCAACGCAUCUAAUUAACUUGAUAUGCAUCCGACUUGAUAAUUGUUUAUAGGCUUGUUGAGUGUUUUGAAAAGAUGGUCCUUCAUGGAUUUGUAUUUAAUUUUGAGAAGCUUGUAAGAUUUCAUGGAGCCACACUAUUUUAUGUAUGCAAACACAAUUAUACGUAAUAGUUCUUCAUAGAAAUUAAGAAUUUAAAUACUGCAGGAUCAAUUUUGUCACAUGUCUACUUUCUUCAACUUCUAGUAGUUGUUUGAUGUUUUUGUGAGUUAUACUGUCUAAUUAUGUCAGCACUCAUUUACACAAGACAGUUGAAAGAUUAGAAAGAGAUAUGAGUAUGGGGACAAUAAUAGUAUCCUCACAAAACUAGGGGUGGGCAUCGGAUCGAAUUCAAAUUUAGCUUCAAAUUUUCUCAAAUAUAAUUUUUAUAAUUCAAUCAAAUUUAAUUCUGAUAAAAACAAAUUGGAUUCAGGUCAAUUCAAAUAAUAUGACCAGAUUGCAUUACUAAAAUUAAAAAAAUGAAAGAGGAAAAUCAAAAACCAAUACCUAAUUCCCAAAUCACGAAACAAUACACCAUAGUCAUGCGACCUUGAUGAGCCAACCCACGAUAAGCACACCACAUCCACUGGCCACGACCUAGCAAGCCAGCCCACUACUAUGCCGACAACGACACAAACUAAAUGAACCCAGCUACCACGACAUCUUCCAGACCCAUGACAAGCAAUUAACAUCGAAAAUGACGAGAGCCUCGUACUUUUUCAUGGUAAUCCACUAAUCUGAAAACUCCCGACAAUUUAUGUUUGAAACUUUAAUUUUUUUCACUUGUUUAUACGAUUUUUUUUUAUCACCGCAAGUGAUUUGGUUGCUUAAAAUGUACCCCCACGUACUUUGAUGUUUUUUUAUUUCACUUAGUUUUCUUAGCAAUCACAGAUGGUUCAUGAAAUUCUUUAUCCAGUACUAUUCCCUUGUUUUCAAUAUAUUAAUAAUUCUUGAGAGCAUUAGGAAAUUUGUUUUUUCAUUCUUAGAAUAAUAGAAUCUGUUCUAAGUGAAGUAAUACAUUUGAUCCAUAAAGUGUUUGAUUGUUAUGCUGGUAUUAACUAGAAGUUACCCAAAAAGUAAAAAGUUGUCCAGUUUCUUUCUCUAUGUUAAUUUUUUCCCAGUUUUUAACCUACGAUAGUGCAACGUUAUUCAGGAUUUUUUGAAUGGUUAAGUCUUUAAGAAAAGGCAACUUACCAUCCUUGUUCAGUUGUUUAGAAUAGCUUCUCACUUUUAUUUUUAAUUUUUUGUGUAAUUUCUCGAAGUAACAAGCCAGUAGUUUAUUUUUGCCAUCCUUGUUUAUUUUUCAGUUGAAAAUUCAUAAAUAGAGUAAUGGUAAUUGAUAUGGUUUUUGUAUGUUCAGAUGACUAGGCAUUCAAGAUCAAAUUCCAAUGAUGAUAAUGAAGUUCAAACUGUACAAGUACCCACAGAAGAAGGAAAUGCAAAUACAAAGUAAAAAAAGCCAACUCAAAGACGAUAAAUGAAGAAAAAAUUUGAAAUAUAAAGCCAUUUCACUUUACUUGAGGACAUCAGCAUAAAGCAAAGUGCAACUACUAUUGCAAAGUAUAUCAAUGCCAUUUAAAGUAUGAUGGGAUUAGCAACAUGAGAACAUAUCUAAAAGUAUGUGAAGCAUACUUAAAAGUGAAUUUUGAAGAGUUUGAUAUGUAUAAAUAAGCAGAGGGUGUCUUGGAACUAACAUAUAGAAUUUAGUUCACAACAUGAGUUAUAUAGUGAUCAUAGCUCAUUUUAUUGAUAAUGAUUGGUGUUUAUAAAAAAAGGUUAUUAGUUUCAGUGUAAUUGAAGACCAUAAAAGGAAAACAAUUGGUAAAAAAAUUGAGGUUUGUUUGCUUGAAUGGGGAGUAGAGAGGGUGUGUGCAAAAAUUAUUGAUAAUGUGUCAAGCAAUGAUGUUGCUAUUGAUUAUGUGAAGAACCAAAUGCUUAUGUGGAAGAAUUCUGAUGCAUUUUUAUUGCACGAUAAUUACAUGCAUGUGAAUUGUUUUGCAUAAAUCUUAAAUUUGAUUGUCACUGAGGGGUUGAAAGAAUUACACGCCUCAGUUGCUGGUAUUCAUAAUGUUGUAUAAGAUGUGAGAUCAUCCACUUCGAGGUUGAAAACAUUUAGUCAGUGUGUGUGGAUCAUGUGAAAAGCCCUAAUAGAACUAUAGUUUUGGAUUAUAUUACUAGAUGGAAUUCUACCUAUUUGAUGUUGAUAACUGCUUUGAAGUUUCAUGUAGCGUUUGAGAGGAUGGCAGAAGUGGAUAAACCUUAUGAAGCAUACUUUAAAAAGGAAAAAAAAUGAGAAAAUAAGAGUGGGCCACCUGGACUUGAAGAUUGGGAAAGUGCCAAAUGAAUUGUGAGGUUUUUAAAGAUAUUUUAUGAUGUUACAUUGACUUUUUCAACCUCUUUAAGUAUGACUUCUAAUCUUUGUUACAAUACAAUUGGCAUAGUUGAGAAUUCAUUAAAUGCAUUGGGAAAAAGCAAAGAUAGUUAGUGAAUUUGGUGGCUUCUAGUAUAAGGGAAAAAUAUGACAAACAUUGGGAGUGCACAGAAAAAAUUAACAAAAUCUUAAUUAUUGACUCAAUACUUGAUCCGCAUUGAAAAAUGAAUUUUACUAAACAUAUUUUUAGUUUGAUUUUUUCUAAUGACAAUGCGAAGAUUGAAGAAAUAGUUGCGGUGAUGAAAGGCUUGUUGAAUUCACUUUUUGAUGCAUAUAGUGGAUGGAACUCCUUAUCACCAUUGCACAGUGAGAGUUUUCCUAAUUACAGUACUCGUAGUGGUGGUGUCAGUUCUAGUUUUUCUCCACAUCUUAUAGAUUACACGGACUGGCAACAAGAGUUCAUAAUGGAACAUAGUGAUGAUACCCUACGAGUCAGUCGCCCUUUCCUUGGAUAUGCUAAGAAAAUUUCCAUUCAAAACGAAGGCAAGCAUGUGUCAACCGACGUGGAAAGAUACUCACUUGACCCAUUGAAGAUCCUAGUAAUGAUUAACUCAAUGUUUUGCUAUGUUGGAAGGUGAACGAGUCAAAGUAUCCAAUAUUGGAGAAAAUAGCAAGGGAUGUCCAUGCAAUUCUGAUAUCCACUAUGGCGUCUAUGUGUGUUUUAGCACUGGGUCGUAUUAUUGAUUAAUACAGGAGUUCUUUGACUCUUACUAUGAUUGAAGCAUUGAUUUGUAUUGAAAAUUAGUUGCAAUCUAAACUUUUGCCCACUCCCAUCUACGAUCUUAAGUAAGAGUUGGAAGAUCAUAUAUAUCAAAUGGAGUUACAAGAAGGUAACAUCUUUUUAUAUUACAUUUUAUAUAUAAUACAUUUCAAAUUUAUUAUAAUACAUUUUUUAUAUUACUCAUGUACUAAUUAUAAGUUAUAUUUUUUUUUCAUUUUAAAGAGUAUGUACACAUACAAGCUUCAAUGAUUACAACAGUGGGCGCUAGUAUUCGUCAUGUUAUUUGAAUAGAUAACUCUUAAAUUUAAUAGAUGUUUUAGUUUCAAGUUAUUAUAAUUAUAAUUGUUUUACUUUUGGUUUUAAGUUUUAAGUCAAUUGUAACAUGAUAUUUGUUUGCGAUCUUAUGUUAGGAAAGUUGAAGUUGGUAGUUGGAGAGCAAGAGUCAAGGACUUAUCAAAGUAUGUUGUAAGUUUAAUUUGGUGUUGUUGUACUAUAGUUUGAAGAACUUGUUGUCUAAUUCCUAGUUCCUUAAUGUUGUUGGAUGAUAAUUUUUAUUUUCAUUUAUUUUGUUGUCAGAUGAUAAUAUUUAUCUUGUGUUGUUUAUUUGGAGAUUUAAAGUAAUGUUUAUUUUGUAUUGUUUAUUUGGAGACUUGGAGUAAUAUUUAUUUUACGUUGUUUAUUUGGAAACUUAAAAGUAAUGUUUAUUUUGUGUUGUUUAUUUGGAGACUUGGAGUAAUAUUUAUUUUAUGUUGUUUAUUUGGAAACUUAAAAGUAAUGUUUAUUUUGUGAUGUUUAUUAUGAGACUUGGAAUAAUGUUUAUUUUGUGUUGUUUAUUUGGGGACUUGGAGUAAUGUUUAUUUUGUAUUUUUUUUUAGAGACUUGGAGAUUGGAGUAAUGUUUAUUUUAUGUUAUUUAUUUGGAAUUUAGAGAGUUGGAGUAAUGUUUAUUUUAUGUUGUUUAUUUGGAGCAAUGUUUAUGCGGCUAGCUUAUAAGAGCAUUACUAAUUCAAUGAAAUGCUUUAAUGGACCAUUAUUCCUAAAUUAUUAAAACAUAAGCUUACGAAAGGAGUCUUUGUACAAAAUGAAUGCUACAAAAAUAUAAAUGAUCCAUUAAUUAUAGAUUUAAUUACUUAGUGUUUUCAUUUUGAUGGCUUCAUUACUCGUGAAUGGAAACUUUGUACAUAAAUGGUCAGCUUGUUUUCUUUUCUUUUUUGAUGUUUUACAUUACUUCUGUUUUUUAUUAAUUAUAGAUUUCAUAAUUUUUUUGUGAGAAUUGUCGAAAAGGCCCCAAAUCUAAAUUCAAUCCAAAUCUGAAAUAUAAUCUUAACCUGAAAUAUAAUCCGAAAUUGGAACUCAUCCCAAUUCGAUCCGAAUAUGGAAUUAUCCAAAAUAUUCAUUCGAUCCGUAUCUGAUCUGAAUUAAUUCGGAUUAGAUUUAAGGUUUGGAUUGGAUUCAGAUGGAUUUUUUUCCUAAUCUAAACUAUUUGAAAUAUAAUCAGAUUCAUCCGAAUUUAAAAUUACCCACCCCCACACAAAACUACAGAGCCUAGACACUAAUUCAAGAAGAAUCAUUUUAGAAGUUUUAAUAUUAGCAGGAUAUGCAUAUAUUGUACCAAGACUGCUAAUUUGGGCAACAAGUUUCUCUUUAAAAGCACAUUUAUUUAGGGGUGUUCAGAAUCCAAUCUGAUCCGCUCAAUCCGUCCGAUCUGUUGAAUCCGAUCUGUGGAUUGGUGGAUUGGAUAUGGAUUGAAAAUUUAAAAUCCGCAGUCGAUUGAUUGGAUAUGGAUUUACUUCUGUAAAUCCGCAGAAAUCCGUAAAUCUGCAAAAACAAUAUAUAUAUAUAUAUUAUAAAUUUAAUUAAAAAAAUUAUAAAUGUGACAUUGCAUAGUUACUAAGCACUAUAACAUAUCUUAGCCAUUACCCAAUAAUAAUAUAAAAUAAAAAAUAAUUAAAUAAUCAAAUAUACAAAUAUAACUUGUAAAAAUUGUAAAACAAAAUAAAAGUAAAGUCACACGCACUAGCAAAAGUAAAGUAACAUAACGCCAAGUCACCAACAAUUUGCAAACAAAAAACCCUAAGCUUCCCCGCCAUCACACACACUAGCAACACUCAAUACUGGUUGGAUACACUCUCGACACAGAUUUAAAGGACACCGGCCGUGCGAUUCUGGCCAGAGUAAGCCAUCUUCUUUCCCAAGUCCAUCGAGCCACUUCACAUUCACUGGUUCCAGCUGAACAAUUUUACUAUCACAACCUUCAAGAUCGCCACCCGUACGGCUUCUCCUGGUUCCCAUCGUGGAUGGCUCCGUAAUCACCACUUUUCGACAGGCGCAACAGCCCUGGUGAAGGAUCAAACUGUGUUUGGUUUCCGAAACUUCGUCAUUUCAAUUAAUUGUGGCUUUAUUUGAACAAUUAAUUUCGGUGUUAUAUUAACGUAUUAUUGUAACUUUAGUUGAACAAUUAAGCUUGGUGUGUUAUAUUUUGAAACUUUGAACGUAUUCUUAUAGCUUUAUUUGAAUAAUUAGUCUCGAUGUGUUAUAUUUUGAAACUUUAAAUGUAUUAUUUUAGCUUUAUUUAAAAAAUUAAUUUAUUUAAAUUUUAUUCAAUUUUAAAUUUAAUUGGUAGCAAAAUUAUUUUUAUAUUAGAUUUUUUUAUUUCAUUAGUUGGAGAGAACUAAAAAUUUUUAAUUCGAAAACUAAUGCACAAAAUGGUGGAUUGCAUAUGGAUUGAGUCAAAUCCGCAUCUGAUCCGCAGACGUAUGGAUUGGAUAUGGAUUGAGUCAAAUCCGCAUCCGAUUCGCAGAUGUAUGGAUUGGAUUUGGAUUUAAUUUUAUCAAUCCGUGAAUUGGAUUGGAUUGGAUUGAAAAAUUAUAAUCCGCAAAAUCAUGGAUCGAAUAUGGAUUGAUGUUCAAUCCGUAAAAUCCGAUCCGCGAACACCCCUACCUUUAUUUACAAAACACUGAUUCAGGAUAGUAGUUAUCCCAUCAUAGAUCUCAUCUAGUUAAGAACAAGCCUAUAUUCUUAAUCAAAUCCAUUAAAACCAACAAAUGAUACCUUCUUUACCAAGUUAAUAUUAGCAGUAUUCGCAAUGUCGGCAACCAAAUCUUUCUUGCAUUACUAUCCAUUACUCAAAACUUGUCUAACAACUUAUAAUUGCACUUUUUUCAGUCACCAAACCAUAGACACAAACCUUAUAGUGAAGAUUGCAAUUAGAGUUUUCAAUUAUUUACUGUUGAAUUUACCCUAAGAUACCAUCGUAAAGUUCUUCAUUACUCAUUAUAAAUUAUUUACUCCCACACAACUAUUCACAGGAGAGCCUUUUGUUCAACAACCUAUUAUCUGCUAGUCAAUAGCCAAACUCAAGGUUGUAAUAACAAUUUAUUAAGGCCACACUAACGCUUAAAUAGACUCUUAGACCUUAUUCUUUAGAACACACGUACAAUAGAAUCAAGCAGAUUGCAAAUCACUAGGCUUGAACUUUUGGUCUAGCCCAAUCCUAUCUUGACUAAAGGGGACCUCUUAGCCAAUCUAGAGUGAUAAGUGCCUUGAUGAAAUUUUCACCCAAACAUUUGACAAAACAGCAAGCUUUGAUUAGGAUAGGAUUAAGUAAGAUCAGUUAAGUUCUUCAAGAAUUGAUUCAACCAAUCCAGCCCAAUCCUAUCCUAGCCAAGCCUUGGUAAUCUGAUAAAUAUUGGGGUAGAAAUUUUAUUGGGUCAAGUUUCAUGUUUGAAUUAGCUAAAAGGUUCCCUCCGCCAUAUAGGAUUGGGCCAAAUUAAAAUUUUGGGCUUGGCGGUCUAUGGCCUACUUGAUUUUGUUAUGUGAUUCGAGUAAUAAUGUCCAAGACAAUAUUUGAGCUUUGGUGUCACCUAAAUAAAAUCUUAUUGCAGCUUUAACUUUGGCUAUUGACUUGCAGAGAUUGGGCUUUUGAAUAAAAUACAAAUAGUAUUGUGGGAGCAAAAUAAUGUAAAAUGAAUAACUAAUAUCCUUAUGAUGGUUUCUUAGGUUAAUCUGACAGUAAACUAAUGGAAAAAGUAGUGUUUGGCUUCCCAAUUCCUUAGUCUUAAUUUGAGUCUCAACUGAUGUGACAUUCAUUCAUUUGAUGGCAGAUAAAUAAUGUAAAAGUUAUGAAAUCCAUCAUCCAAUAAAUAAGGUGUAGCAUUGGGACUCAAGUUGAAACUCAAAUUUUGGGAUCCCUAAUAUUAUUGGUAAUGAAAAACUCUAAUUGUGAUAUUGAUUGUAGAGAAAAGGUACAAUUUUAAGGUUUUAGAUGUGUGAUAGGUAGUAGAUAGUUAUUUGGGAAAAGUUUGGUGGUCAACCUUACCAAUGUUGCCUUAACUAUAACUUGGUAACAAAGGUACCAUUUGCAGGUUUCAAUCAAUUUAAUUAAGAAUAGAGUCAUGUUCUUAUUUAGAGAAGACUCUAUGGUGGUGAAGGAAUGGUAAUGAAUGCUCUUUCAGGGUUAUUUGUGCCUUAAUGUAAGGCUUCAAUGUUGGUCCGGAUCAAAAGAGAGAUUUUCUCCUUAAUUAAUGGUGAAUACAGGCUGCAUGGUUAUUAUUUGUAGUUCAGAAUUUUAGAGAACUGCAAAUGCUAGGUUCUUAAUUGUUGAUGAUCGUAGGUGGUGAAAAAAAACCUUAUUUAUAGGCAUUGACUAGAAAACUAUAAUCCUACUAAGGUAUGAUACUACUAAGGUAUUACUUUAUUUAUAGGUGGUGAAUGUGAUGGUUGAUGAUCGUAUUACUAAGGUAUGGUAUAUAGGUGGUGAAAAAGAACUUUAUUUAUAGGCAUUGACUAGGAAAUUGUAAUCCUACUAAGGUAUGGUACCAGACUCUUAUAAGGUAGCUAAAAUCCUUGUAUGAUAAGGCAUAGGAUAUUGAAUUUUUUCUCUUUAUCAAAGAGAGAUAAUUCUUUCCUUAUAAAUAAGAUUAUAACUCGUUUGGAGAUUAUCUUUUUUAUCUACCAAGUAACAUGACUUAAGUUUAGGAUGAAAUUAGAGUCUCUAAAAUGUUUAAUGAGCCUAGGCCAGAAAUUACCGUCAGAUUGCUAAUGCUAAUAUUGCUGUAAACUAAAUUAUGGGCCUACACAUCAAUGGGUUGUACCGGGCUCUCUACGGUCGUUCUAUGAUAAUAGGUUGGACUGUACUGGACUCUCUACGGUCUUUUUAUGAUAAUAGGUUCACCAUUAGCUCGUUCCCUUCAAGUACGAUUGACUAAGGAUUCAAUGUAUAUUGGGCCUUACUUAUACACAUUUGUGCCAUGGUCCAAUGUAUUGGCUUAGGACUAUGAGUGGAGCCAUUGGCACCCCUACAUUAUUCUUACAAAACCCCACUUUAAAUAAAAUUAUAAUUAAGAACAAUUAAAAAUUAAAUACAUAUAGAUUUUUUUCAGCAAAUUACUUAAUUCAUUAUCAAUCCUUUUUUAAAAAAAAUCUAUAUGUUACUUCCUAUUUAACUAAAAUAAAUUGUACAAAUUUAGAAUAAUCUAUUGUUCUCUUUUGAUUUCUUAUUGAUUAAAUAUUUUUAUACUUAAAAUUGCUCUGAAAUUAUAAUUUGAAAUAUGUGUUAUUUCAGCCAAUGAUUAACACUAAAAAAGUUAUCACCCAUAUAAAUUUUUAAUUUGUGUGUAGAGUAAUAUAAAAUUGAAAAUAAUUAAAAAAUAGCACAAUAAUACUUUUGAGUUUUAACAAUAAAACAAAUCAAAUGAAAAUUGAGAACUUAGAAAAGUGAAUAUAAGAAAAAGGGUAUUUUCAAAAAUAAAAUGAAUAUAACUAAAAAGGAGAUUUUAUGAGGAGAUCAUAUGGGUGCCAAUAAUCCAACUCUAGGACUAUUAUAGAAUACGUAACUUAUAAUUUGAACCGUGUCUUAGGGCCUACCGAAAAUUUUUUAGUAGCAACAAAUUUAUAUUAUUAAUUAUGUUGUUUUUAAAUUUUCAAAAAUUUACUAAUCAAUUUUGAAGUGAAAUUGCUCCUAGUUUAAUUUCCUUUUUUUACUUAAUUAUAAUUAAAUUACAACACAAUUUAUUCUUUUUAACAAAACUGAAUUAAUAACGUUAAAUUCCAAUUUCUCACAUUUCAAUAAUGUUUUCAGUUGGAAAUUUAAUUAAUUUUUUUGUAAUUUGUGUAAUUUUUAUUUUAAUGCAACUGAUUCUACAAAUUCUUUCGAUGUAAUUCAUUCUAUAACUUCAAAUUCAUGAACAUUUUGUUACAUUCCAAACAAAAUUGAAAUGUCCAUUUCCAGUUAAUGUCAUGUAAUAGCAUCUAUGACUUCCAAGUCUCUACAUUAAGCCAAAAUGUGUAGCUCAUUAAACAAAGCUUAACAUAUAUAAUAGUGAUAAUUACGCAAUGGCUACAAACUAAGAAAAAUAAAAUUAAUAAUAAAAUAGAAGAUACAAAAACAAGAUGAACCUCCAUCGCAGGGUGAAAAGAUUAAAACCUUUUCUUUUUUUUUUCCUUUACAUUGACACUAGGUACCACAGAGAGCAAUAGACAGAUCUAAGUUAAUAUUAUAUCUCCUAGAAGAACCAAAGCAAUCUUUGGCAUUAGACCUGGAAUAUAAUGAGAUUGCCUCGGCACCAAUGUCACUUGUUGAUGAAGCAUUACUUCUCUGUGAAGAAGGAUGAGGUAGUGAGAGCCCUAAUGAUAACUCAAAAUCAUCAGCUUCUUCAUCUUCUGCUUGUCCCCUCAAAACAUUGUUCUGAUGCAUAUGAAUAAGUUCAUCCGAGUCAUUUUUGUUACCUGAGAACAAGCAUAUUGGUUAGAGCUACAAUAUUUUAGCGCACAAAUUUUAUUGAAGCAAACAAUGGUGGUUAAUAAUUACUUCAACUAGUAAGCUUUCAUAUGCCCUCAUCAAAGUUCAAUAUGGGAAUGAUUUAUAUUAUGUGCCAUUUAAGGGGGGGGGGGGGGGGGGAAAAACCAUUUAAAAAAAAUCCAACUAAAAGUUUGGGGAGCCCCCAUGGGGAAAGGAAAAAUCCUGGAAAAGGUUGGAAAAUUCCCACCCCAAAAAAAAUGGCCUUUUUGGGNNNNNNNNNNNNNNNNNNNNNNNNNNNNNNNNNNNNNNNNNNNNNNNNNNNNNNNNNNNNNNNNNNNNNNNNNNNNNNNNNNNNNNNNNNNNNNNNNNNNUCUUCGACUGGUGGGGCUGAUCCGACUACGUUCGUUAUAUCAAACUACAACGUCCAUGAACUUGAAGUGCGUUCUAGGAAAGCAAUUAAUUGCAAUCUAAAAAUUCAAACUUGAUUUUGAAAGAAACAACAAAAAUGAGACAAAAGGGAAGGGGCUAUUAUUGAAUAAAGGGGUAGUCCAACCACUGAAAACUAUAAUAAGACUGUUGGUUUUAGAGAACGUACUGCUUGUUCCUUCCAUCGCAAUAAAGGCUUAUUUUGAAUUUCCAUUAUUUGGACCUUCCUUAGGGGUCCCCCCUCAUUAACAUAAUGAAAAGCCAUACGGGACCACACUGAAACUUUGACUCAGGGUUUCAGAAAGCAACAGGAAAGAUUACUAAAUUAGACAAAUAGAGAGUUCAAAUAUGCAAACUGAUGUUCAUUUUGUACAUUUGAGAGGAAUAAGUUACAGCCUGCUGUAACUGGCUGUAACUUAGUUGAAUCUGUCGUGGCAUCCCAUAAAGAUAAAAUAAAUCAAAGAAUAAGAAGGUAGUGAUAUAUUAUUGAUAUUUAGUUAGUUUUACUGUUAGUCAUAAGGGGUAAAAAGAAAAAAAAAGUAAUUAGAAACAAUCACCCUUUGUUCAAAGAAGAUCAACAAUGAAGAAGUGCUUUUUGCAAAAGCUUAAAAGUUGUGAAGUGAAAAUACAGUACGGUGUGUAACAAUGCAGCUGACAAAAGUUGACCUAAAAAGCAUGGAGAUUCCAUGCAUCCACUGGUCUGUGUCAUAAGGCCAAGUUCAUUACAUUUGCUUUGUAACUAUAAGUAAGAAACUUGUUACCAAAAUAUAACCAACAUUACACUCAACCACAUUUAAAAAGGCUGGCAAAAGAAAGAAAGACAAAGAAAGGAGAAAUGAGUUUUGAUAAAUGUGUACCUUAAGGAUAUAGUCAGAUUCUUCUACUGCCACUGCAUAUUUCAAAGUGUAAAGAUGAUCAUCGUCAUGUGGCUGAGAGAAGGGUGAGGAUAGAGCAUUAGAAUGAGCCUGCUUGUAUCUGAAAGCAGCCCCAGUGCCAUAACCCUCCUUAGCCUUGUUAUUCUGCUUCUGCUGCAAAUAAUCAUCAAAAGGGUACGGAUUUGAAACUGUCUCACAUAUUCCUUGGCUGCAUUGCAGAUUCUGAUCAGAUAUUGAACAACCCCUUGUCUCAGUUCUAGCCUUGCUGAGAAUUUAAGCAAAAUCAAAACAGAAGAUAUAAGAAAAAGAUAAUGCACGGCAAAAUCUUUUCUUGAUUAUUGUUUCCACAGAUAUUAGCUAUCAACUUUUUGUGACAUAUUUUUGAGAAGUGUAAAAGCUAAACUGACCUUUUUGAAGGAAGAAAAGGGGUAUUGAUGUUGUUGUAGAUACACUGAGCAUCUGAUUUUUUAAUGGAUUCUGAAGAUGGGUAAUCAUGAAAACCCAUAUGAUGAUUAUGAUUGAGAUCAUUUACUUCAUCAAUACAACAGCCACGAUCAUGCUGUUCCGAAGAUGAUUGUCUUCUUUGCUGGGUCUUAUCUGUAGUCACACACAAAUUACCCAACAAAACAAAUCACCGAAAAGAAAAAAGAAAGAAAAAGAAAAAGGGCAAAUAUUGGUAGCUGUGGGUGUUUUUAAUUUCAUGAGAAAUAUGCCAAUAUAAGAUAUGAUCUGGAAGAAAGCCCGUUAACAUUUGUUCUAAUCUAUUUUGGUAAAAUCUAUCAAAGUGGAUAUUAUUUAAUAAAUAAAGAGAAUUUUUACAAUAAAUGAAGUGUUGCUGCACAUUUCCAGAACAUUUGCAAGAAAAUAACUGGAUAAAAAUCGAUUCCAACUUUAGGAUAAGAACCAAUAGAGGAAACUCCAAACAAUAAUAUCAUACCUUAAAUGCCAUAAUUUUUUUUUACAAACCAAAAGUAAAAUAGAAAAAAUGAAAAAUGAAAAGGAGAAAAAAUAAUACCUUGUCUGCCCAAGUCACUUCUCAUGCUCCUAUACAUCUGGUGAGAACCAAAUAAAAAAGUGCACAUAUGAAUAUGAGAGAAAUAGAAUUAAAAAACAAAAUAAAAAUAAAAAAAGCAACCAGCAAACCUACCUGAAGAUGGCUCUUAACAUGAGAUAUAGUGAGUCCUUUCACAUCCAUCAACUGAAGCACAAGUUUAGGAGUAGCUUCUACGCACAAGCAAAAUGAGUCAUUUUUUUAUAGGUUUCUUUAAAUAACCCAAAAAAAAAAAACAAGGAAGAAGAAAGAAGAAAGUUACUUUGAUGGCCACCAAGUCUGUCAAUAGCAUGAACAAAACAGCGAUGAAGCUCAGGAGUCCAUCUCAAACGAGGAACUUUUGAUCUUAUGUACUGCCUCACUGCUCCACUUCUCCCGCAACUUCCCAUGGCUACCUUCACAAAAUCUUCCAAAGGGCUGUGAUUUUUAUUUUUAUUUGUUUUCCUUUUUGUUGGGUCUUCUUAAUUUUUUCAAGCAACAAAUAUAUACAAGUUCUUGCAGAAAGGAGGCAAGUGAAGGAAAGAGAAAGAGAAAGAGAAAGAGAGAAAGUGAGAGAGAGAGAGAGAGAGGGAAAAGAUCACGAGAAAAGGAAGAGACGAAGCUGUAAUUCCUUAAAGAAGACUGAUAAUACCUGCUGCUGCACAGCUGCAGAGCCAGAACCUAAAAUAAAAAAAGAAAAAAAAUGAUUUAAAAGAUCAAAAAUUCUACCUCAAAGAAAAUAGCACUCAGUACCCCUACACUACUCUAAUAUCAUCAACAACCAAGUCCCCAAAACCCAACUGCCUUCCUUUGACCUUUGUUUCUUCUCUUUUUCCAUGUUCUCAAAUACGCCAACGUUGUCAUCAUUUUUCAUCAUUCACAAUCAGAAAUAUAAAAAAAAAAAAACACAAAAGGGCUUACUGUAUAGAGUCGGUUUCUGACUGUAUCUCUAAGACAAUUUUGCCAUUGGUUGAUUUUUAAUAGGUCGUUUUUGCCCUUUUUCUUGUAAUCCAAGACUUGUUCCGUUUAGGGUUAGAGAGUAGGGGUGCCAGAAAGACGACUAGAAACAGUGCAAAGACCUGCCAAAAGUUGUACAAAGGUUCCGUAUUUUGACUAUUUAACCUAAUCCAGAAAAUACAAGAAUAAUUGUAAUAUAAUAAUUUAUUGGAGAUAAAUAAAUAGCAAACACAAGGAGGAUGGUACCUCGUAUACCACUUCAUUCCCUAAAACACUUGCCUUUCUUGGCACUUGCUUUUCGCCAUUUCAACUCACGCACAUGCCUUGGUCGUUUUUCCUUUUUGAAUGUAAAAAAUCAUUAAUUUAUUUUUGGAAUAAUGAUUUUUAUAAAUUAUAUAUUUUUCUAAACCAUUUCAAAGCCAAAAUUAUUUCACAUGAUGCAGGACAAGAUUAGGAAGUCUUUUAUUUUAUAAUGGUUUGGUUAUUUUAGUUAAUAUUAUGUAAAUUAGUUUUAUUAUUUAUAUCACGUUAGAGCAUAGCGGAGGAUUCUUCUAAAUUUCUUCUUUAAAUUCGAUUUGUUUACUCAUGUCGCAAAUAGAAUUUUGAAAAAAGAAAUCUUCUCCUAAAAGGUCAUUCAAAUAAAAAUAAAUUUAUAUUAUUUUAAUUAUUUUUUAUGAAAUUAAUAAUAAUAAUAAUAUUUCUCUCGAUUUAAAAAUAAUAUAUUAUUAAAUUAAAAAAUCUAAAAGAUUCUUUAAAUAAAUUAAAGAGAGAGGAACGCUGUCUCGUUUAAAUUUUUUUUAGUAAUAGUCUUAUAUUAAUUUGAUAAUACAUACUGUAUUGUCAUAUAAAUUAAUUAUGAAGCGGGGCUGCGUCAUGGGAGUGUUGGUGCAACCCCUUUAAUCCAAUAGGAUUUGGCUGUUUUUACUGAGUCGUAUUGUCGCGUCAUGUCAUAUUUACUCUUAAUUAUCCAUAAAUUUCACUACUAAUUGGAUUUUCUGGUGAAGGACUACGAGCCACGUGGCCUUGAAGGGUGCGCAGGAUAAGCAACUUCUUAGAAAAUCGAAAAUCAAAAUCUAGUCAAAACACGAGAACUUUUUGCAUGUGGAAAUUGCCGGGGAUAAUUAUAAAACGGUAGCUCACGUCAAACUAAAAAGUCAACUACAAAAGGCCAACAAGACAAGUUAUUUUUAUUAAAAUAAUUAAUUGAAAAUUUAAAUCAGCAUCUAAGCCGUCCAAUUUUUCCUGGCCGUGCAAUGAGAAUAUAUCAUUGUGAAAAAUCGACGGCGGAGAACAUGAGGGAGAGGAACACGUCAAGAGGAUGAUGACGAUUACGUAUAUGGAAUUUUUGUGGACAGAGAAAUUCAUUGACGUUACAGUUAUUUAUUUGUAUUUGUACACAAUAUCCUUCCUAGCAUAGAGCUCUAGCUACAGCUAGCUGCCGACUCUUGAAAAAUCCCCAUAAAAUUUAUUGGUCUCGUUAUUAUUCACCUAAUUUUGUUAUAAUAUUUUCUCACUGUAUUUUUUUUCAAUUUAUUCUACGUAUUAGGUUUUUUUUGUAUUUUUAAUAUAUUAUAUGUAUUUCUCAUAUCUCAUAAGACUUUAUAUAGAUUUAUAUAAAAGGUCGCAAGGGUGAUAGAAUUCAAUCAUAAGACUUUAUAACUCUUAAAGUCCAAUCAAACUACAAGAUAUAUAAAACCCUAUCUAAAGAAGUUUUCAGAUGUUCUUUUCAUUAGAUCAAUCCAGUCCAUCAGGGCCAUUAAUUCCAACGGUAUAUUAGGAAGGAAAAAAUAUGCAAGUACUUGAAAAAUCAUCAUAUAAUACUAGAAUUAGUAAUAAUUUAGUAUCUUCACAUAACGAUAGUAAUUUUCUAUUUGUUUUGAUGAAAAAAAUCUCUUUUGUGUUAUAACUACUAUUGUACCCUUAAAUUAUAAUAAAAUUAAAAAUUAACUUUACAUAAAUUACUAUAUAUGUUAGGUCUGGUUAUAUUGAAACCGCUCUAAGGUAGAGCACUAUUUCAUAACAACACGAUCAAAAUUAUAAUAAAUUUUGUAAUAUUUAUCNNNNNNNNNNNNNNNNNNNNNNNNNNNNNNNNNNNNNNNNNNNNNNNNNNNNNNNNNNNNNNNNNNNNNNNNNNNNNNNNNNNNNNNNNNNNNNNNNNNNUUUAGGGGUCUAUCAUCCACACUCCAUAUCGGACGGAGUUAACUAUAACCAUAUGUUAUACGAGUUGACACAUAUCGUUGUUGAUGAUCAAAAGUUGUGAGAGUCCGAUAAGUCAGCAUUAAGAUUUGGGAUAUCAAAUGCAUUAGUCAUAUAAUUGGACGCUAUUUUUUUAGAUCUAACUAAUAGUAAGACUGCAUUCACGAAUAUGAAACUAAAGGAGCAACAUGCAGUAUAUCAACCACUAAUAGGUUAAGAACUUAAGAUAUAGGGACCAGCACUUGAUAAGGGAAAUUCUAGAGUGGUUCUAUUGUAUUACAUCAACUUUAUGCAUGUAUAACAUGUGUGUAUUUAUUUUGAAAAAUCAUCGUAGUCUCCAGCAGGAAAGCCUCCAGGACAAAAGGGCGAUAGUUAACAACCCACUCUCGAGAUUCAUAUUGAUCAAUCGAUCUCCGUAUCCUACCAGUUUGCUAAGUAGAUUCACUUUAACAAGGGGCUCUAGAGGGGCUUGUUCUCAAAUACUUACAAAUAAGUCAAAUUUAAUUCAUAUAUACGUGUCAUACAUGCAUUGAAUAGGUGUAGUAUAAUAGAGAUACUCUAAAAUCUUUCACUCGAUCACCAGCAAACUCGACACCUGAACUAGUGGCUCUUCCAAUUCUCCAUUUGGGAAAGCAAUCUCGUUAUAGUAUAAAUCCCAAAAAUUCAUUCUCAUGGUAUAACCUUUUUUUAAAGUAAAAAACGAAGUAAUUUUGAUUUUUACUUGUUAGGACACACAAGUAGAACACUAAGUUCCAGCAAACUAGUGCUCGUUUUCUAAAUGCCUUUGUUACAAUGGUAAUAUGGCAACGUUAGAGCUGGUAAAAUUUGGUACGACCAAAUUAUUUGAUACAAACACGACACGACCAAACAGUUAUGUGUCGUCAUAUUUGACACGAUUAUCAAAUGGACUGAGUCCGGGUCGACACAAUUUGUUUUUUCAUAUUGAGUUAGGGUUAAAGUUCUUGAUCAAUUUAUCCAACCAAUGGCACAAUUAUAGUUUCUAUUUAAAAUUAAUUUAUAAGUUCUUGUCAUCAAAACUUAAAUAGUAUACAAAAUUCUCUUUUUUUUUUAAGGAUGAACACAUACAUAGUUCUUCAUUUACAAAAUUUUAUAUAAAUUUAGAACUUUAAUGGUUUAAAUUUGUAAAAUAUUGGUAGAUAUAUAUUUUAUAAUAUCGAUAUAUAUAAUAUUAUUUAUAUAUAUGUAAUUAAAACUUUAAUAGUAUAAACGUAUAAUAUUUAAAUAAAUAGGUAUAUUUUAUAAUAUCAAUAAAUUAUAUAUAUAUAUUAUUAAAUCUCAAGAUAUUAACUGAAUUAUUAAGUAACUCAUUUAUUUUUCAUAUUAGUUAGGAUCUUAUUAUUUUAAUUAUAUUAUUGAAUGAGUUAUGUUUGAAUCAUCUUUAAUUUAAUAUGAUACAAAAGUACAAAACUAACACAAAUACGAUCUCCCUGCCCUAGGGCCUAGGCAAAGCAACUCAAAUUGGCGUCUUUUUUUUUUUGGUAUUUUUGUUCGUAUUUUUCUCUCUCAAGUGAAAGGACAAAACGUAUUUAAGUAGGCAUGUACUGAUCGCAUUUGCAGGCGCAUCAUCUCUCCAAAUCCCGAAUAUCCAAAUAUUUUUCUGACCCGCAAAGCAGAAUCAAAGGAAUUAUCAUCACACUUCGCCUUCAUUUCCUCGGUGCACGCGCCACUUGUACGUACCUACUCUGCUCCACUUUCUCUCACGCGCAUUCAUUGUUGUUAUUCUUGCUUUCUAAAUGCUAACUGCUGCUUCCCAAAAUAAAAAUAAAAAUAAAAACUGUUAAUUGCUGCUGUCGUAAGUGAUUCCUGCAUCUAUAUUAAAACAAAGUAAUUCAUGCAUCUGCCUUUACGCAACCCUACUCCCUAGCCUAGCGCGUGCACUAAUAAUAAUAAUAAUAAUAAUAAUACUUUUAUUCGUUUUCAAGUAGAACUGAAAUUUUCUAUAAAAAAAAAAAGUAGAACUGAAAUUUUAGCUUGGGAUUUCUUGGAGAUUAAAAAUUAGCUAGCCUUAAUGAAAAUAAUUUUCACUAGUGAAGGGAUUCAAGUUUUCAUGCGUAGUUGUGGACUUGUACAAGUGGUCUAUCUAUCUUCUUUCGCAAUAAAAUAGAAUAUAUCAAGACAGGUUCGAUAGACUUCUAAUUUUAUCAAAAUGGAGUAUAUUUCUAAUAUCAGUAGAACUAUUUUGUGAUAUUUAAAAUGUAUCAGAUAUUCAAUAUAAUUGAAUUGUAAUAUUUAAAAUGGAGCAUCUAUAUUUUUGAGCUAAGUACAAAGUUGGAUUGUAUAUUAAAAAUGAAGCAGAUUUAUGUAUUGAGCUUCAAAUUACAAUAUCAAUGUAAAUGUAUUGUAAUAUUAAAAAAAAAAAAAAAGAUAACCACUUACUACAAUACUACUUCAAUAAUAUAAUGAAAAGAUUUUUAAAUAGAACAUAAUUUAACAUUAUACUUUAUAUAUGAAUAAAACAUUAUAUCACAAACAAAAAUCACUUUCCAUGAACAUGGUCAUAGCCGUAGGGAUUGACAAACUGGUGGCAUCAAAAUUCUGGCGUUUGGGCCAAAGGUCAAAAAACAGAUUCCGAUUGGCAAACAACAAUGAAUUAAUAAGAGAGAUAAAUGGGGAGAAGAAGUACGGUCGAAAAUCAUAAAUGAAAAAUUAAAUGAAAAUUGAGCAGCAGUGAGCACUCUCGUACAACACAAAAAACAAAUAAUUUAAAACCCUAUGUAAUAAAUAAAUCGAGAAGAAAUAAUAACAAAAUUUAAUAAUGAUGUAGGUGGCAGGGGAAACUGCAUGCAGGUUUUGGGGCCAAUUUUUUUGUUUUUUUGUUUUUUCCCUGAAAAUCUCUGAAGGUGGCAUUAUGAUGACACUAUUUUGCCUUUUUGCAUGGACAAAUGAAAUAAUAAUGGGGGGGGCAAAGAGAAUGAUGGGAAAUUCCUGCUGCCAUGCUGCAACAAAUGGAAUGAUUCAUCUUCGCUAAAAAGCCAAAAAGAGUUGUCACAAUAAAGUCCAAAAAGAACCCCAAAACCCUAACCCUAAAUUUAUUUCUUAUCAGAAAUCUGAAAAUGAGAGCAUUUUCUUGCCACACCUUUUUUGUUUCCGAGUUGGAAGUGAAGACACACCCAAGUUAAAACUCGUGCUGCUACCUCUGCCGUGUGUACAGUUCCCAAUUUUUUUUUAAUUUUUUUAAAAAUUUUUGCCUCGAUAAUUGUGUAGGAAAAUUUCACAAAAAUCUGCAUUGAUUCUAAUGAAUGUUGAUUGUUUGGAUUGGCUGCCAUUGGGACGGCCUUUUGACUACUGAGCGAUGAUGUGGAGAGGGAGAGAGGAACAUAGAGGGAGAAUUAUUAUUUACCGUUGAAUUGUUUUGAUUUGAUCUGAUUUGAUUUUUGAUAUGAUAUUUAAAUAAAAUGAAAUAACAAAUAAAUAUUGAUGAUAAGUCUCGUCAAAUCGCCGAGCUAGAGAACAAAGUGACGUAGACUACGUGUUUCUGUUUCAGUAUCUCUCUCUAUUCUUUUGGCUUGGCUGCUGUAUCUAUUCCACAGCCUAGCUAUUUGAUAUAUUGUGCCUCUAUUUUAUGACUCAUCAUCAUCCUUUUGCACCCUUUCUUCUGUCACAAAACUCAACUGCAGCCAUAAAAACAGCCCUUGUACAAAUUUGACCCUACAAUUAGAGUUCUUAUGUUUUGACCACUAUUAGUUCUCAUUUCCUACUAUAUUAACCCCAUAAGCUUUUCAAUUAAAGGCUAAUGGUGCCAUUUACUUUCUAUUUUGUUUGAAAUUUAAAUAUAUAUGAUUUAACUAAACUACAAGUACAUCGAUUUUGAUGUAAACGUCUUAAUAACAUAUUUAUUUCUUUCUUAAUAUUUGAAAACGAGUCAUAUACUCAUUCAUGCUUUCUCUAUCAAGACGUGAAAAAAAAGCGAUUUACAUAUUAUAAGACCCUUGAAUGGUUUCACAGGCGGUGCCAACUCUUUAGUGCCUUACAAAAUAUAUUUAAAUUACUUUUGUUUAAACGAUUCAUUUAUCAUUAAUUGUCCUAAAAGCCUCUUCUAAGUUUAUGUAAUUUAUAAUGCACAAAGGUUAGUGCAUUCUUUAUUCUUUUCUUCACUAAACAAAUUAGGAUUUAUCAUUUAUAUAUUAAAAUAAUUUGUCUUAUCUUCCUCUUAUUUGUUAGUUUCCUUAUCAAAUAUAAGACAAUUGACAAUAUUUAUCUCUCUUUUAAUUAAAAACAAUUUUAUCACCAUAACCAAAUCCAUCAACAAACUAUAUCUACAAGCUCAUAUUAGAACUAACAUUAAAAGUCUUUGAGAUUUUAAAUACUAACAUAUUAAUGUGUUUAAUAUACAUCAUAGGAUAAAUAAUGAGACAUUUGAAAAAAAAAACCUUAAUCUACGGCCAAGUAUCACUAUUAAUAGGUACCACUAAAAAUUAUAAGUGAGCAUUAAGAAAUUUAGUUAAAGACUAACAGUGACGUUUAUUUUCUUUUGUGUCUUACAUUUGAAUAAGUAUAAUUUAACUAGAAUCUUGAAUAUGUGGGUUUUAAUGUGGAUAUCUGAAUGAUAAAUUUAUUUCUUUUUCAACAUUUGAAAAAGAAUCAUAUAUUUAUCUAUACUAUUAAAUGUGAACCAAUCAUAUGUUCAUCUAUAGUAUCUCCAUUCACAUGUGAAAAAAAAAGUGAUUUACAUACCAUGAGACCUUUGAUUGGUUCCUUGGGCAGUGCCAUAUGGCGCCCACCAUGGAUUACAGCCCCUAUUGACUUAAAAAUAAAAUUUAAAUUACUUUAAAAAAAAAAUCAUCUAUCAUUAAUUGCUUUAAAAGUCUCUUUUAAGUUAUUAUAUUUAUAAAUUUACCCUAUAGUUAAAGUUAUUAUGUUUUAAUCCCAUUAGUUUUCAUUUACUACUAUAUUACCCCAUACACUUUUUUUUAAAGAUACCCCAUACACUUUUUAAUUAAAGCUAAUAGUCACGUUUAUUUUUUUUUUAACCUGAAAUUUAAGUAAGUAUAAUUUAACUAAAAUCUAAGUAUACGGGUUUUAAUGUAAACUUAAUGACAUAUAUAUAUAUAUAUAUUUAACAUUUGAAAAAGAGCCAUAAAUUCAUCCAUACUUUAUCUAACCACAGGUGAAAAAGAAAGAAAGUCAGAUACUAUAGGACCCUUGGCUGUUUCCAUUGGCUAUACCAUAUGGUGAGGAAUGGGGAUUGAAUAUUGAAGCCCUGGUGACUGACAAAACAAAUUUAAAUUGCUUUUGUUUAAAUAAUUUAAUUGUCAUUAAUUGCCCCAAAAGCCCCUUCAAGUUACUAUUUUUAUAAAUUUGCCUUGCAAUUAGAGAUAUUAUGUGUUGACCACUAGUUAUCAUUUACUACAAUAUUACCCCCAUACACUUGUUAAUAAAGGGCUAAUGGUGGCGUUUAUUUUCUCUUUUUGUCUAAAAUUUGAAUCAGUAUGAUUUAACUAAAAUCUAAGUACACGGAUUUUAAUGUAAAUGUCUUAAUAACAUAUUUAUCUUUUUUCAACAUUUGAAAAAAAUCCAUAUAUUCAUUCAUACUAUCUCUAUCAACGUGUGAAAAAUAAAGAGAUUUACGUACCAUACAACCUUUGAACGGUUCCAUAGGUGGCGCAAUAUGGUACCAAACAUGAAUUGAAGUUUCUAGUGACUUAAAAGUAAAUUUAAAUUACAUUUAUAUAAAUAAUUUAUUUAUCAUUAAUUGCCCUCCCUUCUAACUUUAUGUAACUAUAUAUAUAUAUAUAUAUAUAUAUAAAGCUCAUCUCCCCUCAGUUCCUCCCUUACUUUUCUUCUUUUUUUCUCUUUUAAAAAAUAGAAGUUAUCAUUUAUGUAGUAAAAUAAUUUCUCUUAUCUUCUUCGUACUUAUUAAUUUCCUUAUUAAAUUUAAGACAAUUGAUAAUAGUUUCUUUCUUUUAUCUCUCUUUUAUUAUAAAAGAAUUCAUCACCAUAACCAAAGCUCAUAUAAGAACUAAAAUUAAAAGUCUUUAAGAUUUUAAAUACAAACAAUUUAAUGGGUUCAAUAUAUAUCAUAGGAUAAACAAUAAAAACUUUUAAAAAAUUUCAACCUAUUACUUCUUAUCCUAUGACUAGGUAUCACUGCUCCCAUUAUUAAUAGAUAAACUAGUAAAACACUGAAAGUUGCAACUAGCAAGUAAGCAUUAUGCCAUUUAUAUUAUUUGAUGUGUUGAAUGAAAUUUAAAGAAUUUGAUAUUUAUUUUAAAGAAAAUUAAAAUUAUGACGUUGUGCAACUUACUUAGCCAUUCUGUAUCAAAUUCCUGACACUGCCAGUGAAUGGUUACAUAUCAAAACUCAAAAGUGUACUUUAUACGUGGAAGUUAUUUUGCUUGUCUCCGUUAGCGGUUAACUGUUGGUAAGACUUAUUAAUUUAUUAUCUUUCUCCGCCAGGGCUUCAAAUAGCUGUGAUUAAGAGGUUGGCGGACGAAGUGAAUGAACUGUUAAAAGUUUUUAUGGAUCCACUCGUGUUUAGUUAAUGGAAUAACCGAAUAUAUAAGAAAUUCACCUCAUAAUUAAUUAGUUCCAUCCAUAUAUAAAAUGGUCUGAGGUAGGGUUGGUAAUGGAACGGAAGGAGAUAAGAUUUAUUAAUUUUAGUCUCGUUUUGUAUAUGCAAGUGGGAUGAAAAAGCGUCUCACUCUCGUCUUUAUAUAUUUUUUUAGGAUAAAAAUAUGUCCCGAUCCCGUCUCAAAAGAUAUGGAAUUCUGCGGGAUCCUAUCCCAAUUAGAAAAAUUCUCAUUCUUAGUUGGUAAUGAGAUGAGAUGGGACAAAAUUUACCAAUCACACUCCCGUCCCGUAUAUGCAAGUGAGAUAAAAAAAUAUCUCACUCCUGUCCUUAAAUUUUUUUAUGAAACAAAAAUAUAUCUAAAUCUCGUCCCAAAUGGAAUGAGAUCCUAUAAAAUCCUAUCCUAUCAGGAAAAAUUACCAUCUCUAGUCUAAGGUCAGGUUUAAUUGAUUUAAUUAAAUAAAAAUAAAGGGUUGAUUCAUUAGGGGAAUGGAUUUUACUGUAAUUUUCCCUUUAUUCAAAGAAGUGAAUCAAGCUUCAUGUUAAUGCAUUUUGUGGUGUAUAAAUAAAGCUAAUAAUAAAACUUUGUGAGCACAUUAAUAAGCCAGCUAAGCUUUGCUUUCUGGCGACAAAAUAUUUUCAUUACAUUAAUUACUUUUAUCCCGUCAUUUGAGGUCUAUUAUUUCGUCACUUCACCCACUGUUCAUUUUAUUAGAAAUUGAAUCUAUAUAUAUGAACAAACUUUUUUCAGUAUAUCAAGGACCCGACAUCCCCCCCACGUGACUUCAUUAAUAACUUGACCUACUACACCUUGAAUUCUUUGACAAAAUAUUUAGUAAUUUCGUCAAAAGGAAGGUCAUCUAAAAGCACCUCGUAAUACCCGUUUUAUAUAUUUAUUUUGUUAUUUACUUUGUACAUCUUACCUGGACUUAAACAUUCAACAAUUUUGUCAAAAGAUAGGAACCUUAAUGAAAGAGACAAUAGAAUUAUAGAAUUAACGUUUAUACACUACACAUCACAUAUUAAUUCCUUAACUUUUCUCUUAAGUCCAAAUGUUAGACUUUAGUUAUGUAUUUAAUUAUAGAAAAUUUUUACCUACCUUUUAUAAUUAAUAAGCAAAAGUAUUUUGACCCACAUCCUUUUUCGUUAAAAUUUGACUCAAAAUGUAACUCUUUACAAGCUAUAAGCAUCCAAUGUGUUGGGGUUUUUUGUGGGCAUGAAGAGAAUUAAUUUGAGACUAAACAUUUGAACUCAAGACAUUCUAUCUUUAACAAUAAUAACAUAUAAACAAAACAUUUAUUAUGGUCCUAAGACUUGAUUACAAAACAAAGUUUUUUUUUUUUUGGGUGGACAUCCGAUUCGAAUUCUCAAAGAUGCAUAUCGGGACUAAAAAAUAAUAUUAAAAUAAAAAACGUAAUAUUCAUUGCCCCAAUUCCUCGCAACUAAAUGAAAUAAAUCGACGUAUUUGAAAUAAAGUAGUUUGUUUAUUCUCAAUGAAUGAUUAAGAUAGAAAUAUUAUAUUCAUGACAUGAUCCCUUAAUCCUACUAUCAUUUUAGGCAAUGAUUUGAUUUAAAAGUUUAAAUUAAUUGUUGAGUAUAUAGUAAUCCAACAAUUUAUAGCAGCCCGUUAGAAUAUAAAUUGCAACUUUUGAAUGAUAUGAAGUAAAUCAUUAUCUAGGAAUGAAGAAUGAUUGAAGAAGAAUCAGGGUAGCCACUUGUGAGUCCCACCAAGACUUUUGAAGCUCAAGGCAAUGAAUUAGGUAUAAAGUUUGAAUAAUUGUGCUCGCUUCUGUUGAUUGAUUAGCUUUUCGUUGUCCAAAUACAUAUUAUAAUUAAUUCAUGUCAAACAUGAUUGCCCAUAUCAUUGUGUUAUCCUUUUGCUAAUUUAGAAAAAUAAUUAUUGCAUGUUCAUCGAAANNNNNNNNNNNNNNNNNNNNNNNNNNNNNNNNNNNNNNNNNNNNNNNNNNNNNNNNNNNNNNNNNNNNNNNNNNNNNNNNNNNNNNNNNNNNNNNNNNNNNNNNNCACAGUUGAAAAAUUGAUGUAACCACAUUAUGGCCUAAAUUAAUAGUAAUUAUUAUCGAAUUGUAGAUGUUAAUUUUGACAAAAUAAAACCAUACGAUUAACCACCAUGACGUUUUGCCCACGUACCAUUUGCAUGCGCUUAAAAUUUGGGCUUUAGAAUUGUUUAAUUCAAUUAGUCAAUAAAUUAUAGAUCAAAUCACAAACUUAAUUAUUAUGCUGGCAAGAAUUAAAAGGGGUUUGUUGUUUCUUAUAUGUACAUCUUCCGUGAAGCAAUCAAAAUAAUGGUAGAUUUUGUCAAUUUCAAGGUUUGCAUGCUUUUUGUACAACUCAAAAUUAAAAUAGUAAUAAUCAAAUUUUAAAAUGCCUCUUAUAAGUACAAUCGAUUUUUAAAAGGGAACGUUUUUCAGAAUUUUCAGAAUUUAUAGUUAGUUGAAAUUGAAAUGCUUCUAACUCAAUAUAUCGAGUUCUUAUGAAAUAUGAGGAAGUUCGUAAAUCAUUUAGAAAAUAAAAAAACAUUGAUAAUCAUUUUGAGGUUUUGUUAACUAAUGGAUUUCUGUAUUCGAUGUUUAUAGAUCAAGUUAAUUAAGAAUUAGUCAUAUUCAUAAUGUCUAUUUGAUUACUAAUCGUUAUUUUCACCAAUUUUUACUUACAACAAAUAAAAAGUUAUACUGUUUUGUUUUUAAAGUGAUUUGCAGAAAUGAGGUUGGUAAAGUGAUAUUUUAGGUAUUUUUUUGCUAGACACUCGAGUUUGAAUUUUGAAAAAGGUAAGAGAUUAAAAAAUAAAUUUGAUACUUACUUCCUUUCCUACUUUAGAGAAAAAAAUAGUUACAUUGAUCGGUAACUAAUGAUAUCAUAACCAUAUAUCUACUACGUCAUCAAACUAUUAUUUAAUUGCAUUCCAACGUUAUAUACAAUAUAUUUAUAAAUAAUGAUUUAAAAUUGGGUGAUAAAUGUAUGCUCGGUGGACAACGGUGUGAUAGUUAAGUGUCGAAUCUACACCAUCUAGACAUUUUUAUGUGUGAAACCAAUAGUGCUUUUGAAAUUUGACAUUCUUAGUCGCUGCUUUCAUUUUUAAAAAGUAAAAGAAAUUGCAUGAGAAAAGUUGGCACCCACCAAGAGAGAAUUACCUAGAGAAUGAAAGACGUUGGACAAAUGUGUUAUUUUUUUUUUCUUCUUUUUUUUAAUGCAUGGAAAAUGGAAAGUUUAGUUGGAAUUAGGAGACUCAAAUUCAAUAGGGCAAAUCAUAAAAAUAAAAUAAUAAUAGAACGUCCUACAUUCUCAAAUGGUCUACUGGGAAUAAUAUGAAUAUAAUGAAAUGAUUUAAAGAAAUAGGGACCCAUUUUGUUUGACUUUUUUAAUUUGAAUUUGGAAAUUAGGUGAUUGAAAACUACAAGGCUCUCUCGACUUUAGUCUUUUGCCCUAAUUCUCUGGUUGGUCUUUCACGUACGUAAUAAUUAAUAUAAAUUAAGCAAUUUCAUGCAAUGUUGACACGUGACAAAUUCAUAGUUUUAGUUCUUCUAGAAUAUCUCUCUACAAAUCAAAGAGUUAGGUACAUUCAUCUAUUUAUUUAUAUAUGUUAUCAGUUCUACAAAGGGGAGAGUUAAUUUGAAGCUUUGGGAUAAUUAGUUAAUUAUUUGCUUUCUUGUUGCUAUUUUGAGUUUUAAUUUGUUUUUUUCUCUUAAUUUAUUUCUUAAAAGUCUUAUUUAGUAUUAUAUGAAUUAAUUUGAACAUAUAAGUUCACACAUGGAGCAUCUAGCUCGAUCUUGACUUCACCUAAUUAAUCAUUUAUGAUUUUCAUAUAAUUAAUCGAGACUGCAAUUAUAUAUUAAUUGAGUUCUUUAAAUUUCCUUUGUAUUUGAUUAUAAUAUAAUACAAUAAGCAUCAAAUUAAUUUAUUCUUCUCAUUUUACACGUGUUUGCUUCCAUUCGAUAUCCUGUACAAAUUAUUUGUAACCAUACGGAAGAUAAAGUGAGUGAAGAUGUAUUCAUUCGAACAUUACACAAGGGAUCUUGAUUAGCUUAUCGAUUAAUAGUAAACUAUCUUUCUAGAGCUAGAGUUAACUAAUUUAAUUGUUUGGAUAAUAUGUGUGCAUAGUAGGAUUUUGCACUUUAUUAAAGUUCGAAAUAUAUUCAUGAAAAACUACUAAGUUAUAGUUUAAUAGUAUAAUACUAUUAAACAAUAAGACUUAGUAGAUUUUUAUACUUUAAUAAAAUCCAAAAUCUUAAAUUAGAAUAUAUAUAUGAUUUUGAAUUUUGUUAAAGUUCAAAAAAAAUAUCAAGUCGAGCAGUUUAAUAUUGUAUUGAUAGAUCAGUACUGUAUAAAACAACAACAAACAUACUAUCACAAAUGUAAAUUUGAAAAAUUGAAGUAUAUCACAUUAAGUGUGAAAUAUAACACGAAAUGUAGCAUAUAUAUGAACUCAUAUAAUUUAACCAAUAACAUGAUAAAUCAAGUAUAAAAUUUUGAAAAUUUUAACCGGUUAAAAGAACUCAAAUUAUAUCUUUUUGAAAAUAUAGUUCAUUUGAGUAAUUAUGGUUCCCCUUAGCUGGCAUCUCUUUAGUCACUGCUUCGAUUAUUUGCAUCUUAUGACUUUUUGCAUACAGUUUAGUUUACUCAUAUUUUUGCAUAUAGUUCAAACUUUUUGCAUACAAUUCAGUUUACUAAUAUUUUUAGGGAGACUAUUGAUGUUAUUGAUGUCCUAUUUAAAUUUCGGGAGGUUAUCAGUUUCCUCUCUACUAAAAUUAAUAUAUAGCACUUAUUUUCUUACUGUUUUCAUAAUAUUCAAAAACCCUCAUACACUAAAAAAUUUAAAGAAAAAGAAGGGUGAAUGUGUUAUUUACUUGAUAAUUUAUUUUGGGAAUAUAAAAUUUAUAUUUAUUAUAAAAAAUUAAAAAAAUUAACAAAAAGUACAAGAAAACAUCUUUUUGUUAAAUUUUUUCACACAGAACAUAUAUUUUCUAUUUUAAUACUUUAAUUUUUAUUUUAAUUUUCAUUUAUAUUAUUUAUUCAAUUUAUAAUAAAUAUGAAUAAAAAAUAUAUUUAAAAAUAAGGGUAAUACUAUAAAAUUAUGUUACCAUGAGUGUUAUUAACCAUUGUGAAAACAAUAGGAAAUAAAUGAUAUAUAUUAAUUUAUGUAAGGAGAAAACUGGCAAUCCCCUAUAAUAUUUAUUUGUUCCUUUAUCUUUAUUUCAAUGCCUACAUUUGAAAGGUAAUGCUCACUACAUAUAUUCUUUGAUUAUGUGCUCGUGGAAUACAUAAUAAAAAAGAACAUAUUAUACAAUCGAGGAGUACGCAUGAUCCUUCACUUAAACUUUUUACUUUAUAGAUUCAUAAUUAUUCGUAAUUAGUCAUUAAUAUUGGUGUUUGUUCUCACGUGGAAAAUUUUGAUCAAUUUAUAGUCAAAUGUUAAAUCCAAAAAUUUCCUUUAUGUGUUACUUGACUUUUGGAAUAAAUCAAAAUGAAAGUAAUAAAGCAAAUCACGUGCAAAAUCAAUUGUGUUUAUUUAUUUGAAUUUUGUUUGAUUGCGUGUGGGAACAUUUGAUUGAUAAUUCAAAUUAUUUCACACUCGAAGUUGAUAAUAUUUUAUGUUAGAAUCCAAAUUUAUAUAUAAAUUAGCUAUUCAAUGAUAUUAUAUUAUAUUAUGACAAGUAAUGCCUAAUUCAAUAGGCUUAUUUCAUGUUAUAACUGUAUUGCAUCUUGUCUUUGCUUCUUAAUUUUAAUAUUUUAUAUAAGAGACCAAAUUUGAAUUCUAUGUAGGCUUCUCCAAAAAAAAGAAAAAUUCCAUAUAUGUUAAACAGGCCAAGACCAUAUCGACAAAUAUGCAUGAAAAUGUCUUCAUCCAAUCGUAGUUGAAAACUUAACUUGCUGAAAUAUCUUUCUCGAACAUGAUAAUGCCAACCAAAUUAAACCUUUGGUUUUUGGGCCUUCAUAUUCCACCAAGUAUUUAUGUGUGUAUUGCCAUUGCCACCCCCAUAAAUUCUCAUCAAAAUCACCCAUUCCAACCUAGGGUACCUACAUGAGAAAUGAUAAUUUUCAAAAUACUUUUUAAAUUAUUGCAAACUUCAACUCAUCCUUAUUUUUGCUCCAAAGAUAAGGAAAAACUUUGAUGAAUUUUUUCUUUUAAUCUUUUUUUACAUAAAUAGGGAUUGAGAUUUAUAAUAAUUUGACGAGUAUUUUGAAGAUUAUUAUUUCAUGAAAGAGUUACAUGAAAUUAAUCCUUCAACUUAUAAAACAAAUUACUCUCCCUCUUUUACCAAAAGAUUGCAACAGGAAAGACGUUUGGCAUGCAAUUUCAUUCAAGAUCAACAAAAGAACAUAAACGAAUGCAAACAAGCCAGAAACAUAGAGGAAAAUGCCAAAAAUGAAGUGUUAUGCAUGAUAUUGGAUGAAACAGACACACAAUGUAGAGCAGUGAAAUUUGAAAUUCAACUGGGAAUCAAUGAAAUGGAAUUAGAGUGCAAUCCCUAUAUUGUUUGAAAGAUUAUUGAAUCAGCUUUUCAUAGGAUUUUACAGAACUGAAUUUGGAGUUCUAUAGACAAAGUUACAACCGAAAGAAUGCAACAUGCUCAAUUGUGACGGACAAAAGCUUGUCAAUGCACUUAGAAAACAAAAUUUUGAGUUUUGUUGAAAAAUAUGUAACUCUUAAAAUCUAAAAACAUAUCAUCAUGUAAGAACAUGAGAAUGCACAUGCAUCAUGAAUUUUUUUUUAUUUAAAAAAAAUGCAUUAAUAAUGAAAUUGAACAAGAAAAAAAUUUCUGAGAAUUUUUCAUAAGCAUUAAUUCAUGAAAUCAAGACUCUAAUUUCCUCAAAUAAGUAAAAAUUAGAGAAAUUUAAGCUUUUGUGUGUGUGUGCAAACAACUCAAUCUAAACACCUUUUUUUUUUUUCCAAAAAUUCAUCAAUUUUCACAGUCAAAGUCUUAAAUAUGAAACAUAAAAUUGGUCAAACUAACCUUAUCAUCUUGAUCUCUAAUUUUUGAUCAUUUUAAUUGUGACAGGCUUUUUUUUUUUAAAUCUACGAUUAAGAGUUUUCACUCUACCCUUAAGGUAGCUUUUUUCUCAUGGUAGUUCGUCUUCUGUCAUAUUUGUGAUAUGCAGACUCAAAUUAUUUAAGAAUAGCUUUACUCUUAAGAGUUAUAGAUAGUUAUUUCUGACCAUAGUGUCUGUAUAUAUUUGAAGUCUUAUGACAAGAUAAGAAUCAAGACAAACAAUCAUAACUCAAGUUAAAUAUUCUCAAUAAAGACCAUGUCAAUAUCAAAACAUUGAGUCAAAGUAAAGACUAAUUGUCAUUCAUGUGCUUUUGAAGAAAUGUUAAAUAACUCUAAUCAAAACUUAUUUAAGGCCUUCAAAUUUUUUAACAACAUGAAAAACUGCUUGUUAAUUAUUAAUCAAAUUUUUUUUUAAAAACAAAACACAAAAAUAAUAUUAAAAAAAACUCAUAAAUGGAUGUCCUAUAUCUAAUGUACAAAUGCAUGAUUUAAAUCUAAAUGCAAAAAAGAUUCAAAUCGUUUGGAGUCUAAAGCUUUUGUGAAAAUAUCUGCAAGUUGUUUUUCUGUAUCAAUGUAUUCUAAAGACACAAUCUUGCUCUCAACUAAAUCUCUAAUGAAGUGAUGACAAAUAUCAAUAUACUUAGUCCUAGAAUGUUGAACAUGAUUUUUAGAAAUGUUGAUAGCACCUAUGUUAUCACAAAACACAGUCAAAGUAUCCUGAACCAUACCAUAAUCUGCAAGCAUUUGUUUCAUCCAGAGCAAUUGGGUGCAACAACUUCCAGCUGUAAUAUAUUCAGCUUCAGUCGUGGAAAGAGAAAUUGAAUUAUGUUUCUUACUAUGCCAUGACACUAAGUUAUUUUCAAGAUAAAAACAUCCUCCAGUGGUGUGUUUUCUAUCAUCAGCAUUGCUAGCCCAAUCUGCAUCACAAUAUUCUACAAGACUUGAACUAGUGUCAUUAAUAUACGAAAUACCAUCAUUAAUUGUUCCACUGACAAAACGCAUGAUUUAUUUGAUAGCAGCUAAGUGUGAUUCCUUUGGAUUUGCUUGGUACCUAGCACAUACACCAACACUUGAACAUAUGUCAGGUCUACUUGCAGUUAAAUAAAGUAAGCUACCAAUCAUGCUUUUAUAAAGACUAAGAUCAACAGUAGAACCACUAUAAUCAAUAAUCAAGUUGGUAUUAGUACUCAUAGGGGUUCUCAUGUGUUUUGCAAAAUCUAAGCCAAACCUCUUAACUAAGCUCUUGGCAUACUUACUUUGAUUAACACAAAUUUCAUUCUCCAUUUGUUUUACUUGCAAACCCAAAAAGUAAGUCAAUUCUCCCACUAUGCUCAUUUCAAAUUCCCUUUUUAUUUGACUCACGAAUUCUUGCACAUGAUUAGAAAAAGUAAAACCAAACACUAUAUCAUCAACAUAGAUUUGAACAACUAAAAUCCCUGGAUUAAGUUGUUUAAUAAAUAAUGUUCUAUCUACUCCCCCUCGCUUAUAGCCAUUUUCAAGCAAAAAUUUGGUCAACCUUUCAUACCAAGCUCGAAGAGCUUGCUUUAAACCAUACAAAGCCUUUUUCAAUUUAAAAACAUGGUUUGGGAAAUGGGGGUCUUCAAAACCUUUAGGUUAUUCAACAUAGGCUUCUUUAGUUAAGAUGCCAUUAAAAAAGACACUCUUGACAUCCAUUUGAAAUCAUUUAAAGCUUAUUAAACAAGCAACUGAAAAAAGCAAAUGAAUAAAUUCAAGUCUAGCAACAGGUGCAAAAGUUUGAUCAAAGUCAACACCUUCAAUUGGUGGGUAGUCUUGUGAAACCAACCUAUCUUUAUUUCUCACUAUAUUACCAAAUUCAUUCAGUUUUGUUCUUAAAAAUCCAUUUGGUUCCUAUAACAUAAGUGUGACUUGGUCUAAGUACUAGAAUCCAUACAUCAUUUCGCUCAAAUUGUUCUAAUUCUUCUUGCAUAGUUUUGACCCAAAAUUCAUCAACUAAAGCUUCCUUAACAUUCUUGGGUUCAGUUAAAGAUAUGAAUAAAGUAAAUCUUACAAUAUUUACAUACCUUUUUCUUGUGACCAUUUGUUCAUCAAGAUUACCUGGAAUAAGAUCAAAUUGGUGAUUUUUCUUAACUCUUGAUGAUGGUUCCUUUCUGAUUGGGUCAUGUAGGUCCAUGGUUGCCUAGAGUUUUGAAACUUUCUCCUUCACAUUCUCUGGUGUUUCCUAAGAGGUAUCUUCUUCAACAUGUUCUUUUUCUUUCAAAAAAGAUUCACUAGAUUGACAUUUCUCAAUAACUCGAACUUCAGGAGUAGUUGUAACAACAUUUGGUGUUUCUAAAAGACUGAUUAUCUCUUCUUCAAUUGAGUAAUUUGCAAAAUCUUGAUAAUCAUCAAUAACCACAUUUGCAGAUUCAACAAUAUUUUGAGUUCUCAUAUUAUAAACAUGAAAUGCUCUACUAUUAUUAGAGUAACCAAGAAAAAAACCUCAUCAUUUUUUGAAUCAAAUUUACCAAGAAGUUCGUAAUCAUUCAAUAUAAAGCACAUACUCCAAAAAAUAUGAAAGUAACUUAUCUUAGGUUUUUUACAUUAACAUAACUCAUAAGGAAUUUUCUUAGUACCUGGACGAAGAUAAACACGAUUAAUGGUGUAGCAGGCAGUGUUAAGUGUUUCAGCCCAUAAUCUCUUUGAAAGUUUCUUCGAGUUUAACAUCACUCGUGCCAUUUCUACGAGGUCCUAUUUUUCUUUUCUACAACACCAUUUUGUUUUGGAGUAAUAGGUGAGGAAAACUCAUGUGAAAUUCCAUGUAAAUUAUAAUAUUCUUAAAAAAUGGAGUUUUCAAAUUCUCUUUCAUAAUCACUCAUAAUUAUGAAAAUAUUGUAAUUAUGUUCAUUUUUAAUCUUCUCACAUAGUUUUAUGAACAUAUCAAAUGUAUCUGGUUUUUCUUUAAUAAAGUCAACUCAUGUAUACCUAGAGAAAUCAUUUACACACACAAAUGCGUACCUUUUUCCAGCCAAACUUUCAAUCUGCAUUGGUCCCAUAAAGUCCAUAUGAAGUAGUUAUAGCACAUUUGAUGUAGGUCUAUCCUGAAUGGCUUUAUGCGACACCUUUUGUCAUUUUCCAGAUUGAAAUGAACCACAUAUUCUAGGUUUUUUUUUAAGCAUUGGAGCUCUUUUUACAAUACUUGUUUUCACAAUUCUAGUAAAUAAUCUGUAGUUCAAGUGACCCAACUUUUGAUGCCAUAAUUCUGUUUCAUCAAGAGUGGUCUUAUGACAAAUAAUUGAGCUAGUCAAUUUAUAACAAUGAUCAAAUGAUCGAUGUCCUUCCAAAAUGCAAUUUCUAUCAACAUUGAGAACGCGACAUUUAUUCAUGUCAAAGUUGGCAAACAAGUUUUGAUCACAAAUUUGAUUAAUGCUGAGUAAAUUUACUUUGAGAUCUUCUAUAUGCAGAACAUUGUCAAGUUUUGAAAAACCUUCAACAUUCAAAGUUCCCUUUCCAAGCAUUCGACUUUUCACACCAUCAGCAAAAGUUACAUUUUUUUGAUCAACUUUUUAAUAAUUGAUCAAGGAACUUUUAUCACCUUUCAUGUGUCUAGAACAACCACUAUCAAAGUACCAAAAAUUAGUUGUGCAAGUUCUCAAGGAAAUAAAGGAAACAUAAGCUUUAUAAUCAGUCUUUCUCAUCCAAGUAGUUCUAGGUUUAUUUUCACUUGUCUCAACCUUAGGUUUAGGUGUCAUCCUAGGUUUUCCAUAAGAAUAAUUAAGAAUAUAGUCUUUUUCAUAUAUUUAAUGAGCUCAAAGCAAUUAGGUCUUAUAUUCCUUUUCAUAUGACAACAAUGACAAAUGGGAAUAAACAUGUUGUUCUUACCUUGAUGAACUGGUGAGGAAUGUGCAACAACUUUACCUUUUUGAAGAUAUGAAACUUUAACUAUUGGUGGAGAAGCUGUAACUUGAGAAGCUUUAACAAACGUAUCUUAAGAAUUUGAGUCUUUACCAUCUUGAUAUCCAAGACUGAUGAUAUGAGUUGGACUUGCCAAUUGACAAGAUAUGAUCUAACUUUUGAGUUCCAGAAUUCAUCAUUUUAAGAGACUUUCAAGUUUCGCCUUAUCAUCAAAAUGAUUGGAUACUUGAGUCAUCAAUGUCAGAUUCUCAUUGUAGAUUACUUCCCAUUUAGUGAACAUCAUCUUGUAGCUUUCAUGAAAAGCUUUCUUAUCAUUUAUAUCAAUGUCACUGACGUCACUAUCUGAAUCAUUAUUCUUAUUAACAUGUUGCGCAGUUAUGUUAAGACGGGAAUCAGUGUCUUCCUUGCAAGGAACUAAGUGUGAAGCUUUAGAUGUGGAUGCAUCUCUGAUGUUUAAUUCAUGUUUACUACCAUCAUUAUGGGCAACAAGUCCCCCAACAAGGUCUUCUUCAUCAAUGCUAUCAUUAGAAUCAUCAUCACUCCAAGUGGAUUGCAUUGUUUUCUUUUUCAUAAGAGUAUUAGCAUAUUGUGCUUGUAUGUGUCCUCUGCCUCUACAUUCUCUAGAUCGAAUACCCUCAAGUUUGUUAAAAUCAAAUAAUUUAGAAUUAGAGUUAGACGAACAUUUUUGAGCCGUAAGACCCACUGAUAUAGAAGUCUUCUUUGGUUUGUUAAAGUUGUUUUUUUUAACAUCUUCUUGAAAUUCUUUGCAAUGAAUGCAAGUGAAUUAUCCACAUACAAAUAUGAAUUAUCAUCUUCACUUGAUUUGGUGACAGGAGCCUCUAUUUCAACUUGAAAAGCAAUACAUUUUUCUUUCUUGGGAUUCAAAUUCAAGUAAUUAGUUUUAUAGACCAUCAAUUUUCCUAUAAGUGAACCCUUUGUCAUAGCAGACAUAUUAGCAUAUUCUUUAAUGGCCAAAAUUUUAGGAUGAUAUCUAGGAUAGGUAGAUGUUAAGAUUUUUCUAUAAAUUUCUUCUUCAGAAAUAAUUUUUCCAAUAGCAAAAAAAUCAUUAACCAUAGGAAGGAUUCUAGAAUUAAAUUCAGAUAUGGUUUCAUGUUCAUGCAUUUUCAGGAUUUCAAAAUCAGAUGUAAGUUUAUGAAGUUUAGAAUGUUUUACCGUAUUGUCAGCUUCAAAAGUACUUUGGAGUAUAUCCCAAGCAAUGUUAAUUGUCUUGCAUGUAGAAAUUAGUUGGUGUUGAAACACAUCAACUCCAUUAACAAUGACAUUAAGUCAUUUUUCUUUAUAUCCAGAUGCAUCAAGUUCAUCCUUAGUCCAUUCUCUGACUGGCUCUAGAGAUUUUACACUAUCUUCAUCAAUUAUGAUAAGUGGAGUAAUUCUUGUGAGUAUGCAUUGCCAAACUUUUUCAUCAAUAGCUAUCAAAUAAAUUUUUAUUCUUUGCUUCCAAUAAGCAUAAUUUGUCCCAUCUAGUGCAAGUGGAUGAGCCAAAGAGCCUCACUCUUUUUGCAAACUCAUACCUAGAAAAUAGAUCUAGGUUCCAAGAAUCUCAUCAAAUAAACAGUUAGUGUCUCGCUCUGAUACCAAUUGAAAAGAAUUUAGAUCUAUCGCAAAUAGAUGUAGGCAAUUAAAAAUAAAAAAUUAACAACUUAAUUAAUUUUCGGAAAUACUGUUCACUGUUAUUGUUCAUCCGCAUAAAAAAUAUUAAAUUUUCAAAAACACAAUAAAUUACAGAAAAUAAAUGACACAAAGAUUUUUAUGUGGUUCAGAUUAAUCAAUCUUACAUUCACGAGACCACGCCCAGAUGAAAAGCAAUUCACUAAGUUGAGAUGUUACAAUCUAUGGAUUUACAAAACUUCAGACUCUCACUUACAGUUUAUCACCAUACAGUUUACUCAACCUUAGACUGAAUCUGCUUCUCUUGAAUAAUUGCUACCCCUCUUGAUCCACGAUCCUCAAGGCACUUCACAAAGUGAUUACUAACAAUUCUUCUAUUCUUCAACGUCUGGUGAUUCAAGAUCCACAUAGACUCACUACUGAGAUGAAAAGAAGAUAAAUAAAUAAAUCAACACAACAUUAUUGUUGAGUGUUAGAAAAUGUAUAUUUAUAAAGGAGAAAAUCGUCAUUUUACAUUUCAAGUCUUACUAGCACCUUUACUUAUGUAUUUAAGCUUCUUGUGAUUUAAUUACAUGUGUUUUAUUUUAAUUAAGUAUUUUAUGUAUUUUAGGGGUAUCAUGAUAAUUUCACAAUGAAAGAGAAAUUAGAUGGCAAAACAGACAUCAUUUUUUAACUCAGGACAGUCGAAAACCUUAGGAGGAGCAUAAAAAGAAAAAUGUCACUGUUUACAUGUACGAUACUGUCCAUGUUACUGUUCAUGACACUGUUCACACAUACGGAACGAUGACGUGUCAUUGACCGAUGAUGUGGUAUUGACUGAUGAUGUGUCACGAUUCUAUUGGACAAAAUUUAUAUACAUUGUUGAUCGGUGACGUGGCAGCAAGUUAGUGGACCAAAAAUCGUGCGUAAGGUACAUGCAUAUACACAAGAUUAUUUUCAACCAAACCGUGUCACUGUUCAAACCGCGUACUGUUGACUGAUGAUGUGGCGCAAUCCUAAGCGUCUAAACUGUUUUUAGUCCGAUGACCAUGAUUUACUCAAUGUAUCUAUAAAAACGGGGCCUGCCCCCCUAAUUUGAUAUCUCAGAAUCUAUUUUUGGGCUCCAUUUUUUGUAAUUCCUUCUCCAUCUUGUAUUUUCUACUUAUUUUAAUGAAUUCUCAUUUUGUCCCUAGUUCAAUUAUGAGUAGCUAAUUUUUUUUCAAGCUUGGGUUGAAGGUGAAGUCUCAACAUAUGUCAUGGGCUUUAAUUGGUAAAUUUACUUUCUCUUUCCCUCUAGUUUUUGCGGAUGUUUUGAUUUCUCAUCGACAAAUAAUAAUAAUCUUGUCUAAAUACCGCACUGGUUUCACCAGCUUCCUAGUACAAGGUUAUUAUUAUUUGGCACGAUAAGCCAUUAGCACCAUGUUGAUUAGAGUGUGGUUCAUGAGGUGUGAAUUUUCGCCUCAUGAUUUAAUUGACAUUAAUAAGGAAUAUUUAGCCUAUGGUACAUGUUGAUACGGAUCCAGAUAUCCAAGUACGUCAUUUCAGUAGAUUUCUCUUCAAUUUAUUCUCGCCAUUUCAAUUCCAAUUUUAGGAUAAUCUAAGUCACUUUUACCACAAAUCCAACCACCCUCAUACAAAAUUAAUUCUACAUAUAAUUAAAAUCUACCUCCCGUGGGAUCGACACUCGUCACCAUUAAUCUAUUCUACAAUAGAUUCAUGCAUUUGCGAGUUCAAUAAAAUUUGCACAACAAGUUUUUGGCGCCGUUGCCGGGGAGGUAAGUUAUUUUAAUUCGUAGAAUUAAUUUUUGUGAAUAAUUUCUUUUAUUUGUUUUCUUGUAUUUUGUUUUAUUAAAAAAAGUGAAUCUGCAUUUAGAGGUAAUAAUUUCUUUUCUUUUUCUCUUCUUUAAAGUUUUGUAAUUUAAUUUUCAAGUUAUUUUUCUUUGUAAUUUUUGUUUAUCUUAUUAAUUUAUUUUUAGUUAAUUUAUUUCACGUAUUUGUUUUAGUGUUUUUAUAGAAAUGUUUUAAGAGCGUGAUAAGGUUAGUACCGUAAUUUCUCCUUCUUGUUUAUUUUUAUUAAUUUUAUUCUCAUUUUUUUUGUAUUCAUUACAUGCAUGGUCGAAGGCCAUUAUUACCUAAUCUUGAGCCUAUAGACCUUGAACUUGAAAAAAUACUUCGCACACACAAACACGUUGUAAUUAAAGAUAAAAGUGAAAUGCAUUUGCAACAACAACAAGCACCACCAGAGAGGCCAUUUAAGGACUAUUUCAGUCCCUUAGCUAAUUUGAGCACAUUAUGCAUAAGAUACCUAAAUAUAGCUGCUAGGAGUUUUGAACUAAAACCUAGUGUGCUAAAUUGUCUCCCAACAUUCUAUGGCUUAGAAAAUGAGGACCCAUAUAAUCAUCUAAAUGAUUUUCAUGCUAUUUGUCAAACUUUUAAAUAUGAGAAUUUUUCAGACGAUGAUGUUAAACUUAGAUUAUUCUCAUUUUCUUUAAAGGAUAUAGCUCGUUCAUGGUUAAAUACUUUGCCUGCUAAUAGCAUUAUGUCAUGGGAACAAAUGGUAACUAAAUUUUUGAAUAAAUAUUUCACAGUGCAUAAAACCAAUGCUAUUCGCAGAGAAAUUUCAGAGUUUACUCAGAGAGAAGACGAGCAGUUCUUCGAAACAUGGGAGCGAUUCAAUGGGCUACUCUCGAAGUGUCCACAUCAUAGGUACGAAAAAUGACACCAAUGCCAAUAUUUUUUGGAAGGAUUAUUGCCGAAUGUGCAAGAAUAGCUAAUGGCAACAAGUGGAGGAGAGCUAAUGUCAAAAAGUGCAUAAGAGAUUUAAGAAUUCUUCCAGCGACAAGCGGAUAAUUCCCAACAACGGAGUCAAUCACUCAGGAAUAUUAAAAGAAUUAAGGGAGUGAAUGAGGUUCACAUUGGCGAGUCAAGUUCAGAAAUUAAAGAAGUCAAAGCGAUAAUUGAAGGUCUUUCUCGACAAAUAGCAUCGUUAACGACUGCUAAAUCAACAGAACCACAUGACCAUGACUCAUACUCAGAUCAAGCCAAUGCCAUAGGUGUAAUGAGAAAACCAUCAAAUUACAACCCAUUCUCCAACACAUAUAACCCUGGAUGGAGAGACCACCCCAAUUUUUCAUGGUCUCAAGGAUUCCAACAGAAUGGACUAGCAGCUCCAGCUCCACCAGUGCAACCAAUUCCUCAAAUUCCUCAAGCCUCUCAGCCACCAUUUAGAUUAGGGGUGUUCAGAAUCCAAUCCGAUCCGCUCAAUCCGUCUGAUCCGCUCAAUCCGAUCCAUAUAAAUCCGAUUCGUAGAUUGGAUGUGAAUUGAAAAUUUAAAAAUCUGCAGUCGAUGGAUUGGAUAUGGAUUUAUUUCUGUAAAUCUGCAGAAAUCCGUGAAUCCAUAAAAAUAUAAAUAAAUAAAUAUAUAUAUAUAUAUAUAAUUAAAAAAUUAUUAUAAAUUUAAUUAAAAAAAUUAUAAAUGUGACAUUACAUAGUUACAUAAGCACUAUAACAUAUCUUAGCCAUUACCCAAUAAUAAUAUAAAAUGAAAAAUAAUUAAAUAAUCAAAUAUACAAAUAUAACUUGUAAAAAUUGUAAAACAAAAAAAAAACAAAGUCACACGCACUAGCAAAAGUAAAAUAACAUAACGCUAAAUCACUAACAAUUUGCAAAGUCACCUAAAAGCAAAGUAACAUGACUCCAAGUCACCAAUAAUUUACAAACAAAAAACCCUAAGUUUCCCCGUCGUCACACACACUAGCAACAUCAAUACUGGUUGGAUACACUCUCGACACCGAUUUGAAGGACAUCGGCCGCGCGAUUCCGGCGAGAGCAAGCCAUCUUCUUUCCCAAGUCCAUCGAGCCACUUCACAUUCACUGGUUCCAGCUGAACAACUUCACUAUCACAACCUUCAAGAUCGCCACCCGUACGACUUCUCCUGGUUCCCAUUGUGGACGGCUCCGUAAUCACCACCUUUCGACAGGCGCAACAGCCCUGGUGAAGGAUCAGACUGUGAUUGGUUUCCGAAACUUCGCCAUUUUAAUUAAUUGUGGCUUUAUUUGAACAAUUAAUUUUGGUGUUAUAUUAACGUAUUAUUGUAACUUUAUUUGAACAAUUAAGCUUGGUGUGUUAUAUUUUGAAACUUUAAACGUAUUAUUGUAGCCUUAUUUGAAUAAUUAGUCUCGGUGUGUUAUAUUUUGAAACUUUAAAUGUAUUAUUUUAGCUUUAUUUAAAUAAUUAAUUUAUUUAAAUUUUAUUCAAUUUUAAAUUUAAUUGGUAGCAAAAUUAAUUUUAUAUUAGAUUUUUUUUAUUUCAUUAGUUGGAGAGAACUAAAAAAUUUUAAUUCGAAAACUAAUGCGCAAAAUGGUGGAUUGGAUAUGGAUUGAGUCAAAUCCGCAUCCGAUCCACAGACGUAUGGAUUGGAUAUGGAUUGAGUCAAAUCUGCAUCCGAUCCGCAGAUGUAUGGAUUGGAUUUAGAUUGAAUUUUAUCAAUCUGUGGAUUGGAUUGGAUUGAAAAAUUAUAAUCCGCAAAAUCAUGGAUCGGAUAUGGAUUGAUGUCCAAUCCGUAAAAUCCGAUCCGCGAACACCUCUAAUUUAGACCAUACAAUCAGAACUAGAACUACUCUCAACCCAGACCAUGGGAGGAUUCAUUCCAGAAUUUCAAGAAUGUUACUCACUCCACGAUCGAGCAACAGAACCGCACCAUUGAUGAAUUACGAAAUGAGAUAAGAGCAGGCUUCAACUCACAAGCCCAAUCAGUUUCAAGCCUCGAGAAGAUGGUGGAACAACUUGGUUCUUCAGUUCAGACCUUGGCAAUGAAUGUUGAGAAAGGCAAGUUUCCAAGUCAACCAGUGCCUAAUCCUAAAGGAGUACAUGAAGCAAGUAUCAGUUCACCACAGCAGCAUGGAGAGGUCAAAGCAGUCAUGACCUUACGAAAAGGAAAAGAAGUCGACAACAAAGUGGAGAUGUCGGUGACAAAAGAAAAUCAAAUUGUACCUGUGAAUGUUGAUGACUCACCAUUGGAAAAGAAAAAAGAAACCAACCCACGAGAAUAUGUUCCCAAAGCUCCAUUUCCUCAGAGGUUAGCUAAAGAAAAGAAGGAAAAAUCCACAGGUGAGAUUCUUGAAAUCUUCAAACCGGUAAGUGUUAACAUUCCUUUGCUUGAUGCUAUAAAACAAGUUCCAUCUUAUGCCAAGUUUUUUAAAGACCUUUGUACUAAAAAGAGAAAUAUUCAUGUUUAAAAUAAGACAUUUUUAACAGAAAGCGUUAGUUCUAUACUCCAACACAAAAUUCUUCUAAAAUGCAAAGACUCAGGCUCCCUCACUAUCUCAUGUAGUAUAGGGAACCACACAAUUGAGAAUGCUUUGUUGGAUUUAGGAGCUAGUGUAAAUUUGUUGCCUUACUCAGUAUUUGUGAAACUUGGACUGGGAGAAUUACACCAAACGCCAGUGGUGUUAUAGCUUACAGAUCGGUCCACGAAAAUACCUCGUGGUACUCUGGAGGACGUGCUUAUCCAGGUAGACAAGUUUUAUUUUUCUGUUGAUUUCAUUGUAAUUGACACUCAACCAAUAUAGGAUUCAAGGAAGCACAUCCCCAUUAUUCUAGGCCGACCUUUAUUGGCAACUGCGGAUGCUCACAUUCAAUGUAGGACUGGAAAUAUGCAGUUGUUCUUCAGCAAUAUGACUAUGGAGCUGAACAUCUUCAACAUUGCCAAACAACCUCAUAAUGCAGAUGAUGGAAUUGUUGAAGUGAAUUUAAUUAAAGUAUUAGUUGAUGACACUUUUCUUUCAAACCUUAAUGAUGACCCUUUACAAACAUGCUUAACUCACUUUGAUUUGAAUUUUGAUAUUGACAGAUCAGUCGAUGAGGUCAACGCCCUACUUGACUUAGCACAAUCCAUGGACACUAAUAAAUGGAAGUCAAGAGUUGAACAACUAGCACCAUCAGAGAAGAAACUCAUCCCAUCAUCAAAAUCACCAUCGAAACUCGAGCUCAAACCAUUACCCAACAUAUUGGAAUAUGCAUUUUUGGGAGAAGAAAGCACUCUACCGAUAAUCAUCUCAUCAUCCCUAAAUGACGAACAAAAAGGUAAGUUGUUGGAUAUUUUAAAAGAGCAUAAAGGAGCAUUAGGAUGGGCCAAAACGGACAUAAAAUGUAUAAACCCAGUAGACUGCAUGCAUUACAUUCACCUUGAUGAAAAUGCUAAACCUACUAGGGAAAUGCAACGUCGGUUAAAUCCUAAUAUGAAAGAAGUUGUUAGAACUGAAGUCCUUAAGUUAUUAGAUGCAGGUAUCAUUUACUCUAUUUCUGAUAGUUCAUGAGUUAGUCCUGUGCAAGUUGUCCCCAAAAAGUCAGGAGUCAUAGUAGUUACCAAUGCUGAUAAUGAAUUGAUACCCACUAGAGUAACUACAGGAUGACGUGUAUGCAUUGAUUAUAGAAAAUUAAAUUCUAUCACACGUAAAGACCAUUUUCCUUUACUAUAUAUUGAUCAAAUGCUUGAUAGAUUAGCAGGCCAUGAAUUUCAUUGCUUUCUAGAUGGCUACUCAGGAUACACUCAGAUCCCUAUAGCACCAAACGAUCAAGAGAAAACCACUUUCACUUGCCCUUUUGGCACAUUUGCAUAUAGGAGGAUGACAUUUGGAUUAUGUAAUGCACCUGCUACAUUUCAACGAUGCAUGUUGAAUAUUUUUUCUGAUAUGGUUGAACGAUUCCUUGAAGUCUUUAUGGAUGAAUUUUCUGUCUUUGGUGACUCGUUUGAUCAAUGUUUACAUCAUCUAACACUAGUUCUGCAGAGAUGUAUCGAGAAGAACUUAAUCUUAAAUUGUGAGAAGUGUCAUUUUAUGGUAAAACAAGGUAUUGUUCUCGAUCACAUUAUUUCGAGCAAAUGUAUUGAGGUUGACAAAGCCAAGGUGGAUCUCAUUUCCAAUCUUCCUCAACCUAAAACAGUCAGAGAAGUAAGAUCUUUCCUUAGGUAUGCUGGUUUUUAUCGACGUUUCAUUAAAGAUUUUAGCAAAGUUUCUAAACCCUUAUGCAAUCUACUUAUUAAGGAUGUAGCUUUUAUCUUUGAUGAUUUAUGUUUUGUGGCAUUUGAAAAAUUAAAGCAGUUGUUGACAUCAUCACCCAUCAUUCAGCCCCCAAAUUGGAGCUUACUAUUUGAGCUCAUGUGUGAUGCAUCUGAUUAUAUAGUAGGAGCAGUUUUAGGACAAAGAUUUGAUCAAAUUCCCCAUGUUAUUUACUAUGCUAGUAUGACAUUGAAUGAUGCACAAUUGAACUAUUUAACUACUGAAAAAAGAAAUGUUAGUAGUAGUGUUUGCAUUGGAAAAAUUUCGAUAUUAUCUCAUUGGUUGUAAAAUAAUUGUGUUCACAGAUCAUGCUGCUCUUAAAUAUCUUCUCACAAAGAAAGAUGCAAAAGCUAGACUAAUUCGUCGGGUGUUACUUUUGCAGGAGUUCGACUUGAAAUUUAAAGAUAAGAAAGGCACAGAGAAUGUUGUGGCUGACCAUCUCUCUCGUCUCCAUUUUGACACAAUUACAGAACCAUUAACAUUGAAUGAGUCAUUUCCAGAUGAACAAUUGAUGAGUGUGGAAGUAUUACCAUGGUAUGCUGACAUUGUGAAUUAUCUUGUUAUAGGUCAACUUCUAGAGCAUUAGACCAAGCAAGACAAGGCCAAAUUUUUUGCAGAAAUAAAGAAUUUCUUUUGGGAUGGCCCGUAUUUAUUCAAGGAUUGUGCAGAUCAAAUUGUUAGAAAAUGUGUCCCAGAAAAUGAAAUUCAGACUAUUCUUUCAUUCUGCCAUGAACAAGCUUGUGGAGGACAUUUCAGUGCUAAGAAAACAGCUGCAAAAGUUUUACAAUGUGGUUUUUAUUGGCCAACUAUAUUUCGAGAUGCUUAUACCUUUUGCUCUUCAUGUGAUAGGUGUCAACGAAUGGGGAGCAUUACACGAAGGAACAUGAUGCCACUAAUCUAAUUUUAGUGGUUGAUAUUUUUGACGUAUGGGGUAUCGACUUCAUGAGACCUUUUCCUUUUUCUUUUGGUCAUUAAUAUAUAUUGGUUGCUGUUGACUACAUAUCGAAAUGGGUAGAAGCAAUUCCGUGUAGAACCAAUGAUCACAAGGUGGUGAUAUGAUUUUUGAAAAGCAACAUUGUUUCACGCUUUGGAUUCCCUCGAGCAAUAAUCAGUGAUGGUGGUGCCCACUUUUGUAACAAAGCAUUCAAAACUCUUUUGACAAAGUAUUCAAUCACUCACAAAGUGGCGACUCCAUAUCAUCUGUAAACCAGUGGCUAAGUUGAGAACUCUAAUCGAGAAAUAAAGCACAUAUUAGAAAAGACGGUGAGGCCGGACAUAAAAGAUUGGUCAUUAAGACUUGAUGAUGCAUUAUGGGCAUAUAGAACGACUUUCAAGACCCCGAUUGGGAUGUCACCCUACAGGCUAGUAUAUGGAAAAGCUUGCCACCUAUCUAUGGAACUCGAGCAUCGUGCAUAUUGGGCCAUCAAGAAAUUCAACUUUGACAUGCAGCAAGCUAGCUCAGAAAGAAGAUUACAAUUGGCGAAACUUGGAGAAAUUCGCAAUGAUGCAUACGAAAAUGCGAAAAUUUACAAGCAGCGAAUGAAAGUCUUCCAUGACAAGCAAAUUAUGAGAAAAUCUUUCACUCCAGGUCAGAAAGUGCUUUUAUUCAAUUCUUGCUUGCACCUAUUCCCAGGUAAGUUACGCUCUCGAUGGUCUGGCCCCUUUAUUGUUCAUACUGUUUUUCCGCAUGGGGCAAUUGAAAUUAAGGACCCAAAGAAUGGUGUCACAUUUAAAGUUAAUGGUCAAACAUUAAAGCAAAAUCUAGAGUACCAACCACAUGAAGAGGACACUGAAAUAAUUUUAAGUGACCCACCGGAUUUGAAUUGAGUUUUUUUUCUUUUUUUUCAGUGAUUUGAUUUUUUCUUUUUUUUAUUAUUCUUUUGCUAAUUGAAAUUAUUUUUGCAUAAGUGUGUUUAUUUAACUAUUAAGUUUUCUCUUAUCAUUGUUAAUCAUGAGUGCUAUAGCUAAACAGUUCCUCCUGGAUAUUCUUAAAUCACUUCAACGUGUAAAAUCUCAUCUCAAAAGGCAGAUUCAAUUUUGUAAAACACAUCGUAUUUGAGCUCUGCAACCACCAGAGUUAAUAUCCUAUGUUGAGGAUUUAGAAAGUCAAUUCAGAGACAUUGAGAGAAGUGUGUACAACAUCCAGUUGGAGCUUGAGGUAAAUUCAAUAAGAGGACGAUUUUAAUUUUCUUUGUGUGUUUUAAUUUGUUUUUCUGUUUGUGUGCUUUAGUUUGUUACCCCAGUAAAGUUGCGGAUAACGGUACUCCGUAACAGUCAAGUUGGUUACUUCAGUUUCCCAUAAUAACUGAUAUUAUGAGGCAAAUGUAUGGACAGAAACGAGAUUCUAGCAAAGCUUCACAAUCGAUUCCUUUCACUUUUCUCAGAAUGCCCUCUUUACAAUCUAUAAAGCUCGGUCUGAACGCAUGCGAUUGUUCAUGAGGAAUAACAUAACUGCUGACAUCUGUUGGUUAAUCGAGGCUAAAGUACGAUUGACAGGUGAGUUACCUCCAAAAUUUAUUGCAUACAUGCUUAGUUGUGGUAAAGGAAAUUAUGCAAGAAAACGAAGAGCUCGAAGGAUUUUUAUUGCUUAUCAUAAGUGUGUAAGAAUGAGUUGCAAUAAAAAACCAUGUUCUUUAGGAAUGAUGUCUGAUAAUAGGGAAGAUAAGAUUCAAUUCAUUAGGGUUGGCUUGAAUAAAGAGUCAUUGGAUGAUAUCCUUUUGUCUCUUGAAAUGCAUCCCAGUGGAUAUGUGCAAGGAGCGAUUCUCCAGUUAUGGCCAUUAUUCCAGAAAGACCAUGCACGAUAUAGUCUCGGAAAUCUGACUAUAAACGACCAUGUUUGCCAGUUUAUAAGAAAAUUGGAUGGGAAGUCCAUCCUCGACCCAUAGAGGGCGUUCAAGCCAUUUCUGAACGUAAAACCAGAGGAAGAUGUGAGCCACAGUCGCAACUACCUGUAAAUAUCCUUUUACUUCACUGUUGUUUUAUUUCACUAUUGUUUUAUCAUUUGUAUUAUUGUCUUUAAUAAUUUUAUUCUAUCACUGUUUACUUUUUCCUUUUUACUAUUUCCUUUUUGACUUGCGAGCCAUGUGCUUUACGUGUUAUUUGAUACUGACAUGCUACCUCAUACACAGCUGUGACCCACUGUCACCAAGAUUAUUAAAUAUGUUUUUUUGUCAAGCACUAACAAAUUAUUUUUGAGAAGUAUCCCAAUGGCAGCUACUCCCAAUAAACAAUUCAAGAAUAUUUGUGUGCUUUCUGGAUUUUACUAUAGCAAACAUAAAGAGUUUGUUGAAGUAGCCAUAAAUUACACUUGGUGUAUGGAGGAGGUAACCGAGGGUUAUCAAAAUUGGUCUCAAAAGCUGCUUUUGUCAGAGGAAGCCAAGUGUUAGGUAUCAUCCCAAGAACCCUAAAACCUUUGGACAGUUUGUCUGACUCACCAGCUGGAGAAGAGUUAGUCGUCUCAGGUAUGCAAGAAAGAAUAACUGAAAUGCUUAAUCAUGCUGAUGCUUUUAUUUUCCUUCCAGGAGAUCUUGCAACACUAGAGGCAUUUAUCACACUAGCAUCUUGGGCCCAUCUGCACAUUCACCAGAAACCUAUCGGUUUGUUAAAUGUCAAUAACUUUUAUGAUGACUUCAUCGCAUUUCUUAACCAUGCAAUAAAAAACUAUUUCAUUCUUUCCACAGCGAAAAAGCUUUUUAUUUAUGCUCACACUGCUAAUGAGCUACUUGAUCUGUUACAAGCUUAUAAACCAGAGCCAGAUUCAAGAACCCUGGUGUUGGAGUCUCCAAAUAAUGAUGGUAACAGUAACUGCAGUAAGAAGUACAAAUUAGAUUUAAUUCUCUGUUUGUAAAUAUUUUCUUCUAUGUUGCACCACCCAUGUAAUGUCUUCUAAACUCUACUUCUUUCCUUUAAAACAUUGAGAAUAAUAUUUCGUUCUAGUUGGGGAGAGGGAAUAGUUGACAAUUGUGGAAUGCUUCAAUCUUGGUUCAGUUUGUACUAAUUUUUUGUUGUAGAAACUAACUGUUGCUAACUUUUUGUGUUGAAGAUGGUUGAAUAUGGAGUGUAGUUACUCUAGAAACGCAUAUUCUUCGUUAAAAAAAAAUUUCAGACAUUUUCUUUUUCUUUAUUAAGCUUUGAUAUUCAUUUUUUUUUACUUCUUCUUUUUAAUUUCUCCUUUAUAAAUAUACAUUUUCAAAUUUUUGAGUCGAAGAUGGCUGAAUAUGGAGUGUAGUGCCUCUAGAAACGCAUCUUCUUAGUUAAAAAAAAACCAUUUUAUUUUUCUAUCAUUUUAAGUGUAACUUUUCUAAUUAGUUUUUCUGCAUUAUUUUCACAUUUCUGCAUGCAUAUUUUCUUUUCAUGUUUAGAAUAAGUUGGGGGGUAGAAUGUUGUUUGAAAAAAAAAUUGUGUGAUUUGUUUUAACAUUGGAUGACAUGAUGAAUUUCAAAUUUUAAUAUUUGUAUUAUCUUUGGUCUUAAGUGAUGUUACGCAAUGUUUGCUACUCUACAUGUUGAUAUCGGAGACAAAUAUGAGUUGCUUGAAGGAAUGAACAUGUCAUAAUAAAUACCAAGUGAGUUUUUGAGCGUAUCAUUUUUCUUGGAGAGUAACCCUUUUGCCCAUUCUUCAUAUAGCUUAGUAGUUUAUUAUUUUAUACACAAUCUCUAGAUUUCUUUUGAGUGACCCUUAAAAAAAGUUGUAAAAUUAAAAAAAAAAAGAAAAAAAAAUGUGUGUUACUACAUCUGGAGGCCCAUCUAACUAGUAGAUAUGGAAGAUUAUUUAGAGCCCUAAAAGACGAUGGAAAAGCCAUCUUUGAUCCGUUUGAGCCUUUCUAGCCAUCCCUUUUAUGAAAUAUCCAUAAUUAACCCUUUGAGCCUUUAAAAAAAAAAACCUUUUCUUUGUCAAACUUAUCAUCUUGACCCACUCCGAUUUGGAGUAUUACCCGAUAUUUUACAAGUUCCAUCACCUAUUUAUGUUUGAGAAAAAUGUAAAUAAUUAUUUUGUUCAGUGAAGUUGUGCCAAACAAAAGCAAAAAAGAAAAUGUUAUUAAAUAAAUAAAUAAAUAAAUAACAAUAAUAGGUGAAAUCCACCUUACAAGUCCCCUCCUUUGUUGAGAUGUUACAACGUAUGGAUUUACCAAACUUAAAACUCUCACUUACAGUUUAUCACCAUACAGUUUACUCAACCUUAGACUGAAUCUGCUUCUCUUGAAUAAUUGCUAUCCCUCUUGAUUCACGAUCCUCAAGGCACUUCACAAAGUGAUUACUAACAAUUCUUCUAUUCUUCAAUGUCAGGUGAUCCAAGAUCCACAUAAACUCACUACUGAGAUGAAAAGAAGAUAAAUAAAUAAAUCAACACAACAUUAUUGUUGAGUGUUAGAAAAUAUAUAUUUAUAAAGGAGAAAAUCGUCAUUUUACAUUUCAAGUCUUACUAAUACCCUUACUUUUAUGUAUUUAAGCUUCUUGUGAUUUAAUUACGUGUGUUUUAUUUUAAGUAAGUAUUUUAUGUAUUUUAGGGGCAUCAUGGUCAUUUCACAAUGAACGAGAAAUCAGACGGCAAAAUGGACAUCACUUUUGAACUCAGGAUAGUAAAAAACCUUAGGAGGAGCAUAAAAGGAAAAAUAUCACUGUUCACAUGUACGAUAUUGUCCAUGUUACUGUUCAUGACACUGUUCACACAUACGAAAUGAUGACGUGACAUUGACUGAUGAGGUGUCACGAUUUUAUUGGACAAAAUUUAUAUACACUGUUGAUCGGUGACGUGGCAGCAUGUUAGUGGACCAAAAAUUGCGCGUAAGGUACAUGCAUAUACACAGGAUUAUUUUCAACCAAACCGUGUCACUGUUCAAGCCAGUUGGCUGUUCAAACUGCGUACUGUUGACUGAUAACGUGGCGCAAUCCUAAGCGUCCAAAGUGUUUUUAAUCCGAUGGCCAUGAUUUACUCAAUGUAUCUAUAAAAACGGGACCUCCCCUCCUAAUUUGAUAUCUCUGAAUCCAUUUUUGGGCUCCAUUUUCUGUAAUUCCUUCUCCAUCUUGUAUUUUCUACGUAUUUUAAUGAAUUUGCAUUUUGCCCCUAGUUCAAUUAUGAGUAGCUAAUUUUCUUUCAAGCUUAGGUUGAAGGUGAAGUCUCAACAUGUGUCAUGGGCUUUAAUUGGUAAAUCUACUUUCUCUUCCCCUUUAGUUUUUGUGGAUGUUUUGACUUCUCGUCGACAAAUAAUAAUAGUCUUGUCUAGAUACCACCCUGAUUUCACCGGCUCCCUAGUACAAGGUUAUUAUUAUUUGACAUGAUAAGCCCUUAGCACCAUAUUAAUUAGAUUGUGGUUCAUGAUGUGUGGAUUCCCCCCUCAUGAUUUAAUUGACAUUAAUAAGGAAUAUUUAGCCCAUGGUGCAUGUUGAUACGGAUCCAGAUACUCAAGUACGUCAUUUCAAUAGAUUUCUCUUCAAUUUAUUCUCGCUAUUUCAAUUCUAAUUUUAGGAUAAUCUAAAUCACUUUCACCACAAAUCCAACUACCCUCAUACAAAGUUAAUUCUACAUAUAAUUAAAAUCUACCUACUCGUGGGAUCAACACUCGUCACCAUUAAUCUAUUUUACAAUAAAUUCGUGCACUUGCGAGUUCAAUAAAAUUUGCACAACAAUUAUGCACCAAAUCCAGAUUCUCUAGGGAGGAGGCCGAAUUUUGCUUCUCUGCUUUAUGCUCUGUGUUGUGUGUACCUUCAAUUGUGAAAUAUCUCUCUUUACAUAGGCAUUAGGGUUUCACCAAAAUAGUAAGUCUUAAAAGAAUUAGAUUCUUUUCAAAUAAGAGUUUCUUUUCUCUUAUAAUUCAAAUGAAUCUGAAUAGGAAUAAAUAUGAUCUUCUUGACUUGCUUGUCUCCCAAGAAAUAUCUAGAGCAUUUGAUGAACUUUCUGUUUGAACCAACUUCUUUCUCUAAAUAGAUCUCAUGAGUCAAUUAUAGAAUCCCAUCAUUAAUAGACUUUCUAAAUUAGAGAUCUAAUUAAAUUUGGAAAUAAAUAUUCCUAAUAAAUUGGAAUCUCACUAAAUUAAGGAAUUAAUAAAUUAACCAUAUUACAAGAUAUGCAAUAAAUAAAAUUCAAUUUAACUAGACUUGCCAUAAGAUGCCAACUUUAUAAAUAAUGGACUUAACACAGAGUACACAUUCUGCAUCUCGGAUCAAGUGCGUUCGAGGCACAUAAGAUCUAUCAACGGUAAAACUUUCUACCUUUACUUACAAGUAUAUGCUGAACCCAUCAAUUUGUGAUCUUUUUACUACGAGUUGUGGUAUUCAGAAAAUAAAAAGUUUGCCUAACAAACUAAUUGUCUGAAUACUAAAUUGUGAUAUUUAUUUAUUUUUAAAAUAAUUUGUAAAAAUACUUGAAAUAAACAAAAAAAUUACACCUAAUCCGAACAUUAUCCAAAUCCAUUCUAAUUGACUUGAAUCCAAUUUUAACCCGAACCCGACCCAAUAUGCGUGCAAUCAUGAGCUGAUCCGAUUCAAACUCAAUUUGAUUUUUUGCUUCGAUCUGAUCCAAUCCGAACUAAAUUCAGAUAGGAUUACAAGUUCAAUUAUUUUUUUUUCUAACCCAAAUAAUCCGAAACUUGAUCUAAUUGAUCCGAACUCGAAUUUGUCCACUCCUAUCUAAGGAGAAUCGAACAAAAGAAAAGAUUUUAGAUCAAGUGAAUCGUCGUAACAAGAUUUGUUUAGUUUCGUCUUGAUUCAAAUCCAACAUCACUCAACUCAAUUCUAGUAUCAUUAAUUUAAAGGGACUAAGUGAGGAUUUUUUUAGUGUUUUAAAAAGUGUACCUAGUAAAAAUAUUUUUUAAAAAUUAUUAGAUGAGUGUAUAAAAUACCAGAGUAUUCUAAGCAUUUUUUAAAGUGUAAAUAGCUUCACCAUUUGCUUUUUUACCGUUAAGGGUGUUUAUAUGACAGAGUAAUUCUACGUUUUCUUAAUAAUAGCCUAAGAGAUUUUCUCCCAGCUGAUGUGUUGACAGUUUUAAUUUGAAGGUGGGUUGAUUAAUUAAGUAAUUUGAAAAAAAAAUUAAAAUCAUACCAUCCUAAUGGAUGAAUAAAUACCAUAUUAUACGUGAGGAUUGUAAUAUAAAAUAUAUAAAUCGAACUUCUUAAAUCUCUUCUAUGCUGGCUUUUUGUUCAACAAUAGAAACGUUAUCUCUCUUUUGUGCUCUCUAAAUAUUUCUUUGGAUCAACUUUACUUGUUGCCAGUGAAUAAUUUAUUUAUUGAUCAAGGCGGUAUUUAUGUUCUAUCUUUCUCUUCUUAAUUUUGUUAUUGAAGAAUAUUAGCUUAUCUUAUUAUGUGUUAAAAUUACUUUAUUUUCACAUGUGCCACCAGCUCAUUACAUGCAUAGUAAAAAAUGUGCAGUAGUAUGAGUUGUUUCAUAGUCUAAUUACCUAAUGUUUUCUUGCAAUUAUGUAAGUUAUGAAAAACGUAUUAUAUGUAACGAUAAUCUUGUUACUAUUAAGGAGCAAUUUGUUACGGACAAUAGAGACUGGCCGCAGAUGCAGGGUUCGAAAGAAUUCAAAGAAAGUGCCUUAUGUUACAACUUGCCGGCAUCCUAUCAAAAAAAAAAAAAAUGUUGCGGGUGUUUCGACGCUUUCUUUCUGACGAGAAAGUAUAUGGUACAUAAAAAAUAAUAUAAUUAAUUAUAACAUGUGUAAUACAUGUAAUUAAAUUUAAUAAAACUAUCAUUUACUUGUUGUCUUUUUAAAGAGUAAUGAUAGGUAUCUCAAUAUUUAAAUUUUAAUUUAAAUUUCAAUUGAUAUGACAUUUAUUCAUUAAAUGGUAAUUAAGUAAUUUUAUUAAUUAUGAAAUCUAUUAUUCAAUAUAUGAAGGACACGUAGCAUUGAGAUUCAAAUUGAAAUUCAAAUGUUGAGAUUCGUAAUAUUAUUAAUUUUUAAAAUAAAUAAAUAAAUAAAAUAAUAUUAUUUACUUAUUUUAUGACUGAUGUGACACUUUCAAUAUAUUCUAAAAUUUCUCGUUUCUAACAUAACAAUUGGCAUGCAUAUGAGUUGUCGGUGGUUUAAUAAACUAUUUUCACCAAGUGGACUUCAUCAAAGAUUACUACAUAGAUCAGGCGGAAAUGCAUUCUGAUUAUUCAAAUGUUUUGUAAAGUAAUUUAUUUUAAAAAUUCCAAAAUGAUGCACGGUGGUAGUAGUUGCCGGCCGCCGACUACACAUUUAUUUUCAUAUAUUAAAUUUGCUCAACUGAUUCUUAAUCAUUUAAUACAUACAUAAAUAUUCAUUUAAAUAUCUACAAAGUGAAAACGCAGCCAAUAAAAUAGUGGGACUAGUGAAUAUACAAAACCAAAUUAAAUAAAUCAUAAUUGAGUAAAUGGCCGGUAUUUUUGUCCAUAAAAAUCCUAUAUAUAGUUGUUUCCUGCCAUUUCCCAUUACAAUUCCUUCACAAACCAAACAAAGGAAUCAAAAUCUCUUUCCCCAUUCCUUUCAUGAUUCUCCAUUUCUUUACAUUCUUCCAACCAAAUUGAUUUAUAACUCGCUUCCUCUCGGCCCUAUAAUUCGAACUCAAGUAAUCAGCCAAAUAAAACCUCUUGAAAACCACUCAAUCAAACUCAGAGGAGAAACCGAACACCACAUCUCAGCUUGUCAUAUCUGUAGCAAUACGCGCUUACUCUACGUAGUACUGAUAUUGUUCUUCUACUAUAAUUUCAUGCCUAGCUCAGCUAUGAGGUCUAUCAAAAACUUAACAACGGAUCAGUCUGCUCUUCUUGCAUUUAAAUCGCAUAUGAUCAGUCUGCUCUUCUUGCAUUUAUCGGGAGGCCAAUUUCGCAGCAGAUUUCCUUGCUACUUUCGCGCUCUCACUCCCUCUUGGGCUCCAUGUUUUACCUAACCCUCCCCCCGGUGUUGAUGUUUACUUGCACAGUGAUAGUUCGGGGGCUGCAUUCCCUCGUUUUUUUAAGCUUUAGCUUUUGCUAGGCUCAUUUUUCGUUGACCAAAAAAAAAAAAAAGCGCAUAUGAAAGAUCCUCAGAGUGUCUUGGUAAAUAAUUGGUCCAUUACAUACCCAGUAUGCAGUUGGAUUGGCAUUUCCUGUGGUGCUGGCCGUCAUAGAGUCACAGCCUUAAAUCUUUCAACUAUGGGUCUCCAAGGCACCAUUCCUCCACACUUGGGAAAUCUAUCAUUUCUAGUGUAUCUUAAUAUUAGCCAUAACAAAUUUCAUGGUCAUCUACCUAAUGAAUUGGGGCAACUACGCCGACUCAGAUUCUUUAGUGUCACUAAUAACACGUUGAGUGGAAGCUUUCCGCCAUGGAUAGGUGUCUUAUCUAGACUCUGAUUGUUGAGUCUUUAUUGCAACAACUUCAGAGGUCCCAUCCCAGAUUCACUCUUCAACUUGUCAAUGCUAGAGUUCUUGGACUUGGGGCACAACUUAUUGCGGGAACAUUCCUUCCAAGAUGGGCGAGCUGUCGAGUUUGAAUAAGCUCUUAGUGGAGAACACAUAUCUUUCAGGCUCCAUACCUUGGAGCUUGUACAACAUUUCCUCCUUGGAAAGGAUUGAUUUAAGUUCCAAUAGCCUGUCUGGUACUCUGCCGAAUGAUAUAUGUAUUCGUCUGCCAAAGCUUGAGACACUAUACUUGGGUGCAAACCAAUUCUUCGGCCAUAUUCCGUCAAGUUUAAGUGAGUGCACUCGACUUCAAAUUUUGUGGCUGUCGGAUAAUCAAUUCACAGGACGGCUGCCAGAAAAUAUUGGAAACUUGAGUAAGCUUAUGGUUCUAGGUCUUGGCAAAAACAACCUACAAGGUAUGUCCUACACCUCAUCUUUAAUUUUUAAGCAGAUCUGCGUUUGCAUUUCAUCAUUUUAUACAAGUAAUUUUGGUUUAAGAAAAAAAAUGCUAAAAACCAAACAUGUCAAAGUCCGGCCCCUUUGUAUAUGAUGCAAAAGAUUUCAAUUUUUAUUAAGUCAUGGUUUAAAUUCAAACUAAUAUAUUUGGCCUAAUGCGACUCAAUUUUCUCACCAUGUGACUGGUGUUCAAAACUUAAAACUUUUUAAGUAAAUGGGUAAUAUAUACCCAGGGGCGUGACCAGUAGGGGCUGUGGUUUUGAUUUGACAACAGUGAUCCACUGCUCAACUGCAAAAGAGCUACUGGAUACACUUAUAAGUAUGUUUGUCUCUCAGUCCCAAGCUAGAAUAAUGCCUCUAAAAAUGCAGAUCCAAACUCUUAAAAAAGGUUCAAUGUCCAUGAUUAAUUAUUUUGCAAAAAUGAAAAGGAUAUCUGAUAGCUUAGCUUUAGCUGGAAAACUUGUUGAAGUGAAUGAUUUUGUUCAACAUGUUUUAACUGGAUUGGAUUCAUCUGAUUAUGAAUCAUUAGUCACUACUGUGUUAGCUAGAGGAGAUAAUAUCAAUCUUGAUGAGUUUUAUUCAUUGUUACUGAGUCAUGAAAAUCGAGUGGAACAAAAGAGAGGAAAAAUUGCAAGUGAUGUUACACAUAACUUGUCAGCUAAUGUUGCUCAAAAGCAGUUCAAUCCUGGUAAAAAUACUGGUGGCAAUCAAAAGUUUAACACUGGACCUUAUGGAGGAGUUUGUAAUUCUGGAGCUGGAUCUGGUGAUGGUAACUUCUCACAAAUUGUAUGUCAGAUCUACUUUAUUCCUGGUCAUAGUGCCAAUAAAUGCAGAAAUAGGUUUAAUUCAGCCUUUGUUCCUACAAGAAAUCAAGGAAGAGGUGGUUUUAAUGGAAAUUUUAGUCCUGGUCAGAGGCAGUAUGGUAGAGGAUUUGGCUAUGCAAAUGGUAAUAGAUCUUCUAUGGUUUAUGGAAAUUUUGGUACAAACUUUAAUCCUCAAUUUGGUGCUGGAAUUGGUAACUCUCAGUUUGGGAAUUUCAACAUACCAAGAGCACCUGGUUAUCAAGGUCAUUUGAUGUACUCAGAUCCAGCUGCAUUCAAUGUUUACCAACAAACUAACUCUCAUGGUGUUUACUCCCCUGCACAUGCUUUUGUGCCAACUGGAGAUUACUCUGGAUCUCCAUCAUCACUCUCAAUUCCUUCAAUUCCUUCUCCAGCUCAUGCACCUGAGAUGAUUGAAGAUCCAGCUUGGUAUAUUGACAGUGGUGCUACUAACCACAUCAUAAAUGAUUCAGGUGAAUUAUUGGACCUUAAGCCAUAUGUUGGAACUAACAAAUUGCUUGUUGGAAAUGGUUCUGCAUUGCAUAUUAAACAUAUUGGAUCAGUAUUGCUAGUUAUUACUAGAAAUAAACCCUUGUGUUUAAACCAUGUUCUCCAUGUUCCAAAUAUUAAAAAGAAUUUACUCAGUGUUUCAAAACUCUUAGUAGAUAACAAUGUGACACUUGAGUUUUUUGAAAAUGUUUGUGUUGUCAAGGCCAGGAACUUAGGGAUCAUUUUGCUUAAAGGAAUUGCAACAGGGGGAUUGUAUCAAGUCAAAUAUGCAGCUCAAUUCUCUGAAACUAGCUCAUCUUUGUCAUGUCAACUUUCUUCCAAUAAACCUCAGUCUUUGUUUGCUUAUCAUUCUCCUUUGUCUAGUGAUGUUUCUUCUGAAAUAAAUAAGAGUACUUCUUUUAAUCAUUUGCUGUGUAAAUCAGCCUUGGCUGUCAAUACUAGUAUAGUUGAUGUCAAUUUUCUUCAUAAAAAGCUAAGACAUCCUGCUUUACACACACUCAAAUAUGUAUUAAAAGCUUGUAAUAGUCACAAUGUACUCAAUAAAACUCCAAAUUUUUGCAAUGCCUGUCAGCAUGGUAAAAGUCAUCUUUUACAUUUUGGAUCUGUUCCAACAAAAACAAUAGCAAGUGGUUACAAAUAUGCAAAAUGCUUUUGCUUUGAAGGAUCUGGGAAACUAAAUUACUUUCUUGGGAUAGAAGUUACCAAAACAGCAGUUGGAAUGUAUCUCUCUCAGUCAAAAUACAUAGCUGAUCUUCUAGCCAAACACACUAUGGCUGAUUGCAGUCCAGUUUCUACUCCCAUGUCAACUGGUUAUUAUCUUACAAAAGGGUUAAGAAAUGUUAUUUCAAAUGUUUCUCAAUAUAGAAGUGCAGUUGGAGCUUUACAAUAUGUGACUCUCACUAGGCCAGAGAUAGCCUUCUUUGUAAAUAAACUUAGUUAGUUUCUAGCUUCACCAACAGCAGAGCACUGGGAGGCUUGUAAGAGGCUUCUUAGAUAUUUGAAAGGAACAAUUCAUUUUGGAUUACACUUUAAUCAUUGCGGCACUAUGCAGAUAAAUUGUUUUAGUGACUCAGAUUAGACAUGUGAUAAGGAUGAUCACAAAUCAGUGGCUGGAUAUGCUGUUUAUCUUGGUUCAAAUUUGGUUUCUUGGUCAUCUAAGAAACAUGCAGCAGUUUCCAGAUCGAGCACUGAAGCUGAAUACAGAGCUUUGGAUCAAGCUACAGCUGAGGUCACUUGGAUUCAGUCCUUACUGAGAGAGUUGCAUAUUAAUCUAGUCACAGCCCCCAUAAUGUGGUGUGAUAAUCAAAGUGCUAUAACUCUAGCUCACAAUCCAGUUUAUCAUGCUAAAACUAAGCAUGUUGAGCUUGAUAUUCAUUUCAUCAGGGACAAAGUAACAGCGUAGCAAAUUACAGUUCAAUUCAUUCCCAGUGAAGACCAAAAUGCAGAUGUUCUUACAAAGGUUUUAACCUUCAACCAGUUUCACUACCUAAGAAGCAAGCUGAAUGUCCAUCCAGGUCAGUUCAGCUUGAGGGGGGAUGUUACGGAGUAUGAUAAUAUGGUAUAGAUGAGGGCAUCUGAUUAAAUGAAGCAGCUGGUAAUGCUUACGUGUGUUAGUUAGUUAUCCAGCUCAACAGCAAAGCAAACGAACUGUAUUGCAUGUAUAUUAGAUCCAACAAACUGUUAAACUGCGAGAUUCUUCUUUCAUUUAGUAUAAAUAUCAAGUUGUAAUCAUUUGUUAAAGAUAUAAUAAGAUGAUCAUUUUUAGAGCUUUCUUUUAUAAUUUUCUAUCACUUUCUCGUUAGUUUCUCUUGAACCAAACACUGUGUACGAACUCUUUCACAUUCCACCCACCAUCUUCAAUAUUUCAACCAUAUCACUCAUUAAUCUAUUCAACAAUCAACUCUCUGACCAUCUACCAUCGACAAUUGGCCACUCGCUGCCAAACUUGGAGCUAUUUUCUUUGGCAAAGAAUAAACUUACAGGGACAAUUCCCAACUCCAUCACCAAUGCUUCCAAACUCACGAUCCUAGACUUGAGCUUCAACUCUUUCUCUGGUCUGAUUCCAAACACGUUUGGCAACUUGAGAUUUCUCCAUAUGCUUAACCUAGCAAAUAAUAACUUGACGAUAGAAUCAUCUUCAGGAGGGUGGAGUUUUCUCUCUUCUUUGAGUAAUUGUAGAGAUCUAACAAGUUUAGCCUUUGCUUCUAACCCAUUACAUGGCCUCCUUCCAUCAUCAAUUGGAAAUUUCUCUGCUUCUCUUCAAAAAUUUUUUGCAUACAAUUGCAAACUCAAGGGUAGCAUUCCUCAGGAAAUUGGAAAUUUACGUGACUUGAUACUUUUAAGCCUCUUUAACAAUGACUUGAAUGGAACUAUUCCAACAACGGUAGGAAGAUUGCAGCAGCUGCAACUUCUAGACCUCUCUGAUAAUAAUUUACAAUGAUCUAUUCCCUAUGAUCUUUGCCACUUAGGGCGGUUGUUUGUUUUAUUCUUAAAUGAAAAUAAGCUCUUUGGACACAUACCACAAUGCUUGGCGAGCUUGAUAUCUCUAAGAGCACUCAACUUAGAUUUCAAUAAACUCACUUUUAGUAUACCAUCCUCCUUUUGGAGUCUAGAGUACAUCUUGCAGAUAAACUUGUCGUCAAAUUCAUUAAACGGUUCUCUUCUUUUUGAUAUUCAAAACUUAAAGUUCUUGAUAGAAUUAGAUUUAUCAAGGAAUCAAUUGUCAGGCGAUAUUCCGAUGACUAUUGGUGGCCUCAAAGAUUUGGCAACUUUAUCCUUGGCUGCUAAUAAAUUUCAUGGUCCUAUCCCUAAAUCAUUUGGUAGCUUGAUAAGCUUGGAAUCUUUGGAUCUCUCUAGCAACAAUCUCUCUGGAGAAAUUCCCAAGUCAUUGGAGGCACUCUUAUAUCUCAAACAACUUAAUGUGUCUCAAAAUAGGUUAGAAGGGGAAAUUCCUGUAGAAGGGCCUUUUAGAAACUUUUCAACUAAAUCGUUUUCUUGGAAUUAUGCACUUUGCAGUCCAUCAAGAUUCCAAGUCCCACCUUGCAAGGAAGAGAACAAUAAAAGAUAUAAGAAAGUCGCUCUACUUGUCUUGAAUUAUAUUUUGCCUCCAAUAAUAUCCAUUAUGCUUUUAUUGAUUGCCAUCAUUGUGUACGUAAGAUUCCAAAAUAGGAGUACAAAAAAAUCUGAUGAGGAAGAUUUGUUACCUCUCGUAACAUGGAGAAGAAUAUCGUAUCUGGACAUUCAACGACCAACAGAUGAAUUUGAUGAAUGCAACUUGCUUGGUAUAGGUAGCUUUGGAUAAGUUUAUAAAGGUACCCUUUCUGAUGGGACUAAUGUUGCAAUUAAGAUUUUCAAUUUACAGCUAGAGAGAACGUUCGUGAGUUUUAAUUCAGAAUGUGAAGUAUUGUGGAAUGUUCGUCAUCGAAAUCUCAUAAAAAUCCUUAGCGGUUGUAGUAAUCUAGAUUUUAAAGCCUUGGUACUUGAGUUCAUGCCCAAUGGUAGUCUUGAGAAGUGGCUGUAUUCUCACAACUAUUUCCUAGAUAUCCUAGAGAGAUUGAAUAUAAUGAUAGAUGUGGGAUUGGCUCUUGAGUAUCUCCAUCAUGGUCAUGCAUUAGCACCUAUAAUUCGUUGUGACUUGAAGCCUAGCAACAUUCUCUUGGAUGAAAAUAUGGUUACACAUGUGAGUGAUUUUGGUAUUUCUAAACUCUUAGGCGAAGGAGAUGAUUCUCUGAUACAAACCAAGACAAUGGCUACCAUUAGUUAUAUGGCACCAGGUAAAUUUUCAAUUUUCAAAUUAUAUUCUUUAUUAUUUCAAGAACAUGCAAAUUUUUGGUCUAUUAUUAUGAUAAGAUUACUAGUUUAGUAUUUGUUUCACAAAAAAAUGUAGAGUACGGGUCAGAGGGAAUUUUUUCAACCAAAUGUGAUGUCUAUAGUUAUGGUAUUUUAUUGUUGGAAACUUUCUCAAGAAAGAAGCCUACAAAUGAUCUGUUUACGAGAGAAAUGAGUUUAAAGCAUUGGGUAAAUCAAUCAUUACCUCAUAAAUUGGCUGAAGUUGUUGACUCAAAUUUGGUGCGACAAGAGCAUUCUUUUUCUGCCAAAAUGGAUUGUUUAUUAAGCAUCAUGAAUUUGGCAUUGGAUUGCUGUAUGGAGUCACCUGAUGAGAGGAUACAUAUGACAAAUGCUGCAGCAAAGCUCAGGAAGAUUAAAGUGCAGUUUCUCGAUGAUGUUGCAAAAACUAAUUAAUGUAACAUUUGUUGUAUAUGUUUGUUAACUUUGUGAGUACCAUAAGAAUCUAUUAUGGUACUCACGAAUAGUGUCCCCUAUAUUGUCAAGUGUACUUCUAUUAAUCCAACUAGAAUAGAUUAUAUCAUGUUAGAAUUGUGACUUGUACUCCCAAUGACCCAGUCAAAACAUGUCACAAAUAACUACAAAAAAUAAGUUAAAAUAUUCAAAAAUGCAUUCAUUAAUACAAACUUGAAACUCAUGCUUUCUCUAAAAUUAAAGCAAAGAUCAUUUAAACAUUUAUUCAGUUACACAAAUAUAUUUGCAAAACAUAUUUAAAGCAAAAAGAAAAAAAUAUUUGGAAAACAUUUAGAAAACAAAAGAGUUCAUCAUAGAUGAGUCUACUUAAUUACAUGGAUCCAAAAGCAAAUCUUAAUCUUUCACUUACUAAUCCAAAACAUCACCAAACACGUUUGAAGCAAAGGAACGUAAGAAAAUGCAAAAGCUUUUCAAAGAGUUUUAAUUGUGAAAAGAGGGGUAAUUUUCAGAUACCUCCCCUGAGGUUUACCCCUGCUACACUUAGAGAGAAUGUAUGAAUAUAUUGACACAUAGCACCCCUGAACGUAUAUAACCAUUAGGGAGCCAUUUGGUUUGACAAUAAAAAUACAAUAAUGCCCUUCAUUCUACAGUACAAGAACUGACAAUUGGUCUUACAUUACAGAGUUGUCAAAUCAUCUUUUGCUUCUUAGCGCCGAGUGCAUAAGAACAUCUCUUAAUAUAUCAAUGGAACGCCUAUGAGUUAAAAUGCGAACAAGAGCCUCUUCCAUUGCAGCUUGCAGUGGUAAUUUUAGCAUGAUAUUAGUCUUAUAAAAAAAAUGCAAGAGAAAACAAAUCGGAGAAUUCAAAUAUGAGACAAAACUAAAAAUCAAAUACCUGCACAGAGAUGGCAAAAUCCGGGUCCGGGUCCGGGUCCGGGUUUAGCCUUCCCGGUUCCGGACCCGGACGCCAUUUUCUUUCUCCCGGACCCGGAUUAAAACCCGAUUUUUUCACUCUGGGUUCGGUACGGGUUCAACCCGAAAAAAUUCGGGUUUCCAGAUUCCAGGUUUUGAACCCGGAUCAAUGAAUUAAUUUCUAUAAUUCCAAAAAUAAAAUCUUCAUAUGAAGAUGGCGAUUUUUCACUAGAACCAGAGAAACUAUUUAUGGCACCUAGAGGGAGUUCCCUCUGUUUUACAGAUCAUUUAUACAAAACAAAAUGAUUAAAUACCCAAAAAAGAGGAUCACAUGUCUGUAGAUUUGGCACGCGGAAAAGAUUCAAUACAAUCUCCAAAACCAUUUUAGAAUCCGCGAUGGUGAAGAUGCGUUGUCACAACUCAAACAACGACAGCCGAUGAUGAUGAAUACAGGAGCUGCAAGGUUGCGACGGUGGUGAACCCAAGAGAACGAGUUGCGACGGUGGCGAACCAAGCUUGCGACGGUGGUGAACCCAAGAGAACGAGUGGUGACGGUGACGAACCAAGCUUGCGACGGUAGCAGCUUGGAUCGUAUGGUUGUUUGGUUGCAGUAGGCGGCAACUUCAAUGUGUGAAUGUGAGUCUGUAAAUUAGGGUUUUUGUUAUGUUUGUAUUUAUAUUAAAUAAUAAAUAUAAUUAAAAAAUAAUAUUAAAAUAAGAUAUCCGGGUCCGGGUUCCGGAUAUACGGGUUACGCUAAACCUGGAACCGGACCCGGAUCUAUCCGGGUCGUUAAAAUUCAUUCCGGAUCCGGAUUUUUUUACACUCCGGUACGGGUUCAACCCGGUCCGGAUUAUCCGGGUUCGUCCGGGUCCGAUUCAGGUCCGGGUUAUUCUGCCAUCCCUAUACCUGCACAAUUGAAGAAAUCAUUGUUAAUGAGGCCAGCUUUUUGCCUUCAAGACUUGCUGCAACUGAUUCACAUAGUUUCUCAACUAUCUUCUCAGCCUAAAAUGUCAGUGCUCAAGUCCAUUAGCAACUUCUUAAGAAUGAUCAGAAUAGCCAAUGAAAGAAAACUAAUAAACAUCAGAGGAAAAAGGUAAAAGAUUCAGAUACAUACAACAUUCUUGGUCAUGAGCCUAUCCUUAAGAGAUUUCAGAGUGGGUUCUAAGUCUGCCUUAUCCAAGUUUGCCUUUCCAGCAAUACUGAGUUAAAAAUAAAGACGAUUUAAUAAAUAGAACAUAUUUUUAACAAACAGAUUUAUUGACAGAUUAAUCAAACAAAAUUGAGUUGUCAAAGAAAAAUACCUAUGGAACAUAGAUGAAAACCAGCCCGUCUUCUUAGCAUCAGGCUUGUUGUGCUUAUCCACUUCUUCAUCUUUUUUGGAUUCACUAUCACUGCUGAAAACCUCUUCCUAGUCCAUCAUACUUUCACCAUGAUCUGUUGCCUCAACCUCGAUAUUACUACCAUUUCCACCUGCAGGAUCCGUGAAGUCCAAUUUGGACUCUGGAGGCGAAUCGUCCCAAAAUCUGUUCUUCUUUGUUGUCUUUUUCUUUGGGUCUGGUUUUGAACCCUUGCUAACAACAGUAUCAGUUUUCUUACUACCUUUAUUUCUUAACUUCUGUAACUUACUGGCAUCAAAAGCCCCAAUAUUAGAACUUGUAUUUUCUUUACCGUUAGCAAUACCUGUUACCCUAGAUUUUUCAAUCUCAACAUUGCUGACAUUAGAGUGUCCAUUCUCCAAUUUAUGGCCUCUCAUAUUAUCACUAUCCCCGUCAUCAUUUGCCGACCCACCUCCACUCCUCUUACUUCCCCUUUCAAAUCCACUCUUUUGCAGCUAUCCUCCCUGCUUCUUAAGGUUAUUCAUAGGCAUAGUAACUUGCUUUGAUUUUUUUAACUCCUCCGCCCUCGCUUCUGCCUCUUUCCUAAGUUGUCUAAACAUUUCAUCAAAAUCUGAAUAGUUAGUUCGUUUUCAUCAAAAUCGUAAAUAUCAGCCUUGUCUUUGUUCUUAUGCACUUGGCGCCAAGAAGUAAGGGAUGAUUUGACAACUCUAUAAUGUAAGAUCAAUUGCCAGUUCUUGUACUGUAGAAUGAAGGGUAUUGUUGUAUUUUAUUGUUAAACCAAACGGCUCCCUAAUGCUUAUAUACGUUCAGGGGCGCUAUAUGUUAAUAUAUUCAUACAUUCUCUCUAAGUGUAGCAGGGAUAAACCUCAGGGGAGGUAUCCGAAAAUUACCCGUGAAAAGAGAGAGUAAAUAUGUAUUGAGCUUUAAAAAACUGUGGUUUGUUUUCUAUUAGAUACAGAAGUUACAGUAAGCUACGAAAGGUAGUUAAAAAAAUAACUAAAGUAAAUAUAGGUAUUUUUUAAUCUUUUAAAGGGUAAUUUUUAGGGACCUCCCCUAAGGUUUGGGUAUUGACACUUGGAUAAAAAGUAUAAUCAUAAUUACAGAGACUUCUGGUUGCUAUUUGCACUCAAUUUCCUUAACCGUCAGUUAAGCGGCAAUAGCUCAAAACUACCCUUAGAACCAAAUAUCAAAUUAAUCAUUACAUUUUAACAUUGUUAGCAAAUAAAAAUUUGACAUCAAACAUUCAUCAACUAUAAAAUAAAAUUUAAAAAUUUAACAUAAUACAACAGUUCAAAAUUAAAUUUGAUAUUUCUAAUACACAAAAACUCAUUCUUAACAUUUGUUUAGUUCCAUUGAUCUUUAAAGUACUUCUAGUUACACGAUAUUUUUCAACCAUCUCCUUUGGCUUAAGAAUUUAUUAUCCACCAGUAACUUCAACCUUUGCUCUUUUCUCUUCUACUUGUUUAUGAAGUUUACCUACCUUAUUUUUUAAAAUUUUUAGCUAUUUUGCCUUCUUCCUACCAAUUACUGAAUGUGCUGAAGAUGAAAUGAGAAAUAGCACAAAGAAAGAAAAAAAAAAUCUCGAAUAAGAAGAGUCAGGUUACCUCAAUCUUUUUCAGCUGGGCUUAUAAAUUCUUUCUUGCUAUUUUCACAUGCAGCAACGGCCGAGAGCUUUUUUGCCUUGAUCAACAUUUUCAACACAAUUGAUUCAAUUCACAUAUGAUCAGUAGGAAAAGCAUUUAAAAAUUUAUAUUUUUACUCAUUCAUGGUUAAAUUAUUUAGUCAAUAAAGGUGAGUUGUGCACACCAGUUCUGACGUACAUGUUAAAAGAAAGACAAUUAGAGAAAGGCAUACUUGUUCUCUGCUUUUGUUUAUUCAUAAAGACUCUGUUUCCUUUUCGACCUCUACAAGAGCAUCAUCUAAAAAAACGUAACAUGAGACCACAAGUUAUUUGCUUGGGAACUUAUGUAUAUUUAAUGCAAAUUGAAUUAUGUCAUUGUGCUCAACAUAAGAUUUUGACAAAACCCGCACCAACUUUCAUUUGAAGCAUUAUUAUAAUCACUUCAAAAAGGAAACGAUGUCAUUUUACAUCUUAAAAGCAACAUUAACUAAGUUUUUAGAAAAUUUAGGGGCAAAAACAUAGUUAAAAAUCAGGAAUGGCACUACUGCUUUCUUUGUAAAAAGAGCAGAUGCAGUCUUUAAUCGACGUUACAGAAUCAUUUUAUUGGUAAAAUAACAAAUAAAAACACAAGGCAGCUUCAAUAAAACAAAUAACUUGCAUCUUUUACACAAACAUCAUCUGACAUUUCUUCAUUGUAUUUGUGGCUAAUGCUUUUCUUAUCAGGUGACAAAGAAUUCUCCAUAUUAAGAAGCUCCAACAAUAUCCUUUCACUACAAGAAAAAUGAUAUUUUAUUACAAAAAAAAUUAGCUAUUAAAGAAAAUAAAUUGGUCACCUUAUAUUUAUUAUGACAAAAAAUAAAUCGUCACACGUUAGUCAUAGAAAGACCGUCUUAAAAAGUUCUAGCGACCAAAAUUAUUUUCGUCACCGAAAAAUAAACUUUUUUAUGACUAAACAUUUCGUCUCAAAAUAAAGUUUUAAGAAUCAUAAAUGAUAUUAAAAAAUAACAAAAUAGUGAUUUGAAAACAUAUUCGAAACAAUAUUUUUCAGUCAUUUAAUGUUCCUUUCAAGAAGUAAUUGUCUCCAAUUAUUAGAUUCGGUGACUUUUUUUCUUUGUUGUAGAUUAUAGUUAUUAUAGUCUUUUACUUUUUACUAAGAUUGUAGGUGACUAAUCUUUUUUGUCAUUAGAAAAUAUCAUUGGUGACUAAAUUUAAUAGUCAUAAGAAGUCACAUCAAAUUAAAUUUAAUGACCAAAAUUUUUAAGGAGAACAUAUUAUUUUUUUGGCAUUUAUUGUUGUCAUCAAUUGAGCUUACAAUAUUAAAAUAACAAUUAAAAAGAAAACUACAAACAUUGAAAUUAAGAAUGUACAGAUGAACAAAUAUUUAUAAAAUUAAAUAAACAAAAAUAGAUUAAACAUUUACAAAGUCAUUUCUAGCUGUCAUGAAAAUUAACUUGAACUUGUCUUUCAUUGUCUUCUUCAAACGCUUCCAAACUUGUAGAUAAAAGACAUCGGUCUCAAAAUUAUCCUACAAUAAAAUUUUGACAAAUAUAACAUUCUAUAGGAAGAAAAUUCUCCAAGUGAAAUUAAAAUAAUAAAUAAUCAAUUUGUAACAAAAAGGUAGAGCCUUACAAAUAUUAUAAUAGCAAAUUAUAUAUAAUUCUUUAGCCAAUUUGCUUCUCUUUUGCUUAUCUCUACUUGAAAUUUCACAAGUAUUUGUUGGCCAUAGUAAUCGAAAUCCGAUGCACGUAACAAACUAGAUAAUAAUUAAAUAAGAAAAGAGAAAGUUUAAAUAAAACAUGUUAUUUCUGUUGUAACUUCAAUGGUAACACUUGUCUCCUUGUCCUCAUCGGUAAACGCGAGAAUAUUCGGGNNNNNNNNNNNNNNNNNNNNNNNNNNNNNNNNNNNNNNNNNNNNNNNNNNNNNNNNNNNNNNNNNNNNNNNNNNNNNNNNNNNNNNNNNNNNNNNNNNNNNNNNNNNNNNNNNNNNNNNNNNNNNNNNNNNNNNNNNNNNNNNNNNNNNNNNNNNNNNNNNNNNNNNNNNNNNNNNNNNNNNNNNNNNNNNNNNNNNNNNNNNNNNNNNNNNNNNNNNNNNNNNNNNNNNNNNNNNNNNNNNNNNNNNNNNNNNNNNNNNNNNNNNNNNNNNNNNNNNNNNNNNNNNNNNNNNNNNNNNNNNNNNNNNNNNNNNNNNNNNNNNNNNNNNNNNNNNNNNNNNNNNNNNNNNNNNNNNNNNNNNNNNNNNNNNNNNNNNNNNNNNNNNNNNNNNNNNNNNNNNNNNNNNNNNNNNNNNNNNNNNNNNNNNNNNNNNNNNNNNNNNNNNNNNNNNNNNNNNNNNNNNNNNNNNNNNNNNNNNNNNNNNNNNNNNNNNNNNNNNNNNNNNNNNNNNNNNNNNNNNNNNNNNNNNNNNNNNNNNNNNNNNNNNNNNNNNNNNNNNNNNNNNNNNNUUUUUUUAAUGAUUAUUGUUAAAAAAUAUAUUUUAUUUAUUAUUUAUAAAAAUACCCCAGGUCAAUUGUGAAAUUUUGAAGGUGCCAAAUGUAAUUUUUAAAAAUUUCCUGCUGCCCCCUAACUUAAAUGUCUAAAUCUAAAUAAUUUGAUCAGUUAUUAUAAUUUCAUAAAAAUCCACAAAGACAAAAACGAAAACCGCCCUUAUCAAAUAAAAUCUAUUAAAAAAUCAAUUAAAGUAAGUGAAAUCUAAACUUUACUCUUUUUUUCGUCUCUUCCAUGGAAUAAAGUGUGGUGGGUGGAAUUCAUAGCAGAUUAGGCAAUUUGCAGUGCUUAUUAGUUGUCACCAGUGCGUGAAUUUCUUCUCAAUUUCUUCAUUUGUGUCGCUUGAUGUUUUAAAAUUGUAAGUUUAUUAAUCCUAAAUUUUUAUUAUUUCAUUGUUUUUUACAUUUUAAAAUUGCUAAUUUUAUUAUAUAUUCAUGUUUGAUUUUUGUGUUGCCAUAGAUGAAUAUUUUUGCCAUUAUUAAAAGAUUUAAGAACAAAUUAAUUUAUUAAGAUUAGUACACUAUACAAUGAAAUUUUAAUGAAGACCUAUAAUAUUUUGUCUAGUUCUGUAACUGUAAUUUUCAUGUAUAUUUUUUAUGAAGAAUUUUUUCUUUGAAUGAUAAAUAUCAUACUUAUUCGACAAAUAUAUUUCUUGGAACAGCCAUGGAUAAAUAUUUAAGAAAGAAUUCAGCAACUGCAACCUCAUUAGGAAAAAUGUGUGGCAAUUCAAAAGAAAAAGUUAGUCUUAAUUUGCAUGAUCUUCCAAGGGAUCCCGGUUUACGAACAGUAAUUUCAAAGUUAGAUUCUAAUAUUCAAGAUGAAGUUCGAAGAGCAUAUUUGCAAAUGGGUCCUUUUCAACCUCAGGGCCAUGAUUUUCCUACUAGGUUGUUAGGAGAAAAAUCACGACGAUUUGUCCGGAGUUGGUUUGAUAAUUAUCCUGAUUGGUUAGAAUAUACUAUAGUAAAGGAUGCAACUUUUUGUCUUUAUUGUUAUGUUUUCAGAGAAGAAAAUGGUAGUCAAGGGGUUGGUCCAUGCUUUAUUGGUGAAGGGUUUAGAAAUUGGAAGAAAAAAAAAAUGUUGAGACAACAUAUUGGUGGUGUAAAUAGUGCUCAUAAUAUAGCUAGGCGUCGUUGUGAAUCAUUAAUGAAUCAAAAGGCACAUGUUGCUACAUUUUUCUUUAACCAUUCUAAAAAAAUUAAAAGGGAGUACCGACUUUGUUUAACUGCUGUAAUUGACUGCAUUCGAUUUCUUUUGAGACAAGGCCUUGUAUUUCGUGGUAAUAAUGAAUCUCAAAGCUCAAAUAGUAGAGGAAACUUUCUUGAGCUUUUACAAUUUCUUGCUAAUCACAAUAAGGAAAUUAAAGGUGUUAUUUUCAACAAUGGUCCAACAAAUCUCCAAAUGACAUCCCCUGAUAUUCAGAAACAAAUUGUAAGUGUUUGUUCAGCUGAAAUUUCUAGAGCUAUCAUUAAAGAAAUUGGUGACUCUUUAUUUCUGUUAUGAUUGAUGAAUCUCGUGACAUAUCCACAAAAGACCAAAUGACAGUUGUGUUGCGUUAUGUGGAUAAAAGAGGACAUGUGGUUGAGCGUUUUAUUGGUAUUGAACAUGUUAUUGAUACCAAAGCUGUCUCUCUCAAAGCAUCACUCGACACAGUAUUAGCUAGACAUGGAUUAAGCAUGUCUAGGUUGCGUGGGCAAGGAUAUGAUGGUGCUAAUAACAUGCAAGGCAAACUUAAUGGUUUGAAAACACUCAUUCUAAAAGAGAAUGAAUCAGCUUAUUACAUUCAUUGUUUUGCCCAUCAAUUAUAGUUGGCCCUUGUUUCUAGGGCAAAAAGCACCAAGAAGUUAAUGAUUUGUUCAGUUUAGUUGCUAACGUUAUUAACAUUAUUGCAGCCUUAUCUAAACGAUUUGAUAUCCUUAAAGAGAAGCAUGUUGUUGCAGUUAUUGAAGCACUUAAAAUGGGUGAGCUUCAAAGCGGACAAGGCAUGAAUCAAGAGAUUACUUUAAAGUGUUCUGGCGACACACGGUGGAGCUCACAUUACGGUACAUUAAUAAGCAUUAUUACCAUGUUCUCAUCCGUAAUUAAUGUGCUUGAGAUUAUUGCAAAUGAUGCAUCAAAUUCUGAGCAAAGAUUUAAAGCAAAUUCAACCUUGAAGUUCAUGCAAACAUUUGAUUUUGUGUUUACUUUAUACUUGAUGAAAAAUAUUCUGGGUUUUGCAAAUGAAUUUGUUGAGAAGUGAACUGCAAAUCUAAAUUUGUAGUUGAAUAUGACAUAUUAGUCUUGAGUUUCAAGACUGGAUGAUAUGUCGGUUAUGUGACACAAGUGAGCCGUAUGACAAGCCUGGUGGAUCAGCCAAAUGAAUAAGUUAAGCACAUGAUAUUGCACAUGCUUUACUUAUCCUAAACGACUAAAGAAGGCUGCGUUUUGAGUAAAGUUUCUACACGUGUAUUGAAGCCAGUUUGAACGGCUGUUAAUACUGUUAAGAUCAGCCGGAAAUUUCUGGGUUUGUUACCGACAAAUCCAGGCCUGGUGAACUGGUUUCUGGGGGUUGUUUCUAGAGCAAUUCAGGCGUGUAUAUAAGUCGUCCUCAUUUCAUUGUUGUAUUAUCUAAGUGUGUGAUAAUUUUCUCAACCAUCUUGUAUCUUGUAAACACUAAAUCAGUAAAAGCUCUUUCUCUCUUUCACAAUGGAUGUAGGUCACUUGGUGGUUGAACCACUUAACCCUUUUGUGUUGGUGUGAGAUUGUUUCUCUGUUUUCUUUUGUUUGAUAUCUGUUGCUUUCAAUAAGUAGUUCCACGUAGCAUUGGUUGAUAUUAAUUAGGUCUUUGAUUAAGGCUAAGUCGAGUAGAUCUUAGGGGAUUGAGAUUGGUUAUUUAUUGGUCUUGGUCCCACAGAAUUGUCACAAGCAUUACAAAGGAAAUAUCAAGAUAUUGUGAAUUCCAUGAAAUUAGUUAGCAUUUGCAAACUAGGUCUAUAGAGGAUGAGGGAACAUGGAUGGAAUUCUUUGCUUAGCCAAGUUUCUUCAUUUUGUGAGAAGCAUUUUAUUAGUGUUCCUGUCAUGGAAAAUAUGUUUCUAACUCUUGGAAGAUCAAGGCGUAGAGCGCAAGAGAUCACAAAUAUGCAUCAUUAUCGCAUUGACUGAUUGACCCAAUUAUUAGUUAUUUACUGGUCUUGGUCCAACAAAUUGGUAUUAGAGCUUUCAUUGCUUUCUUUAAUCUUAGAAAUGGGAUCAGCUAGGCUUGAAGUGGAAAAGUUCACAGGUGAAAAUGACUUUCACCUGUGGAGGCUCAAAAUGAGAGCCCUGCUGGUGCAUCAAGGUUUGGAUAAAGCUCAUAUUGAGGAAUCAUCUUCAAAGAAGCCAAGAAAGGUAUCUAAUGAGGAUCUACCUAAUGUGCUAGACAGAGCUCAUAGUGCUAUAAUCUUGAGCCUGAGUGAUGGGGUACUUAGAGAAGUUGGUGGUGAGACGACAGCUGCAAGGUUAUGGAAGAAGCUUGAAGAUUUAUAUACCAAGAAAUCAAUGGCUAAGAGAUUAGCCACCAAGAAAAAGCUUUACACGUUACAAAUGGAAGAGGGGUCAUCAAUUACAGAUCACAUUGAUGCCUUCAAUAAGAUCAUUCUUGAUCUUGAAGACAUAAAUGUAAAGAUUGAUGAUGAAGAUAAAACAAUGAUCUUGUUGUGCUCAUUACCAAGCUCCUUUGAACAUUUGGUUGACACACUAAUGUAUGGGAGGCAGACUCUUACAAUGGUAGAUGUAAAGGAAACUUUGAGCUCCAAGGCUGCUACAAAAAAAUAAUCAAGAGAGGCUGAAGGUCUAAUGGCAAGAGGGAGAUCCGAAAAAAAAAAAAGAGCAACAAGGGCAAGAAGAAAAGAUCCAAAUCCAGGUCCAAGAAUAUGAAAUGCUUCCACUGCCAUAAGGAAGGACAUUUCAAAAAGGAUUGCUCAGAAAGGAAAAAUAAGCCAAAAGAUACAAUGGAGAAAACUAGAGAUGCUGCUGUUGCUUUAGAAAGUCAAGAAUAUGAUGGAUAUGACUCAGCUGGAGUUCUACUUGUGACUGAUGACCAAACCAGAGGUAAUUGGGUUCUAGACUCUGGUUGCUCCUUUCAUAUGUGCCCAAAUAAAAAUUUGUUUCUUAACUAUGAAGGCUAUGAUGGGGGAGUAGUAGUAAUUGGAAAUGAUGCAAUUUGUAAGGUAGUUGGGAAAGGCAUAAUAAGAAUAAAAAUGUUAGAUGGUACGACAAGGGAGUUGGUAAAUGUGAGACAUGUACUUGACCUGAAAAGGAACCUAAUCUCCUUAGGCAUGCUAGAUAAAAUGGGUUGUCUUAUUAAGCUGGAAUCUGGUACCUUAAAGGUGAUGAGAGGGUCAAUGGUAUUAAUGGAGGAAAGUUUAAGCAAUGGUCUAUAUGUGCUUCAAGGUACAACAGUCACAGGGGCUGUUAGGGUCUCAAACCAGAGUCUAGAUAAAACAAUGAUGUGGCAUUUAAGGUUAGGUUAUAUGAGUGAAAAAAGGGUUGAGGGAACUGUCAAAGCAGAGAGUCUCAGGGAAGGACAAAAUAGAGACUUUGAGGUUUUGUGAAGAAUUUAUAUUAGGCAAGUCUUCAAGAGUAAAAUUCAGUACUAUAGUCCAUAACUCAAAGGGAACUCUAGACUAUAUCCAUGUUGAUCUGUGGGGGCCUGCACAGACAUCAUCUUUAGGUGGAGCUAGAUACUUCAUGUCUCUAAUAGAUGACUUUUCAAGGAUGGUGUGGGUUUAUGUGUUAAAGAACGAAGAUGAUGCUUUUGAGAAAUUCAAAAUCUGGAAGACCUUGGUUGAAACACAAACCAACAGAAAAGUUAGAAAGUUAAGAACUGACAAUGGGUUAAAGUUUUGCAAUAAGAGGUUUGAUGAUUUCUGUGCUGAGAAUGGGGUUGUAAGGCAUAAAACAGUGAGAUAUACACCUCAACAAAAUGGAUUACCUGAGAGGAUGAACAGAACCUUGAUUGAUAAGGUAAGGUGCAUGUUUAUUCAAUCAAGACUACCUAUGUCACUAUGGGCAGAGACACUAUCCACUGCCUGUUACAUUGUUAACGGGAGUCCAUCUUCUUGAAUCAACUUCAGAACUCCAAUUGAGCUUUGGACAGGUAAGCUAGCUGACUAUUCAAACUUGAGGGUAUUUGGAUGCCCUGCAUAUGCUCACACAAAGCAAGGGAAGUUGGAACCUAGAGCUCUUAAGGGUGUGUUUAUUGACUAUCCAGAAUGGGUAAAGGGAUAUAAGCUCGGGUGCACUGAUUUCAAGCCACCGAAAGCCAUAAUCAGCAGAGAUGUGGUCUUCAAUGAGGCUGAAGUAUGCAAACACUCAGAAGCCUCAAAAACAGAAUCCAACCACCACAUGACUGAGAACCACAAGUCUCAGUUUAAGGUGGAGUCAUCAACUCCAGUUGCAAAACAGAAGACCAUUGUUGAAUCAAAAUCUGAAGCUGGGAGAAAUAUGUCAGAAUCAGAGGCUGAAUCUGAAGAUGAUCAAGGUGACAGGAGUUAUCAACUUGUGAGAGACAGGGAAAGAAGGGUUAUAAGACCACCUAAGAGAUAUGCACAUGCAGACCUAAUUGCAUUUGCACUAACAGCAACACACGAACUUGACUCAGAUGAACCAAAAACAUACUCAGAAGCUGUAAGAGAAAAUGAAUCAAAAAAAUGGAAGGUUGCUAUGGAUGAGGAGAUGCAGUCACUGUUCAAGAAUCACACUUGGACUUUAAUUGAAAAACCACCAAACAAGAAGGUAGUUGGCUGUAAGUGGGUUUACAAGGUUAAAGAAGGUGUACCAGAAGUUGAGCCAAAAAGAUACAAAGCCAGGCUUGUAGCCAAAAGGCUUUACUCAAAAGGAAGGUGUAGAUUAUACAGAAAUCUUCUCUCCUGUAGUAAGGCAUACCUCCUUAAGGAUCUUGCUAGCACUUGUAACAGUAAAUAACAUGCAUCUUGAGCAGAUGGAUGUUAAAACUGCUUUUCUUCAUGGUGAGUUAAAUGAAAUGAUAGUGAUGAAACAACCAGAAGGAUAUGUAGAUCCUAGAAGACCUGAUCAUGUGUGUCAUCUCAGAAAAUCCUUAUAUGGGCUUAAGCAAUCCUCAAGACAAUGGUAUUUAAGGUUUGACAGGUUUAUACUUGAAAACAGUUUUCAGAGGUGUCCCUUUAAUUGCUGUGUGUAUCAUAAGGGUGUGGGAGAUGACAGUGAAAUUUAUUUGUUGCUAUAUGUUGAUGACAUGCUGAUAGCAUGUAAACAUAUGGAUCAAAUAAAUAAGCUAAAACAGCAGUUGGGGGGUUCAUUUGAUAUGAAGGAUCUUGGUGAGGCUAAGAAGAUCCUUGGUGUUGAGUUGAUUAGAAAUAGAAGGAAUGGCACCCUGAUUCUAUUACAACAAAACUACAUUAGAAAAGUCCUUGAAAGGUUUGAAAUGGGAAAAGCCAAGCCAGUUCAGACUCCACUACUAGCUCAUUUCAGAUUGUCAUCACAACAGUGUCCAAAAACUGAUGUUGAAAGAUCUAAAGCUAGCUCAAUUCCAUAUUCAAGUGCAAUAGGGUGUUUGAUGUAUGCAAUGGUUCUGACCAGACCUAAUUUGUCCUAUGCAGUGAGUGUAGUAAGCAGAUAUAUGGCAAAUCCAAGGAAAGAACAUUGGAAGGCUGUGAUAUGGAUUCUGUGGUAUCUUAAUGGUACCAUAAACUAUGGUUUAAUAUAUGGAAUUGAUGGAAGGAAUGAAGUCAAUAUAAAAGGCUUUGUGGAUUCUGACUAUGCUGGAGACCUUGAUAAGAGGAGGUCAUUGACUGGAUAUCUGUUCAGACUGAGUGGGUGCACUAUAAGUUGGAAAGCUUCUUUGCAGAAUGUUGUUAAUUUGUCAACAACUGAAGCCGAGUACACUGCUGCAGCAGAUGCAAUAAAAGAAGCUAUUUGGCUUAAAGGAAUUGUGACUGACUUGGGGUAUGAACAGAGGCAAAUAACAGUUCAUUGUGAGACUCAGAGUGCUAUCUGUUUAGUCAAAAAUCAGAUACACCAUGAGAACACUAAACACAUUGACAUCAAGCUUCAUUUUGUCAGGCUGGAAGUGUCAAAAGGAGUGGUAAAAAUGGUGAAAUUACACACUGAUGACAAUAUUACAGACAUGUUAACCAAAGCUUUACCUGGUGCCAAGUUUGAGUUCUAUGUGAACUCAACUGGUGUCUGCAGGAUCUAAGCUGCAGAGGAUAUGGUGAUGGAGAAAAAGAUGAGUAGCAUAUUUGGUUCAAGGUGGAGAAUGUUGAGAAGUGAACUACAAAUCUAAAUUUGUAGUUGAAUAUCAGUCUUGAGUUUCAGGACUGGAUGAUAUGUCGGUUAUGUGACACAAGUGUGCCGUAUGACAAGCCUAGGGAAUCAGCCAAAUGAAUAAGUUAAGCACAUGAUAUUGCACAUGCUUUACUUAUCCUAAACGACUGGAGAAUGCUGUGUUUUGAGUGAAUUUUCUACACGUGUAUUAAAGCCAGUUUGAACGGCUGUUAAUACUGUUAAGAUCAGCCGGAAAUUUCUGGGUUUGUUACCAACAAAUCCAGGCCUGGUGAACUGGUUUCUGGGGGUUGUUUCUAGAGCAAUUCAGGCGUGUAUAUAAGUCGUCCUCAUUUCAUUGUUGUAUUAUCUAAGCGUGUGAUAAUUUUCUCAAGCAUCUUGUAUCUUGUAAACACUAAAUCAGUAAAAGCUCUUUCUCUCUUUCAUAAUGGAUGUAGGUCACUUGGUGGCUGAACCACUUAACCCUUUUGUGUUGGUGUGAGAUUGCUUCUCUGUUUUCUUUUGUUUGAUAUCUGUUGCUUUCAAUAAGUAGUUCCACGUAGCAUUGGUUGAUAUUAAUUAGUUCUUUGAUUAAGGCUAAGUCGAGUAGAUCUUGGGGGAUUGAGAUUGGUUAUUUAUUGGUCUUGGUCCCACAGAAUUGUCACAAGCAUUACAAAGGAAAUAUCAAGAUAUUGUGAAUUCCAUGAAAUUAGUUAGCAUUUGCAAACUAGGUCUAUAGAGGAUGAGGGAACAUGGAUGGAAUUCUUUGCUUAGCCAAGUUUCUUCAUUUUGUGAGAAGCAUUUUAUUAGUGUUCCUGUCAUGGAAAAUAUGUUUCUAACUCUUGGAAGAUCAAGGCGUAGAGCGCAAGAGAUCACAAAUAUGCAUCAUUAUCGCAUUGACUGAUUGACCCAAUUAUUAGUUUUUCACUUAUUGUGUCGAUUAAUGCGUUCAUUAUUUUUAAAUUAUUUUAAUACUCUCCAAAUAUAUUUUAUGUUAAAUUAAUUCAUAAUUUGUGUUAAUUUUUAUCUUUUAAAUAUUUUUCAGGAAUAAAAAUGAAAUUGGAAUUGAAAGCGGGAACAAAGAAGAACUACUGGAACAAAAAUGGAAGAGAUGUAAUACUAAAUAAUAAAUAAAAUAAAAUAAAAAAAGAAAAAAAAAGAACAAAAGAACAAAAACAUGUUGGUGAUGGUCAAGAGGCCAUCACGCCUCCUGACCAUCACACAAUUCAAUAUAUAUAUAUAUAUAAUAUAAAAAUAAAAUAAAAUAUCAAUAUUAAUAAAAUAAAAGAAAAGAAGACGAUUCCCUUGCCUAUUAUAGGCAAGGGGAUGCAAGCGAGAGAGGGGGAAGCUGGAGCUGAUUUUUCAAAAGCCGAGAGAACUAAUUUGAGAGCUGAAGCCGAGAUUGAAAAUUUUCUUUCUUUCUUUCUUUCUUUUCUUUUCUUAUUUCCGUUUGUAUCAAUUUUUUUGGUAAUAUAUUUCAAAAAGUUAUCAAAUAAAAAGAGUGUUGUGUUUUCUUUCAAUAUGAGUAGCUAAUUUUAUUAAGCUGAGGUGAAGGGUGAAGCUCAAUGUUUUAAACUAUUAAUUAUUAUUAUUAUUUUCUCAAAUGAGUUUUUUUUAAGUUUAUUUAAUUCUUUUCUAAUUAUUUUUAUGUCAUGUUAAUUUAUAAAUCUCACUGGAUUUUAUGGUAUUUUGACAUAAUGUCGACACAUUAACAUAAUGUGGCACAUUAGGUACUUUAUUCUAUAUUUAUCCACACACAUAGAAUUAAAUGAUAUAAUAAUUAAUUGGUAAAAGUGAGGCAAAAUAUAAAUGAGAGAAUAUUAAAAUUAUAGUUUGAAUACAAAGAGUGGAUCCUAAACUUUAACUUAUUUUUAAAUCAAUUUCAAAUAAUUUAUUUGCCUCGCAAUUAAUUUUCUUAGUUUUACUAGAUUUAAAACUCCUUGUGGUUCGCCCCUGUCUCACCGGGUUAUAUUAUAACUAGACACUCUUAUACUUGAGAGUAUUCCACUUUUGAGUCGUGUCAAGUUUUUGGCGCCGUUGCCGAGGAGUUUUUCAAAUUUGGUAUUAGUUUGUCUUUACUUUAUUUUUAUUUUUUUUAUUUUUUUUAUUUUGUCGUUACCAUCUUUACGUGAUUCUAUUUUAUUCUCUUUUUGUAAAACUUCAGUUAGCACCCCUCUUCUUUUCAAAUCUUAACAUUAUCCAUAAAAUUUGUGAGAACCUUCAUCUUAGCCCAGAAACCUUUGCAAAUCAGUCCCCAAAUCAAAUUUAUUUCUUUAAAUUUCUGCAAUUUACUUUCCGCAUUUAUUUUAAAUGGUCAGUUCUACCGUCUGACUGUUAUUUAAAUUCUGUCGGUUCUACCACCUAGCAUUUUAAUAUCACUUUGCUAAUUUAUUUAUAUGGUCGGUUCUAUCGCCUAUCAUUUUAAUUUCAGUUUAUUUAUUCUUGUACAUUAAUUUAUUUAAUUUUAUGUUUUAUUAUAUGGUUGGUUUUAAAAUACUACCUAAAUUGUUUAUUUUAAUUUCUUUGUUUAUGGCUGGUUUCACCGCCUAAGUUAUUUAUUUUAUUUAUUUUCAGUUUGUUUAUUUUUAUUUCGUAUUUUUGCUUAUAUAAUUUUCAGUUUGUUUUUAUUUCUGCAAUUUCAUUUAGUGUUUUAUGCAUCAUUAAUUUCUUUAGCACGCAUCAUUAGCAUUGCAUGUGUCAUUAGCCUGUUUAGAUUAGCAAGAGAUGGUGUCACAUUUAAAGUUAAUGGUCAAAGAUUGAAACCAUAUCUAGAAUACCAACCACGUAAAGCAGAUUCCGAAAUCAAUUUGAGUGACCCACCAAAAUUUUGAUCAAUCCUUUUCAUUUUAACAUUUUUUGAAUUUGAUUUACUAUUACUUUAUCGUUUGAAUUAUUUGUUUUUUUUUCUUUUUUUCCUUUUCCCUAUGUCUUGAAUGGAGUGCAUUGCAUUGUUUUAAUUGUGUGUUGUUUGACAAUUGUGAUUUAGCUCACCAAAUUUAUAUACUUGUCAUGAGUACCUCCACGAGAAAUUUUGCUUUUCGAUCAUCUUAAAAUGCUUUUUCAUGUAAAAUUUCACCUGAGGAAAUUGCUCCGAUUUUGUAAAUUACAUCCCAUUUGGGAUCUGUAACCACCAGAGUUCGUAUCUCACGUGAAAGAUCUAGAAAGAUAACUCAAGGAAAUAGAGGAUGAUAUUUAUAAUCUGCAAUUAGAACUGGAUUUAAUAAAAGGACGAAGGUGAGCUAUAUUCCUUGUGUGUUUUUUUUAUUUUGUUGUUCUUUUUCACUUUUGAUUUGAUUUUGCAAAUUUGAUUCAUUUUGUUUUGAUUCACUCAUUUUGCAGAUUUGAUUCAUUUUGUUUUGAUUCACUCUCCCAUAUAAAUGGCAGAUAACGGUACUCCGUGACUUUUUAAGUCGGUAUUCUCAGUUUCCCACAAUAACUGAAACCUCAAUGUCCAGCAUGGAAGAAAUAAAACAAAAUUUACAUCAACAUUUUCCUUCUCUCCCUCAAAAUGCUCUUAAGAAGAUUUACAAAGCUCGUUGUGAAUGACUGUGUUUGUUAAUGAUCAAUGGGAUUCCUGCUGACAUUCGCUAAUUAAUCGAAGCAAAGGUCCGAUUGGCAGGUGAGUUUUCUAAUCCAUUCAUUUCCUAUAUGCCUGGUUUUGGUAAAAGUACAUUUGCUAAGAAAAGAAGAGCUAAGCGAUUUGGCUCUGAAUGUUCUCACUGUGUAAGACUUGCUUGCAAAAAUCCACGUUGUAAAGCUUUAGGAAUGGUUUCUGUAAAUCGUGAAGAUAAAAUCAAAUUUGUUAAGGACGGCAUGAGUAAAGAAUCGUUGGAUGAUAUCUUACGAUCUCUUGAGACGCAUCCGAGCGGAUAUGUUCAACGUGAAAUUCAAAAUUUGUGGAAGCUGUUCCAAAAGGAAAGUGCACAGUUUAGUCUUGGGAAUCUGACUCUAAAAGACACUGUUUGCCAGUUUAUAAGAAAACUGGAUGGGAAGCCUAUCUUUGACCCAUAGAGGGCGUUCAAGCCGUUACUGGACGUAAAACCAGAGGAAGAUGUGAGCCAUAAUCACAACUACCAAUAAAUAUCCUUUUAUUUUACUUUAUUUUAUCUUUUGCAUUAUUAUUAUUAUUGUGUUUUUUUCUUUAUUUUAUCUAAUCACUAUUUGCUUUUUCUUUUCACUGUUUACCUUUGAAUUAUUAAGCUAAAAACUUCACGCGUCAUUUGACAAACACACCACCCCAUUUACAGAUGUAUAUUAUUAUGUCCGUCACCAAGAUCUUUAAAUAAGAACUUCUUUUCAAGCACUCACAAAUUGUUUCUUUUUAGAAUUGUUCUAAUGGCAGCAACUUCAAGCAGUCAACUUAACAACAUUUGUGUACUUUCUGGAUUUCGGUGUGGAAAGUAUAAGGAGUUCAUUCAGGCAUUCGUAGAUCUUGGUCGCACUAUAGCAAAGAGAAAACUACAUCUUGUAUAUGGAGGAGGUGUCCGAGGGUUAUCAAAGCUUGUCUCUGAAGCUGCUUUCGUUCGAGCAAGCCAAGUGCUAGGCAUCAUUCCAAAAGCCUUAAAACCUUUAGGAUGUCUACUAGACCCACCAACUGGAGAAGAGUUAGUUGUCUCAGGUAUGCAAGAAAGAAUAUCUGAAAUGUUGAAUCAUGCUGACGCUUUUAUUUUCUUGCCAGGAGACCUUGCAACUUUGGAGGCGUUAAUUACAUUUGCUUCUUGGGCCCAUUUGAAUAUCCAUAAAAAACUCAUCGGUUUGUUAAAUGUUAAUAAUUUUUAUGAUGGCUUAAUAACAUUUCUUAAUCAUGCAAUAAAAAUUAUUUCAUUCCAUCCUCAGCGAAAAAACUCUUCAUUUGUGCUUCUACUGCUAAUGAGUUACUUGAUCUUUUGCAAGCUUGCAAACUAGAGCCAGAUCCCAUGACUUUGGCGUUGGAUUGGGCAACUACUGACGAUGGCAGUAACUCUCGUAAAAAGUGUAAAUUAGAUUUAACUCUCUGUCUGUAAAUAUUUCCAACAGCGGCCAUGUGAUAUCUUCUAAACUCUACUCCUUUAUUUAGACAUUGAGGACAAUGUCUCCUUCAGGUUGAGGGGAGGGAAUAAUUGAUAAUUGUGGAAUGUCUCAGUCAUAGUGAUGUUUUUACUAAUUUUUGUUGUAAAGACUAACUUUGGAUAACAAUUUGAGUCGAAGAUGGCAGAAUAUAGAAUAUAUAGUGUCUCUAGAAACGCAUCUUCUUAAUUUUUGUGUUUUCUUCUAAAAAACAAUGUUGCUAACUUUUUGUUUUUAAUCUUUUUCUCUUUUUCUCUUAAUCAUCUCCCUUAAGUUUCUGCAAUCAGUCCCAAUUUCUUUUUGUGUUUUCUUUAUAAAAAAAAAGAGUUUUCUUUUUCAGUGUGAUCUUUUAACAUUGGAUAACAUGACAAUUUUCAAAUUUUGGUAUUUGUAUUAUCUUUGGCCUUGAGUUAUGUUACACUAUGUUUUUCCUUUUGCGUGUUGAAACGCAAAUUGAGAAAUUGGAUGAGUGAAAUUGAUUGAGCCAUUUGGAGGAAUGCCCAUGUUAUGAAAAGACCAAGCGAGUUUUUGAGUCUAUUAUCCUUGGAGAGUAACUUUGUUUGCCUAUACAGCUUCACAAUUUAUUGUACAAGAUCUCAAUAUUUUUUUAAAAAAAAAUAUUUGUUCAGCCGCAUCUAAAAGUUCAUUGAACUAGUGGAUAUGAAAGAUUAUAUGGAACCCUAAAAGAUGACAAAAGGUCAUCUUUGAUCCGUUUGAGUCUUUCUAGCCAACCCUAUUAUAAAGAAUCAAUAGUUAACCCCUUGGAGCCUUUGAAAAAAAAAAAAACUUUUUCUUUGGUAACCUAUCAUAUUUUCCUACUCCAAUGAGGAGUAUCACCUUAUGUUUUAUGUUUUCCAUCACUCAAUUAUGUUUAAAAAUAGGGAUGAUUAUGUAUUCCUAAUAAUGGUGCUAUAAAAAAGAAAAAAAAAGAAAGAUGAAAUGUAUAUAUCAAAAAAAAUCCAAGCAAAAAAAAAAAGCACCUCAUAAUCUCCAAAAAGUCCCCUAUUUUUCAAACAUAUAUUUUUGUUUUUCCUAUUAUUUUUUUUGUUAGCUAUAACCCUAGCCUACGUUACGUCUUAAUAAAAGUCCUUCUCGAUUUUUGGGAACUAUAAUAUGAAGUAAAAGCUGGUAAUAUGGACUAAAAGAUGUGGUGAUGUAUAAAAGUAAAAUAAAUUUUGCUUGUAAUUCAUUGGACUUGAGAUCAUUUUAUUUCUAAGUUGUGGGCAUUAUUUUUUAUCUUGGUAAGAGUGUGUGAUAUUGUUUUAUUAUUCUCUCAAAUUUACCAUUUUUUUAGAGUGACAAAUUAAUUUGGGGUAUAUCUUCUUUUGAGAGAGUCACUCUUAAUCGUGAGAUUUUGGGGUUUGAUGUAUCAUUCUUAAAAGUGACUUGAUUAAUGUAGCUCUGAUGAUUGAUCAUUUUACAGGAUUUUACUGAACUGUUUUGAGCGGGUGUGAUUUUCUUUAGGUUGAAGAUAAUGCUUAUACUUUUAUUUGAUUGUUGUCAUUAAUCUGAUGAAGGAGGUAAACACAAUUUUUCAAAAAAAAAAAGAUUUUCAAUUUGGUUUUGAAAUUUCUCUAAAUUUUUAUUGCUUAAAUUGCUAGGGCCUAGUAAUAAGCUGGUUGGGGGGUGUGAUUGACACUAAAAAGUGUACAUUUAAUAAAGAUACAAUUAUUAGUUUUUCACUUAUUGUAUCGAUUAAUGUGUUCAUUAUUUCUAAAUUAUUUUAAUACGCCCCAAAUAUAUUUUAUGUUAAAUUAAUUCGUAAUUUGUGUUAAUUUUUAUCUUGUAAAUAUUUUUCAGGAAUAAAAAUAGAAUUAGAAUUGAAAGCGGAAACAAAGAAGAACUACUGGAAUAAAAAAGAACUACUGGAACAAAAAUUGAAGAGAUGUAAUACUAAAUAAUAAAUAAAAUAAAAUAAAAAAAGAAAAAAAAGAACAAAAGAACAAAAACAUGUUGGUGAUGGUCAGGAGGCGUGACAAUUCAAUAUAUAUAUAUAAUAUAAAAAUAAAAUAAAAUAUUAAUAUUAAUAAAAUAAAAUAAAAGAAGACGAUUUCCUUGCCUAUAAAAGGCAAGGGGAUGCAGGCGAGAUAGGGGGAAGCUGGAGCUGAUUUUUCAAAAGCCGAGAGAACUAAUUUGAGAGCUGAAGUCGAGACUGAAGAUUUUCUUUCUUUCUUUCUUUUCUUUUCUUAUUUCCAUUUGUAUCAAUUUUCUUUGUAAUAUAUUUCAAAAAGUUUAUCAAAUAAAAAGAGUGUUGUGUUUUCUUUCAAUAUGAGUAGCUAAUUUUAUUAAGCUGAGGUGAAAGGUGAAGCUCAAUGUUUUAAACUAUUUAUUAUUAUUAUUUUCUCAAAUGAGUUUUUUUUAAGUUUAUUUAAUUCUUUUCUAAUUAUUUUUAUGUCAUGUUAAUUUAUAAAUCUCACUGAAUUUUAUGGUAUUUUGACAUAAUGUUGACACAUUAAUAUAAUGGGACACAUUAGGUACCUUAUUCUAUAUUUAUCCACACACAUAGAAUUAAAUGAUAUAAUAAUUAAUUGGUAAAAGUGAGGCAAAAUAUAAAUGAGAGAGUAUUAAAAUUAUAGUUUGAAUACAGAGAGUGGAUCCUAAACCUUAGCUUAUUUUUAAAUCAAUUUCAAAUAAUUUAUUUGCCCCGCAAUUAAUUUUCUUAGUUUUACUAGAUUUAAAACUCCAUGUGGUUCGACCCCGGUCUCACCGGGUUAUAUUAUAACUAGACACUCUUAUACUUGAGAGUAUUACACUUUUGAGUCGUGUCAUUGACCUAUUUUGUGUUAUUUUGGAUAUGCAACUUUAAGAGUUAAACAGUCGUUUUAAUGAGGUAAACACUGAAUUACUUCUUUGCUUGGCUUGUUUAUGUCCAAAAGAUUCAUUUGCAGCUUUCAAUAAAGAAAAGUUAUUGCGCCUUACUCAACUUGAUGUUUACAUAAUGGAUAUGCAGUCUAGUGUUGAGUUUUCAAAAUUAAAUGGGAUUGGUGAUCUUGCACAGAAAAUAGUUGAAACUAACAAGCACAAUGUGUUUUCAUUGGUCUAUUUAUUAGUCACAUUAGCAUUACUUCUACCAGUUACCACUGCCACUGUUGGGAGAGUUUUUUCAACUAUGAAUUGUAUGAAGAAUCGACUACGAAGUCGAAUGGGAGAUGAAUGGUUGAAUGAUAACUUAGUUGUGUACAUUGAAAAAGAUGUAUUUAAUUGUAUUAAUAAUGAAAUUAUUUUACAGCAUUUUCAGCACAUGAAAUCCCGUCGAGGAAUUCUCGAUUAGAACAAUUAUAAUAAGUUAAUUUAUAUUACGCUUGUGACUCUAUUUAUUGUUAUCUAAAUUUUCAAAAUUUAUUAUCAAUUUAUAUUAUAUUGCGAUUUUAUGUGUUGUAAUAUAAAUUCUCAAAAUUAUACUAUAUUUUUAAUGUGCCCCAGAUCAAUUAAAUUUCUGGCUAUGUCCCUAGAUCCAAUGGUGCUGAUUUUAUUAUUAAAAAAAGUUGUUCUCCCCUUUAAACUCAAUCAGCCACCCAAUGGAACAAGCGAGCCAUGCUCUUACUCCUCUACUCAUCACUCAUGAAACCUCUCAUUUAAACCAAAACUCUUCGUUAUUGCACCAGAGUUUCAACAAUCGUGUCCAUAAAUUCGCGAGCCCAUGCUUUUGCAGGCAACCCCGUAAGAUCCAAGACCCGUAAAUCAACUGACCCAUUUUCUCUGACCUCGGCUCUUGGCUACAGUGAGGGUGGGUUUUACUUAAUUACUAGCUUCUACAACUCCCAAUUGUGACCACUAGAAAUUAAAUCAGCAGUGAGUUGGCUGGUUGGCUGCAACGAUCAGCUAUUAGGUAUCUAGGGUUUUUAAUUUUUGCGCUAUUCCUUCUCCUUUCUUUAUUUCUUUUAUUUUUCCAUUUUCCCUUUUUAUUUUUAUUGUUUGUCAUGGUAUCUUUCUUUUCCCCUUUUUGGUUCUUUUUUUCAAUUUUUUUUACUUUUAAUUAUCGGGGUGAUAAAAAAAAUCUAAAUUACUGGUGUUAUAAACUUUUUUUAAUUACUGAUUCAAAAAGAAAUUACAUAAUUCAACAAUUUUUUAAUCCAAUUUAAUUUUUUUUAGUUACAAAAUAGUGUUGUCACUCAUAAGUACAUUUUUCUAUCAUAUCUUUUUGUCAUAGAAGAUUAUUUCAUAUCCCAAAAUAUUAAAUUUUGAAGAAUUUCUUUUUUUUCUUAAAUAUAUCUUUCUAUGACUAAUGUAAUUUUUGUCACAAAAAAACUUGAUUAAGACAGUUAUUAAUACGAAAUAAAUAAAAAAUUUAUUUGUCAUAAUAUACAAUAUAAAUCAUGACAAAAUUAUUAGGUACUAUUUUCUAGUUUAGUCACCACAGGUAAUUAUUUGUGACAGCAAAAUGUAGUCUCUAAAUUAGUGGAAAUCAAAACAGCUAGGGUGACUGAUAGUUUGUCUCAAUAAACAUUUUUUGGUUACGAAAUAGUGUGGUUGCUUAUAAUUAUAUUUUGCAACCAAAUGUUUUGUCACAAAAAAUUAUGUAACGUCCCAAAUUACUUAUUUUGAAUGUAAUUAUUUGGUGCUUAAAAAAUUGUAUCUUUUUGUGACUAAUCUUUUGUUUGUCGUAAAAAAUUUAAUAUAAGGACUAAUUAAUGCGUCUCAAAAAGAGAAUUGUUGGUUGUAAAAUAUAACUUUAGUCAAGACGAGACUAUUAGCUACGAUUUCAAAAGUUUGUCACUAUAACUACUAUUUCGUGACCAGAUUUUCAAAUGUCACGAAAAAAAAUUUGUGUUAAAAGGUCUAAUUUCUUGUAGUGUUUUCAACUAUUCAAAACAUCACAAACAAACCCAUAUUUUCCAACAUUAUUAAUACACACAACUUCACUAAUUCCUAACGUACAUUGGUAUAUUUAGUUCAAGUACAUGUUAGGAAGUCAAUUCUUCCAAACAUCAUCAAUAUUCUUCAUAACAACGCUAAUUUCUAACAUCAUAUGUUUUGACUAGCUCAUAACUUGACAAAUCAGAUAAUAAAGUCUGAAAGUCACAAACAACAUGCAUCUUCUUCAACACUACACAAACAAACUAAUUUCAUAUUUUAAUGAACAACUCAAUGCUAGCAGUUUCUCCAACACUUCAACAAGCCUAUUUUCAUUUUCAAACAAUAUAAAAUGCUCAAUUUAUGAUUAAAAUAAAAUAAAACUCUAAUUUUAUUUAAAAUAAAAUACAUAUUAAAAAAAUCAAGUCCAUAACUUUUUCAAAGACUAACCUUUUUUCGAUUCAAUUUAGUGACAGUCAUGUCUGACGCUGGACACUAGAUUCUUACCUGCAGUCAUCUUUAAGCCACCACUGAUGCUUUUCUCAUUAAUAAAUCUAAGCUAAACUUGUAGGAUAUGGCGAUCAAAAUUUGAUUUUUCUUUCAUUUUCAAAGCAUUUAGUGAUAGAGAAGCAUUUUUUGUGCUUCGUUUGAUUGAAAGAGAAAAUGGUUUUAUGAUGAGUUAGGUUGAUGAAAGAAAAUAAGCAUUCUAAUAUUCAGUGUAACUAAUUUUCAUCAAGAUCUUUUAGUGUUUCAGUGGGUAUGUAUCUUGAAAGGCCUUUGCUAUAAUACAUGCAUGUAUCACAUACAUGUAAGGAAUAAAUUUUUUUUAAAAAAAAAAGAUUGCCAUUGUUUGGCUACCACUUGGCAGCCAAACAUUUAAAAAAGGAAAAAAUACUUGGGGCAACGUUAAAGAGCAACCAGUUGCUCCUUAAACCAUUUAAAAAUUAUGAAAUAAUAUAAUAAAUAAAAUAAUAAUUAUUUUAAUAAUAAAGGCCAGAUAACAAUAAAAAAUCAGUUUUAUAAUAAUAAAAAAUUAGUUUUAAGUUUAAUGGUACUAGUAUCAAGUUAAUGGUAGGUAUUUCAUGUUUGUUGAUCUAUUAAUUGCAUGAUUUUCAUAAUUGCAAGUUAAUGAUCCCAAGUUUCACACUCAUUGCCCUCAAUUUCAAUUUCAUUUGGUUUCAAGUUUAAUGGUCCCAAUAUCAAGUUAACGGUAGGUGUUUCGUGUUUAUUGGUCUAUUAAUUAUAGGAUUUUCAGGGUUGCAAAUUAAUGAUCCCAAGUUUCAUGUUCAUUGUCCUAACUUUCAAGUUUCUUUGGUUUCACGUAUAAUGGUCCCAAUAUCAAGUUAAUGCUCGGUGUUCCAUUUUUAUUGGUGCAUUAAUUGCAUGAUUUUCAAGGUUUCAAGUUAAUGAACCCAAGUUUCAUGUUCGUUGCUCUAAGUUUCAAGUUACUUUAGUUUCAAGUUUAAUGGUCCUAAUAUCAAGAUUAAUGGUAGUUGUUUCAUAUUUAUUGGUCCAUAAUUUGUAUGACUCUUAGGAUUGCAAGUUUAUGAUCCCAAGUUUCAUGUUCAUUGCCCACAGUUUGAAGUUCCUUUGGUUUCAAGUUUAAUGGUCCCAGUAUCAAGUUAACGAUAGGUGUUUCAUGUUUAUUGGUCUAUUAAUUGCAUGAUUUCCAGGGUUGCAAGUUAAUGAUUCCAAGUUUCAUGUUCAUUGCCCUCAUUUUAAAGUUCAUUUGAUUUCAAGUUUAAUGGUCCCAGUAUCAAGUUAAUGAUAGGUGUUUCGUGUUUAUUGGUCCAUUAAUUGCAUGAUUUCCAAGGUUGUAAGUUAAUGAUCCCAAGUUUCAUUUUCAUUGCCCUCAGUUUCAAGUUCUUUUGGUUUUAAGCUUAAUGGUCCCAAUAUCAAGUUAACGAUAGGUGUUUCGUGUUUAUUGGCCCAUUAAUUGCAUGAUUUCCGGGGUUGCAAAUUAAUGAUCCCAAGUUUCAUGUUCAUUGUUCUCAGUUUCAAGUUCCUUUGGUUUCAAGCUUAAUGGUCCCAAUAUCAAGUUAACGGUAGGUGUUUCGUGUUUAUUGAUCCAUUAAUUACAGGAUUUUCAAGGUUGCAAGUUAAUGAUCCCAAGUUUCAUGUUCAUUGUCCUCAAUUUCAAGUUCCUUUAGUUUCAAGUUAAAUGGUCCCAAUAUCAAAUUAACGAUAGGCGUUUCGUGUUUAUUGGUCCAUUAAUUGCAGGAUUUUCAAGGUUGCAAGUUAAUGAUCCUAACUUUCAUGUUCAUUGUCCCAAGUUUCAAAUUCCUUUAGUUUCAAGUUUAAUGGUCCCAAUAUCAAGUUAAUGUUAGGUGUUUCAUAUUUAUCGGUCCAUUAAUUGCAUGAUUUUCGGGGUUUCAAGUUAAUGAACCCAAGUUUCAUGUUCAUUGCCCAAAGUUUCAAGUUACUUUGAUUUCAAGUUUAAUGGUCCUAAUAUUAAGAUUAAUAGUAUGUGUUUCAUAUUUAUUAGUCCAAAGUUUCAAGUUAUCGGUUUUACAGGUUUCCAUUUCUUGCAAAAAAAAUUUAUUAACACUAAGAUGAAUCUCAGCCAUUGGAUCCACUCUAUUUAAUCCAACAAUAAAUUUUUAUGCAUGUAUGAGAUACUUGCAUGUACUAUAGUUGCCCCCAUCUUCAAAGCAGUUCUUUGCUUACUUUAAUUUUAAAUGCACUUUUACUAAUUUACCCUCUUAUAUUGACUAUAUACGAAACUGUGUACAAAUGGCAGGGGAUGUCUCUGUAAUUAGGGUCAUACUUUCUAUUAAAAUUUCAACAAACCAAACCUCAGAGGAGAUCCCUAAAAAUUAUUCAUCUUUUAAAAUUAAAUUCUUCUUUUAGAAUUGCAAAUAACUCAAUAAUUAAAAUGAAAUGAAGCAAACUUAAUUUUUUUCAUCCAAAGCAAUAUAAUCAAGUAAUUAAAACUAUGUACAAAAAUAUGUAGGUGUUACAUAAUACUUUCAAAAUGUGCAGAUGUUACAAAAUACCUUCAUAAACAGCCACAAUUUCCCUCCAAGAGCAAAUAUUUAAGCAAGAUUAAAAGUGUUUCAAAAUCCUGUCUAACAAAUGAAUGGACAAGUAGAUUUAUAAUUGCAUCAAUUGUUAUUCACCAAGGUCUUGUUUGUUUAAAGUUGUGUGGCAACUAGACCGUCAAAGCUCAAUUACAAAAGUGUUUGGUAACACUUACUAGUUGGGAUUUGCUAGCCUGACUAAUUGUUUUAAAUUGUUCUACAUUCUCCUUGUACACAUUAAAGGCAAAAGAAUAAUAAUAAUAAUCUUCUAAUAAAGAAUCCAUAAUUUUAAUAAAAUGAAGACCAAAUUGAAGAGUAGAGAAAAUCUGAAUUUCAGUAUAAUGAUAUUUGUGGUUUAGUAAAUCAAAAUUCCUUUUUUAAUCUUUUAUUUUGGUUAUUAUUUUAAUAAAAUGAGGACUAUCUCACUAGAAGGAGACUAAAUAAAUAGAGUUUUACAUCAAAUAAAAAAUAUUAGAGUUAAUUAAGGGGGAGUCCGAUCACAACUUUCUAAUUUAGUGAUCAAAAUUUAUAAUAUUUAGGAAUAAUUUAAUUAAUUUUCAAUUUAAUUUAAUUUGGUUGCCUAUUUAGAGUUUAAUUUUUUGAGAAUAGCUUAUUUAAGUUGCAUUCCUAGUUUAGGUAUUGGUCUUAUUAAAAUAGGUUUUCUAAUCAAAUUAAGAUAAGAUAUAGUUAAUAUAAAUAAGUUUCUUUUGUAGUUUUUACAAAGAUGCCUUGAUUAUUUGUUAUUCAUUAUUUCUUAAAAUAAACUCUUGAUUAGUUCGAGUCUUAUUAUUUCUUGGCAUUAUGAGGAAUCAACAAAUUUUAACACCUAAAUUCCUGGGUAUUCUUAGAAUUAACAUGAAUUUAGUUUAUUUCUUUAUUAUGAUAUUCUCAAGAAUCAAUGGAGUAUUGAAAAUAUUCCUUUCUAUUUAUUCUGAUAUUCUCAAGAAUCAAUGGAGCAUUGAAAAUUUUCCCAUCUAUCUAUCACCCUACAUCUUUUAUCCCUCCACUGGAAUAUUUUAUCCUUCCACUAUAUCAAUUUCACUGUAGAGCGUUCUUUUGUAAAACUGUGGUGCAUCAAUUUAAUAUCAAAGUUAAAAGCUUGGAUCAUAAUUGUUCGUAGUUGUGACAACCAUCCAUACCAUUUUACUUUUGUUAUUUUCGAUUUGCUUUAUUUCAUUAAAAAAAGUCAAGGGAUUUGCUUUAUUUCAUUAAAGAAAAAAAAAAGUCAAGGUCCAGUCAAACCCUAGCUACCCCAAGCCCACCACAGUCGCUACCAUUCGCAUCCACGCCUUCUUUGGAAUUAACUCUUGGUUUGAGUUUUAGUCUUGUUAUUUCUCGGUAUUUUGCGGUGUUAACAAGUUUUUACCACCUAGAUCCGCAUGUAUUCUUAAAAUCAAUAUAGAUUUAGAUUAUUUCUUUAUUCCGAUAUUCUCAAGAAUUAAUGAAGUUUUGAAAAUAUUCCUAACUAUCUAUGACCCUACAUCUUUUAUCCCUCUACUACAUUAUUUUAUUCUUUCGCUACGUCAAUUUCACUAAAGUACGUUCUUUUCUAGAACUACAUUGCAUCAUUUAGAGUAUAAUUUUAUGCUUUUAAUACUAUAUUUGCAACAAGCGAUCCAAAGUAGCUUGAAGAAGAUGAUUAAAGAACUUUUUCAAUAAAAAUGGAUCUUGUAAUAAAAUAUGAUCCAAGCAGCAAAAUUCUAUGGUCAUAGGCUCACAACGUAGAGAAUGAAAUUUUCCAAUAAGUGAUCCAAAGCAGUUUGAGGAAUUUUUUUAAUAAACAGGGAUAUUGCCAUACAGUAGGGAUCCCUCAAAUAUUGACAAAAAAAACAAAACUUUUAUGAUUGCAUUCACAAUGAUGAAAGUUCCAACAGGUGAUUUGAUAGUAGCUUCAUGCAAAUGCUAGAAAAGAAAUUUCAAUACAACAGGAGCAUCAUCAUAAAAUAGGGAUACCCUUAAAUACAGAUUUCUUAAAGAUUAAUCUCAGUAAUUUGGUCAAUAAAUCAAUUCAGGGUACCAAACCCUACAGUGAUUGUAGAUAUCUGCCAUCCUAACAUAGUGAGUUGUUCAAUCAAAUCAGUAAUGGCACUGUAUCAGUAAUUAACUAUGGGUAGUAACACCUUAAAUACAGAUUUCAGGAUGAUUCAAUAAUAUUUCAAUAGGAAGCCUUCUUAUAAGACAUUAAAUUAAUUACUUUUAAAUGAUUUUAUUAAUAGAAUAUGUUCAAAUAUUUUACUUAAAACAAUUAGUGGAAAACAAGUAUUUUUCUGUACAUAAACAAUUGUAAGAAAACAUUGGUUUAAAUAACAUAUGUUUUAACCGAAAUGUGGACGCUAUGGUGCCUGGGUGCAUCCUACCUCAUUUUUGGCUAAUUACAUUGCCGUCCAACUUAUUUACUGAAAAUUAAAAAUAUUAGAGGCUUCAAAUUUAGCAUAUAAAUCGUAUAUAUUUCUAUUAUUUACAUUUGGGUCCUAGACCAUAGUUAAUUAUUAUGAAAUUUUUGACGUUAUUAUUUGGUCAUUUACCAAUAUUGUAGAUUUUACAGAGGAAGAAGGAGGAAAAAUUCUCUUAUUCAAUUCAUUAAAAAAUAGAGAAAACAAACAACUUAAAUAGGGAAAAAUAAAGGAUUAAUCAUAUACUUAGGAACUAACUUAUCUCAUCCCUAAAUCUUAGGAUUUUAUCCAAAUCUCUAACAAACAAAUCCUUAUCAAUUACUUAUAAUUUAUCAACACUCCCCCUUAAGUUGGUGCAAAUAUAUUUUUCAUGCCCAACUUGCUAACUUUAACUUCAAAUGGCUGUCUCAGCAAGCCUUUAGUUAAAAUAUCUGCAACUUGUUGUGUGGUCGGUACAAAUGGAGUACAAAUUAUUCAUUCUUUAAGCUUUUCUGUUAUAAAGUGCCUGUCAAUCUCAACAUGUUUCGUCCUGUCAUGUAGAGCAGGAUUAUGAGCAAUGUUGAUAGCUGCCUUGUUAUCACAAUAGAACUUCAUAGGCAAACUCACUGGCCUCUUAAGCUCUUCUAGAACCCUUUUUAGCCAAAGAAUCUCACAUACUCCUUGCGCCAUUGAUCUGACUUCAGCCUCUGCACUACUUCUAGCAACAACAUUUUGCUUCUUCCUUCUCCACGUGACUAAAUUACCCCAUAGAAAUGUACAGUACCCCGAAGUUGACUUUUUAUCAGUGACUGGACCUGCCCAAUCAGCAUCAUUUUUCUUGAAAAAGAGUCCUUUUCUUGGUGUGCUUUUCAGAUAAUGAAGGAUUCGGUAUAUAGCUUCAAGAUGUUCUUCAUAUGGGGAAUACAUAAAUUGGCUUACCAUACUUACAACGAAAGCAAUGUCUGGACGAGUAUGUGACAAGUAAAUUAGUCUCCCAACUAGUCUUUGAUAUCUCCCAUUGUCUACUGGAAAACCAUUUUUUACUUCCCCAAGCUUAGAGUUGGCUUCUAUUGGAGUGUCAGAAGGUUUGCAACCACUCAUCCCAGUUUCUUUCAAGAGAUCAAGAAUAUACUGCCGUUGUGAGACAACAAUGCCCUUCUUUGAUCUUGCCACUUCCAUUCCAAGAAAGUAUUUUAGUUGGCCUAAAUCUUUAAUCUCAAACUCCUUGGCUAGGUUUUGUUUCAAUCUACUCAUUUCUACUAUAUCAUCUCUAGUUAAAAUUAUAUCAUCUACAUAGACAAUAAGAAUAGAAAUUUUAUCUUCAAUAGAUCUCUUUGUGAACAGUGUAUGAUCAGAUUGCCCUUAAUCAUAUCCUUGGCUUUUAACAAAAUUUGUGAACCUCUCAAACCAAGCUCUGGGAGACUGUUUAAGGUCGUAUAAAGACCUUUUUAGCUUACAAACCUUGGUUCCAAAUUUCCAUAUAGACUUCCUCCUCUAAGUCCCCAUUCAAAAAAGCAUUCUUCACAUCCAGCUAAUUCAUAGGCCAAUCAAGAUUAGCUGCAAUAGACAAGAGUACUCUAACUGUAUUUAGCUUUGUCACUGGAGAGAAAGUCUCAAAGUAGUCUACUCUGUAUGUCUGAGUUAAACCUUUGGCUACAAGUCUAGCCUUGUACCUUUCCAAAGAUCCAUCUGAAUUGUACUUCACAGUAAACACCCAUUUACAGCCGACAGUUGUCUUCCCAUCCGGCAGAUCCACUUUCUCCCAAGUAGCAUUCUUCUCCAGUGCUCUCAUCUCCUCAAGCAUAGCUUCUUUCCACUCAGGAACAUUUAGAGCCUCAUAGACACUUUUAGGAAUAACCACACUGGACACUUUUGAAAUAAAAGCACAAUAUGAUGAAGAAAUAUUUUUGUAAGAUAUAAAAUUUGACAAAGGAUGUUUUGUACAAGACCUAAUACCUUUUUCUAAGAGCAAUGGGAAGAUCAAGCUGACUAGAAGAAUUUGACUCAUAAUUACUUGGAGGAUUGUUUUCAGGGAUUUUUGAAGAAUCGUCACAAACUUCAUGAUCCAACCUCUGGUCAGAUUCUUGAUAGUGCUGUGGGAUAGUGGCUCUUUUUUGUGCUAGAUGUUCCUUUGAAUAUACAAGACCUUUAAACCGUUUUGUACACAUCUCAGUUGUUUCAGUAUUUUAAUUUUGAGAUGGAAUUACCAAAGGUUGUUCAGUUGUGGAUUCAAUAUUUUCAACAUUUAGUUCAUUUGUUUCUACAGAUUUUGUGUUUCCCAUCCCAUUUUCUUUCGGUGACUGUUUGUAAGAAACAUCAUCAUCCUGAACAAACUCAAAAGUUAAAUCAAAAUUAUUUAAAAAAUCAUCUUCACUAGUGCUCUCCCCCUGAAGAUGGAAAUUGUUGUAGUAUAAUUGUCCUUCAAAAAAAGUGACAUCAUAGACACAAACAUUUUUUUUCAGAAUUGGAUCAAAACAUUUAUAACCUCUUUGAUUUGUAGGAUAGCCUACAAAAAUACAUUUAUGUGCCUUUGGAUCAAGUUUUGAACGUUUAGUAUCAUGAUUAUGAAUAAAAGCCACACUUCCAAAAAUUUUAAAGGGAAUAUCAGUUGUUAGCCGAGUUGUGGGAAGCCAUUCACUUAAAACUUUAAUUGGUAUUUUAAAGUCCAAAAUUCUCGUAGGCAGUCUAUUAAUCAAAUAAAUGGCUGUUAACACUGCUUCUCCCCAAAGGUAUUUAUGAACCUUAGUCGCAAAACUAAUAGCUCUAACAACUUCAAGGAGAUGUCUAUUUUUUCUUUCAGCCACCCCAUUCUGUUGAGGUGUAUUAUUACAAGAACUUUGGUGAACAAUUCCCUUUUUAGCAAAAAAAAUUCCCUAACACUUUGUUAAAAAACUUUUUUCCAUUAUCACUUCGAAAAAUUUUAAUCUGAGUCUGAAAUUGUGUCUGAACCAUAUUAUAAAAAUUUAUAAACACAGUUUCAGCAUCAGAUUUUUAUUUUAAAAGAAAGACCCAAGUGACUCUAGUCUGAUCAUCAAUAAAAAGAAUAAACCAGCACUUUACAGAAAAAGUUGGCACUCUAGAAGGACCCCAAACAUCACUAUGAAUCAUGGUAAAUGGUUUUGAUUUUUUAUAUGGUUGAGAUUGAAAAAUAGCCUGAUGAUGUUUAGCUAAUUCACAAGAUUCACAUCGAAAACCAUAAGGAUUUUUAUUCAUGAAUAACUUGGGUAACAAAAGCUUUAAAUAUUGAAAAUUUGGAUGUCCUAAUCGAUAAUGCCAUAACAUAAUAUUACUGUCAUUAACAACAGAGAUAGAAUUAAAACAAGUCUGCAGAUUUUGCCUUCCAUAGGUUGAUCCGUUAUUAAAGAAGUAGAGUCCACCACCCAUUUUAGCACCCCCAAUCAUCUUCCCCGAGGUUAAAUCCUGAAAUUUACAACAGGAAGAUUGAAAAAUAACUUGACAGUUGUGAUCAAAAUUUAAUUUACUAAUAGAUAAAAGAUUAUAAGACAAAUGUGGGAUGUGCAAAACAUUCUUAAGGACUAGAGAAGGAGAAAUAGUAAUUAUUCCUUUUCCAGCAACAGUAGCUAAGGAACCAUUUGCAAUUUUAACCUUUUGAUUUCCUGCACAAGGUAUAUAUGAGGAAAAGAGCUGCGAAUUACCGGUCAUAUGAUCAGUAGCACCUGAAUCUAAGAUCCAUGAGCCAUGAAACUUAGUACAAGCUAGGGCUGCAAUGAAAGAAUUACCUGACUGUGCUAGAGAACAAGAUGGGUUAGAUUUUUCUAAGGAUUGAGACUGAAACAUUUUAUAUAGAUGCUCUAUCUGUUCCUUGGUAAAAGGAAGAGACUCUGAGUAUAAUUGCUGCCCUGGAUCUGUGCUGCUAGCUUGAAAUGCGCGAACAUCUCCCCCUGACUUGGUGUCGCUGCCUGUUUUUUUCUUUGGUUUCCCAUGCAACUUCCAGCAACUUUCUCGAGUAUGCCACGGCUUUCGACAAUAGUCACACCAGGGCUUCUGCUUUCCCCCUGAGUCUGUACCGUGGGUCACAAGAGCAGAUCCUUCACUAUUUAUUUUUGGUUCAUCGUUAUUCUUCAACAUCACUUGCUGUCGUGCUUCUUCUCUGCGCACUUCUGAGAAAACUUCUCUAAUAGUUGGCAAAGGUUUUUUCCCUAGUAUACGUCCUCGAACCUCAUCAAGUUCUUUGUUCAAACCAGCCAAGAAAACAAAUACCCUACCUCUUUCAACUUUCUUUUUGUAUCGAGCACUGUCAUUAGAAUUUUCCCAUUGUUCAUCUUCAAACAAGUCCAAUUACUGCCAAACAGCCACCAUAUCAUUAUAAUAAGCUGUUACAUCACGAUUACCUUGCUCCAUCUUUCACAUACGGGUGUUUAAUUCAUACAAUUGUGAUUGAUUUUCCAAAUCUGAGUAGGUUUCCCGAACUGCUUCCCAGACAUCACGAGCAGUCUUGAAGUACAUGAAGGUUUUUCCAAUAAUAGAAUCCAUUGAGUUGAUCAGCCAUGCAGUAACCAUUGAAUUCUCUGAACGCCACUGCCUGUAUUUUGGAUCAUUAGUGGCUGGUGGUGUUACCUCGCCAUUCAAGUACCCUAGUUUCCCUUUACCAUCAAUCACUAAACGAACAGACUGAGACCAUUCAAAAUAAUUCUUUCCAUUCAAUUUGUGAAUGGUAAUUUGAAGAGAAUUUUCAGAAAGAGAAACAGCCGGAAGUGGCUGAGAAACUUCUUCCGAUGAAGUUCUACUACUGCUGCCAUCCAAAGAGGUUGAACUAGAGCCAACCAUGGCGGCCUUAAAAUUCAUGAUCAAACCCUAGGCUCUAAUACCAUGUAGAUUUUACCGAGGAAGGAGGAAAAAUUCUCUUAUUCAAUUCAUUAAAAAAUAGAGAAAACAAACAACUUAAAUAGGGAAAAAUAAAGGAUUAAUCCUAUACUUAGGAACUAACUUAUCUCAUCCCUACAUCUUAGGAUUUUAUCCAAAUCUCUAACAAACAAAUCCUUAUCAAUUACUUCUAAUUUAUCAACAAAUAUUAUUGGUGAAUCAAUAUUUUUUUUAAACCUAUUUAAAUCAUUUAUUGUCAGCUAGAUAGAUUUUAUGUUGUUUCCCCAAAAAAAUGGAUUGAUAUUAUUAGUAAAUUAAUAUAUGUUUAUUACAUAUUUAAAUUACUUAUUAUAUACUAAAUAAGUAAUUUUUAAACUAAAAUGCGUUUUUCAAUCAUUUAAUCAUAUAAAUUAAGGGUAUAAUUAUAUUUUCAUAUGGUGAGAGUGAUCAAUGGUUAAAUUAAUAAAAAAACUAACAGAUGAGAUUGGACUAUGAGUUUUUCAAAAUAUUGAGAGUAGAGUAGAAGCAAAUACCAAUUUAGUAUAUAUAGCUGAUAGCAUUACAUGCAAGUUCAUGUAACUAGCAAAUACAUUUUGCGCCUAUUCAUCCUACAAAUAUGUAAUUUACACAUACUUAUGCUUCAUAUUCAAAUCGAUCAAAGGGUGAACCUAUUCUCUCUUCGAUAUUUGCUAUAUUGGGAAAAUUUCAUGCUUUUAAGGAUAGGCUUGUACACCAGAGACGUAAGUUGCUUCAAUAGAUGCUGACACUUCGGCUGCAAAGUCUUCCCAUGAAAAUGUGGACAAGAUGACAAAAUCUGCAAUUUUCCCAGGAGACAAUGAUCCCACAUCAUUUUCAAGAAAGCAUGCACGAGCAGCCGAAAGAGUAUGCCUGUCAUGCCAAAACUGUUAGCAGCUGGAACUAAACUAAUGAUGACAGAAACAUUUUCAAGAAAGCAUGCACGCUGCAGCCGAAAGAGUAUGCCUAUCAUGCCAAAACUGUUAGCAGCUGGAACUAAACUAAUGAUGACAGAAACAAUAAGUUGAAACAAAGGAAAGCGCAGUAGUAAUAACAUAAAAGUGGUGAAAAGAGAAAACGAUAGGAGUAUAGCAGAAAGAACCAGGCAAUCAACAGGAAAACGUGGGUUUACAAUUGAUUUCGUGCACAGAGUACCCUAAACUUGAGCCUCGUAUUUCUUUUCACCACUUGUUAUCUCUUUUCAUCCCAAAAUUUUAACCAAGAAACAAGAAAUGAGAUUAAAAACACAAUAGUGUUUGCAACUUCCCAAAGUUUCCCAUUUCAUAACAUAUGCAAACAACUUCCCAAGGCUUCAAAUAUGUAAAACUGAAGUACAAGCAUGAAGCAAAUGAAGAAGUAACAUCUCAAUAAUAUGUAUUUCAAAAUUCUUACGCAAUCAAAGCAUCAGUGAAUGAAAUUCUCUCUGAUGGAAUCCAAGCAUUGUCCCAACCAGGAGGUAUUCUUUUCAUUGCUGUCCUGAUAGCAAAUAAAGGAUUGAUAUCUGCAACCUAAAAAUAACAACGGUUAUUUAUAUUAUCCAAGGUUAUGCAUCCUAAACCACAAGUUAAAAACAAAUAUCAUAGUCAGCUAUAUUAUACAUACUGGCCAGUCAGAUCCUAGUGCCAAUAGUGCAUUGUUAGCUAAAAGUGACUGAAACAAGUAAGAUUCUCUUUCAGCCCUAUCCACUCCCAGCUUUUUUCUUGCAGAAUCAGCAUCAUCUAAAAGGUGCUGUGGCUGUUCAGAAUUGGCAUUACUUCAUGUUAUCAUCAUAAAUAUUUUUAUUUACAGAAGGAUGAACAUAAACACAAAACAAGGGGAAACAUCAUUCAUCAGAGUGACACGAAAAGCCACACACUGUCGGGGUAAAUUAUGCAUCUACGGUUUCUUUUUUAAAUUCUUUUCAUAAAGAUUGUAAAGAUAUAUGAAAAAUUGUUUCUGGGUCUACAUGUAACCAACAUAUAACAAAAUAGCCCGUCAAAGAUAGAAACAAGAACAGCAAUGAUAUGGAUAGGCCAAACCGUGUACCUAAAAUUCCAAACAUCAGUAGAGAUAAGCAAGGGAUUAACAAUUGACUGCCAAAAGGUAGUCCAAACCUGCAUUGAAGCAACAAUCCCUUGAUCGCCGAAUCGGGCAGCUGUUCCGGAAGCUAGAUGUUGGGCGUGCUCAAUCUGAAAAAAAUUGUUCCAAUCAUGAAAAAUAUUGAUGCAUAAGUACUAUAUUGAUGAAUAAAUAUUAGCAUUUUCAAACACAAGUUUGUCAUCCUAUAAUAUGAAAAUCAUAAACACUGAACAAUUACUGAUCUGUCUUUUCAUGUAGUACCAACAAACUUUACCCUAAAUCUUUGGUCUCUCUUUCCAGUUGUUACAACAACUGAUUUGUACAUAUCCAGAACCAAAUCAUUUGCUCUAUCACCUAUAGCAUGAAUAGCAACCUGCAAGAAUUAACAAUAAAGCCAUUAAUUGAACUGCAAAGUACGAUUGACAGACUUGUAUGUGUGUGUUUUGAGUAGGGAUCUACAAGAAGUCAAGGAAAUACCUGAAGCCCAGAUUUAUCCGAUGCCAUGGUCAUGCUCAAAAGACUUUCUAGUUCCAUUACUUGUAGGCCAUAAUUAUGAGGCUCAUCGGCAUAUGGCUACAGAAAUAGAAACCUAUAUUUAUCUUAGUAAAAUAGAUGCACAUGUGUCCCAAAGGGAGGACAGCCUAGUUGGUUUGGCCUCUUGUGGAAGCAAGCAAGAAAUCAAGGGUUUGAAAGCCCUCAUAUCAACCUUUGGAAGGGAGUUAAUUUUACUAACGUGUUAAUACUAAAAACUUAAUUUCACAAUACACUUUCUCCUUUAAAAUCAUGAUGAUGUUCCAUUAUUAUAUUAAAUUUUGAAUUACAAAAUCUCAUGCAAAUAUUUUAAUCUACACCUUGCAUUAGCAAAACUUUUUGGCCCUCGGUCAGUAAGAUUAAGAACAGAAAAAAAAAAAAAAUCUAUCACUUAAUUCAGGAGGGACUUAUGUCCCCUGAAAUAAAAAAUUGAACUCAUAUGUUAAAUUUCUGUGGUGAUAUAACAUCUGCUCUAAUUCACAAAUGGAACAGGGUUAUUAUAUUUUUCUUAUCAUUUCUUUUCAGCUCAUAUUUUGCUCCCACUUGGUGACAUCAGUUCUAUUUUAUCACUAUGAUAAGUGUACAGCAUUUUAUCAUCUAGAGUCUUGAUUUUCACAUUUUAUUAAAUAAAGACAUUUUCACAUUAUAUUGAAUAAGGACAUAGUUUAUAAUACUUAUUAAAUAAUUACCUACUGUUAAUUACUAUGAAGCAGGGGGAAAAAUUCAGAUUCAGAGCUUAAGAUUCAUUUUAAAAUAGCUUUUACCAUUGAUCUAAGGAAAAUUAAUGACAGGGUUUAUUUAGAGAUGCAGGGAAACGCAAAAUUUUCUGGUUUUUAAACAACUGACUACACCUUCUUUUCACAACAAACUAAGAGUUAAAAUAAAGAAGGGAUAUUAUCAUUUUACCACUUAAUAGUUUCUGACAUAUCACUUUACCACCAAAGUUUUCUGACAAUUACUUUUUCCUACUUAAUGUUUCAGUUUUUAUCAUUUUACUACCAAACCGUUAAUAGAAUUUUUAAUAGAAAUUAUACUAAAAGUCUAUUUUAUCCCUAAACUUUAAAUUAAAAAAAUAAAAAAUUAAUUACGUAAAAAGAAAUAAUAUUUUUACCAACUGAUUAUUUUUUAUAUAUAAAAUAACUAAUUGAUAAAAUUGUAAAUAUUAUACCUUGUGAAAUUCCUAAAAUACCCAUGUGACAUUAGAAAUUUAUUAAUGGAGUUAAGGAUUUGGUGGUAAAAUGAUAAUCAGAAAAUUUUGGUGGUGAAUUGAUAUGUCAGAAAACAUUAAGUGGUACUGAUAAUAUCCCAAUAAAGAACGACAUUAUUGAUGCUUAUACUCUAAAGUUUAUUCUUAGCCUCUGCUACUUCUCGGCCACUGGUUUGUUUUCAGCAAGAAGGUUCUCUGGAUUGAUGCUUUUAGUUUGAAAGAGCUUAUUCUGAACUAUAAAUUGUGCUGAAAUGAUAGGCAGCACAGGAAGAAGUUUUAAACUUCAAUAAAUGAAUGCAAUAUAAGAAAUGAAAUAAAAAAAAAUUCCAAAUUACUAAUAUUCAGUAAACGCAAAAAAAAAAAAAAAGGCUGUUACAUCUAACCUCAUGAAAGAGAGCACUAUUAGAACCUAAAGAUCCAUCAGCAAAAGCCUUCACACCGCCCAAGUAAACCCAAUCACUUAGGACAUGACCUGUUUUGUUAAUAAGAUCCUGAGAAGAUAAAUUCAUAUAUAAGUGAUUAUAGAUAUAUAUAUAUAUAGGUAGAUAGAUAAAUAGACAGAUAGAUAGGCAGAUAGAGGAAAAGAAAGAUUAACUUGAGCUGUCAGCUAGAUCAAGUAAGGCAAUCACGACAUGAAAAACAGCAAUGCCAAAGUAUGUCAUGCACUGUUGUAAGUAAAAGAAUAGCAGAAGCACAUGCACACUAGAAAAGUAAUGUAUGGUUCAUUACUUUUGCAUACUGAAGGGUAAGAUGGCAGAAAAGCCUAAUCACUAAGCUACACUUAUUUUGUCCACUACAAUUUCUAUCAAGCUAAAGCAUAUCAAACUACAAUUUAAUUGAGAACCAGUAGAAUCUGAAUCCAGCAAAUAACCAUCAUCUUUUACUAAUCAAAUACAAAACCAGUGUUACCAUGCAGGUACUUCCUCAGCUAGGUUCGUGAUGCAUUUUGUUUUAUUAUUUUUCAAAUGUAUUCGUUAAUCUUAUUUAGGGAACAGACAUGAUGAACUUCUGCUUUGAAAAAAUUAGAAAAAUACAAAAUAAUCAAAUAGCUAUAUCUCAAAAAUUUUGUAGAAGUCAUACAGCUAAACUUGACCAUGUCUCCAGUGGAAAGAACAAGCAAACCCUGAUCUUCAUCUUCUCCGAAUAAGACGCCCAUUGGUAGACAUCUGUUAAAAAUCAGGAAGAGAAGGACCAAGUAACUAAAAGUUCAGAAAAUAAUAACACAAUGUUAAAAGAUUCCAUUUAGGAUCGGUGCAGAAAUUUCAAUUUUUGGAAAGAUCUUAUCAACUUUAAUUCUUAUUUGAUUAAACUAGAUGGUCAAGAAGGGUUGCAGUCAUAUCCCUGGACCGGAUCUGAAUUUAUUUAAUAAUGUAUGGAUGGCACUUGAACUUAAUCCAUUGAGUUUUCUCAAAGCAGUAGCAUGAAUUAUUGAGGUUUUGUUGAAACAUUUAUGACAACGAACUCUAGUCUACAUGAAUUCUACAUUCAAGUGAUGCCCAAACCAUUAAAUGCAAUGAAAAAGUUGACUUCUGCAGGACACUCAAGAAUUCCAAGUCAUAAGUUUGGUGCAACCUGCAAAAUCUUCCCAGGAGAGUUGAACUGAUUCCCCGGGAUAAUAUCUUCCAAAAUCAACAACAGUUGUCACUCCCCUCGACAGGGCGAGAUUGCUAGCUCUAAGUAAUGCUUCCCUUCUUUCAUCGACCGAUACCUCUGGAAUCCAUGGGAGAAUAAGCUUCAUUGCAGCAUCAAUCAGCAGUCCAGUAGGUUCUGCAUGAGGUCAAUGUUGUGACUUAUACUACCUCAAUAACUUAACAAAUACAGAACCUUAACAAAAUUCAGAUUCAUAUGCAGAUAUAACUAUUAGGAUUAGGGUCUGAAGACUUACUUAGUCAAUAUUAGCGUUUAAAAAUAAAAAAUAAUCAAAUUAGAAAAAUCACAUCAUACAACUUAUGUACAGGAUUCUAGGUACCAUUAACUACUAUACCUCCAGUAGGAUAUUGACCCGACUUUUUAUUCAUAAAUUGAUGUAGUUUCCUAAUUCUCAAAAUGUAAACAAUUGAAAAGCAACAUUAAAGAUACUUUGCAGAGCUGAACAAUUUGAAGGAGACCAAAAAGAAGGGGCUCUAUAAAAAAAUAAAAUUCUGAAAAGGGGUUUAAAUUAAAAGGUUGAACCCAGUUUGUGGAACUAGAAUGAACCUCAACUUGAUACCUAAGUAAAAUCUUGAUAUUCUAUAUAGAUCCUCAUUUUUCUAACCAGAAAACUAACUAAUUCUGGCCUGGGGAAAUGUGUUGUACACUUACUUGAAUACUAGUUGGCUUGGAUUUACAGUAACAAACAAGUCAAGCAACUUUCAGUAUUGGUAGAAGUCAUUUUAGUACUAAGUUCAUAUAUAAAAAACAAAUUUAAAUCUCAUCAUUGAUUUGGAAAGCUACGAUCCACGAGUUCUGUAAAACAACCCAACAGUUUUGUAACUAGAGGCCCAGAAAAGUGCCAAAACCAGCCCCAACAAAAGUCUAUGCAAAAGGCCACCAAAAAAAAUCUACUCCAUUCUAUAUUCCUAUAUGCACUAGUUUAAAAAAAAAAAAAUACUAAUACUGAGUUUGAAAAAAGUCGCAACAUAUACAAACAUGACCAAGACCCACGACAAUUUAAAUGAAGGUAAAUGAAGCAAUUCAGAAAGCCCCAGAAUUUGAGGCCUAUAAAGAAGCAAUAAUAUGUCCAUUCUAUCUUCAAACGUACGGCUAAUCCUAUCUUUCUAAAUUCCUCUCUUUGAUUGCAUUUACAAUCUGAUUUAUGUAUUAAUCUAGUCAUCACUUGAACAAGAAAACUUAUGGUAAAUUUUAAGGUGCUCUGACAGGUUCUGCACAACCUAGGCUCAAAACUUGACAGUCAACCAAGCAGAGCAACCCAAACAUUCAACUUAAAGCCUCUACCAUCACAUAAAUGAUUAUAGUCCUGCUUAAAGCACUGUCAGAAGUGAACCUUAUCAAAUUACAGGUAGUUCUUUGAAUCAUAAUAAUAUUGUCAUUGAAACAUCUUACCAAAUAUCACACACACACACGUGAGGGAGCAAAGACAGAGAGAGGUGGCCACCCUGCCUUCUGACAUCAUUUAAAAUCUAGAUACAUAAAUAGAUAUUACAUCCAUUCAUCUCUCCUGUUCUGUUUAAUUAGUAAUGUGGCAUACCAAAGCAUAAAUAAAGAUAUUGCAAGUUUAAAUCAUUUCAGAAUUUUAUCAAAACCAAAAGUUACCUCCACUAGAUGUCUUCAUUAUAGUUCCACCAUUUGGAUCUUCAGAUAAAUUAGUAAUCCCAACAAGCUGUAGGGCCACUGAAUUGGCCAAGCCCAUAUGACCAUCCAUCCUUGAUAACCAAACCUGCAGAACUAUGCACUAAAACUGUGAAUCCCAAUCCUCUUAAAUGCACCAAUUUCAAAUAGCUUAGGAUUUCUUACUGGAUUGUGAGGUGUAAUAUCAUCAAUCCACGAUGCCAUUGGCAGGUCUCCUCCCCAGAGAUCAUUGUUCCAUCCACCCCCCAAAAUCCAGGAGCCCUUUUUCGAGUCUGCAUAUAUUUGGACAACAGUAUCCACUUCCAUAAAAUGUGAUGCUGCCUAAAGCAAGCAAUGUAAUGCAAAGAAACUGUAUAGAACUAUCAUAAAUUUGAUUCUGUCACUAGCUGAUAAUGUUUCACUCUUCACAACCAGUGCUGUGCUCAGUGGAGUAAGCAAUCGAUUAACAAGUGAUAAUUUGUAUGUCAUUGAGGCAGAACUAUUUUAAAGUUUUCAAACUCAGGGUACUGUUAUUGAUACUUUAUUCUCAUCCUAGGAAUCAGUUUAGGCAUCCAAAAUGAUGAUAAAACAUAAAGAAGACACAAAAUAAUACCACCAAUCUAUCUAUUGAAGAUUCAACUCUCCUUAAGUACCUGUUACGGCUGAAACAAACUUUUCAUAUCCUAUUCAGGGAAAGCAGUCAAAACAAAACUUAACUUUUAAACUUACAACAAAAUACAUCCAAACAGAACACCAAGUAACUAUUUAUGUUAUUUGGAAAAGAAUAAUAUCCAUCAUGUCUAAAAAUUAUAAUAUUAGAACAAAGGAGCGCGAGAACUACUUUUCACUGCUUCUUUGACCCUUCUCACAAAUUCAUCCUUGUGACUAACACCUCGCAAUUUCACCCGCGCCAUCUGUUUUCAUUGUUAGAAUUUCAGGCCAAUGUAUGGGUAACAACAGCUUAAACAUACAAUAACUUAAGCAUUGAAACAGAGAGUAAAGCCAGAACUUUUAAUCAAAGGACACCAUCUAACAUGCAAAGAUGAUGUUUACUCAUCACUUCAACUAUAUUUCACAAAUUGGGCCCCAAAGUAUAGUCUCCAAAGCUCACAAUAAGACUCAAAUUGACACCCAAAUUAAUAGGAUUUGCAACAACAUUGUUACUAGUUAAACAUUGAAGCAUGUAUGAUCUAUCUAAACUUUUCAAUCUUGAGCAUAACAAACACGUUAGUCACUAUCAAUCAAACUUCAUCCAGUUGAUAAAAAAACAGUGGAAAGAAUAUUUUUGAGAUAAGGUUACAAAUAAAUUUGCAUCAUGCUUGACAGCUUGAGAGAGUACUUUUAUAGCAAACCGUUAUGAGCAAAAGCACAUCCCCCAAAACCAUCUAAAACGCUUUAUAGCAAGAUACUUUCUUAUACAAAAAGCCCAUUUCAAUAAAGCAUCAAUCAAUUACUUAUGUCAAGAGAACUCAUUAAGUUUUUUCUAAUACCAAAAAGCACUUCUAUCUGUAUCAAGCAAACACUUUAAGACACAACAAAAAAAAAAUUUUCUUUUUAAUUUUACUUUAUAAUACUGCUUUCGAUGAUUCCAAAAUCACUACCAAAAGUAGGGUAUUUAUACAACCGUCAAGGCUCCACUUAAUUUUAUAAGCACAACUGCAAAAAAUUAUAUUACAAAAUACAAAUCGAAUGAUAGGUGCAUUAGAAGUAAAUACCCUAUUGACUAACCGUCUAGCUAUGUGCCUUAAAAGCAAAUUAGCAGUCAAACGCUUACAAAGUUGGGAUAGUAAAAAGCCCGUAUCCCGAGUAGUGUAUCAUCCAUAGAAAUUCACCACUUGGAUAAGAAAUGAUAAAGUUUAGUAACUAGUCAUUAUAUGGCACUAAAAGACCCCAUCAUCAGACACGUCAAUUGGUGCACAAAUAAAAUUUUUAUUCAGAGAAAUAACAAGAAAGCAGAAACCUGAAGUCCUCCAGGGAUGAAGUGAACAUGAGAAUCGAUAAAGCCAGGAACCACAACUUUCCCUUGAAGAUUCAACACGUUUGUUCCAUCAGCAGCCAAUUGCUGAACAGCAGAGUAAUUGCCAACGCUGACAAUCCUGCCGUUUUUUAUGGCCAUGGAAUCAGCAAACAGCAGAGAGUCAUCACCCGUGAAUAUAACUCCAUUGGUUACAACUAAGUCGGCUUCUAAGUUUGUUGUUGUUGUUGUUGUUGUUGCUGGUGUCAAUUUCAGCAAAUCUAUGUAACCAGAAAAACCAAAAGAAAAAAAAUUCAAAAAAAAAAAAAAAUCUUGAGAUAUAUAAUAAAGUGGAAAAUUAAUUGAUUUGAUGCUCACAAAAGUUGUUGAGAAGAGGAAAUGAGAAGAUUGAAAGAGCGAGGGCGAUGGUGGCUGAGAUGGCUACGUAAAUAUUCAUGCUGCAGGCCUGCAGCAGGUAAAGCGCAAGCAGUGAUUCUGAAAAGAGUCUAAAAAUUGUUGUUAGAUUCUUUUAUUUAAUUUUUAAAACCAUAUAUAUAUAUAUAAAGGUCAAUAAUAUUACAAUUUCCAGGUAACAAUUUUUUUAUUAAUAAAGGUAAAUAAUAAAUACAAAAUAUUAUUAAUCUAAUACAAGCAAAAAUAAUAUUAUAAAAUAUUAAAACAUAUACAAUUUCGUCCAUGUAGGGGGAACCUUAGGUGCAACUGUGGCACCGUGCCACAGUUGCAUCUAACCGUUGGAUGUCAGUGGACCCCAUUAAUCUAACUAUAUCCAACGACUAGAUGCAACUAUGGCAUGAUGCCACAGUUGCACCGUAACCUGAUCCCAUGUAGGGUAAUCAUCAGUCAACCACUCAAUUUAUGUUUUAUAGCAAAAGUGCACACAAUUACCCUAACUUUAAUUUUUUAUCACAUAACUACGUAACUAAAUUAUUGAGUAAUUUCCACCCAAAAUCUUGUAAAUCCACCAAACUCCCACGAAAUAAUUAUAAUAAAUUCACAUAAAGAAGAAACUUGAUAUUUAUUUUCAUAAUAUUGAAUAAUCAUUCUUUGGUACAGAAGUUCGUAUUUAAAAAAUGUGGAUUUAGAGUUAUAAUAUUAUUAAACACUUUUACAAUGUUGUAAAAUUUUAAAUCCACAUUUUUAAUGAAUACGAAUAUCCACACUAGAGAAUAACUUAGGGAUGACAAAAUCUUAUAUGAGCUUGGAGUCCCAUGGGGCUCCACCUCAAAUAGGGUGAAUUUUGAAUAAUAUUUGGGAAUGGGGUGGGGAAAUAGAGGGAAAAUAAUCCCUAAAUUCUAAAUGGAGUGGAGUUUGAUUUUAUACUCCCGACCCACCCCACCCCAAUCCCCAUUAUAUAUAAAUAUUUUUUUUCUAAUUUUUAUUUAAUAAUUUUUGUUUCAUCAGUUACAAUGUUAGUUAAUAAAUUUUAUUUUUAUUUGACAUAAAUGAGAUAUAACUAAAAAAAACCCUACAAUAUAAUUUUUAUUCAACCUAAAACAUUGUUAUUUUUUUUCUCUUAAAAAUACUGCUUUCUUUAAACAUUUUUCAAUUUUGAUAUCUUUUCAAGAUAUUAUUUCAAAUAUUUGGAGUUUUUUUUAAAUAAUUUAAAUAUUUUAUAAUGUGGUAAUGAUUUUUUUAAACUUUUAAUUUUUUAUUUAUUGAAAUUAUGUAUCCAUAUCUACUAUAAAAUAAAUAAAUAGAGAAUGAGGGUGAGGAUGGAGAAAUCGUUCCCUAAGUGGGGAUUCUCCAUCCCCACCUAAUUCUCCAAUAAAUUUAGUGGGAUGAGAAUGGAGAAAUCGUUCUCUAAAUGGGGAUUCUCCAUCCUCACCCCACUAAUUUUAUUAGGGAAUUGGGUGGAGAAUAAAGGUAAGAUUUUUAAUGGGGUCGGGAAUGGAAUAGACCUCCCUACCCCUACCCCACCCAUUGCCAUCCCUAGAAUGACUCUAACAUUAAAUACCUAAAUUAUUAAAAAUAAGAGUUUAUGUUUCUUAAGAUAGUUUGAUCGUUUCAUAAUAUUAGGAUCAAAUAGUUAAAUAAAUUUUAUCUUAAAGUAAAUAAUAAAAAUAAUUAUAAGAAGGAUGACCCACUUUCUAUUGUUGUAAUUGAUGUAGUUGAUUAAUUAGGAAUAUUUCGAUCUCACUUUUAGAAAAUAAUUAUGACAAAUUUACAUUAUUUUUAGAAUAUACAAAUCAACGAAAAGUUUAUUUGCUUUACAAAUAUUAAUUUGAGUAAUUAUAUAAGAUAUAUGAUACAUAAUUCAUAGUGAAUUUUUGGGAAAAAGAAAUUCAUUUGAAUUACUAUGAAUUAGAAAAUUUAAAUAUAUUUUAUAUUUAAUUAUUGUUUCUUCUUAUUUUUUAUAGAAUAUAUAUUAAACUUUACAAAAAUCCCCAACAGGAUCCCUCUAAGUUACAUGCAUGUACCUUAUAACCCUCUCACAUGAAUAGUGAGUGAACCCACAUCAUUCACUAUUCAUGUGAGAGGAAUGUAUAUAACUUAACAUUAACCUUACUAAAAUUAUAUGUGGUUGAUACAGAAUCCCGCUGGUUUCGCGCAAAUUCAAAAGCUAUUUUUGUUCCUUCCCCUUCACAUUUUUUGUAGGGUCAUUGUGGUCAUUUUACCUAGAUUUUCUAAUCAAGAUGUGGAUGAACCGAGCUCUCAAUCUCAAUCUCUCAUUGCACAUAUAAAAUUAAAUCCAUCAGUAAUAUUUUACCUCAACCUAAAAAAUCCCCAACACAUUCAGUUUUCCAGAUGGGAAGAGAACAAUAAGGCAACAAUUGAAACAACUAACUACAUCAUCUAUUACUCGAAAAUGAAAAACAAUGUGGAUGUUGAACCGCUAUUAACAUCAAACACGAUUGAUUAUGAACUGCACCCACAUUCAAAAAACUGGCAGUUCAUAAAAAGGCAUGCCAUAAUUGUCAUCAGAUACCUGCUUUUUAUAUACAAAUGAAAAUAGCCGAUGAUAUAAAGGUUUGAAUCAGAAGUACCAACUCCUCUUCCACCCCACAAGAUAAGAGACAGGGUCUAAAAUGCCUAAUCUUGGUCCACGGUUUUUUCUUCCGGAACUGGAGGAAGACUUGGUUCCCGGUUCCCUCCAGAACGAGGUCUUCUGAAAUACUUUCCAAUGAAUUCAUCAACAAAUUCGGGAUACUUUCCUCUAAUGAAGCUUUCUAGGCAUUUCCGGUAGGAGAAGUCUUGUUGGCUGCCAUCAGUCGAGACAACAAACAAGCAUCUGCUAUCUUGGAAACUGCCGUGCUUGUCGACCUGUCACACAUCCAAGUACUUAGGUCAAUUACUGGAAAUAUACAGUUCACUGAAUGCAUAAAUUGUUGACAAAAUCAUGGAAUUUUAUGAUCAGACGGAGGUUAAUACUAGGCCAAUAAAGAAAAUAGCCUUACAAUAAAAGGACCAAAUGCCAUUACACAAUUGCAUGUUUCUCUCGUCUUGUUCAAGGUAUAACUAUUCAAGAUCUCUUGUUUCAUGCCCACAAACAUUACAUAUUUUCGUUGAAAGCCCAUAAUGAACUUAGAACAAAAGCCACUGAAUGGAAAGGUUUGUCCAUCAUACCUUGAAAUGAUCGAUGCCAGCACCCAUUUUCAUUGCUUUAUCUGGAUGGUAAUUAAAAACAUUAUCAAAUAUGAAUGAUUUAUCAUCAGCUGACAAUCGAUCCCCAUCAUUGUACCUUCACAAACAAUUUCAAUUGAGGAAAUUAGAUAAGUCAGGAGCGCCGCAGAAUAGAAGACAAAAUAUUGAAUGCAAAAUAAAAUCUAUGGACUUGGAAGAAAAAGAAAGUCAAAGUCUGACAAAGGAUCACAGCAUGCCAUAAAAUUACAAACAAUGAGGAGAAACUAAAGACAAUGUGAUAAAAGUAUAAAAGAUUCCCCAACAUAGCGCGGUCAAUGAUACUGUCAUAAAAGUUAAAUUAAGCUCAUAUGCUACCAUGACCAACUAUUAACUUGCUGCCAUCGAAACCAGAACUGCCAAGGCCACAUAAAACUGAAAUAGGCCACAGGUACAGCAAAGCAGCUUCACAGAAUGUGAGUACAGUGGCCAGAUCAACAUAAUAAGCUUUUGACUUGUAAUGCAAUAGUAGCAUAUACCAUUAAUUAAACAAGGGUGAAAAAAAAAUUAUAUACAUGUAUAGCUUAAAACCUACCCAGACUGAUGCAUUAUUCUCCUGAUAGACCGCAUAAUUGGUUCAACGUCUGAGAGAAUAUCUUGUUCUUCAGAAGUGAACAUGUCUAACCGCUGUCGGGUCACUGUGUACAUCGCAUUCACAGUAGAAUCAUCAUUGACCACCCCAGGUGACCUAGGAGGACGAUUCUUCUUGCCUUUCCAUUCCCCUGAACUUGAAGCCCAACCACGGUUUUUUUUGAAAGGUUCUUUCCUUGACUGUCCCCACACUUGCAUCUCAGUUUCACUGCCACCUGUUGCAUCUGGCAGAUCCCAAGCAUUUGAACUUGCUGGCUGGGAAGACUCAUUCUCAGUGUGUUUCUGUUUCCCCCAGGAACUAUCAUCCGUACCUUUGGCAUUCUCAGUGAGUUUCUGUUUUCCCCAGGAACUAUCAUCCGUACCUUUGGCAUCUGGCACAUUCCAACCACCUAUUUGAUGAACAAUGGACUUUUCAUUAGCACUUGGUUUAGAUGAAUCCUCCCAACCUUUUGUUGAAAAGUCUUCUCGAGCACCCCAAACUGAAGAUGAAUUUUCCACAGCAGAUCCAACAUCGUCAAGUUUAUCUAGAGCCUUUGUAUUCCACGAAGCCUUGGUAUCCCAUCCGGAAUUUUCUUCUGAUCCAUUUCUCCCCCAAGAAGCAGUAGCAUUGGCAUGGUCCUUCCACUCACUCCAGUCACUGGAUUUGCCACUAUCUUGAGCUUCAGUCCCCCAACCUGACAAUGGGUUUUCAGCAGGAGCUGCCACUUUUUCCAAUGUAACUUCAGAGCUUUUAUCCCAAGAAGCCUCAGUCCCCCAUGCUGAUGAUGGCUUUGCAACAGUAGUCUCAACCUCUUCCAAUUUAUCUUCAGAACUUUUUCCCCAAGAAGCUUUUGCCCCCCAUCCUGACAAAGGCUUUGAAGCAGACCUCCCCACAUUUUCCUGUCUAUCUCCGGGGCUUUUCCCCCAAGAAGCUUCUGAGCCCCAUCCUGAAGAAGUUUUGGCAGCAGGACUCCUCACAUUUUCCGGUUUAUCCCCAAAGCUCUUCCCCCAAGAAGCUUCAGUCCCCCAUUCUGAAAAAGACUUUGCUGCAGGACUACCCACAUUUUCCCAUUUAUCACUGGAGCUUUCCCCCCAGGAAGCUUCUGUCCCCCAUCCAGAAGGCUUUCUACUGGGACUACCCGCCUUUUCCAAUUUAUCAUCACUGCUUUUCCCCCAUGCACCUUCUGUCCUCCAUCCUGAUGAUGGCUUUUCAAGAGAAGUCCCCAAUUUUUCCCAUUUAUCUUCAGAGCUUUUCCUGCAAUCAGCCUCAGAAUCCCAAUUUUCAUUUUCUUGCUUAUUUUCUAACCAACUCUGGUCUUCCACAAGGUCCUCGAAGAUUGGCUUGUCAGAACAUAAGUUAUGCUCUGGGGACAGGCUCCAAUCAAACUCAUCUUCUAACCCAUCAACUUCUUCACCGAGACAACCAGUAUCCAAUUCUUCAAUGCCAGUACUACUUCUCACCAUGUGAAGGAAGUCAUAUACAUCUACCCCGUCAUCCUGAUUAAAUUCCUCCUGGAAAAGCAAAAUGAUCGCAUUAAAAUAACAUUUCAGGAAAAUUGUAAAUCUUUGGAUAUAUGCCAUAAGCACAUGAAGUUAUGAAUCUUUUUUUGAGAAAAAGUUUAAGUAGAUUGAUAACAAGAUGUCCGGUAGCCCAAAAAUACCCUAAGAAUUUACAAAUAAGAGAGCAUCUCGAAAAUAAAGUUUCUAUCUUGAAAUUCCUUUGAAACUGAGGCCCAAAGAGAAGCUAGAAACAGAGCUCUAACCCACAUACAUUCUCUGUUUGCCAUAGGAGGUCAAAUCUUGAUCCUGUACCAACAGCCACGUGUUUACCCCAGGAGCAAGCAGCUACCACACUUGAUAAGUUAUCAGUAUGACGUUUCUCAGCAGCUUUCUCAAAACAUUUCCGAGGCAUCUGCACAACCAUAAUACAAGCAGAGAUCAAUUUAGAAAGAUAUUGUAAUUCAUCUUAGAGGACAAUAAAGAUGAGAAAUCUCAUAGAAAAAAAAAUCACUUACAAACAAUGUUGCUUCUGUGAAUGGUACUUGGACAUUCAACGAACGGGAUAGUGCUUUGUAACCACCAGAGUUGAAGCCAACUAAAUCACCAGCACAUGUCAUACUGUUUGCCAAUAGAAUAAGAUGUUCUUUAAGAACACCUUUUGCCACCAUAGUCACUGAAGCUGAGAGGCGCUGCAAAAUCAGCCAAAGGAUUAAGCCCUUCAUAAAUCCUCAUGAAAAUUUAAAAAAGAAAUCAGUUCUGCACCUAUGUCAUACUAGCAGUCAUUUUGCAGCCUAAUUAAAUAGUUUAGAAAGGAUUAAGAAAAUACAAGAACGUAAGAGUGGAGGAGGGGGAUGACAUUGUAGGUCCAUUUGCAAGAAUAAACAGUCACGCAGGUUUUCUAUUUUAGGAAAAAAAAGAAAAUUCUUUCUGCGGUAUACUUAUUAAGCAAGAUAACAUAAACCAUGAAUUACAAAAGCUGCCAACAAUUAGAAUAGGUGACUAAAUGGAAUUAAAAACACAGACACUGUCUACAGAAAUUCUGCAGGAUACAAGGCCAGUUAUUAUAGAGAGGAAGUUAAAAAAAAUAAACAAUUUAUCACACGAAAUUAAUAGAAAAUAUAACAAGCCAGAUGUAGAAAUGGCUUUCAACAUACCAUAGAGAGAAGCAAAGGCCCAAACUACUAACUCUUAACAAAACAGGAAAUAUCAUGGAUACUAAAUACUAACAAUAUACAAGUGAAUCAAAUGAUGUUACGUCUUCAAACUGACUGGAAAUACUAACCUCACUAGAAGAAAUUUAAGAAUAGCAGAUUCAGAAAGUGAGAAUUUGCGCAUAAGAAAAAGAGAAAGAAGAGUUUCCUUGAUACCUGAACUGCCUGUUCAAAAGCACAAGAAACCCCCAGCAGUUCCUGAACUUGUUUAAUUGCAUAGGGUACAGAACGCCUGGUGUCAAUUAAAUGAAAUACGGGAAGACAAGAAUCAAGGACAGUCCUCCAGGCGUCCCCACUUUGUUUAACUACUGAUUUCUCAAGAACCACGUCCAGGGCCAAUUCACCCUUCCGAUUCUUGCUAGGAUUUCUAAUCCAUGCUGUUGUGUCCGGACUGAUCCAGAUAAUAUUUGCUGAGCAAAUCCGAGGGUCACCUAUCCAUUAAAGAGAAGGAAUAAUCUAUCACAUUGAAAUUGCUGAUACCAUGUAAAAAUAAACAGUCAAGAAAUAAAAGAAAACAUUUGAAAUUUUAUUAAUGUCAUACAGUCAGGGAAUUACCCAAAAUAAUUAUUGACCCAUCUAUGAAAGAAAAAAUUUUUAGCAUCUGAAUACAAGUUGUUACAAAGUGUUUAGAGCUCAGAAUAUCAAGAAAACAAUUUGGUGGUUGGUUAAUUGAGUCCCAGAAUCAGUGAUUUUUACUGCAAAAAUGCAAUUGUAAACACUACACACUAAGUUUACUGCAAAAAUGCAAUUGUAAACACUACACUCAAAAAACCAAAUUCUCAUUACCUGUCUAACCCACCAAUUUUCUGCAUAGGCAAUGGAAAUCAGAAUAGUUUAUAAUGCAUUCAGUAAUUGAAGUACCUUUGAUUAUUGUUUCCAACAGAACUGGGUAAAUCAUAUUGGCAAGAACACCUGAAAGUUUAUCUAAAUAACUAUCACUUGCUCCUCGCAAAACAAACAUCAAGCAUGGCAUGUUGGAACGUUUAUCCGCACAGGAUUGCUGAAAAGAGCAACAUUCACUGCCAAGGAACAAGCACAAAUCAACUGGUGUAAGUCACUUUAAAUAUUAAAGCAAUUUCAAGUGCUUAGUAGAAGAGCAACACACCCGAGAACAGAAAAUCGUGUACCAAAUCAUGGUGUCGCAUCAUAUAAACAAUCAAGACAUGUCCAAAUCAAAACUAAUCCAACAGAGAUAAUGUUUAUUUCAAUAGCAUCUCUUUUCAAUUUGAAAUAUCAUUAUCUAGGGGGUUCCUCGACCACAACAGCAUAAGUGAACUUCUGACAGGAAAAAGAAAAGAGCUAUAGGGACAGAUGCUAAUGGGAUGCUAAAACACCAAUAAUGAAAGUGAAUGAUGAGUGCGGCAAAUCCACAUUUGUUCCAUUACUAUGUACUCACUAAUGGAAUCCAAAUAAGAUCAGGCAGUUUAGAAAAAUUACUUGAGUGCUUCAUACAACAUCUUCUCUCCUUAGCUUCAUGAAUACCACUAAAAGAAAUUUGAUUUGUAGCAGGAUUCUUAAAAUGUGAGUAACUUCUUUUACAAAUUUAAAACACGAAUCAACUAUAAUAAAUUUAACUAUUACAUUAUAAAUUUGUUCAUCCUAUAAACUUCAAUAGGAGUCCUCAAGUAGCUGAACUGAAGGCAGAUUGUUCUAAUAUGUAUACCUUAUAUUGAUACAUAUGUAUAUAGAAGGGGUUAAUGGUAGAUAAUACAAAAGAAUCGCAAACUGACAAAACCAACCUGAUAGACAAACUUGUAUUCUUAAAAAACUGGACAACUUUUUUCAUCUUUUUCUUCUUGCAGAAAGAUUUGAGGGUCUCUUGGCACUUGGGAAGAAUGUCAUGCAUGCUGAUACGCAAAUCUUCCAACAAAAUCUGUUUCACAAAGUAUCAAUCAGUCACAGAAACAACAUUCUUGCCAACCAAGUAACAAAAUUCUUGCCUUGUUGAGAUGAAUAUGACCAACAAGGCCUUCAUCAUCUGAUAUAAUUUCGGGUUUCUUGUAUCUGUACAGAAAGAAACUAAGCUAUUAGAUCUUAGAAGUAUAAUGACAGCCAUUCACAAUAAUAUCCUGUUAUUUUGCAUAUAGAAUAAACUAAAGAAAUAUAAAACAUAAUCCUAAGUACGACAAAUAAGGCAUAAAAAUUGUAGAUCUUAACAGUUUUAGCAUGUAUGUGCAUGUGUGCACAUAUAAAACAUAAAAAUAAAACCAAACUAGAAACAGCGAAUUCAAAGCAACUACAAGACUAGCAUCGUAAUGGAAAAAAAGCAUAACUGCUUAAUAAAGACAAGUUCGAAAGAAGGAAAACAUAUUGAUUAAACAUACUCAAUCAAGAACUCAACAGCAGCAUCUUUAAGACUGACUCUUUUCAACUGAUUCUUAACCAUGUAAGCAGCACGUUCUUGACAGUACUUUCUCCCACAGCCACAGUCAUUCAGAUAUAGAAUUACACGGCGAUCAAUUGGGUCAUUAUUGAAACUUACUCUACAAAGUAGUAUUUCCUGGGGGGAAAAAAAGCAUGUAAAAGCCCUUAAUUAGAAGAAAAUCUUUUGGGUAGAAUUCAUGGCUCAUUUCCAUCAUAAGAAUUCCAUCUACCUUCAUCAGCUCCCAUGAAUUGUUGCUACUAGGAGAAGAAUCAAGAACAGCCUUAUAUGCAGGGUUCGACAUUGCAGUUGCAGCAAGGACACCAACAGGCUCACCAGCAGGGAAUAAACUAUGAGACUUCCUAGCAUUCACCGCAUAGUCAAAUUGGAUUAUGGAAUUGCUACAAACAUUUCUAACGGUGCCAUCAUAGCAAAUCACAACAUCGCGAAGAACAGCCAUUAAGUUCUUAAACAAGGUACCAGGUUCAGACAAUCCCCUGGACGAACGGACAAUAACUUCCCGGGUAGAAAUUGAAUGAGUCAUCUCCUCAUAUGGAUCUAAGCCAUGAAAAAAACACCCCUUGAUUAAUCCAUAUUUUGCGGUAGGGUAAUUUAGAUCCAUGGGAUAUAUCCUCUCAAAAUGAGAAGCAAUAUCCUCAACCAGGGUCUUUGAAUAAAAUUUUCCCCUAUCUGAAAGCUGCAGGCCUAAGAAGCCAGCCUGCUGCACAACCUUGCUGACAGCUGAAUCACUCUUGGAGUCGAUUAAAUAACCCAGUGUAGAUGACUUUAAAAUGAAUUUUGCAACCAGCAUUUUCACAUGUCGGAUGUGGUUUUCAAUUUGCAAAUCCACCAGCUCAUUUUGAGUAGACAUCCGAUGAUAAAGCAAAGAAUAAAGAGCUUGAAUCUCCUUCUGAAUAUUCCAUAGAGCAGCUUUGGACAAGGAGAAAUCCUCCAAACUAACACUAAAACCAUCAGCAAACAAAUUCUCCAUAAGCAAAGGCUGCAAAGAAUCAAAGAAUUCUAGAACCUCUUCAGGGCCCUUCUCGAAGAAAAUAGAUGUUACAAUCUCAUUAAUCACUGACGGUAUAGUGUCCCUAUCAAAAUCACCGUUUAAAACUUCACUUUUCUUGAUCAGGUAUCUGUCCCCGCAACUGUCAAACCCAGGAGGCAAAACAGACUGUAGAAUCUGCAAAGCAGUCCAACGAGGGCCAGAGCAGUGAGCCUUCGAUAAAGCAGGUCGUGGCAAAGGGGACAAGGCAAACAUAGCUAAUUGCUGCGCAAAUGCUUUGUCCAGGAAAUACUUCUUGAACAUGACCUUAAGAGACAACAAUGCAUCAGUGGCCAAUUGCAAAUUGAGAUUGCCAUUAUGAGAGCUAAGCAACUGCUUCUCCACAGAGAAAAGCUCCAGAACCUCCGCUUUUGCAGCCAGGGACUGAGGAUAGAAUAAGUGAAUACAAUCACCAUCAAAAUCAGCACUUAAGGGGCCACAGAUAAGAGGAUUUAUCUUGACAGUGUGAUCAUCAUGAACAUACACAGAGAGUGCUUGCAGUGAAUGCUUAUGUGUAGUAGGCGGCCUAUUAAUGAAAACAGUAUCCCCAUCCAUGAUCCUCCGAUGUACCACUUGACCAGGUCUUAGAAAAGUGUGCCCCUUAGAACCCUCUCUCAGUGAAUAUGAGGAAGAGCCAUCACUGUAGGUUAAGCACAACUUGUUAUCCACCAGCUCUUGUAAAUAAUUAAUGUUGUGCACAUUGACCCUCUCCUCAAACGUAAUACGUUGAGCAAUUUCAAAUGGCACACCAAUUUCAUUUACCCUUUUGUAUGCAUCACCAGUAAUCACACUGCGGGAAGAAAAACCCGAUCCUUUUCUGAUAAACAAUGUCCUCAUCUUUUCCAGCCAUGCUUUUGUUGUUGAAUUAGGAUCCUGGCUAACCCCAAAACGUGCAUCAACAUCACGGGACGAUUUUGCAGUACCCCGAACUUCCAGAUAUUGACCAACUGCAAGCUGUAAAUCAUUAGAUUCAACUUCCUGAGAUUCAAAAUUUGGAGUUCCGGACCUGGAACUUCUAAUAAUCUCAACUUGCUUUAGAACUUUUUUCAGCAUUGCUAUUGAGAGAUCCUGGAGUACAAGAUGGAUCGAAAGUACAUAAUCAGGUUAGCAGUGAACAUCUAACUAGCAACAAAGACAAACUGAUUCACUUACCGAGGACAUAGUGCUAACACCAUCAGAAAUGUCAGGCACAGACAAACAGUUUGGAGGGACAGGCAGAUAUUCCAGAAUAUAUCCAUCUUGAGGGAAAUACCCUUUCCCAGCCAACUUUUUUCUAGUCUCCUCAGGAAUUCUUUUGAGCAUUUCCUUAACCUGUCAGUUAUUGUCCCCCACACCAAUAAAUAAUCAAUUAAUUGAAGAAAAAGCAAUCAAAUGAAGAAUGUACAAAGAAGCAAUUUUUUAUGUUGGCAAAACUACAAUAGUGCACUGAUAAAAUCACCAAUAAAUGAAAGCUCACACCAAAAUAUUUUCUGAAAUCUAACUGUUUUGUAUGACGUGGUAACAUCUGUUAUGUUUGAGCGCUUCAUAAGAUAUCAUUUUCUGAAAUCCACAUUAGCUAACAGAUGAUACAAUCAAAGACAUUAGCCGCUUCUCACUGAUGCCAUCUAAUAAUUCAAGCAUUACAAAUCCAUAGCAACAAAAUGGCAUCACUGAAUACAGAAUUUGAAUCUAAACAUUGAUCUAAGCAAAAGAAACAGAGAAACAAGUGCUGCAAUAGCACAAAAACAAGUAUAAAGAAUAAAGAAAGAAACAUAGAACAAUCAGAUCAUAUGUACAAGGCCAUCAAUUAAAUAAACCAGACAAUUAAGAGAAACUAUUCAACUUAUGUACAAUGAUUUCAAUAAAAAAUAUCCAAAAAAAAAAAGCCUCAUAAAUCAUCAUAAUAGCAAAAAUCAAGCUUGAAACAGCAGAGCAAUAAAUUCCAAACCUCGGAAGCAAGUAGAGUUCUAGUUAGACUGUCACCAUAACGGAAACCAUAUCUUUCUAAGAAGUUCCAAAAGCCAGCACACAGUCUAAACUUUGAUGGAAGCUUUAAUUCCAAGUAAAAAGCACCAUCUGUUGUCUUGACGUCUACAAUAGAAACUUGUGAGGCUUCCUGGACAGGUGGGGAGAAAGCAUAAAUAGAAAGGUAAACCUUGUAACUGAAAAUACAAAGAAAUAAUACUAUACAAAUUCUUCCAAAUAUAUGCAAUAUUAGAGCCUUAAGUAGCUGGAAUUCUUGACCAAUAUUAUAAGCAAAUACAGUCCUGGCAGAAAGGCUAUUAUCAAAAUUAGGCCACAUCUCAAAUUUAAGUAAUCAUGAACAAAACUACCUAAUCUAUGAGCGCAAAAAUUAACACGUCUACGAUUGUAUCCUUCCUUUUAUCUCCAACACUUAUCCAAGGAAAACAUAUAUACAUGGUUUUCAAUGAAUUAAAAGAGCCAAAAGGUCAUAAUAUCCUUCCAGAUGUCCAAAAACAAUCAAUCUCUAACCAAUCAAUCUCUAUCUUCACUUCCUAUAGUUGGACAAAAAAUUAUAAUAUGUGCAAUUAUAGAUCUAAGAACUGCCCUUGUAUUGAAACUUCUUUCAGGCCCCCAGUAAUUCUAACAUGCAUGAACCAAUCUGGCCAAAAGGCACUGUAUAUGUUGUAAGAUACAGAGGAUUUUUAUGAGAAUUUACUCAAAAGGUACACAACUUUAGAGUGUCAAGUAAACCCAACGUUAAUUAAAAGCUCGUCAUCCAUUUUAAAAUCAAUCCCUUUAGCAGAAUCCUCUCAGUUAUAAAGUGCUGCUGGAACUAGCAGAUAUUCUUUCUAAUAGAAGAAAAAGAAACUUUUGAGAUUAUACAUUAAGGGACUUGGACACCAAAGGAAAUCAUUGAAAGAUUCUUUUCAAAGUCUAACAAAAAACUAGUACACCCAUCAUCCUUUCCUUUCUAUAAGUUAUAAAUUCUACACUCUUAAAAUAAAGUACCACUAACAGUAUUUGGGGAUAUGUAGGAUGGGCUGGUUUUUCUAUAGAAUUUCAAAAUUUUAAAGGGGCUUUUCCUGGAUGCCUGUGUGGAUUUAUAGUCCACCUUCUACUAUUUUUAUCAUUCUAAGUUUCUCACAAAAGUAGUGUUGAGACAUUUUAAGACACACGGGAAAUGGCCGAUAAGCAGUCACUUUGAAUCACCUCCAGCAUUUUCAAGGCACACAACAUGUUUUUAAGUUGUGGACCAUGUCAUGAAUAAAAUAACUGCUUAAGUAUUUUUAUAUUGGAUUUUCUCACACAUAAAUUCAAUCAUCUCUCCCUAUUCAAUGUAAGCUGAUAAACACAGAUGUCCCCAUCCAUCCAAACCCAGCAAAUUGUGGGACAAAUCAGAAAGAAACCCCGUCAUAAGGACGAUAAUUUGUAUGUAAUUUAAAUUGGUAAAGGACCUUAAAAAAAUGCAAAAUAGAAGUGGUAUUUUAUCAGUAAUUUUGGUGCAUGCACAUCGCCUUGGUUUUGCAGCUCCUCUACUCCUAGUUAAUUAUUCAAAUAGUUCAACGUACAGAAAAGUAAGGCGAAAAAGAGUUAUUGACAAACACGUCAAAAACACUGAACUGAAAAAAUAUAUACUAGUGAGAAUACAUAACAUAUUAAAGGUAGAUCAUCAAACAAGAGUUAUAUACCUCACAGCAAGAAGACAAUAAUCUUUGAGCAACGCCAUCAUUCUUGAUCUGAAGCUGAAAGGCAUACAUUGUAACUAUUAAGCAAAUAAAGUGGAAGCUCAUAAUAGGGUGGGAACAAGAAACUAAACCACAAUUUUUCACAAAAAUAAACAGAAAUUAAAAGCAAUGAAUAUUGUAAACUAAAAGAAUAUUACCAUAGGCAUUUUCACAUGAAAAUAUAGUACAAGUAUAAAAUAAAUGAUUGUCAACUCAAACAUGCAUUACGCUAAUAUAUCUGAUGAUUUCAUACUGCACGGUGAAUACGUGCGUAGACUAUAAAAUUACCAAACUACCUGCAUUAUAAGAGUAUAAGACUAUAACAAAAAUUAGAAAAAGAUCGGGUAACACUAAGAAGUAAUUUUAAUUAGUCACUAAUUACAACCCUUGAAGACGUCAACUUGAGGCAUAAGAGAUUUAUCUACUUUAUUUAAGCUCAUGGAACAUAUACCUCAUUUCACACUUCAGUCAUUGAAAGAUAAGCUCCAAAAUAUAUUUUUUUUUUUUGAAAAAAAAAAGGAUAAUGAAUCAUUUUACCUUCCUCGGUCAAUAUAAAAUAAAGCCAGAGCAAACAUGUGGAGCUGAGAUUCUAUUACCUUGGUACUCUUCAUUUUCAAGCAUUUCAAGCACAAUAAGCUCAACAUACGCUUCAGCUCACUAAUAUGGCUAGGAUGAUAUAUUGGUAUUGGUAACUCGAUAUAUCCAAAAUGACCUGAAAUGGACAAAGGUCCACAUUUACUUUUCCAGUCAUGUACAAUGAUAUAAAUUUUGGAUUAUAUAUUAGCAUCAACUUUAUACACAAAAAACAGAUCCGAAACAAAAACUUACUCACCUUCACAUUUACCAGGUUCAGAAGUACCACAAGAUUCGCAUUUACCGAAUUCAAGUGGCAAGCCAAGGAAGGGAUUUGCAAGCUGACUUGCAUGACUAAUAGAACAAUCACUGAUUGAUGCUGUACACUGGGCGGGGGGGUAAAAUAACAAAUGGCACAUCAAUAAAACUUCCAGAAAGGUUGCUUACAAAUAAAUGAGAAGAUUCGUGAUUUUGAUAAUCCCUUUAGUUUACUCAUUUUCAAGAAUCAUUCAUUAAUAACCAAAAAAAAAAAAAAAAAGCAGAUGCUCAUUUUGAUAAAAAAACAGUGAAAGUUGUAUCAAUAGAGGAAAAAUAUAGAAAUGAGUGAACAAGCUGUCCGCAAAACUCAGGACAUUCUGAGAGAGCAAGGGAACUUUCCGAUAUGUUUACUCCACCAAAACAAGCCAUAUAUACCCAAAAGGUUCACAGAAAAUUAACAAUUCCAAUAUCUAAAAAUUUAAGCAAAAUCUCCACGAAAUGUAGGCAUACAAAGAAACAACUAUCUUGAGAUAAAAAGUCAAAAGAUAGGCAAAUAACUAAUUACAUCCCACAAAGAGUUGAUGUUUUCACUGCCUUUAGCUUCAAAAAUCAUACGAUUAGUCCCAGGUCAAAGACCAGAAAACUACAGAAACAGCACACUUCCAGAAGAAUCUUACCAAGUAUACUUUACUAAAAGCAUCUAUAAACUCUGUGAAUAAGGAUCUACAGGAGGCUGGAACCACCAAUAUUACCUCUUCUGAAAUCAACAUCGACAUGGUUUUGAGGAAAAGCAUCUAUAUGUAAUUUAAAUUUGUAUCAAUCUCAUUGAUACAGAAAAGACAAACCACUGUUUGGUAAACCAUAAAAUUUGUCAUCCCCAUAGCAAUUCCAGUGAUGAGUCACUAUCUCACCCAUUGGUCAAAUAGGUCAUAAGGCUACUACCACCAGUUUAAGCUCCUCCAGCUAAUGGGUUAAGCCUUUGGGUAGCCUUUGCCAACAUUCUUCACAGCUACCCCCAUUUGCUAUCUUGGUUCAUAUGCGAGGCCAAUUGGUUAAGUUCUUAACAGGGUUAUCAUAUUAACAAGUCCCACACUGGUCAAAUAUUUACUAUGGCAACUUACUCGAGUGAUUACAAAACAUUAGAGUUUUUAAGAAUAACAAAUAUAAAUAACAUAAUAAAUUAUGCAAAACUUUCCCUGCAAAAAAAAAAAAGACAUAAAUCCACUUACAAUUUCCUUUUGAGUUGCCAAACCAAAUCUGAUUCCAACUAUUUGCCCCUCCAAAAUUGUUGAUGAUGUGUUUUCUUCCAUCUCCUUUUACAAUAAACUUUUGAGAAAAACUGCACCAAAAACGCCUAAUUAAGUGCCAAGAAAAGUAAAAUUUAACAACAAAUACACACAUACCUACACUUUGACUCAAAACCCAUCAAACAAACUACAUAGAAAAUGGGUUUACUCCAAGAGAGAGAAUGGGCAACAGUUAAAACUCUGUUUGUAUCCCGAGAGGGGGAAAAGAAAAAAAAAAACAGUGACCCGCAUUUCUUCAAAACCACCAAACCGCCGCAAAACCCAGAACUUUGUAUGAUAUUUUCAACGUUUUGUGAAAAAACUAAACACCCAAAACGUAAUGUCACUACUUUCCCUCAUGUUCGUUCAUUUUCCUUCACUAUCUCGGCAACCAAACACUAAAAAACACAAAUGCAAACACAAAGAGAAUUAAAAAAAAUUACCAAAUUUCUGUCAACUCCCUUGCUUCCUUCUGUACUUUGACUCUGACUGUUACCCCAAAAAUACAAAAAGAAACACAAAUUAACUGCAAAAUUGAGAUAAAGAAAUGGACUUUUUACCGUAGCAUCUAGCAAGACAAAAAAAUUGAAGUAUUCUUACUCAAAAUAAUUCGAGGAAGACAGAGAGAGUGACUUUUGAUUUUCUCUGUCUCUCUCUCUUCUAAGCGACUGAAAUAUGAGCUCUCUGCAUGCAAGUGAAAAAUGUUUCUGUUUUUACUUUUUUUUUUUUUUUUUUUCUUGCUACGGGUUUUAACUUUGUCAUACCGUACAGCUCGUGGGGUUUUUGUGGGAUUGAGAUGGCUAGAAUAGCCUUAUGACCAUUUAGUUUUGUGUGAAAUAUUCCUUGGUUUUGGUACUGAUGGAAGGGUAACACAGGAAUUUAGGUACUAUUAUUUUUUAAAAAAAAAUGAGUCAGUGAAACAGUGACUCACUGACUGUACCGCUAAACUCAUUUCCUCAGUUGAUAUUAAUCGUGGUUGAAAGCGCGCAGCUGGUAGUGUGGUUAGGUUAAGGUGUGGUGCUCACACUUUUUACGUUUGUUAAAACGUUUGCAUUGUACCUUAAUUUGUGUGUAUUUUUUUUUAGGAAAAUGAUGUUUGUCCCGAGUUAAAUCUGGGUCAAAUUUUAAAACCGCGUCAAACGACGCCGUUUCGUCCAUCAUUUUUUUUUGUUUUGAUUUGUUUUGAAACGACACCAUUUCUGUUUCUAUUUUUUUUUUCUUUGUUCGAUUGACCUCACACUUACACCCUCUUUGGCUUUCUCUUCGUUCAACCUAACUGCAGACCCCUCACUUCUUCCUCUUCGUUCUCUUAAUAAUAAUGUUUUUGCUUUAAUUUUUUUUCUUUGAAUGAGAUAUUUCAGGUUGCAUCUCAACCGUGCCUUGAAUGUGAAGUCAAUCAGGAGACUAGAAGAAAAUGAGGUGGUAGGAAAUCAGUGGGUUCUGAAGAUCUUGAUGAUAUAGGCUUCCAUAUGUCUACUUCUGCAAAGUAUCUCCUCAUUUCAGCAUUCCUUACUGCAAGAAACCCUGCCACUUUGGAUGCUUCACUUUUUUAUUCAACUGGAAUUUCUGAUAGUCACAAACGAAAAAGGAAGUGAGUGUUGUGACAAUCUGUCCCAAAUCAAUCUCAUAUUAGCUCUACAAUCAAGCUGUGAUGCUACUUAUUCAUGUGUUAGGAUGUUCCUCACAAAUUUAUCAAGCUGUGGAAAGGGCAAUUGGGUUCUGUGGAAGCUUUUGAUCGAUGAAGGAAAUGGCUUUUGCUUUACCAUUUACUCUAAGCCCUAAACGUCGUCGUUUCAUGGCAAAUAAAAACAAAAAAAAAUGAUGGACGAAACGGCGUCGUUUGACGCUAUUUCGGGGUUUGACCCGCGGCAAAUAUCAGCACUCUUUUUUUUAUAUUAGUGUGUUUGUGUUUGAACACAAUCCAUCGGGUUAACAAGUAUUCCAUUCCAUCGAAUUUGGUGCUGAAUUUAAAUACCAUUAAUUUUCGAUAAUUUAAGGAUCAAACUACUUUGGAAUUACUCUAAGGUAAAGCACGAAUCAUAACCAUGUGAUCAAAAUUAUAAUAUUUUUUAUUAUUAUUUAUCACUUUGCGUAUGUGGUUAUAAUUCGUGCUCUAAUUUGAAGCAACUCCAAGAUAACCAUGGCCUACAACUAAUUUAGGAUCUUGUAAAAUUCAAAUAGUCAUGACCUUUAGGUCAUGCUAUAAGCCUAUAACAACAAAUUAAGACGAUCCUAGGAUCUCGUUGUUCGAAUUAAUGAGUUGUUUGUGCUUAUUACUAAAUAAUCUAUAUGAUUUAUUUUUAGGAUUUACAUGUCUAUGUUCUCCAUUAAAAAAAAAAAACGUAUUCUCCGUGUAAUACUUAAAGUAAGUGAUUUUUUAUCGAAAUAAAAUUAAAUUAAAAAGUUUAACUUAACACUGUGUUGAAUGGAUUAUUUAAGUUUCAACUUUCAAAAUUUCUCAUAUACAAUUAGUAAUAUUUUUCAGUCACUUGAAAGCUAUUUUUUUUCUUAUAUAAAACCAAUUAUCUAAAAAUAAAAAAUUGGGUAAAAUCUCGUUUAGUCCCUAUAUUUUGAGAUUAGUACCCGUUUACUCCCUAAAGUUUUAAAAAUAUCUCAAAACAUCUCCGACAUUAAAUUAUUAGCACAUUUCCUCUUACUUAUUGUUGCUUUUGGCUUAAUUUUUACAAUAUUACCCUCUUACAAUAAUUUUUUUGGGCAUUAGGAAAAAGAAAAAAAUUAAUUAUCAAUUUAAUCUCAAAAAAUAAAAUAGAAACAAAAUUAAUAUAUGUUACUUUUUUGAAACACACUGCUGAGGAGUUAAUAUAUUAAUUUUUUAAUAAUGUCCAAAAAAAUAGGUAAUUUAAUUAUUUUUACAAUAAAUUUUUUUUGGACACAUGUAAGCUUUCACAAAAAUUAAUAAAUAUUCUUUUUGUUUUUAUUUUAUUUUUGGGGUUAAAUUGAUAAUUUAAUUUUUUUCUUUUUAUUAAUUUCAUAAAAAGAAACAUUAUUGUAAGAGGGUAAUAUUAUAAAAGCAAGUCAAAAGAAACAAAAAGUAACAGAAGGGAUGUCGAUAAUUUAAGAACAGGGAUGUUUUGAGGUAUUUUAAAAAAUAUAAGAACUAAAUGUGAACUAAUCUUAAAAUAUAGGGAUGAAACGAACUUUUACCCUAAAAAUUAUUAAUAUUUUUAAAUUACAUUUCAUAAAGUAAAAGAAAUUUAUGGUGUGUUUACUUUUAAGUUCCACAAAUCAGAAUUCUAACAGUGUUUACUUCACAUUUUAUGGGUGGAUAGGAAGUUCAAUAUUGUGGAGCUCACGAAAAUUUGGUACUAGGGAAUGGAAAUCUAAUUCCCAAGGGGGUUAGAAAUCAAACUCUCAUUCCCAAUAUUAAAAAAGUACCCACUUAAUUUACAAUAUUCCUGAUAUGUGUGUGUGUGUGUGUGAAAUAACGAAAAUCUGCAAAUACCUAACUCUCUCACCCAUAAGCCCAGCACCUCGAACUAAAGCCAACGAUCAUCGGUUGGGCAACAACGUCACUAAAGAACCAAGCUCUUCGUUAAAGAAUGAAGCGCUAUCAUGCCACUAUCUUGCUAUCACGGUCAGCCUCUCAGAUCAUCUCUAGUGAUGAUGAUUGAUUAAACUGCUCAUGAUCAUGAUUAUUGAUGAUGUGAUUGCGAUGAUGAAGACGAAGAAGAAAUUAAUCGUGAUGAUGGUGAAGAAGAAGAAACUGAUCAAAUGACUAAUUGAUCCAAGAACAAAAAGCUGUUAUUUGAAGACGAAAUGUAACAAGUAGUGUAUGAAGAUUGUAGUAAUAAAUUUUUUCUUUCCACUGUAUAUAUGUUUUUCAAGAUUUUUAUUUUUAAUACUUGUAUCACUUUUCUUUUCUUUUUUUUUUAAGUAACCACUGUCAAUAGCUUUCGUUGUGCCUUUUAAAGUAAUUUUCUUCUCAUGAUGGUUUAUUCUUUGUCAUAUUUGUGAUAUGUUGAAUACUUUUAAGAGUUAGAUUACUCAAGAAUAACUUUACUUUUAAGAGUUAUAAGUAAUAACUAUUUCUGACUAAGGAACUUACACAUCUUAAAAUCUAUAGUUGAGAUAAAAGUCAAAAGUAAAUAGUCAAUAUCCAUUAAUCCCAAAUCGAAAAUCAAGUUAGAAUCAAGACCUUGAAGAUAUAAGUUCAUAACAAUAAGUUUAAAUUAAACCAAUAAAAAAUUGUAGCAAGCUUUCAAGCCCUCAAAUCAAGAUUUUUAUGAGAUAGUGAUUCGAUUAAAGAACACAUCAUGCAAAAACUCAUGUAGAUAAUGGAAUAAACAUGUCAUGAGAUGCAAACUAAUAUGAGAUAUAUAAGAUAUAGUUGAGCAACUAAAUAGAACUAAUAUCUAUUGCUUUUUUUUUAAAAGGAAUCAAAUCCAAAUCCAUGCAAAGCUUUGGUAAAGAAAUUUACAAACCAAUUUUCAGUUUUAAUGUACUCUAGAGAUAUAAUCUUGCUAUCAAUUAAGUCAUGAAUGAAAGAAUCAAUAUGCAUAGUUCUAGAAUGUUAUUAUUAUUAUUGUCGUUGUUGUUGGUGGUGGUGGUGGUAUUGUUGUUCUUGUUAUUACCAAUAAUUACUUCAUACUUUUAUUACAACAACCUUGAUCGAUUCACUAAACAAGAAAAAAAGUCUUUCAAGUUGAAUCUACCUAUAACAUUAUAAAGGAAUAUUACUAUUUGACUCACCACAACUAUCAUAAUGAUUUGUUGGUCCCUCAAUUCAGUCAACCACCAGUCUAAAAAAGCGCCAAAUAAAGAAAAUGAUGGCCCAAACAUCCCCUAAACCAUGCCCAAGAGUCAAUUCAUUGCAACAAAGAAGGAAAAAGGCUAAACUACUUGCUAAUUUCUCUUUUCCUCUUUUUUAGCCCUCUUACCUAGUUGAAUGGUUUCGUCAGCUCGAGUUUUCGAUAGUUAGGAGAGCGGGACAAUAGCAUUUCUCAAAGUACCUGAUCUUUAUGAUAUAUUUAUCCUUAUUCCAUGCCUUCAGCUCAUUCAGUGCAUAGCUAACUCUUUUUUUCCUCUCCCUUUGGUCAAGCCUAACAAGAUUACCCUUCUCUCAUUCUCAUCCUACUUAACUGGGGUUGCCAAGGGAUGUAUUUAACCACACUGUGGCAAAUCAAUAUAUUAAACAACUUGUUGUACCAUACAAAGGUAUUUCUGGCCAAAUGAUUUUUGAAUACGGGUAAACAACUUCCAAUACCAUACCAGUCGGGGUUUCACUUAACCAUUCCCCUCCUGUAGUCUAAGUGAUAUCGGCUCUAGCAUCCACCGGUAAUAUGUCGAAGAGGGUAAGCUUUCUAUGUGGAGAGGACGUAUCAACACUUAUUUUCAUAAUAAUAAUAAUAAUAACAACACGUAUUUUUAUAAUAAUAAUAAUAACAAAAACUCUCUAAAAAAUAAUAAUAAUAACGAUUAUUGUAAUACACAAUAAUAAUGUUAAUAAUAUGUAAGAGCAUGUUAAUUCUGAAAUAAUUCAUUCUAAUUCUAAGUUAAAGUAAACACAUCAAUGAUAAUAUAAUACAUUUUCAUUCUGUUUCCAUCAUCUUUUCUAUUCCAUCCCAUUCUCAUUAUAGCUCAUAACUAAGGGUGGCAAGAAUACCCCCCCAGUCUGGACCCGAACAGCACUCGAGCAUUGUGGGCUAGGAAUUACCCGGCUUGGGUAUGAAGCUGCUGGUCUUCGGCAUCACUUGAUAAACACGGAGCCUGGCCCGAAACCCAAAUUUUAUUAAAAAAAUAUUAUAAAAUAUAUAUUAUUUUAAAUAUUUAUAUUUAUUUGACUCAUUUAUUACAGAUAAAUAAAGUUUUAAAAACUUAAAGUUUAUAUUUUCAUGUCAAAUUUUAUUGAAAUAAAUUUAAAACUUAUAAAAUUAUCAAAAAAAAAUUUACACAUAUAAUAUUAAAAAACAUGAAAUCUGGAUACUCGGAUUAAAACCGGCCCGGUGCCGGGCUUAAAAAACUCGGCCCAGGCAUUUAAAAAUUGUAUCCGAGCUGGGUCUGGGCAUUGCAAUACCCGGACCCGGGUUGGGGUUUUGCCAACCCUACUCAUAACGAUUAUCCAUUGGUAAAACACACCAUUAGAAUAUUAAUUACCUAAAAAAAUUAAAUAGCAUAUUUUUUUUUUAAUAAUUAAUACAAUAAAACCUUGAUAAAUUAAUAGUCUUGAGAUAAAAAUCUAUUAAUUUAACAAAUAUUAAUUAACUAAUAAAUUAAUAAUUUAUGAAGAUGUUCCAUAUUUGAAAACAUAUGAUCUUAAUAUAUAUUCUUAAUAUUAAUUAGUUGCAUUACAUUGGUAGUAUAAGAUUACUAUAUAGUUUUUUAUUUUUUUAAAAAAAUGAUAAACCAUCUCACUCUAAGGAGCACUCAAAGUGAUAUUAACAUUGAUAAAAUGACAAUAUCAAUUAUAAUUUCACAUUAUAAAAAGUUAGAGAAAAAUUUAAAUCAAAUCAAUUUCAAGAAAAAGUAAGCAACAUUGUAUAUAAUUCACUACAAGAAAAAAGGGUUGUAGCGAUGAGAAUGUUUGUCACUAAAGGCUAUAGUGACGAAAAAAUUUUUGUAACCGCCUCGCGACAAUAGCAACUUUGUGCUAGGUAUUCGGCGACAAAAAAUGAAUUCGUCACAAACACUUUUAGUAACGAAAAAAAAUGAUCAAAGCGAUGGUGAAAGUUGUCCCUGACCUCAUCGCAAAUAGCCGAGUGUCUCACAUUAAAAAGGAAGUGAAUCUUCUGUUCAAAGAGAUGCUUUAGCCCUUGACUUGGCAAAUGCAUAUACCUUGACCUCAUUCAAAUUAACAAGGAUAAGAAAGAAUGAUGCUACUAUUAAUGAACAGACUAGAACACUUGUUUAUACCUUUUUUGUGAGGCAUCGCUAAAGUCUAUUUUUACGACGAAAUAUUUCGUCACAAAAUAUACUUUUGGCAAUAGAACUUUUUCGUCUCAAAAUAAGGUUUUGGCAACGAACAUGUUUCGUCGCAACAUUCGUUUUUUGGGACGACUUCUAUUCAUUGCAAAAAAAUGUUUUUAGUGACGAAUCAUGUUUUGCCGCCAAAUCCAAUUUUGGUGACGGAUUCUCUUUCGUCGUAGAAACAUAGUUUUGGCGAAGAAUUAUCUUUCACUGGGGAAACAUAAUUUUGGUGACAAAAACGCUUCGUCAUUAUUUUUUUUAUAAUAUAAUUUUGGUCGGCAAAUGUGGUUGGAAAUAAAUUUUAUAUACAUUAUUAUCCAUGUUUUUUAUAUUUGAAUAAAUAUUUUAUAUAUUUUUCUAUUAAUCAAAUAGAUUGAAUUUUUAAAAUAUAAGAUUAUUAAUCAAAUAAAUACAAGAUUUAAAAAAGACAAUGUUAAUUUUAUUAACUCUCAUAAACCCAAGUAAAGUCACGAAAGCACCUCACAAGAAACUGUGACGAGGAGCCAAAUUGGUUUGGCGCCAAUGUUUUUAAAAGUGAUGUAAUAUUUUUCAACUCCUUAGACAAGUUAUCGAUCUUAAAAUGCUGUGAUUGUAACUGAUCUUUUGUAUUCUGCUACUCAUGCUCAAUUGUUUGCAACCGAUCUUGAGUUGUUUACAGCUCAGGUUAAGUUGGUUGUAACUCAAUCUAGUGGUUUCUAAUUUAUUGUGAAAUGCCUCCUCAUUGAAUGGAAUUGAGAAUUAUGAUGAGCCUGCCUUCAUUUUGCAAGUCCCUUGUAAUAGUUUGACUUUUCUCCAAAUACUUAUCGAGACAUCUCUUCAUUCUUAAUUGGUUGAGAUCCUUCAGAUUGAGACAAUUGAUGUAACUCGACUAUUUUUUUCUAGGACAAUUAUCCAUCAUCAAAUUUGAUAUUGUAGCUUUUAGUUCUCAACAAUUUGGGGUAUAUAAACAUAAGAACCAACAUGCAUGAGCAAGUCAUUCAACCAAUAAACAAGCUACUCAUACCCAGCCAUAUAAGCUACUCACAACCAGCCUUAUAAACCUGGUUAUACAAUCUAUCAUAUAAACCACAACCCAUAGUUUAGUAACUAAAAAUUUUCAAAAACCCCAAAUUUUGUAAACCACAUGUAGAGAUAUAUAAGUACACAAGGGAUAAACAUACAUUCAACCAUUCAAUCUUUCAUGCAUAUGCAUCUUAACAGCCUUAAAACACCAUAUUACUCCCCAAUUUAUCAUUAUCCCCAAAAAUUUACUAGAAAUCAACAUAAUCUAUAUUCUAGAGUUUCAAGAAACAACAAUUAACAACAUUCUUGAUACAAAUCUUAAAUCACAUUGUUUCACAUGAAAAUUAAAUGAAAAUAAAUAAAUAAAUAAAAACUUAUGGUGCGUUUACUUCCCGAUUGAGAAAUCAGAAUCGGAAUCUGGAAUCAGAAUGAUUGACGGCGUUUACUUCGCAAAAAUGAAGCAGGAAUUAGAAUAAGAAUGGUGGGCCCCACAACUAUUUAGGAAUGGAGAAUGAGAGAUUGAUUCCCAUGAGGGGUGGUGAGAAUCAGUCUCCUAUUCCCGGGAAUUCCCAUUUUACCCCUAAUCAUAUUCAAAUAUUCCUAAACUACCCUCAUUUAAAUCAAAAAAUAUAAAUAUCAAAAAUUUAAAAAAAAAGCAAAAUCCCUAGAACCCAUUCUUCUUCUCUUCGAAGCUGGAUGCCAUAGCCUGAUCGUGGUUGAUCACUCGUCGGUUCUGAAAUCACACGCCAUUGUCGUUAGUUCUGAAUCACCGCCCGUCGUCGUCGCAGCUAGUUCCUAUCGUUGGCUCUUAAAUCCGGCUCGUGGUUGUUGAUCUCGUCGUGGGUUUUGUCGUUGCCGAUUUUGAGCUUCGUUGCUCGUCUUUGCCUCUCGUUCACCGCCGACCAAAAGCUUUCAGUCACCAUCGUCACCGCUACAAGUAUCAGUGAGCUCAGCCUAUUCCAUUCUUCAUCAUUUUUAUUUUUUGAGUUAAUUACAUGAUUAUUUAUUUAAUUAUUAGAUUAAUUUAUUUGAUUUAUUAUUAAAUAAUUUUUUUAACACUAAAUUGUAGCAUGAAUUGAAGAUUAAUAUGAACAAAAUUGAUAUCUACCUAGGACAAAAAUUUAUUAAUAUGUUUGUCCGAGACUUGGUUGAUUAAAUUAUUAUGUUUAGAUUAAUUAAAUAUAGAAUUAAAAUUUGAGCUAUGCUUGAUUAAUUCACAAAAAAAAAAUUAAAUAUAGAAUUUUAUGCUAUGCUUGAUUAAUGACUAUUUUGAUGAUUAAUUUUUUGUUAUGUGAUGAAUGGUGGCUGCAGCUAAAUUUUGAGCUUACAUAUGUUGGUUUUGAGCGUAUGUAUAUUGGAUAGAGUUAAUUAAUAUGAUUGUGUUUGUUUGUGAUUGAACAUAUAGGAAUGACUCAGUUAUUAGCUAGAAAGAAAAGAGUCGUUAUAAUUAUACAAAAUUUGGUGAUGAUGUUGCAAAUGAUUGUGGCUGUGUGCUCUGCUAUGUGUGUCCAACUUCAGUUACAUGAUGAACGAAGAUUGAUUUUGAGGUCAUCUUAUAGACUUUCCCAACAAAUGAAUGUUUUGUAUGAAUUGAUUUAUGAAAGUGGUGUGAAAUGUUUGUCACAAUUAAGAAUUAAUAGACAAACUUUUUACAAAUUAUGUAAGCUACUUCAUGAGAAAGGGGGGUUUGGUAGGUAGUAGGAAAUUGUCACCCGAGGAAAUGUUUGCAAUGUUUUUGAAUAUUUUAGCACACCAUACAAAGAAUCGGGUGAUUGGGUUCAAUUUUAAAAGAUCUGGACGAGCAGUUAGUAAAUGCUUUCAUGAGUGUUUAAAGGCAAUGAUUAGAUACCAAAAAGAAUUUUGGAAAAAACCCGAGCCGGUGUUGGAGAAUUCAAUGGACUCAAAAUGGAAAUGGUUUAAGGUACAUAUAGUAUUAUAAUAGAUAUUGCUUUUAAAUAUACACUUGUGUAUAAUAACUUCAAAACUUUUUCUUCCUAAUUAAUUUAAAAUUUUUUCCUCUUAAUAAUGUAGAAUUUCUUGGGAGCAUUAGAUGGUACAUAUAUAAAGGCUCACGUUCUAGAGGCCGAUAAACCAAGAUAUAGAAUUAAAACGAAAUUGCAACAAAUGUCUUGGGGGUUUGUUCACAAGAUAUGCAAUUUAUUUAUGUAUUACCGGGAUGAGAAGGUUCAAGUCAUGAUAUGCAGGUGUUAAAAGAUGUUGUGUCUAGAAGAAAUUGUCUAAAAGUUCCGCAUGGUAAUACAUCUAACCAUCAUUAUUUUUAGAUUUUAAGAUUGAUUAAAUUAUGACAACUUUUUGUAAUUGUAUUUUAUUUUAUUUAUUAGGUUAUUAUUACUUGGUUGAUGGUGGAUAUACCAAUGGGAUGGGUUUUCUUUCACCAUUUAGAAGACAACGCUACCAUUUGAGUGAUUGUAGGGAUAUAUACCAACGUACUACCCCGGAAGAGUUGUUUAAUAUGAAGCACUCAAGUACUCGAAAUGUGAUUGAAUGAUGUUUUGGAUUGUUGAAAAAGAGAUGGGCUAUACUACGAAGUCCUGCCUUUUAUGAUGUAAAAACACAAAGGCGUAUAAUAUUUGUUUGUAUGCUACAUAAUUUGAUUAGAAAAGAAAUGCCUUUCGAUGAUAUGGAAAUGAAAAUGGAUAAUGAGCCACCUCCGAGUAUUGACACUAACUCGGAGAUUAUUAAUAACAUUGAGCCCUCUAAUUAGUGGACUUUAUGGAGACAAAAUAUGGCCCAAGAGAUGUGGAACACAUGGCAUGUAAGUAGACAAGCAUGAAGAGUUUGUGUAGGACUUUGCGGAAUUCGAGUUGUUUGUCAUUGAGUUGUACUAUUAUUUUACAUUUAUUGUUGUAUUGUUUGUUGGCAUUGGAUGUUAUAUUGUUUGAGUUUGAAUAUUGUAUUGUUCUUUCGGUUUGGAUAUUGUUUUAUUUAUUUGAGAGUGGAUGUUAUAUUGUGCUUUGUUAUUGCAUAUUGUAUUACUUUUUUAGAUUAGAUAUUCUAUUGUUUUUUAAAUUUUGAUAUCAUAUUGUUCCUUUAUAUUGAAAAUUGUGUUGUUGUUUGACUAUUCAUAUUAUAUUUGAACAUAUAGAAUAAAUUCUCUUCCCAUUCUAGCUCCUAGAGGUCGGGGCAUGAACAAACAUUUUUGGACAACGGCUAAGGAUAAUGCAUUAGUUGACUUGUUGGAAUUUAGUUAAAAUCCUAUGUGGAGGUCGGAUUGUGGUUUUAAGAAUGGGUACUUAUAACAAUUAGAGAACAAGCUUGAAGCGAAAUUGUUGGGUUGUGGUUUGAAAGCUUCUCCUCACAUCGAAUCUAGAGUCAAAUGGUUGAAGCAAAAAUAUUAUGUUAUGAGUGAUAUGUUAUCUCUUAGCGGUUUUGGGUAGAACAAUAACAAGAUGAUGAUAACGCGUGAAAGGGAUAUUUUUUAAGAGAAUGUUAAGGUAAAGUUUUAAAUUUUAUAGUGUAAUUUAUACUUCUUUAAUUAUGUUACUUAUACAUUUAUGUCUUGGGUGAGAUUUAUGGUCGAGAUCGGGCAACUAGGACUAAUGUUAGGAAUGCAAAUGAUGAUGAGGAAGAAGUUCGAUUAGAUGACAACGUUAGUGUCAAUUUAGGAGUUGAGUCAAAUAAUGUCGAUUUCAGAGGUGAGUCAAAUAAUCAGUCGAUUAUGGAUGAUUUUAAUGAUGAUAUGUUAUACACUCCUCAAACAAAUGCUACUUCUCAUGAACAAGUUGAUUAUGCUCCAAGUAGUUCAGGGAAUAGGUCUAGGAAAAUGAAGAAUAAAAAUAAAUUAUUUGAUCACUUGUGCUGAAGGAUUGGGACAACGGCCAACUCGGUAGCAGCAAUGGUCCGUAAUAUAGAUGGUUUGAUUACUGCACUUUCUAGCGAUAGGGAAAGAACUGAUUUACAAGGUAAGUUAUAUAGAGAAAUGAGCAAAAUUGAAGCUUGGUUGAUGAGGAAAUAUAUGACGCCACUAGUAUGUUCGCCUCAAAACAUGAUUUGCUCUGUGUGUUCUUUACCUUACUCGAUCACCUCAAGAAAUGUGUUGCAAACUAGUAUGUUCGCCUCGAAACAUGAUUUGCUCCAUGUGUUCUUUACUUUACCCGAUCACCUCAAGAAAGGAUAUGUGUUGCAAAUGCUUCGUCAUGGGGUGUAGUCCGAUGUUAGUUAUGAUGUUGAAGCUUUGUAUUUAUGCUACUUUUGAGAUUUUAAACUUAUAACUAUGUGACUUAUUUAACUAUGUGAUGGGACUUUAUGUGACUUAAUUAAUCUUAUGUUGGUGGAACAUAUGUUGUUGUAAGAAUUAUUUUGGAUCUAAAUAUGCAUUUUAUGUUGGUGGGACUUUAUGUGACUUAAUCAAUCUUAUGUUGGUGGAACAUAUGUUGUGUUAAGAAUUAUUUUGGAUCUAAAUAUGCAUUUUAUGUUGGUGGGACUUUAUGUGACUUAAUCAAUCUUAUGUUGGUGGAACAUAUGUUGUGUUAAGAAUUAUUUUGGAUCUAAAUAUGCAUUUUAUGUUGGUGGGACUUUAUGUGACUUAAUUAAUCUUAAAACAUAUGUUGUGUUGAGAAUUAUUUUGGAUCUAAAUAUGCAUUUUAUGUUUACUUAUUAUUAUUUUAGUUUCAAGUUAUUAGCUUAUUCCUAAUUUAAAAUUGGACGGAUGGCAACUUGUUGGAAAAGUUUCCAUUUGUUGAUUUUGGACCAUACAAAUUUUGUAAUAAUAAUAAUAAAAUUAAUCAAUAAUAAUAAUAACAACAACAACAACAAUAAUAUUGUUAUUAUGAUUCAUUACUAAUAAUAGAAAAAUCAAUUAUAAAAAUAUAUAAUUAGUAAUAGUAAUAUAUAUCAAUAAAAAAUAUUAUAAUUGUUGUUAUUAUUUUUAGUAGUUUAAUAUUAUUUUUAUUAACAAUAAAAAAAUCAUAAUAAUUUUUUUAACAAAGAACAAUAAUAUAUUACUAUAAAUUAUUAUUUUUUAUAAUUAAUUAAUUUAUUAUGAAUAAUAAUAAUAUUUUAUUAAUUUUUUUAUUAUUAUCCUUAAUCUAUUUUAUCAUUAUAAGCAAUAAGGGGUAUUUUAGUAAUUCGAAACAGUCCAUUCCGAUUCCAGAAUAAAGUAAACACAUAAAUAGGAAUCGAGUUCAUUUUGAUUUCGAUUUCGAUUCCGAUUCCAACAGCUUAAAUAAACAACUUAUUCUGAUUCCUAUUUCUCAUUCUCAUUCCAGCCCAUUUCGAUUCCUAUUUAGUAAACGCAGCAUUACUUGAUACUAGCCUUAAACCCUAGAAAACCUAAGUAUCAAGAUUUUGAAACAGCUCACGGCUUUCCUCAAUACCUCUGAAUCUUUGAUUUAACCAAAAUUUUGAAACACAAGUGUAGUUUGUUGAUGAAAAUGGAUGGAAAUUGCAGAAAAAAUGGCAGGAAUUUAUUGCUUCUUCAUGCAUGAUGGUGGGUCACCCAAACAAAAAAUGGUUGUUUUCAUUGCUUGCUCUGCUCUGGACCGCUGUGCCUUUUUUGCCCUUAAUCAGAGGUGUAAAUAACAUUGUUUUUGCUGCACAAGUGAAAUGACCAAUUUGUCCCUAUAACGUCAGUAACAUUAUAACAGUCUGCAUAUGAAAGUGGACGAGUGCAAAAAAAAUUGUAACUUCAUGUGGAAUUCAGCUAAAAAAAAAUUAUAUAUUUUUGAAAAAGCAUGAAAAAACAGGUGGUUGUUGCAUAAUUGCCCUUUUUCCUGUAAAGAAAAAUAAUCACUUUAAAAUAAAUUAAAUUAUGUAAACAACCUUGAAUUCAAUAAGAAUAAAAAUCUUACAUGUGCAGAUUGUGCUUAAGAAUUGAUCAACACGUUUUUUUUUUCAUUGUAAUGAGUAGAAAGAAAAAAAUCUAAAAAACUUUGCACUUCACCUGACACACACAGAAGACUAUAAAUAGAAAUAUAUAUAACAUUAGAAUGUUCACACCUCAAAAUUAUGAUGUAACAUAAAUUAUAAUGCAUUAUACCUUUUGGCGAUGAACCUUAAAUGGUUUUGAUCCCUAGGAUGACACUACAAGAAAACAGACAAUAGAUGAUAGGAAAUAACUGUCAUAAAAGGGGGUGUAUGACAGACAGUUCAUCCAUCAUCUAUGUCACUGUCAUUAAUUUAUGACAGAAUAUUUUCCGUCAUGAAUUUACGAUAGCAUUUCAUAGUCAUAUAUUUGUCACAUAAUAUUUUAAUGUAAAAAAAUAAUUAAAUUUAUUUAAAUUUUCGCACCAUUUUUUUAAUUUUUUUAGUGAGAAAUUCAAUUAUUAUUUGAAAAUUUAUUAUUCAAUUUUGGCGGGAAAUUAUUUAUGAUAGAAUAUAUGAUAGCUUUUCCCUCAUAAAGUUUUGAUUUUUUCUAAAAUUAUAUUAUAAUUAUAACUUAUUGAUGAAUUCCUGUUUACAAAUUUAAUUAAUUGAUAAAACAAAUAUCAUAAAAAAUAAAUAUCAAUUAACAUUCAUUCAAUCCAAAAAUUAAUUUAAAAAGAAAUACAUUUAAUAUCCAAUGUGAUCUCCACCAAUACAUAAUAAAACAUCCCAAAUUGAAAAAGCUAUCCCAAAGUAUAAAAUUGCAGUCAAAUCCCAAUCAAACUCUAAGAAAAGCAAUAAGAAUUCCGGCCACCAAGCCAAGUUACCCAACAACACUUCCAAAAAUUAAUGCAAAUACUCCAACAAUAAGAUUUCUAGCAAGACUUCCUGUAAAAAUUCCAGCAACAAUAUCAUCUUCCGAUAGCACUCUAAACGAAAAUUGAAACUUACAAAGCAACCUGCAAGCUUCCUGUGAACAAAAUUGAUUCAAACACCAAGCAGAAUAAGGAAAAUUAAGAGGCUGCAAUACAUGUGGGCAUCAUAUUUAAGAUUCAGUACUCUUAUAUGGAUGAAGUUUCACGGUCCAGCCCAAACUUCUAUAUUAAAUAUAAAGCAUGUAAUAAUCUAAAGAACCUACCACAAUAUGCACAUCAAGGUACAGAGGUGAACCUGCCCUCCUUCCCCUCAAACGGUGGCACCCCUGCAGAGAAAGGCUCAUUUGUCAAGAAUGCAAUAACAAUGACAAAAAUUCUUAACUUCAUCAGCAGUGAAUGCUAAAACUGACGAAGAAAGUAUAGUGCUAAAUUAAAAUUAUGGAAUCCCACAGGUAGAAAUCAAACAAUUUAUAUUUUAAAUUAACAAAAAAGUCUAGUACAUACCUUGACUCCUUUAACUUUUAGUAUUGUUUCUUGUAUAGGCAUCAAAUUUUCUGCUAGGAUUGCAGCAUCCACCAGUUCCAAGACACUAACAAUAAUCCCAAAAGAACACGUUAAACAAGGAGCUACAUCGUAAAAUCACAAAAGACAAUUUCUCUAAUGUCAUUCAAGAACUCUUUUUUUUUUAGUUAAAAAAAAAGUUUCACUUUAGCACUUAAAAUUAUGAAACAAAGAUGGAUGUUGUUUUGAAAAAAGUUAUAAUUGAAGGAUUAUCACCCCAUAAAUAGAAAAAAGGAAUACAAUUGGUCUACAGGGGACAAAAGUAUGUUCUUGUACAAUAAAAUUGAAUCAAAGAACUAACCAAAGAAUAAACAUAAGUGCAUAUUAGUUCAAAACAAAAUCCAAUCAAGAAAACUAGGGAAAUGCCUUUUUAUGAGAGCUGAUUGAGCUUUGAAAUCCACUCAUAAAGACUUUAAUAUAAGUCAGAUUGCUAUAAUCUUAUGGACAAACCAAAAGAACCACAGCUAAUGUCAAAGAAAACAGGUAAAAGAAAAGGAAAGGAAGUGGAAACUCAAGACUGGAUGCAAUUUGGCCUCUUCAGGGGCUAAACAACUAUAAUUUUUAGAAACUAUCACGAGUAUAAACAGAAAACAAAGAAGGUACAGAGUGGGCAACAAAUUAGAUGGUACAUAUAUAAAGGAAAACAGAUAAUGUACCUCUGAUAACCCUUCUCAAGUCCAUCUUUUAGGAUUAUGCCUGAGACAACUAGACCGACAAGGGGAUCUAGAAACUUAACUCCAAGAAUAGAACCUCCUAAAACAUGUUGACAAUAUGUAGUUCGUCUAUAUUAACAGGAUUGCAAAGCAUUAAAUAGUUUAAGUAAAACCAACAAGGAAUAAAUAAACAAACCGUGGGAGAGGUAGUUUUCAGGGACAUGCUCGAUGUUGUACAACCAAGUUUUUAGGAACAUGCUCAAUCUUGUAUAACUAGAAAUUAAGAGCACCAUCCUAAGUUGACAAAUAGGUUGACAGGAGACAGCACGCAUAUGAUUGUCUCUGAAGUGCAGUAACUGCUGCUUAUAGGAUAUUCAUUUGGACACUUUUGACCAUUGUGAGAAGAGUUGAAGUCAAAUUUAACAUUUUCAACUAAUUUUUAUCAUUUUAAGGUUACAAUAGUACGGCUGGAAGUAUUUUUUAUUUUGAAAAAGCAUUAUCCUAGUUGGCUACAAAAGUAGACACUAAAAUAUUACUAGUCUUUACACAAAACUACAUGCUUAUUAAACAAAGUUUCUUACCAACCCCAAUAAGAGCAACUACAGACGAAACCACAUCAGCACGUUCUUUCACAUCUAUUCUACCAAAAAUUUCACCACCUAGCACAGGUAACAAGAAAAGCAUGAACUAGAUAGAAAUUCACAAGUGGAAGCCAAGAUGAAAAAAGGAAUUCGAUUGUCAAAAAAAUGGUGCAGAAGAAUACCACUGCAGUUGAUGACAUAUAUUACUGGUUUUUUUUUUACAAAGAGGCUUUAUAAUAUAUAAAAAAAAUUGAAAUAGAAAAAAACUAGAAAAUGAAAAACAAAGCAAAAUAAAACAACCAAAAACCUAAAUCCCCAAAUAACCAAAUUGCCUCCCUCAACCACCCUCUCUCUCACGCGAAGCAACAACCAAAAACCUAAAUCCCCAAAAUCACUCACCCUACCAUCCGUGAAGCAACAAUAAACAGCAGCCGACAACCACACCUUCACUGCCUCACACACCCAAACAACAAUUACAGCCAUCACCCAUUAACAACCCAGUAGCACGUGAUGCAGUAGCAACCCAACAGCAUCAACAGCGCGACGUAGCAGAAACCACUCCCAUGUGACGUAGAAGCAGCCACUCGAACCCCGUGCGACACAGCAGCAACAAACCCAGCAUUUUAAUACUACUAGCAAAAUGGUGCCGACAGCAACGGGCUACAAUUUUUAAACAACAUGGCCGACAUAGUUAUAAUAUACUUGAAUGGCGGUGAAAGGAUGGUGUUUUGCUCGAUCGAUUGAGUGCCAGGUUGAUUUCUAAGGUUUGGUCGUGAGAGAGUGAUGAGUGUUUGGGUGUGAGUGUUAGUGAUUUUGGGGCUUGGUGGGUUAAGAAAGUAGUAUUUUUCUUUUCUCUUUUUUUCAUUUUUGAAUUAUUAAAAUGCACCCUUGUAUUUUUUUAAAUAAAAUAAUAUAUUAAACUUUAGGUCAAAUAUAGUCAAAGUAAAUUUUUUAUCAUAAUUUCAGAGAAAAUUUUUAUUACGAUUCUAUCAUAAAUUUGUGAUAAACAAUAAUUAUAUCACAAAACCAUCAUAAAUUUGUGAUAGAAAAUAAUAUUGUCACAAAAACAUCAUUAAUUUAUGAUAGAUUGAAAAUUCUAUCACGCGUCUGUCAUAUUACUAUGAUAUAAGUUGAAUAUGUCGUAAACUGUCUAUCAUUUAUUGCCUGUUUUCUUGUAGUGUGAUUGAAAGGAGGUUUACUCUUAUUUUUUUGCAUUUAUUUUGCACUUUUUCUAAAAAGAAUAGCGUAAAAUAAGAAUUUUCAUGUUAAAUAAGUGAAAAUUAAAAUCUAAAAAGUAUAUUUAUAAAAUUUUAACAUAAUAUCCCUUAUUUUCUUGGAUGUAUUCAACCUCAAUAUAUCAACAAAUGCAUCAUAUAGAACUACAUAAAAUAUGUUAGAUCAAAAUUAACAAGUGAAUGAAUUAAUAAGAUUGAUAUGCAAGAUAUCAUGAAUUUCUUUUGGCAUGACUUCCCCUAAAUAUAAGAAGUAUCAAUUUAUCCAAACCUACCAAAAUAUAGUAUACAAUUUUUGCACUUCAAAUAAAAAGUUUUAAAAUGAACUACUUCACCUCAACUUGACAAAAUCAUAUUCAGGGCCUCAGGCACCCUUUCACCCUUUCACUACUCAAUUAAGUAUUACUUAAUUACCAUCUAAAAAAAAAGUAUCACUUAAUUAGCUUACCAGUAACUUGUAACACAAGCUUUGUUCAUAACAAUAAAGGUGUUGGGGAAAAAUCAGGUUUUUAAAAUUUUAUAAAACCUUUUAAGGACCGUUCUCAUAUAAUAUAUAAGAAUACGUAAUCCAGAAAUCGUACCUUGAAAAUCCGAGUUGGCUUUUUCUGCUGAAGUGAUUUAGGCUCCUAGAUCACGAUCCGCCACCACUACUCCUGUUAGAUCACGAUCCGUCACCACCACGCUUGUUAGAUCACGAACUGUCACCAAAGAUCUUCCAAGUUAUGACUCAGGUUCGAUCUGCACUUGACGUGUGGGCGCCUUUAUCACUACCAAAGCAACUAGCACGAGAAAAUUUUUCUCUCAACAAUAGAGAGAAAAAUCUUAUUUUCCGAUUUGUAUAAAGUGGCUUCUCACUUUUCUUUUGAGAAAAUAAGCCUUUUAUAUCUCCCUUUAGUGAAAACCCUAGGCUCCAAAUAAUGCCCUAAAUAAAACUCACGUUAUUUUCUUUUUCAAUAGGGGACCCACCUUGUAAAAUAACAUAAGGCCCCUUAUACAAAAGCUAAUUAAAUGGAGCCUCCCACUAAAUGAUAUAUUUAGACUUUUGACCCAAAUAGCUAGUUAUCUUACUUAUUAGUCCAGUAGUGGUGCAGUCAAUUAAAUGAGCUAACCCGGGGAUCAUUUGGGAACAUACAAUAGUGGCUACAAUAAUUAGGCCUGUAAUUAAACUAGCCCAAUUAUUUAAUUCCAAAUCUACUCCACUAAAAGAUUGGAACUGACUUCCAUAAUUGUAUGCUCGAAUAAUAAUUCGUCCCAACCCACAUUGAUUUCUUUACUGCACAAUCCUUUGUACCACAUCGUUAAUUAAAUUGAUAUCUCAACUGUCCAAUCAAUUUAAUAACAUCUUAUUCCUUGAUACUUACUGGUUUUCUCUAAUGAUCAUUUUCAACAUACUAAAUAUGUUGACACACUCUGGCCAGAGAAUUCUAUGAUCAAGUGCCGAAAACCCAUCAAGAGAUGUGUUGUACAAAUUCUAUAUUGUUAAUCCACAACUCCAAUACUCAUAAUUGCUCCCACCAAGAUACCGGGUAAUCUUGACCACAAGUAUGUGUCGUGCCCAUUGGUAACUCAAAUGGAAUAACAAUUACAAUCAUGAAAUCAUAAUUAACUCAAGAUUAAGAUUACAGUAAAAUCAAUGCCUAUGAGAUUUAAUAAGUCUGACAGUUAUUACAAAGUUAAUUAAAUCUCAUAUGUGAUCCUGUUCAAUGUAGUCGCACUACAUCAAUAAAUUCAUACAUGAUUAAGAUAAAUCAUUCAAUGAAUUUAUUACAGUCUAUACCUAAAUAAAGUGCCUAACUUUAUUUAUCAACUGCGAACUAAAUUUAUUUAAUCAUAAGAUAACUUGUAUUUAUGUCUUCUGUGAAUCCACAUGGUGAUCACAUAAAUACAUAUAAUAUGAUUAAAUGGACUUUAAUACAAAUAUUAAUGCAAUUAAGAUAUUUGAAUAAAAUACCUCAUUUAUUUUAUUAAUCAGAAAAAUUGUUUAUUACAAUUAAAUAAACACAUAUGCUUUUAAAGAGUAUAUUUUCCCAACAAUCUCUCACUAGCUCUCAAUGCAUAUCUAGCAUAUUGUACAUGCUCUAGGGCUCUAAGUGCAGGUUAUAAAGGUUUCCCACUAAUGGCCAUUGUAAUAAGAUCUGCCAUUUAGCAUCUAAUGCCAUUUGGGGUACUGUCAUAUAACCUUUCUACACUAUUCCCUUAUAAGAUGAUACUUCCCAUCAGUAUGUUUUGUUUCUUGUGGUUCCUUGGUUCCUUAGAUUGAGCUACCGCACCACCAUUAUCACAAAAUAGUUUAAGGGGUGCAGUUACAACAGGUACCACCUCAAGAUUUCGUAGGAACUUGCGGAGCCAUAUAGCUUCUUUUGCAGCUUCAGAUGUAGCCACAUAUUCAGCUUUAGUUGUUGAGUCUGUGAUACAAGACUGUUUCACACUCAUCCAACUAAUAGCUCCACUUUCCAAUGUAAACACAUAGCCGGAAGUUGAUUUUCUGGAAUCCUUAUCUGACAUAAAGUCAGAAUCAGUAUGACCCACUGGAAUGAGAUCAUCACUGUUGAGUGUUAGAAAAUGCAUAUUUAUAAAGGAGAAAACCGUCAUUUUACAUUUCAAGUCUUACUAACAACCCUUACUUUUAUGUAUUUAACAUUCUUGUGAUUUAAUUACGUGUGUUUUAUUUUAAUUAAGUAAUUUAUGUAUUUUAGGGGUAUUAUAGUCAUUUCACAAUAAAGGAGAGAUCAGACGGCAAAACGGACAUCACUUUUGAACUCAGGACGGUCGAAAACCUUAGGAAGAGCAUAAAAGGAAAAAUGACACUAUUCACAUGUACGGUACUAUUCACGUAUACGGGACUGUAUACGUGACUGUUCACGACAUUGUUCACAUAGACGGAUCGAUGACGUGGCAUUGACCGAUGAUGUGGCAUUGACUGAUGAGGUGUCACGAUCCUGUUGGACUAAAAUUCUUAUGUACUGUUGAUGGUGACGUGGCAGCAUAUCAGUGGACGAAAAAUCUCGCGUACGGUGCAUGCAUCACAUAGGAUUAUUUUCAACCAAACCGCGUUACUGUUCAUCCAGGUCAAACCGCGUUACUAUUCAAAGUCGGGUCAAACCGUGUUACUGUUCAUCCGCGUGGUCAAACCGUGGACUGUUGACUGAUGACGUGGCGCAAUCCUGAGCGUCCAAACUGUUUUUAAUCCGAUGGCCAUGAUUUACUCCAUGUAUCUAUAAAAAGGGGGCCUCUCCCCCCUAAUUUGAUAUCUCUGAAUCCAUUUUUGGGAUCCAUUUUCUGUAAUUCCUUCUCCAUCUUGUAUUUUCUUCGUAUUUUAAUAAAUUCCCAUUUUGCCCCUAGUUCAACUAUGAGUGGCUAAUUUUCUUUCAAGCUUGGGUUGAAGGUGAAGUCUCAACAUGUGUCAUGGGCUUAAUUUGGUAAAUUUAUUUUCUCUUCCCCUCUAUUUUUUGUGGAUGUUUUGACUUCUCGUCGACAAAUAAUAAUAAUCUUGUCUAGAUACCGCCUUGGUUACACCGGCUCUCUAGUGUAAGGUUAUUAUUAUUUGGCACGAUAAGCCCUUAGCACCAUAUUGAUUAGAGCGUGGUUCAUGAGGUGUGGAUUCCCCCCUCAUGAUUUAAUUGGCAUUAAUACGGAUUAUUUAGCCCAUGAUGCAUGUUGAUACGGAUCCAGAUACCCAAGUACGUCAUUUCAAUAGAUUUCGCUUCAAUUUAUUCUCGUCAUUGCAAUUCCAAUUUUAGAAUUUAUUCUCGCCAUUUUAAUUUAAGUCUUAACAUAUUCCAAAUCAUUUCCACCAUAAAUCCAACCACUCAUUCACAAAAUUAAUUCGAUACACAAUUAAAAUCCACCUCCUCGUGGGAUCGACACUCAACACCAUUGAUCUAUACUACAAUAGAUUCGUGCGCUUGCGAGUACAUUAAAAUUUUCACAACAAGUUUUUGGCGCCGUUGCCGGGGAGGUAAGUAAUUUUAAUUCAUAGAAUUAAUUUUUGUGAACAAUUUCUUUUAAUUAUUUUCUUGUAAUUUUUUUUUAUUAAAAAAAAAAAGAAAAAAAAGUGAAUCUGCAUUUAAAGGUUAGUAUUUCUUUUCUUUUUCUCUUCUGUAAAAUUCUGUAAUUUAAUUUUCAAUUUAUUUUUCUUUGUAUUUUUUUUGUUUAUCUUAUUAAUUUAUUUUUAGUUAAUUUAUUUCACAUAUUUGUUUUUGUAUAUUUUUAUAGUAAGGUUGUAAUAGCGCAAUAAGGUUAGUAUCGUAAUUUAUCCCUCUUCUUUAUUUUUAUUUGUUUUGUUCCCAUCUUUAUUUUCAUUUUAUUUGUUUUGCAUGCAUGGUCGUAGGUCAUUAUUACCUAAUCUUGAACCUAUAGACCUUGAAUUAGAAAAAACACUUCGCACACAAAAACACAUUAAAAAUAAAUUUGAAAUGGAUUUGCAACCACAAGAGAGGCCAUUUAAGGACUACUUCAGUCCCUUAGCUAAUUUGAGCAACAGAACCGCACCAUUGAUGGACUACGAAAUGAAUUGAGAGCGGGCUUCAACUCACAAGCCCAAUCAGUUUCAAGCCUCGAAAAGAUGGUGAGACAACUUGCUUCUUCAGUUCAGACCUUGGCAAUGACCGUUGAGAAAGGUAAGUUCCCAAGUCAACCAGUGCCUAACCCUAAAGGAGUGCAUGAAGCAAGUACCAGUUCACCACAGCAGCAUGGAGAAGUCAAAGCAGUAAUGACCUUGCGAAAAGGAAAGGAAGUCGACAACAAAGUGGAGAUGCCGGUGACAAAAGAAAAUCAAAUUGUACCUGUGAAUGUUGAUGACUCAUCACCGGAGGAGAAAGAAGAAACCAACCCACAAGAAUAUGUUCCCAAGGCUCCAUUUCCUCAGAGGUUAGCUAAAGGAAAAAAGGGAAAAUCCACAGGUGAGAUUCUUGAAAUCUUCAAACAGGUAAGUGUUAACAUCCCUUUACUUGAUGCUAUUAAGCAAGUUCCAUCUUAUGCCAAGUUUCUUAAAGACCUUUGUACUAAAAAGAGAAACAUGCAUGUUUAAAAGAAGGCAUUUUUAACAGAAAACGUUAGUUCUAUCCUCCAACAUAAAAUUCCUCUAAAAUGCAAAGACCCAGGCUCCCCCACUAUCUCAUGUAGCAUAGGGAACCACACAAUUGAGAAUGCUUUGUUGGAUUUAGGAGCUAGUGUAAAUCUGUUACCUUAUUCAGUGUUUGUGAAACUUGGACUUGGAGAAUUACACCCAACUCCAGUGGUGUUACAGCUUGCAGAUCGGUCCACGAAAAUACCUCGUGGUAUUGUGGAGGACGUGCUUAUCCAGGUAGACAAUUUUUAUUUUCCUGUUGAUUUCAUUGUAAUUGACACUCAACCAAUACAGGAUUCAAGGAAGCACAUCCCCAUUAUUCUAGGCCGACCUUUCUUGGCAACUGCGGAUGCUCACAUUCAAUGCAGGACUGGAAAUAUGCAGUUGUCCUUCGGCAACAUGACUAUGGAGCUAAACAUUUUCAACAUUGCCAAACAACCUCACAGUGCAGAUGAUGGAAUUGUUGAUGUGGAUUUAAUUGAAGCAUUAGUUGAUGAUACUUUUGUUUCAAACCUUAGUGAUCCUUUACAAACAUGUUUAACUCACUUUGGUUUGGAUUUUGAUAUUGACAGAUCGGUCGAUGAGGUCAACGCCCUGCUUGACUCAGCACCAUCUAUGGACACUAAUAAAUGGAAGUCAAGAGUUGAGCAACUAGCACCAUCAGAGAAGCAACUCAUUCCAUCAUCAGAAUCACCACCGAAACUCGAGCUCAAACCAUUGCCCAACACUUUGGAAUAUGCGUUUUUUGGAGAAGAAAGUACUCUGCCGGUAAUCAUCUCAUCAUCCCUAAAUGACGAACAAAAAGGUAAGUUGUUGGAUGUUUUAAAAGAGCACAAAGAAGCAUUAGGAUGGACCAUAGCAGAUAUAAAAGGUAUAAAUCCAGUAGACUGCAUGCAUUACAUUCACCUCGAUGAAAAUGCUAAAUCUACUAGGGAAAUGCAACGUCGGUUAAAUCCUAAUAUGAAAGAAGUUGUUAGAAUUGAAGUCCUUAAGCUAUUAGAUGCAGGUAUCAUUUACCCAAUUUCUAAUAGUUCAUGGGUCAGUCCUGUACAAGUCGUCCCCAAAAAGUCAGGAGUCACAGUAGUUACCAAUGCUGAUAAUGAAUUGAUACCAACUAGGGUAACUACAGGAUGGCGUGUAUGCAUUGAUUAUAGAAAAUUGAAUUCUGUCACACGUAAAGACCAUUUUCCUUUACCAUUUAUUGAUCAAAUGCUUGAUAGAUUAGCAGGCCAUGAAUUUUAUUGCUUUCUAGAUGGCUACUCAGGAUAUAAUCAGAUUCCCAUAGCACCAAAAGAUCAAGAGAAAACUACUUUCACUUGCCCUUUUGGCACAUUUGCAUAUAGGAGAAUGACAUUUGGAUUAUGUAAUGCACCUGCUACAUUUCAACGAUGCAUGUUAAGCAUUUUUUCUGAUAUGGUUGAACGAUUCCUUGAAGUCUUUAUAGAUGACUUUUCUGUCUUUGGUGAUUCGUUUGAUCAAUGUUUACAUCAUCUAACACUAGUUCUGCAGAGAUGUAUCGAGAAGAACUUGGUCUUAAAUUGGGAGAAAUGCCAUUUUAUGGUAAAACAAGGUAUUGUUCUCGGUCACAUCAUUUCGAGCAAAGGUAUUGAGGUUGACAAAGCCAAGGUAGAUCUCAUUUCUAAUCUUCCUCCACCCAAAACAGUCAGAGAAGUAAGAUCUUUCCUUGGGCAUGCUGGUUUCUAUAGACGUUUCAUUAAAGAUUUUAGCAAAGUUUCUAGACCCUUAUGCAAUUUACUUGCUAAAGAUGUACAUUUUAUCUUUAAUGAUUCAUGUCUUAUGGCGUUUGAAAAAUUAAAACAGUUGUUGACAUCAUCACCCAUCAUUCAGGCCCUAAAUUGGAGCUUACCAUUUGAGCUAAUAUGUGAUGCAUCUGAUUAUGCAGUAGGAGUAGUAUUAGGACAAAGAGUUGAUCGAAUUCCCCAUGUUAUUUACUAUGCUAGUAUGACAUUAAAUGAUGCACAGUUGAACUAUUCAACUACUGAAAAAGAAAUGCUAGCAGUAGUGUUUGCAUUAGAGAAAUUUCGAUCUUAUCUCAUUGGUUGUAAAAUAAUUAUAUUCACAGAUCAUGCUGCUCUUAAAUAUCUUCUCACAAAGAAAGAUGCAAAAGCCAGACUAAUUCGUUGGGUGUUACUUUUGUAGGAGUUUGACUUGGAAUUCAAAGAUAAGAAAGGGACAGAAAAUGUUGUGGCGGACCACCUCUCUCGUCUCCAUUUUGACACAAUUACAGAGCCAUUAAUAUUGAAUGAGUCAUUUCCAGAUGAACAAUUAAGGAAUGUGGAAGUAUUACCUUGGUAUGCUGAUAUAGUUAAUUAUCUUGUUACAGGUAAACUUCCAGAGCAUUGGACCAAGCAAGACAAGGCUAAAUUCUUUGCAGAAAUAAAGAAUUUCUUUUGGGAUGACCCGUAUUUGUUCAAGUAUUGUGCGGAUCAAAUUGUUAGACGAUGUGUCCUAGAAAGUGAAAUUCAGAAUAUCCUUUCAUUCUUCUAUGAACAAGCUUGUGGAGGCCAUUUCAGCGCUAAGAAAACAGCGACUAAAGUUUUACAAUGUGGUUUCUAUUGGCCAUCUAUAUUUCGAGACACUUACACUUUCUGUUCUUCAUGUGAUAGGUGUCAACGAAUGGGGAGCAUUACACGAAGGAACAUGAUGCCACUAAAUCCAAUUUUAGUGGUUGAGAUUUUUGACGUAUGGGGUAUCGACUUCAUGGGACCCUUUCCCCCGUCUUUUGGCCAUCAAUACAUAUUGGUUGCUGUUGACUACGUAUCGAAAUAGGUAGAAGCAAUUCCAUGUAGGACUAAUGAUCACAAGGUGGUGAUAGCAUUUUUGAAAAGCAACAUUGUUUCACGCUUUGGAUUCCCACGAGCAAUAAUCAGUGAUGGUGGUGCCCACUUUUGUAACAAAGCAUUCAAGCUCUUUUGACAAAGUAUUCAAUCACACACAAAGUGGCGACCCCGUAUCAUCCGCAAACCAGUGGCCAAGUUGAGAUCUCCAAUCGAGAAAUAAAGCACAUAUUAGAAAAGACGGUGAGGCCAGACAGAAAAGAUUGGUCAUUAAGACUUGAUGAUGCCUUAUGGGCAUAUAGAACGGCUUUCAAGACCCCGAUUGGGAUGUCACCCUACAGGCUAGUAUAUGGAAAAGCUUGCCACCUACCUGUGGAACUCGAGCAUCGUGCAUAUUGGGCCAUCAAGAAAUUCAAUUUUGACAUGCAGCAAGCCAGCUCAGAAAGAAGAUUACAGCUGGCAGAACUUGAAGAAAUUCGCAAUGAUGCAUACGAAAAUACCAAGAUUUACAAGCAACGAAUGAAAGUCUUCCAUGAUAAGCAAAUUAUGAGAAAAUCGUUCACUCCAGGUCAGAAAGUGCUUUUGUUCAAUUCUCGCUUGCACCUAUUCCCAGGUAAGUUACGCUCUCGUUGGUCUGGUCCCUUUAUUGUUCAUACUGUUUUUCCACAUGAGGCAAUUGAAAUUAAGGACCCAAAGAAUGGUGUCACGUUUAAAGUUAAUGGUCAAAGAUUAAAGCCAUAUCUAAAAUACCAACCACGUGGAGAAGACACCGAAAUAAAUUUGAGUGACCCACCAGAUUUGAAUUGAUUUUUUUUCUUUCUUUUCGUUGAUUUGAUUUUGUUUUCUUUCUUUAUAUUAUUUUUUUUGCUAAUUGAAAUUGUUUUUGCAUAAGUGUGUUUAUUUUACCAUUAAGUUUUCUCUUAUCAUUGUUAAUCAUGAGUCUCAUACUUAGACCGUUCCUCCUGAACAUUCUUAAACCACUUCAACGUGUCAAAACUCAUCUCAAAAGGCAGAUUCAAUUUUGUAAAACACAACGCAUUUGGGCUCUACAACCACCAGAGUUAGUAGCCUAUGUUGAGGGUUUAGAAAGCCAACUCAGAGACAUUGAGAGAAGUGUUUACGACAUCCAGUUGGAGCUUGAGGUAAAUUCAAUAAGAGGACGAUUUUAAUUUUCUUUGUGUGUUUUAAUUUGUUUUUCUGUUUGUGUGCUUUAGUUUGUUACCCCGGUGAAGUGGCGGAUAACGGUACUCCGUGACAAUCAAGUCGGUUACUUCAGUUUCCCAUAAUAACUGAUAUUCUGAGGCGAAGGUAUGGACAGAAACGAGAUUCUAGCGAAGCUUCACAAGCGAUUCCCUUCACUUCCUCAGAAUGCCCUCCUUACGAUUUAUAAAGCUCGGUCCGAACGCAUGCGAUUACUCAUGAGGAAUAACAUACCUGCUGACAUCCGUUGGUUAAUCGAAGCGAAAGUACAAUCGGCAAGUGAGUUACCUCCAAAAUUUAUUGCAUACAUGCCUGGUUGUGGUAAAGGAAAUUAUGCAAGAAAACGACGAGCUCGAAGAAUUUCUGUUGCUUGUCAUAAGUGUGCCAGAAUGAGUUGCAAUAAAAACCCAUGUUCUUUAGGAAUGGUGUCUGAUAACAGGGAAGAUAAGAUUCAAUUCAUUAGGGAUGGCUUGAAUAAGGAGUCAUUGGAUGAUAUCCUUUUGUCUCUUGAAACACAUCCCAGUGGAUAUGUGCAAGGAGCGAUUCUCCAGUUAUGGCCAUUAUUCCAGAAAGAGCAUGCACGAUAUAGUCUCGGGAAUCUGACUAUAAACGACCCUGUUUGCCAGUUUAUAAGAAAACUGGAUAGGAAGCCUAUCCUCGACCCAUAGAGGGCGUUCAAGCCGUUUCUGGACGUAAAACCAGAGGAAGAUGUGAGCCACAGUCGCAACUACCUGUAAAUAUCCUUUUACUUUAUUGUUAUUUUAUUUCACUAUUGUCUUAUUGUUUGUAUUAUUGUCUUUAAUAAUUUUAUUAUUGUUUGCUUUUUCCUUUUUACUGUUUUCUUUUUUACUUGCGAGCCACGUGCUUUACGCGUUAUUUGACACUGACAUAUUACCUCAUACACAACCAUGACCCACUAUCACCAAGACUCUUAAAUGUGAUAUCUUUUGUCAAGCACUCACAAAUUAUUUUUGAGAAGUAUCGCAAUGGCAGCUACUCCCAAUAGACAAUUCAAGAACAUUUGUGUGCUUUCUGGAUUUACAUAUGGCAAACAUAAAGAGUUCGUUGAGGCAGCCAUCGAUCUUGGUCAAAGUAUAGCAGCGAGAAAAUUACACUUGGUGUAUGGAGGAGGUAAUCGAGGGUUAUCAAAAAUGGUCUCAGAAGCAGCUUUUCUCAGAGGAAGUCAAGUGUUAGGCAUCAUCCCAAGAGUCCUAAAACCAUUGGGCAGUUCGUCUGACUCAUCAACUGGAGAAGAGUUAGUCGUCUUAGGUAUGCAAGAAAGAAUAACUGAAAUGCUUAAUUAUGCUGAUGCUUUUAUUUUCCUUCCAGGAGAUCUUGCAACACUAGAGGCACUUAUGACACUAGCAUCUUGGGCCCAUCUACACAUUCACCAGAAACCCAUCGGUUUGUUAAAUGUCAAUAACUUUUAUGAUGGCUUUAUCGCAUUUCUUAACCAUGCAAUAAAAACUAUUUCAUUCCUUCUAAUGUGAAAAAACUCUUUAUUUGUGCUCACACUGCUACUGAGCUACUUGAUAUGUUACAAGCUUAUAAACCGGAGCCAGACCCUUGGACCUUUGUGUUGGAGCGACCAAAUAAUGAUGGUAACAGUAGUCGCAGUAAGAAGUACAAAUUAGAUUUAACUCUCCGCCUGUAAAUAUUUUCUUCUGUGUUGCACCACCCAGGUGAUGUCUUCUAAACUCUACUUUUUUCCUUUACAACAUUGAGGACAAUGUUUCGUUCUGGUUGGGGGGAGGGAAUAGUCGACAAUUGUGGAAUCUUGGUUAAGUUUUUACUAAUUUUUUGUUGUAGAAACUAACUGUUGCUAAAUUUUUGUGUUGAAGAUGGCUGAAUAUGGAGUGUAGUUACUCUAGAAAUGCAUCUUCAUUGUUCGAAAAAAAAAAUUUUCUUUUUCUUUAUUAAGUUUUGAUGUUCAUUUUUCUUCUUCUUUUUAUUUUCUCCUCUAUAAAUAUACAUUUUCCAACUUUUGAGUCGAAGAUGGCUGAAUAUGGAGAGUAGUGCCUCUAGAAACGCAUCUUCUAAGUUAAAAAAAAAAAAAAACCAUUUUCGUUUUCUAUCAUUUUAAGUGUAACUUUUCUAAUUAGUUUUUAUGCAUCAUUUUCAUAUCUCUGCAUACAUAUUUUCCUUUCAUGUUUAGAAUAGGUUGGGGGGUAGAAUGUUGUUUAAAAAAAAAAAUUAUGUGAUUUGUUUUAACAUUAGAUGACAUGAUUAAUUUCAAAUUUUAGUAUUUGUAUUAUCUUUGGUCUUAAGUGAUGUUACAUUAUGUUUGCUACUCUACAUGUUGAUGUCGGAGACAAAUAUGCGUUGCUUGAAGGAAUGAACAUGUCAUAAUAAGUACCAAGUGAGUUUUUGAGCCUAUCAUUUUUCUUGGAGAGUAACCCUUUUGCCCAUUCUUUAUACAGCUUAACAGUUUAUUAUUGUAUACACGAUCUCUAGAUUUCUUUUGAGUUAACCCUUAAUAAAAAAAUUAAAAAAAAAAGUGUGUUGUUACAUUUGGAGGCCCAUCUAACUAGUAGAUAUGGAAGGUUAUUUAGAGCCCUAAAAGACGAUGGAAAGGUCAUCUUUGAUCCGUUUGAGCCUUUCUAGCCAUCCCUUUUAUUAAAUAUCCAUAGUUAACCCUUUUGAGCCUUUAAAAAAAAAAAAAAACAUUUUCUUUGUCAACUUAUCAUCUUGACCCACUCCGAUUUGGAGUAUUAUCCGAUAUCUUAUAAGUUCCAUCACCUAUUUAUGUUUGAGAAAAUGUAAAUAAUUAUGUUGUUCAGUGAAGUUAUACCAACAAAAAAAAAACAACAAAACAAAAGUUGUUGUUUCAAAAGAAUAAAAAUAACAAUAAUAGGUGAAAUCCACCUUGCAACUUCCAAAAAAUAAAAAAAUAAAAAAAUUCUCUGCAUUUUUCUCAAACAUACACUUUGUUUUCCUUAUUUCCUUUCUUUGUUAACCAUGUCCCUAGCCUACGUUACAUCCUAAUAAAAGUCCUUCCUGAUUUUAGGGAACUAUAAUCUGAAGUAGAAGCUAGUUAUAUGGGCUAAAAAGAUGUAGUGGUGCAUAAAAAAAAAUAAAUAAAUAAAUUGGGUUGACUAACAGUUUUUAUUUGACUUGAGAUCGUAUUAUUUUUAAGCUGAGGGCAUAUUUAUUUCAUUUUGGUGAGAACAUGUGAUAUCACUUCUUCAUUAUUUUCUCUCAAUUACCAUUCAUUGGAGUGACUAUUUUUAUUGGGUUUAAUUUAUUUGUAAGAGUGUCACUACUUCCAGUGAGAUUUUGGGGUUUGACAUGUCAUUCUUGAAAGUAACUAUAACAAAGUCUACUGGGCUGAUUCAUGUGGAUGGUUGAUGUGGGUGUGAUGUUGCUUUAGACUAGAGAUAAUGCUUAUACUUUUAUUUGAUUGCUAUCAUUAAUCUGAUUGAAUAAACACAAGUGUUUCUAUAAAAAAAAAAAAAAAAUCAUUUUGAAUUUGAAUUUUGUUUUCGCUUUAUUUGCUAGGGACUAGCAAUAAGCUGGUUGGGGGGUGUGUUGAGUGUUAGAAAAUGCAUAUUUAUAAAGGAGAAAACCGUCAUUUUACAUUUCAAGUCUUACUAACAACCCUUACUUUUAUGUAUUUAACAUUCUUGUGAUUUAAUUACGUGUGUUUUAUUUUAAUUAAGUAAUUUAUGUAUUUUAGGGGUAUUAUAGUCAUUUCACAAUAAAAGAGAGAUCAGACGGCAAAACGGACAUCACUUUUGAACUCAGGACGGUCGAAAACCUUAGGAGGAGUAUAAAAGGAAAAAUGACACUAUUCACAUGUACGGUACUAUUCACGUAUACGGGACUGUAUACGUUACUGUUCACGGCAUUGUUCACAUAGACGGAUCGAUGACGUGGCAUUGACCGAUGAUGUGGCAUUGACUGAUGAGGUGUCACGAUCCUGUUGGACUAAAAUUCUUAUGUACUGUUGAUGGUGACGUGGCAGCAUAUCAGUGGACGAAAAAUCUCGCGUACGGUGCAUGCAUCACACAGGAUUAUUUUCAACCAAACCGCGUUACUGUUCAUCCGGGUCAAACCGCGUUACUAUUCAAAGUCGGGUCAAACCGUGUUACUGUUCAUCCGCGUGGUCAAACCGUGGACUGUUGACUGAUGACGUGGCGCAAUCCUGAGCGUCCAAACUGUUUUUAAUCUGAUGGCCAUGAUUUACUCCAUGUAUCUAUAAAAAGGGGGCCUCUCCCCCCUAAUUUGAUAUCUCUGAAUCCAUUUUUGGGAUCCAUUUUCUGUAAUUCCUUCUCCAUCUUGUAUUUUCUUCGUAUUUUAAUAAAUUCCCAUUUUGCCCCUAGUUCAACUAUGAGUGGCUAAUUUUCUUUCAAGCUUAGGUUGAAGGUGAAGUCUCAACAUGUGUCAUGGGCUUAAUUUGGUAAAUUUAUUUUCUCUUCCCCUCUAUUUUUUGUGGAUGUUUUGACUUCUCGUCGACAAAUAAUAAUAAUCUUGUCUAGAUACCGCCUUGGUUACACCGGCUCUCUAGUGUAAGGUUAUUAUUAUUUGGCACGAUAAGCCCUUAGCACCAUAUUGAUUAGAGCGUGGUUCAUGAGGUGUGGAUUCCCCCCUCAUGAUUUAAUUGGCAUUAAUACGGAUUAUUUAGCCCAUGAUGCAUGUUGAUACGGAUCCAGAUACCCAAGUACGUCAUUUCAAUAGAUUUCGCUUCAAUUUAUUCUCGUCAUUGCAAUUCCAAUUUUAGAAUUUAUUCUCGCCAUUUUAAUUUAAGUCUUAACAUAUUCCAAAUCAUUUCCACCAUAAAUCCAACCACUCAUUCACAAAAUUAAUUCGAUACACAAUUAAAAUCCACCUCCUCGUGGGAUCGACACUCAACACCAUUGAUCUAUACUACAAUAGAUUCGUGCGCUUGCGAGUACAUUAAAAUUUUCACAACAAUCACUGGAAUACACAAGCAUAUAAUUUUUAGUUCUUUUCAGAUACUUCAUUAUAUGCUUGACUGCAGUCCAGUAUUUGAGGUCCAGGAUUAAAUUGAUAUCUGCUAACCAUCCCUACCGCAAAACAGAUGUCUGGCCUAGUGCAAAGCAUGGCAUACAUGAGACUUCCCACAACUUCUGCAUAGGGAACUUGUCUCAUUCUCUCUAUCUCUUCAGAUGUUUUAGGUGAUUGAUCCUUAGAGAAUGUAAUUCCAUGUCUGAAUGGUAAUAAACCAGUCUUGGAAUUUUCCAUGCUAAAUCUAGCCAAUAUCUUAUCGAUAUAGACCGCUUGAGACAAGGCUGAAGUUUUAUUCUUCCGGUCUCGUAGUAACUUGAUUUUGCUAACUAAAUCUUUAUUGUAGUCAAUACUCCUAUAUCGUUUCAAUCAGGAGAAUAUUGUCCACACAAAGAACUAGGAAGGCUACAAAUUUUCCCUGAAUUUUCUUGUACACACAUGGUUCAUCAAUGUUCUGAAUGAAUCCAAGCGAUUUAAUCGCUUGAUCAAAUCUGAUGUUCCAUGACCGGGAUGCUUGCUUCAAUCCAUAAAUGGAUCUCUGCAACUUACAUACCAUGUGUUCUUGGGCUUUUUUGUAUAAAUUCAUCUAGUUACUGCAUGUAGAUGUUUUCUUCAAGAUGCCUGUUAAGAAAGGCAGUCUUGACAUCCAUUUGCUAAAUUUCAUAAUCUAGCACUACAGCAAUGGAGAGCAGAAUCCUGAUGGAUUUAAGCAUAGCAACCAAAGAAAAGGUUUCCUCGUAAUUGAUUCCUUCUUUCUGAGUAAAUCCUUCGGCUACUAAUCUUGCUUUAAAUGUUUCCACUCUUCCGUCUACUCCUCUAUUUCUCUUGUAGAUCCACUUACACCCUAUAGGUUUUACCCCAUUUGGUGCCUCUACAAGUUCCCAAACUUUAUUGGAAUACAUAGAUUCCAUUUCUUGAUUCAUGGCCUUUUUUAAAAUUCAACAUCUCUAUCUAUUGGAGCUUCGUUGUAACUAAUGGGAUCUUGUACAUGUUCAUCUGAGAUAGCCGUAUAGGUUUCUCCCAAAAACAUGUAUCUCGCAGGUAACCUAGUUACCUUCCCACUACGACGAGGUUCUAAAAGUGAUGGUUGUUCAAGGAUAAUCCUGUGCUGAUAAGCUGGUUGUUGCUGUUCUUCCUGUUCUAUAACAGGUGUUGAAAGCUGAGCAUCAACCUGAUCUUUUUUAUUUCUCUAGUUUUACCUUACUCUUAGGUUAUAAGUCAUUAUAUAGUCUUCCUCAAAGAAAGUAAAGAAUAUUUCUAUAAAUACAUUCCUAUCUUGAGGACUAUAAUUCAAACUUUCCCUUAUUCCUUUAAGAUACCUAAAACAUGCAAGCUUCUGAACACGAAUCCAUCUUCUCUAGCUCUGAUUCUAGUAGAAAUACUAGUAAACUCCAAAUACGAAUGUGUCUCAAACCAUGUUUGUGACUUUUUCAUAAUUUCUUGGAGUAGUAGACACCGAGAUAGAUGAAACUAAGUUCAACAAAACUUUGUAGUUUCAAAUACUAGUAUCUGGAAUAAAAAAGGUAAAUGAUAAACCACUUAGUAUAUGUCUUGUCUUAUCCAAAAGAAUCUUGUUUCUCCAUUUAAUUACACUAUCGUAUCAUAGUGUUCAUUGACAACCAAAUAAUGCUUAAAUUCUCCAUAGAGAUAUUCUUUGUUUCGAUCAUAUCGAAGUUCUUUUAUGUUCCUGUCUAAUUGCUUCUGUCUUAUCCACGUACUCUUUUGAAUUUCAAAAGCAAUGGAAUUAUGACGCAUUUAGACAAACAUAAAUAAAAUGAAUAUUCAUCAACAAGAUUGAUAGAAUACUCAUAACCUUUUAUAACAUGUAAACUGAUUAGUCCGUAUACAUUUGCAUGCGCUAAAUCAUCAAAUACAAUGUUAUGCUUUUUUUAGCUCAAAAAGAGCAUCCUUGUCAUAUUACUUUUCUAAAUAAGAUUUAUAGAGUUACAAUGAUCAAUCUUAAUAGGCCAACAAGUCUAUCAUUAAUCAUUUUCUUAAAAUCUUAUUAUAGUUUAUAUGACUUAAGCAUAAAUAUCAUAGGUGAUUUUUGGUUAGAAGAAACAUUUCUUUUCUUAGAUAAAUGCAUAUACUUUUUAUCAUUAUAUCUUACUUUGAAUAGAUCAAUAUACUUUUAUGAUAUAAAUUGUCUUUAUAAAUAACCAAAAUAAGUAAUAAACAGAGGAUCCAAAAAUAACAAUGUACUCCUGUUUAUUAAAACAAGCCACCAAAAUUAAAUUCCUCUAAUAAUUCAAAAAAUAAAGAUAAAUAUCAAAACUAAAGUCUUGUAAAAUUGAUCUAGUCUUUCAAUUGAUAUAAACUAGCAUGUCCUCAACUGCUGUUUGAUGCUUUUUUCACUUAAUCUCUUGGUUUCCUGAAAACCAAAUAAAUGAAUUACAAAUAAGAUUAGUUAUCUCAGAAUUCAUUAUUGUAUAAUGCAAUAGAAAUCUGAACUAAUUAGGAAGCUUAAAGAUUUCCUAUAUCUGAUUUUAAUAAUCUUAGGACAAUCUUUCUUCCAGUGACCCUUCUGUCCACAUUUGUAACACUUGCCUUUUGGCUUGCCACUUCUUUUAGUGGACAGUUUGCCGAUCCCAACUCUUGCUUGCUCAUUCUUGUCUUUUGACUUAAGCCUUGAAGAGAAUCCUUUUUCAGGAAGUUUUCUGCUAUGAUAAAAUUCUUCUAUAGCAUGUAGUUCGCGCAUUAAUUCAAUUAAGGUCAUAUCUUUAUUGUUUAAGAUAUAACUGACCUUAAACUCUUUGAAUGUAUCAGGUAAAGAUUCAAUCACCAUGUUAAUCUUUGAUUUAUCAUUGAUUUGAACACCAUGAAUCUCUACCUCAUUCAAAUAGUCCAUCAUUUUGAGGACAUGAUCACGAACUUUUGUGCCCUCUUCCAUCUUAGUAUCUAUAAUACGUUUCAAUGCUGCUUCUCUGGCAAAAUGGGUAUUUUGCCCAAACAUCUGAUGAAAACUAGCCAUUAUUUCAGUGGCUGUUUCCAUGCUCCGAUGUUUCUUAUGCAGUUCCACAAAAAUCAAAGCCAAUAUAUAGCGCUUAGCCAUUUUGUUAGCUUCGCACCAUUUCUCGUAAGGCUCCCUCUGAUUUCUAUAAUCGUAUAACGAUGGUUCAGGAGGGCAAGGCUGGGUCAACACAUAUUUGCUUCCCUUAACAGUGAGAAUAUUAAAUAGAUUGCGUUUCCAAUCUAAAUAAUUUUCGCCAAUGAGUUCAUUUUUAACAAGGAUAAUUAAUAAUGGGUUGAUGGAAGACAUUUUCUGAAAAAAAACAAAAUACACAUGCAUAAAUACUUUGAAACAAUAUUCACAAUAAAUGACAAAAAUGCAAAAAAUCAUAAAUACAUUUUAAUUUAUUGUAACGAUAAUGUAGUACCGCUUCGACAAGCUAUCCGUUGGGGAAGUCAUGUCUACACUUACUAGACCCAAUUAUCCAUUAGAUUAUUUACUUUCAUGUAAAAACAUGAUAAAUAAUUAUCGUUAUCCUUUUGGGUUUAAAUUUGUUAACAGAGCUUCGUUGGGAAGGUUAAUAACAAAUUUUAGUUGAGUGUAUAACCAUUGUUUCAAUCUACGUAUUUUUCAUAUCAAUAGUCACCGUUGGGGCGAACAAUCGAUUGAAAAAAUAUUUCAAUUUUAUCUUUGAAGAAGUUCAUCAAAUAAAAUAUCUAAUAUAUAUACCCUCCGUAGGGAGCAUCACCGUAUCAUGAAGUCGAGGGAUAUAUAUAAUUUUAUUAUUGAACUAACAAUGGAGCCCGUGGGAAAAAUUAUCUUGAAUUUUCCCUCUCCCACUCAAUAUUUUAAAAUUGAUUUUUCCUUUUUAAAACAUACAUAUUGUUAAUUGCAUGCUUCCUAUAAUAUUAUCUAGAUGAUAUCCAAUAUUAUUAAGCAUAGGCAAAUUUCAAACAAUAUAAUGAAAUUCAUAAUUAAUGAAUGACAUGUAUCAUUAUGCAUAGAGUGGCACUACCUAUUCUAUAUGACAUGUUAUCAUAGCAUGUAAUCAUCCAUAACAAAACAUAUAGAAAAACAAUUAAAUAAUCUUAAUUCAUGGCUUUCCUAAUAAUGAAAAAAUACAUUAACUUAAGCCUAAUCUUCAUUUGGCUUCUUGUCAAUGUCCAUCUUUUCAUAAUCUUGUCUUUGUUAAUGGACUAGGGGAAAUUGGGCUUUUAAAUUUAUAAUUGGUCCAAUUUU